CUAUAUUUAGGGGAUUAAUUAAUUUUGAAUUGGCUAUGUUGGUAAAAUACUACGAAUUAUCUAGUUGAUUAAAUAUAUGUUCACUUAAUUGUAUAUACACUCUAUAAAUUAAAAGAUUAUUAACUUAUAGAUUAAUUAAUAUCAGUAUCUCUUUAUAUUAAUAGAAAUUGUAUGAUUCUGAUAUUAAUUUAUAGAGGCUUUAUUGUGUAUCCAUACAAAUAUCUAGCAUUGUAUUACGCUAAUGGUCUGCCUAAAAAAUAGGAUGUGGUUAAUUUCAUUCGAGGACGUCGUUCUAGAAAUAUCUUUACAUAUUAAAAAGAAUAGCUUGAUGAUUGAUAUAAAGAGAAGAAAAUUUAAUAAUAAACUAAACAAAAUAAUAAAAAAUGAUAAAAUCAAUAGAAUAGCUUGACGAUUGAAAUUACCUUCAUUAUGCGACAAGAAAUUAAAAUCAAUAGUUUAUUAAAACCUACGCAGCAUACGUUAUUUAAGCUUAAUUUUGUAAUCUUUUCAAUUACAUUAAGGCAUUGCAACACAUUUCUCAAUAUUCCUUUAUAUAAAUAGAGGCUCAUGCCUUUCCAAUUCCUACACAUCAAUUUUAAUUCACAUUAGGCUGUUAAGAAUUCACUGAAGAAAUUGAAAAUAUGUCAAAGAGUUCUAUUUCAUCAUGCUUGUAGUGGCAAACACUAAAAGCAUGCUAACCCAGAUGCUUCAUUUUCCAAUUCUCUAGGCUUAAAAGCAAAAAUUGUUUGAUCGAGAAGUUACCAUAUCUACCCAUGCCCUUGGGGGAAUGUAAAUGAUUUUUAUAAUCAGUUGUUUCUUUUAUCUUUUUCAGUGCUUUUGCGAUAAUGAUUAAAUUGUGGUGAAAUUAAAACUAUGUUUUAAUAAAAGAAGAAAUUAAUCCAUCAUGAUUACUUAAUGUUUUGUCAUGUGUUUUUUGUGUGUGUUUUUGGUGUGCUUUGUUUUAUACAUAUCAUUGAAUCAAUCUAUGAGAGAGAAAUUAGUUGAAACGCUAAUGUUGAUCAAGUGAUCAUAAUUAUAAUGUUAGUACCAUACGUAAUAUUUAAAUUUUCAAUCUAUUUUCUUUUAGGGUGAGGCUAUAUGGAUCUUAUUUUUAUCAAAAUUUAAUUUUUUCUAAAUCUUAUAUUACUAGACUAUCCGAUUUAAUUUAUGGGUAAAUUCAACUUUUGCCUCGAGAAUCUUUAAUUUACCACAAAAAAUGUGAAAAAAAUCAAUUCACCUCUAUUUACUACUACAAAAACAAAUAAAAGUUCAUAAACUUGGCAUUUGAACAAAAAUUGGUGCAGAUCAAGGCUUUCAUACUUUUGAAGGGUAAAUUAAAGAUUGUUGUUUGGAGGGGGAUGAAUUAAAGUUUACCUUGAUUAAUAUAACAAUAUGUUUGAUAUUAUUUCUGAAUCGUUUUUGCUCCAUUGAUAUGUCUAUAUCAAUCAAUCUUGAUUCAUCAACUCUUGUUAUAGAUGUAGGAUUGCCGAAUAAAUAAUAUUUUGAUGACCUAUUUGGAGAUGCAACAAAUUUUCAACCAUAAACACUUGCAACAGCUCUUAGCCACAAAUUAAAUUAAAAACUCAAUUGGCAACUCAUGUUGAACGAAUGGAUUGAUUAGAUAAAUUAUCGUAGAAUCUUAGCGAAUCAAUGUAUUCUACAUACCUUACUAACUAAUUUAUUAAGAAUGUUGUUAUUAAAUAUGUUUAGAGAAUUGGCUACCCAAGCAUGGCUUGGUAUAAUUUGUCGCAGAUCUAAUUUCGAUGUUGAAAAAGUUUGUUUCAAAAUUUUUGACAUAAUGUUAAUUAUGUUACACAACUAUAUUCUUUGACAAAUAGAAAUUGAAACAUCAUUAAAUCUAAUUGGUAUCAUACUAAGCAUUGGAGCCUUGCAAGCUUCUUCUAGUUUAUUUAUCACUCAAUUUGUCACUCAAUCAAUUAAGAAAGAAAAAUAAAUCUAAGGCUCAUGGGUCUUGGCCUAGCAAUGUUAUUUCUGGCCAAAAAAAAAAAGAGUAGCAGUAUUUGAUCCCACCUUCCGAUUAAUCCCAUUUGUUUUUAAAUUAAACUUGUUUAAGUUUUUUUUUCUCUCUCAUCACCACCACAACCAUCGUCUAUCUUUAUUACCAUUAAUUCAAUCCGCUUUCAACAAGCAUAUCAGUUUUUACAAUGUUGCACACACCAAGCAUAUUGGCUACCUUGGCAAUUGCUCAAGUUCGCAAAAAGAGGAAUUCAUUAGCAAGCUAGCUACUAGUUUGCAUCCAAGUCCCCAUUACUAUGACCGAGGUACAAGAACAUUAACUGCUAGCUUCAUUGGACUCAUUAUCUCUUUACUUUUACUUCUCUAUUCAAUCCACACAGCGGUGUUCAAUCCCCUUCUUGUCCAAAGAGUUUAUUCAUAUUCUCAAGUCGUUUUGGUUGCCCACUUUGAGAAUUUAUUUCUUCUUUUUAUAGUGCUUCUUAUCUAAUAAGAAUGUGCGAAUUAGAGCUUAUAUUUGUCAUCUCAAAAGCAUUACAGAAGAGAGACAAAGCAAGAAAAGUUGAAUACUAACUACUUGAUGAAAAUUCCUUGUACUAAUUAAUUCUUCAUGUUAUUCUUCGUGCUAACCACAUCUGGGUCUUGAAUUUGUACGAGUUAAUAGCACUAGAUGCACGCACAAAAAACACAUGACAUAAUAUUGCGUACUCAUAAUGAAUUAAUUUCUUCUUUUACUAAAACACAGUUUUAAUUCCACGGCAAUUGCUCAUUAUUGCAAAAGCACUCAUAGAAGAUAAAAGGAAUAACUAAUUAUCAAAUUCAUUUGCAUCCUCUUGGGAACAAGGGUAUAUAUAGUUUUUGAGAGCCUUUUUUAACUUCUUGAUCAAACACUCUUCCCUUGUAAGCCCUGAGCAAUCAAUAAUGUCAGGUGAUGCUGUAGGAUUAAAGGAAAAUAAAGCAUUUGGGUUCGAUUCUUGGCGAGUGCAACAUGCUGAAAUAGGUGUGGCUUUAGUGUUUGCCACUACAAGCAAAGCCAUGAUGAUGAAACUAAAAAUCUUCGACAUUUUUAAGCUUCAUCAGCAGGCUAGCUAAAAGUUUACCUGCAAGUCCCCUAAUACGAUGACAAAAUUAAAGAAGCAUUGUUAUUAGCUUCAUUUGACUUGUUAUCCACUUGUUUCUACUUCUCUAUUUAAUCCACACAGCAAGCUUGAAUCCCCAAACUUGAUCAAAAGACUUAAUUCAUUGCCUUAAGUCUUUUUGACCACACAAUUUGAGAAUUUAUUUCGUCUUUUUAUGAUGCUUCCUAUAUAAUAAGAGCGUGUGAUUAGGAACUUGAUUUGUUUAAUUCAUAACAUUUUAAGAGCAUUACAACAGAAUGACAGGAAAAGAAAAGUUGAAACUGACAACAUUGUUAUUCUUAGUGGUAACCACAUCUAGGUCUUGAAUUUGCAGGAGCCAACAUGAUGAAGCCCAUAUUUUGCAUCAUUAAAUGAUUAAUCUUGUUGUUAUCUCUGCUUUCACUAUUAUCUCAUCAAAAAUUGUUUCUUAUCAUACUAGCUGCAUAAAAAUUAACAAACUAACAUAUUAUCAUUUUUAAGUCACCAAUCAAGUAUAAAUACUAUAUUAUUUAGUUAUAUAACAAAAAUAAUGAAAUAUCUAAAUUUCAAAAACAUAUAUUAAAUUAAAGCCAAAGUAGCCAUCGCAAAUAAAUAAAAGAAUACAUAUUUUCAUUUAGAAACAAUUGAUUUAAUUUAUCACUAAGUGAGUUUAAUCACUCAAAUACAGCAGUCGGCCCAGCAACGAUAGUUAUUUUAGAAAUAUGGCCACUUGAUGGUGUUCAGAGUUGUAGAUAUUUUUGUUAGGAUAUUUUAGAUUGUAUAAUUUUGUUAUAAUUUGUGAUUAAGUAUAACCUAUUCUAUUUUGACAUUCGAAUGCUCGGAUCAUAACUGGUAUUUUGAUUAGGGAAGUUGAAUGUGGAGGUUGGUUGUGUAUUGAACUAUUUUAGGAGUGUUUGUUUUAUAAAUUGUAGGUUGGAAAUAUUACAUCCAUAGGGGAGAGAUACGGCAUAAUACUUAUUAAAUGGAAUAUUGUCAAUUAUGUUAUAGAAUAUCAAGUACAUUUGGCUCGUGUGGUUUCGGGCGAGUUGUUUCAUAAUUAAUAUCAAUAUCUCUUUAUAUUAAUAGAUAUUGCAUGAUUUUGAGAUUAUUAAUUUAUAAAGGCUUUAUUGCAUAUCCACGGAAAUAUCUAGCAUUAUAUUGCGCCAACGGCUUGUAUAAAAUAUAGGAUGUGGUUAAUUUCAUUGGAGAACGUCAUUUAUAAAAAUAUCUUUAUCUACUAAAAAGAAUUGCCUGACGAUUGAUAUAAAGAGAAAAAAUCUAAUAAUAAACUAAACAAAAUAAUAAGAAAUGAUAAAAUUAAUUAAAUAUAUGCUGAAAUUACCUUCUGAAUGCAUCAAGAUAUUAAAAUCAAUAGUUUAUUCAAACAAACUCAGUGUAAUUUAUUUAAGCUUCAUUUUGGAUUCUUUUUAAUUACAUUAAGGUCACUACAAUUCAUUUCUCAAUAUUCAUUUAUAUAAAUAGAAGCCCUGCCUUUCUAAUUCCUACACAUCCAUUUUAGUUCAAAUUAAGCUGUUUAGAAUUUAAUUAAGAAAUUGAAAAAAUGUCAAAGAGCUCAGUUUCAUCAUGCUUGUAAUGGCAAACACUAAAUGCAUGCUAUUUCAGAUGCUUCAUUUUCUCUUUCCCUAGGCUUACAAGCGAAAAUUGUUUGAUCAAGAAGUUACUAUACCUACACAUGCCUUGGAGGGAAUGUUAAUGAUUUUGAUCAUCAGUUGUUUCUUUUAUCUUUUAUCAAUGCUUUUGUGAUAAUGAUUAAUUGUAGUGAAAUUGAAACUGUGUUUUAAUAAAAGAAGAAGUUAAUCCACUAUGAGUACCUAAUGUUUUGUCAUGUGUUUUUUGUGUGUGUUUUUGCUAUGCUUUGUUUUAAGCGGAUCAUUGAAUCAAUCUAUGAGAGAGAAAUUUAUUGAAAUGCUAAUAAUGAUCAAGCGAUCAUAAUUAAUAUUUGCAACAUACGUAAUAUUUAAAUUUUAAGUCUAUUUUCUUUUAGGGUGAGGCUAUUUGGAUCCUUUUUUAUUGUAAUAUAAUUUUUUUUCUAAAUCUUAUAUUCCUAAACUACCUGAUUCAAUUUAUGGGUAAAUUCAAUUUAUGCCCCGAGAAUCUUCAAAUUACCACAAAAAAUGUGAAAAAAUCAAUUCACCCUUAUUUACUACUACGAAAAUAAAUAAAAGAUCAUCAACUUGCCCCCCCCUCAUUUAAGCUAUCUUUUGAACAAAAAUUAGUGUAGAUUGAGGUUCUCAUGCUCUUAGAGAGUAGACUAAAGAUUGUUAUUAGGAGGGGGAUGAAUUAAAGUUUACUUCAGUUAAUAUAAGAAAACUUCUCAUAUUAUUUCUAACACAUAUUUUCCAUGUUUAUAUGCCCACAUCAAUUCAAUUGGUAACUCAUGUUGAACGAAUGGAUUGAUUAGAUAAAUUAUCAUAGGAUCUUAGGUAAUCCUGUAUUCCACAUACCUUACUAACUUAUUUCUUAAGAAAUUUUGUAUUGUAUUUUUUUUAUAAUUUGAAAUAGCUAAUUACAAGAACUAACUCAAUACUUCAAUCUUUAAUCAAUCAAGAUCGAUUUGGAAUCAAGAUUGAUGAAAAACAGAGUAAAGAACAUAAAAAGAAUUGGAUUAUAAAGAACAAGUUACCAGAUUUGAAGAAAAAAUGCACACUUUUUCAUUAAUCAAAACUAAGUACAAACAUAUCACAUCUGAAGAGUUACAAGAAUCACGUGUAAAGAAGAAUUAUUCUAAUUGAAGAAGAAAUGAGUGAGAGAAGGCUUAUAUAUCAUAUGCUACAAGCCAGCAUCUCGUUUCUGGAACAUUUGUAGAAACCAUGUAACAAAGUUUAACAACCCAGGCCAUGUCAGCAGAAAUUUUUGUAAGCACCCUCCAACUGAGUGCAAUAUACACAAUGACCCAUAAAACUCUCAUUCGAUUUCACUUUAGUCCCCAAAAUCAGUUAACUACAUCUCCACACUCUCCACCUUGCAAAUCUGAUUCAAUUGAUUGCACAUCAUAAAAGGUGCUUCAAAAAACCUUCAAAUAUUGCGGUCCACUCAUGAAUUCAGUUUGGUUUAGGCAGGAUGCCCACCACGUUCACACAUAACUCAAACUUAGCUGUUGGAAGAACUUUAGUAAGCAUGUCCGUUGGGUUUACAUCUAUAUGAAUCUUAGAUAUCAACAUAGUCCCUUUUGCAACUUUAUCUCUAAUGAAUUGUAGCUUCACAUCUAUAUGCUUAGUCCUCUCAUGAUAUAUUUGAUUCUUAGCCUAUUGUAUAGCAUUUUGAAUGUCACAGAAAAUUUGAACUAAUUUUUUAUUUAACCAAAGUUCCUUGAGGAUACUUUUAAGCCACAUAGACUCCUUGGUUGCUUCUGUGACUACUACAAACUUAGCUUAUAUAGAAUAUAGAGCUACCACAAACUUUAAACAUGAUUUCCAACUAAUUAUAUAGUUGUUCAGCAUGAACAAAUAUCUAGUGGUUGACUUCCUUCUAUCAAAGUCUCUACCAAAGUCAGAGCCUACAUACCCCACCACUUCACUCACAGCUUAACUUGAUCUUCCAAACAAUAAGCCAUGGUUUGAGGUACCCCUGAGAUACCUUAAUAUCUAUUUGACAGCAUCCCAAUGGAUCUUAAUUGGAAAGCUUAAGAUCUAUUGACUAUACCCAUUGAAUAAGUUAUAUCAGGUCUGAUACACACAAUUGCAUAUAUAAGGCUCCCCACGGCCCGUGCAUAUGGUAUUUCUUUCAUCUUGAACUUAUCUUUGACAGCAUCUGAUGCUUGAGACACAAUCAACUUGAACUGAGAGCCAGAGAAGUCAGAACAGGUUUGCACUAUUGCAUAAUAAAACCUCUCUAACACCUUUAUUAACAUACAUCUCUUAACUUAAGAAAAGAACACUAGACACUUUAUUCCUUGUGAUCUCCAUCCUAUGAAUCGUUUUGGCACUGGCAAUAUCAUUCAUCUCAAAUUUAUGGUUCAUCAGUUUUUUAAGCUUUUCAAUCUCAGUUUUGUGUCUGCUUGCAAUCAAUAUAUCAUCUACAUAAGAAAGCAAAUAUAUCACUUUGCCUCAAUCUGAGCCACCAUAGUAAAAAAAGUUAUUAUACCUACUCAUGUGGUAACCAUUAGUUACUCUGAACUCAUCAAAUCUUUUGUACCACUCUCUAAGAAAUUGUUUUAGUCCAUAUAGUGAUUAAUGCAGCAAGUAAACAUGAUUUUCUUUCCCUAUCUUUACAAAACCUUCAGGCUGAGUCAUCAAAAUUUGCUUUUCAAGCUUCCCAUUUAGGAAAUCAGUUUUAACAUCCAUUUGCUUAAGCUCUAUACAAGCAAUGUUGCCAUAGUUAAAAGAAUUCUAAUAGAACCAUAUUUUACAAUAGGGGAGAAGAUUUCAUUGAAAUCUACACUCUUUCUCUAUAUAAAACCUCCGGCUCUAAGCCUUACCUUGAAUUUUGAAGGUUCAACUCUAGGGAUGCCAUUCUUUUUCUUAAAGAUCCACUUACAGUUAACCAGCUUCUUGUCACUUGGAUUUGGAACAAGUGUCCCUAUCUAAUUUCUCUGUAAAGAAUCCAUCUCCUUUCUCAUUGCCUCAAUCCAUUUGUCACAGUUCUCACUUUCAAUGGCCUUAGAAUAGCUAAAAGGCUCCUCAAUUGACAUUUCUUUUGCACUCAUCAGUGCAUAGGCAAUCAAAUCUGUAUAACCAUACCUCACAGGUGACCUGGUUUGCCUUCUGCUUAUGUCUCUAGCUAGAUGAUAGCUCUGUAGGUUAAUUUGUUGUGUUUCUUGUGUUUCAGUAGCUUUAAUUUCAUCAAAUGGACCAGUUUCAGCAUUUGAUGUAUCCAUUUCCUCAUCCUUAGCUCCAAGAAACUCCCUUUUAAGCUUAGAGGACUCAGUUGGUUAAUUCGCAUCUCCUUCAACAUGCAUAUUAGCUUCUAUUAUUUCCUUUCUAGCCUUAACCAUAGCUGAUUCAUUGAAAAUAACAUUUCUACUGAUAAUGCAUUUUCCAUGUCGUUCACACCAUAUUCUAUAUCCUUUGACACCAUCAACAUAGCCAACAAAAAAUCCUUUCAAGUCUCUUAGUUCAAGUUUGCCUUGAUUUACAUGUGCAUAAGCAGGACAACCAAAGAUUCUGAAUUAUCAUAUUUUACAGGCCUCCCUAACCAUAUUUCGUCAGGUGUUUUGAAACCAAUGGCUGAUGAAGGACUCUUGUUGACUAGAUAACAAGCUGUACUCACAGCCUCUGCCUAGAAACUUCUUGGAAUUUUGGAAUUAAUCAACAUAUACUUGGUUUUAUCAACAUGGGUCUUAUUCAAUCUUUCUGCUAAACCAUUUUGCUAAGGAGUUAAUUUGACAGUUUUAUGCCUUAAAAUUAUAUGCUUCUGAUGGUAGUCUUCAAACUCCUUGUUGCAGAACUCUAGGCCAUUAUCAAUUCUUAAGGCCUUUAAUUUCCUUCCACUUUUAUUUUCCACCAAUGUUUUUCAAACCUUAAAUUUCUUUAAGUCCUGAUCUUUGGAUUUCAGAAUAUAAAGCCACACUUUUCUUGAGCAAUCAUCAAUAAGGUCAUAAAAUAUCUACCCUUGACAAAGAUGGCACUUGAGCUAUCCCCCACAAAUCAGAUUGAGUAAAUUUUAAGACACACUUAGAUCUAUAUGCCCCUUUUGGAAACUUGGCUCUAUGUGCCUUCCCAAAGACACAGUUCUCACAAAACUCAAGACUACUUAUCUUGUCAGACUCUACUGUCAUUACAACACUUGCAAUAAUGAAAAACCCAACUAACACAUACAACUCGUUCCUCUUUUCACCUUUCAUCAUAAUAGAAUCCCCUUUGGUCACUCUAUGCCACCAUUAUCAGACUUAAAUGAAUAUUCAGAGCUAUCCAACAUGCCUAAGAUUAAAUUUCUCUACACCAUGUAAAGUUUUAAAGACCCCAUCCAACAUCCUUAUCUUAACAGAUCUUGUUUCAAUAAUUUUGCACUUAUUAUUGUUUACUAUAAGAACUCUACCACCAUCAAUAGACACUUAUUGGGCAAAUGUAAAAUGAACAGCCGGAAUUUAACACUCAUUGAUCUUCUAAGUUUGCCUUUUGAUGAUAUUAACAGAUCAACACUGUGAUAACCAUCAUCUGAAGAGUCAUCUAAAGCCACAACUGCAUCUCCUGAUUUUUCUUGAUGCUCCAUUUUCUUUUACUCUGCAUAGUCUCUGAUAUAGUGACCUUCUUUGCUAUAGUAAAAACACUUCUUUUUCUUUUUUCUUCUUAUCGGCUUUUUGGCUCUUUCUUUUGCCCUUUUCUUGAUUCUUAUUCUUCUGUUCCUUUUUCUUUCUAGUUCUGGCAAUCAGCCCUUCUCUAUUACUGAUUUCAUGCCCAUUAUUUCUCUGAAUCUCCUUUAAGCUCAAUGAUGCCUUAACAUCUUCUAAAGUUAAUAUUGCUCUUCUAUACAACAUUGUAUCUACAAAACCUUUAUAGGAUUGUGGCAGUGAACUGAGCAAGAAAAAUGCUUUAUUUUCAUCUAUAAUUUUCACAUUUUCAAACCCUUUAAGAUUAAGGAUGAUCUUAUUGAAAGUAUCAAUGUGUUCUUGGAUAAAAAGGCCUUCUUUUAUUGAAAAGUAUAAAGCUUUUUCUUCAAUUAAAUCCUGUAAGCCAAAGACUUCUUCAUGCAUAGUGCCUCCACUUUAUUCUAUAUCCUUAGAUCAAUUUUUUUUCAAAGAUUUUCGUUAAGAUUGAGCCACUAAGACUCAAAAUCAAGGUAAUAUGGGCUAUGUUCUGGAUGUGCUACUUUUUUUCAUCAGGCAUGGAACUUGUAGCUUUAUUAGGAUCUUCAUUACCCAGAGUUGACUCAAGGCCCUGAUAAAUUAGCAGUGGCAUCAGGGUCUUAUCUUCAUCUUCCAGAGUGAGAAAUCACCACCAAUGGUGAAUUUCUCAAUCUAUGGCUUUAGAAGUGACAUACCCAAGAAUUACCAAAGCUAUCAUACCACUUGUUGUAAUUUGUAGUGGCUAAUUACAAGAACUAACUCAAUACUUCAAUCUUUAAUCAAUCAAGAUCGAUUUGGAAUCAAGAUUGAUAAAGAAUAGAGUAAAGAAAAGAAAAUAGAAUUGGAUUGCUAAGAACAAACUACCAGAUGAGCAGGAAAAAUUCACAUUGUUUCAUUAAUCAAAACUGAGUACAAACAAAUCACAUCUGAAGAGGAGAUUACAAUAAUCGCGUGUAAAGAAUAAUUAUACUAAUUGGAGAACAAAUGAAUCAUAAAUCAGAUGACUUGUUAUCCACUUGUCGCUAAUUUUCUAUUCAAUCCACACAGUAGCAGGAAUCCCCCAACUUGCUCAAAAGACUUAAUUCAUUACCUCAAGUCCUUUUGGCCACCCAGUUUGAGAAUUUGUUUCUUCUUUUUUUUAUGCUUCAUAUCUUAUAAGAGCAUGUCAUUAGUGUUAAGUGUUAGAAAAUGUAUAUUUAUAAAGGAGAAAAUCGUCAUUUUACACUUCAAGUUUUACUAAAACUUCUACUUUUAUGUAUUUUAGUCUCUUGUAAUUUAAUUAUGUGUAUUUUAUUUUAAUUAAGUAUUCUAUGCAUUUUAGGGGUGUCAUGGUCAUUUCACAAUGAAUGAGAGAUCAGACGGCAAAAUGGACAUCACUUUUGAACUCAGGACAGUCGAAAACUGUUGUGCAAAUUUUAUUGAACUCGCAAGUGCAAGAAUCUAUUGUAGAAUAGAUCAAUGGUGACGAGUGUCGAUCCUACAAGGAGGUGAAUUUUAAUUAUAUAUAGAAUUAAUUUUGUAUGAGGGUGGUUGGAUUUGUGGUGAAAAUGAUUUGGAUUAUCCUAAAAUUAGAAUUUAAAUGGCGAGAAUAAAUUGAAUAGAAAUCUAUUAAAAUGACGUACUUGAGUAUCUAGAUCCGUAUCAACAUGCAUCAUGGGCUAAAUAUUCCUUAUUAAUACCAAUUAAAUCAUGAGGGGGGAAUCCACAUCUCAUGAACCACACUCUAAUCAAUAUGGUGGUAAGGGCUUAUCGUGCCAAAUAAUAAUAACCUUGUACUAGAGAGCCAGUGAAACCAAUGCGGUAUCUAGACAAGAUUAUUAUUAUUUGUCGACGAGAAGUCAAAACAUCCACAAAAAUUAGAGGGGAAAAGAAAAUAAAUUUACCAAAUAAAGCCCAUGACACAUGUUGAGACUUCACCUUCAACCCAAACUUGAAAGAAAAUUAGCUACUCAUAAUUGAACUAGGGGCAAAAUGGAAAUUUAUUAAAAUACGUAAAAAUACAAGAUAGAGAAGGAAUUAUAAAAAAUGGAUCCCAAAAAUGGAUUUAGAGAUAUCAAAUUAGGGGGGGAGAGCCCCCUUUUUAUAGAUACAUUGAGUAAAUCAUGGCCAUCAGAUCAAAAACAUUUCGGACGCUCAGGAUUGCGCCACGUCAUCAGUCAACAGUACGCGGUUUGACCACGCGGUUUAAACAGUAACACGGUUUGACCCGGUUUGAACAGUGACUCGGUUUGGUUGAAAAUAAUCCUGUGUAAUGCAUGUACCGUACGCGAGAUUUUUGGUCCACUGAUAUACUGCCAUGUCAUCGAUCAAUAGUGCAAAAGAAUUUUAGUCCAACAGGAUCGUGACAACUCGUAAGUCAAUGCCACAUCAUCGGUCAAUGCCACGUCAUCGAUCCGUCUAUGUGAACAGUGUCAUGAACAAUAACGCAGACAGUACCGUACAUGUGAAUAGUACCGUACAUGUGAACAGUGUCGUUUUUCCUUUUAUGCUCCUCCUAAGGUUUUCGACCAUCCUGAGUUCAAAAGUGAUGUCCAUUUUGCCGUCUGAUCUCUCGUUCAUUGUGAAAUGACUAUGAUGCCCCUAAAAUGCAAAAAAUACUUAAUAAAACUAAAACACACGUAAUUAAAUCACAAGAAGGUUAAAUACAUAAAAGUAAGGGUGUUAGUAAAACUUGAAGUGUAAAAUGAUGAUUUUCUCCUUUAUAAAUAUAUAUUUUCUAACACUCAACACACCACCCAACUAGCUUAUUGCUAGUCCCUAGCAAAUAAAGCGAAAAAAAAAUUUAAAUCCAAAAUAUAUAUAUAUAUAUAUAUAUAUAUAUAUAUAUUUUAACACUCAUGUUUGUUCAAUCAAACUAAUGAUAGUAAUCAAAUAAAAGUAUAAGCAUUAUCUCCAGUCUAAAAAAACAUCACACCCACAUCAACCAUCCACAUGAAUCAGCCCAGUAGACUUUAUCAUAGCUACUUUCAAGAAUGACAUGUCAAACCCCAAAAUCUCACUGGAAGUAGUGACACUCUCAUAAAGAAAUUAAACCCAAUAAAAAUAGUCACUCCAAUGAAUGGUAGUUGAGAGAAAAUAAUAAAGAAGUGAUAUCACAUGCUCCCACCAAGAUGAAAGAAAUAUGCCCUCAGCUUAGAAAUAAUACGAUCUCAAAUCAAAUAAAAAUGCUAGUCAACCCAAUUUAUUUAUUUUUAUUUAUACUUUUUUAUGCACCACCACAUCUUUUUAGCCCAUAUAACUAGCUUCUACUUCAGACUAUAGUUCCCUAAAAUCAAGAAAGACUUUUAUUAGGACGUAACGUAGGAUAGGGACAUGGCUAACAAAGGAGGGGAAAUAAGGAAAACAAAGUGUAUGUUUGAGAAAAAUGUAGAGAAUUUUUUUUUGGAAGUUGCAAGGUGGAUUUCACCGAUUAUUGUUAUUUUUAUUUUUGAAACAACAAUUUUUUUUUUUUUGCUUUUGUUUGGCAUAACUUCACUGAACAAAAUAAUUAUUUACAUUUUUCUCAAACAUAAAUAGGUGAUGAAACUUGUAAGAUAUUGGGUAAUACUCCAAAUCGGAGUGGGUCAAGAUGAUAAGUUUGACAAAUAAAAUAUAUUUUUUUAAAGGCUCAAAAUGGUUAACUAUGGAUAUUUCACAAAAGGGAUGGCUAGAAAGGCUCAAACGAAUCAAAGAUGGUCUUUCCAUCAUUUUUUAGGGUUCUAAACAAUCUUCCAUAUCUACUAGUUAGAUGGGCCCCCAGAUGUAGCAACAUAAAUUUUUUUCUUUUUCUUUUUUUUGCUCUUUUUUUUUAAUUUUACAAUAUUUUUUUAAGGGUUAACUCAAAAGAAAUCUAGAGAUUGUGUAUAUAAUAAUAAACUGCUAAGCUGUAUAACGAAUGAGCAAAAUGGUUACUCUCCAAGAAAAAUGAUAGGCUCAAAAACUCACUUGGUACUUAUUAUGGCAUGUUCAUUCCUUCAAGCAAUUCAUAUUUGUCUCCGACAUCAACAUGUAGAGUAGCAAACAUAGCGUAACAUCGCUUAAGACCAAAGAUAAUACAAAUACUAAAAUUUGAAAUUAAUCAUGUCAUCCAAUGUUAAAACAAAUCACACAAUUUUUUUUAAACAACAUUCUACCCCCCAACCUAUUAUAAACAUGAAAGGAAAAUAUGCAUGCAGAAAUGUGAAAAUAAUUCAGAAAAACUAAUUAGAAAAGUUACACUUAAAAUGAUAGAAAUUUUUAAUUUUUUUUAACUAAGAAGAUGCGUUUCUAUAGGCAUUAUACUCCAUAUUCAGCCUUCUUCGACUCAAAAAAUUUGAAAGUGUAUAUUUAUAAAGGAGAAAUUGGAAAGAAGAAGAAAAAUGAUUGUAAAAAAAAAUUAAUAAAGAAAAAGAAAAUAUCUGGAAUUUUUUUUUUAAUGAAGAAAAUGCGUUUCUAGAGUAACUACACUCCAUAUUCAGCCAUCUUCAACACAAAAAGUUAGCAACAGUUAGUUUCUACAACAAAAAAUUAGUAAAAACUUAACCAAAAUUCCACAAUUGUCGACUAUUCCCUCCCCCUAACCAGAACGAAACAUUGUCCUCAAUGUUUUAAAGGAAAGAAGUAGAGUUUAGAAGACUUCACCUUGGUGGUGCAACACAGAAGAAAAUAUUUACUGGCGGAGAGUUAAAUUUAAUUUGUACUUCUUACUACAGCUACUGUUACCAUCAUUAUUUGGACGCUCCAACACAAAGGUCCAGGGGUCUGGCUCCGGUCUAUAAGCUUGUAACAGAUCAAGUAGCUCAUUAGCAGUGUGAGCACAAAUAAAAUUUUUUUUCGCAUUAGUAGGAAUGAAAUAGUUUUUUAUUGCAUGGUUAAGAAAUGCUAUGAAGCCAUCAUAAAAAUUAUUGAUAUUUAACAAACCGAUGGGUUUCUGGUGAAUGUGCAAAUGGGCCCAAGAUGCUAGUGUGAUGAGUGCCUCUAGUGUUGCAAGAUCUCAUGCAAGGAAAAUAAAAACAUCAGCAUGAUUAAGCAUUUCAGUUAUUCUUUCUUGCAUACCUGAGACGACUAACUCUUCUCCAGUCAGUGAGUCAGACAAACUACCCAAAGGUUUUAGGACUCUUGGGAUGAUGCCUAAGACUUGGCUUCCUCUGACAAAAGCAGCUUCUGAGACCAAUUUUGAUAACCCUCGGUUACCUCCUCCAUACACUAAGUGCAAUUUUCUCUCUGCUAUGCUUCAACCAAGAUCUACGGCUGCCUCAACAAACUCUUUAUGUUUGCCAUAGUUAAAUCCAGAAAGCACACAAAUGUUCUUGAAUUGUCUAUUAGGAGUAGCUGCCAUUGGAAUAUUCCUCAAAAAUAAUUUGUGAGUGCUUAACAAAAAGUUUUAUUUAAGAAUCUUGGUGACAGUGGAUCACAGCUGUGUAUGAGGUGGCAUGUCAGUGUCAAAUAACGCGUAAAGUGUUGGUAUAUAAAUACUAAUGCUAUUGGUGUCAAUGUGCAAGUGUACACAACAAGUAAUAAAGUGAUGAGUAUUCAAGAUCGUCUCCACAGGGAUUGAUGUUAUUAGACUUGCUACAGCAAUCUUAACAAUGCAGAUUUUGUUCUAAAUUAAGAUAAACAAUUGAUGAAACUAAUUUAGUAAUUAAAAUAAAAACGCAAUAAAUAAAAUGCAACAAAAUAAACUAUCACGUCAAGCUCAAGAUAAAACUAAUGGGAAUAUAUAGUAGUUGAGUGAAUAAACUCUCUUAAUGGUCUUGACUAUUUUCUAAUGGUUGGCUCGGUUGCUGCAGUAUCUGCUACAGCACUGGGCAGAAUCCUUAUGCAUCCUCAGCCGUUGCAUAUUGGAUAUCUUAUAUCUAUAUGCAACCUAACAAUGAUAAGUUGUUAUGCCAACAUAAGAUAUAGCAUUACACGCUUAGGUUCUAUUUACCCUACAAGGUGAAUCCUUAUGUCUAGUUUAUCACUAAUCUUAAAUCAAGCAUGGCCCUUUUAGGACUCAAGUAAAACUCAAUCCGGGAAACUCAGUUUAAGAUCAAGUAUUGUUCUGAUAUGUUCCACUAAGAUAGGCCAUUUUACGGCUCUCUCCUAACUUGUAUCAUUAAAUGGGUGAUCAACCAAACUAAUGAAUAAAAAUAAAUACUAUCAAAACAAACUGCUACAGCAAACAUGCAACAACACAUAUAUUCAGUCAAUAAACCAUCAAGAUUGUUUAUCACUCAACCACAAAUAAAUUUAGUUCAUGGUUUGUAAAAGAAAAAUAAAGAACAAAGUUUCAGCCAUGAAAUACAUCCUCAUAAAUAAAUAGAAAACGAGAAAACAAGAUAAGAAUAAGAAAAAUUGAGCUCCCAAUUGAUUUCUGCAAAUUCUCCUCUUGUGCAGCCCUUAAUCUCUCUCUUGAAUCUUGUUUUUCUUUUGUUUCUUUAUGUUUUUCUCCUUGGGUGACGGCCCUCCUAACCCUUAUGAUGUGUGCUUCUUUUAUAGUUGAAAAUUAGGGUAAACGAAAGCCUAGGGCGCGCAUAAGUCAGAUUAGGAAACUUCAGAUCGCAAUUCUGUAAGUAUCCCGCACGAAAUUUUCUCUGUCGUUGUUCCAGGAUUGCUACAGUAACGACUGCAGCAAUGGUUGCUAUAGCAACGGCUACAGCAACUGCACUGUUCCAGAUUUGUUUCAACUCUUUUGUAGCCAUGUUCUUUCCUUAUUUUUGCAUGCUUAUUGCAUAGCAUUCCUUCCAUGAAUUAUAAGCUUCUGGAAACCUACAAUUAUGCAUACAAUUUGAGCAAAAAUUACUUUAAAUCGAGCAAAACUUAUUAAGACUGACUAAAAUGAUUAUUUAUGCAAAAUGUAACAAAAAUGCUAUAGAAACACAUAAUUUACUCUCUAAGUAGUAUUGAUUUAAGCCUAAAAGUGCCAUGAUAACUCUCAUUUCAUAGAGUUAUCAUAAAGCACAUGGCUCGCGAGUAAAAAAGGAAACAGUAAAUAGAAAAAGAAACAAUGAUAAAAUAAAAUUAUUAAAGACAAUAAUGGAAAAGAUAAAAUAACAGUGAAAUAUAAUAACAAUGAAGUAAAAGGAUAUUUACAGGUAGUUGCGACUGUGGCUCACAUCUUCCUCUGGUUUUACGUCCAGAAACGGCUGAACGCCCUCUAUGGGUCAAGGAUAGGCUUCCCAUCCAGUUUUCUUAUAAACUGGCAAACAGGGUCGUUUAUAGUCAGAUUCCCGAGACUAUAUCGUGCAUGCUCUUUCUGGAAUAAUGGCCAUAACUGGAGAAUCACUCCUUGCACAUAUCCACUAGGAUGCAUUUCAGGAGACAGAAGGAUAUCAUCCAAUGACUCCUUGUUCAAGCCAUCCCUAAUGAAUUGAAUCUUAUCUUCCCUGUUAUCAGACACCAUUCCUAAAGAACAUGGGUUUUUAUUGCAUCUCAUUCUAGCACAUUUAUGACAAGCAACAGAAAUUCUUCGAGCUUUUCGUUUUCUUGCAUAAUUUCCUUUACCACAACCAGGCAUGUAUGCAAUAAAUUUCGGAGGUAACUCACCUGCCAAUCGUACUUUAGCCUCGAUUAACCAACGGAUGUCAGCAGGUAUGUUAUUCCUCAUGAGCAAUCGCAUGCGUUCGGACCGAGCUGUAUAGAUUGUAAGGAGGGCAUUCUGAGGAAGUGAAGGGAAUCGCUUGUGAAGCUUCGCUAGAAUCUCGUUUAUAUCCAUACCUUGACCUCAGAAUAUCAGUCAUUAUGGGAAAACUGAAGUAACCGACUUGAUUGUCACGGAGUACCGUUAUCCGCCACUUCACCGGGCUAACAAACUAAAGCACACCAACAGAAAAACAAAUUAAAAUACACAAAGAAAAUUAAAAUCGUCCUCUUAUUGAAUUUACCUCAAGCUCCAACUGGAUGUUGUAGACACCUCUCUCAAUGUCUCUGAGUUGGCUUUCUAAAUCCUCAACAUAGGAUACUAACUAUGGUGAUUGCAGAGCCCAAAUACGAUGUGUCUUACAAAAUCGAAUCUGUCUUUUGAGAUGAGAUUUUACACGUUGAAGUGGUUUAAGAAUGUUCAGGAGGAACUGUUUAGCUAUAACACUCAUGAUAAGAGAAAACUUAAUGGUUAAACAAACACACUUAUGCAAAAAAAAUUUCAAUUAGCAAAGGAAUAAUAAAAAGAAAGAAAAAAAAUUAAAUCACCGAAAAGAAAGAAAAACUCAAUUCAAAUCUGGUGGGUCACUCAAAUUUAUUUCAAUGUCCUCUCCAUAUAGUUGGUACUCUAGAUAUGGCUUUAAUCUUUGACCAUUAACUUUAAAUGUGACACUGUUCUUUGGGUCCUUAAUUUCAAUUGCCCCAUGUGGAAAAACAGUAUGAACAAUAAAGGGACCAGACCAUCGAGAGCGUAACUUACCUGGGAAUAAGUGCAAACGAGAAUUGAAUAAAAGCACUUUCUGACCUGGAGUGAACGAUUUUCUCAUAAUUUGCUGUCAUGGAAGACUUUCAUUUGUUGCUUGUAAAUCUUGGCAUUUUCGUAUGCAUCAUUGCAAAUUUCUUCAAGUUCUGCCAGUUGUAAUAUUCUUUCUGAGCUAGCUUGCUGCAUGUCAAAGUUGAAUUUCUUGAUGACCCAAUAUGCACGAUGCUCGAGUUCUACAGGUAGGUGGCAAGCUUUUCAUACACUAGCCUGUAGGGUGACAUCCCAAUCGGAGUCUUGAAAGCCGUUCUAUAUGCCCAUAAUGCAUCAUCAAGUCUUAAUGAUCAAUCUUUUAUGUCCGGCUUCACCGUCUUUUCUAAUAUGUGCUUUAUUUCUCGAUUGGAGAUUUCAACUUGGCCACUGGUUUGCGGAUGAUAUGGGGUCGCCACUUUGUGAGUGAUGGAAUACUUUGUCAAAAGAGCUUUGAAUGCUUUGUUACAAAAGUGGGCACCACCAUCACUGAUUAUUGCUCGAGGGAAUCCAAAGCGCGAAACAAUGUUGCUUUUCAAAAAUCCUAUCACCACCUUGUGAUCAUUGGUUCUGCAUGGAAUUGCUUCUACCCAUUUCGAUACAUAGUCAACAGCAACCAAUAUGUAUUGAUGGCCAAAAGAAGGGGGAAAGGGUCCCAUGAAGUCGAUACCCCAUACGUAAAAAAUCUCAACUACUAAAAUUGGAUUUAGUGGCAUCAUAUUCCUUCGCGUAAUGCUUCCCAUUCGUUGACACCUAUCAUAUGAAGAACAAAAAGUGUAAGCGUCUCGAAAUAUAGUUGGCCAAUAGAAACCACAUUGUAAAACUUUAGCCGCUGUUUUCUUAGCACUAAAAUGGCCUCCACAAGCUUGUUCAUGGCAGAAUGAAAGAAUAUUAUGAAUUUCUCUUUCUGGGAAACAUCGUCUAACAAUUUGAUCUGCAUAAUAUUUGAAAAAAUACGGGUCAUCCCAAAAGAAAUUUUUUAUUUCUGCAAAAAAUUUGGCUUUAUCUUACUUGGUCCAAUGCUCUGAAAGUUGACCUGUAACAAGAUAAUUAACUAUAUCAGCACACCAAGGUAAUACUUCCACACUCAUUAAUUGUUCAUUUGGAAAUGACUCAUUCAAUGUUAAUGGCUCUGUAAUUGUGUCAAAAUGGAGACGAGAGAGAUGGUCUGCCACAACAUUUUCUGUGCCUUUCUUAUCUUUAAAUUUCAAGUCGAACUCCUGCAAAAGUAACAUCCAACGAAUUAGUCUAGCUUUUGCAUCUUUUUUUGUGAGAAGAUAUUUAAGAGCAGCAUGAUCUGUGAACACAAUUAUUUUACAACCAAUGAGAUAAGAUCAAAAUUUCUCUAAUGCAAACAUUACUGCUAGCAUUUCUUUUUCAAUAGUUGAAUAGUUCAACUGUGCAUUAUUCAAUGUCAUACUAGCAUAGUAAAUAACAUGGGGAAUUCGAUUAACUCUUUGUCCUAAUACUGCUCCUACUGCAUAAUCAGAUGCAUCACACAUGAGCUCGAAUGGUAAGCUCCAAUUUGGGGGUUGAAUGAUGGGUGAUGAUGUCAACAAUUGCUUUAAUUUUUCAAAAGCCACAAGACAUGAAUCAUUAAAGAUAAAAGGUACAUCUUUAGCAAGUAGAUUGCAUAAGGGUCUAGAAACUUUGCUAAAAUCUUUAAUGAAACGUCUAUAAAACCAGCAUGCCCAAGGAAAGAUCUUACUUCUCUGACUGUUUUGGGUGGAGGAAAAUUAGAAAUGAGAUCCACCUUGGCUUUAUCAACUUCAAUACCUUUGCUCGAAAUGAUGUGACCGAGAACAAUACCUUGUUUUACCAUAAAAUGGCACUUCUCCCAAUUUAAGACUAAGUUCUUCUCGAUACAUCUUUGUAGAACUAGUGUUAGAUGAUGUAAACAUUGAUCAAAUGAAUCACUAAAAAUAGAAAAGUCAUCCAUAAAGACUUCAAGGAAUCAUUUAACCAUAUAAAAAAAAAUGCUCAACAUGCAUCGUUGAAAUGUAGCAGGUGCAUUACAUAAUCCAAAUGACAUUCUCUUAUAUGCAAAAGUGCCAAAAGGGCAAGUGAAAGUAGUUUUCUCUUGAUCUUUUGGUGUUAUGGGAAUCUGAUAUAUCCUAAGUAGCCAUCUAGAAAGUAAUAAAAUUCAUGGCCUGCUAAUCUAUCAAGCAUUUGAUCGAUAAAUGGUAAAGGAAAAUGGCCUUUACGUGUGACAGAAUUCAACUUUCUAUAAUCAAUGCAAACACGCCAUCAUGUAGUCACUCUAGUGGGUAUCAAUUCAUUAUCAGCAUUCAUAACUACUGUCACUCCUGACUUUUUGGGGACAACUUGUACAGGACUGACCCAAGAACUAUCAGAAAUGGGGUAAAUAAUACCUGCAUCUAAUAGCUUAAGAACUUCAGUUCUAACAACUUCUUUCAUAUUAAGAUUUAAUCGACGUUGCAUUUCCCUAGUAGGUUUAGCAUUUUCAUCAAGGUGAAUGUAAUGCAUGCAGUCUACUAGGUUUAUACCUUUUAUGUCCGCUAUGGUCCAUCCUAAUGCUCCUUUGUGCUCUUUUAAAAUAUGCAACAACUUACCUUUUUAUUCGUUAUUUAGGGAUGAUGAGAUGAUUACCGGCAAAGUACUUUCUUCUCCCAAAAAUGCAUAUUCCAGAGUGUUGGGCAAUGGUUUCAGCUCGAGUUUCGGUGGUGAUUCUGAUGAUGGGAUGAGUUUCUUCUCUGAUGGUGCUAGUUGUUCAACUCUUGACUUCCAUUUAUUAGUGUCCAUGGAUGGUGCUGAGUCAAGUAGAGCGUUGACCUCAUCGACUGAUCUGUCAAUAUCAAAAUCAAAACCAAAGUGAGUUAAACAUGUUUGUAAAGGAUCAUCACUAAGGUUUGAAAGAAAAUUGUCAUCAACUAAUGCUUCAAUUAAAUCUACAUCAACAAUUCCAUCAUCUGCAUUGUGAGGUUGUUUGGCAAUGUUGAAAAUGUUCAGCUCCAUAGUCAUGUUGCCAAAGGACAAUUGCAUAUUUCCAGUUCUGCAUUGAAUGUGAGCAUCGGCAGUUGCCAAGAAAGGCCGGCCUAGAAUAAUGGGGAUGUGCUUCCUUGAAUCCUGUAUUGGUUGAGUGUCAAUUACAAUGAAAUCAACAGGAAAAUAAAACUUGUCUACCUGGAUAAGCACGUCCUCCACAAUACCACGAGGUAUUUUUGUGGACCGAUCUGCAAGCUGCAACACCACUGGAGUUGGGUGUAAUUCUCCCAGUCCAAGUUUUACGAAUACAGAGUAAGGCAACAAAUUUACACUAGCUCCUAAAUCCAACAAAGCAUUCUUAAUUGUGUGGUUCCCUAUACUACAUGAGAUAGUGGGGGAGCCCGGGUCUUUGCAUUUUAGAGGAAUUUUGUGUUGGAGUAUAGAACUAACAUUUUCUGUUAAAAAUGCCUUCUUUUGAACAUGAAUAUUUCUCUUUUUAGUACAAAGGUCUUUAAGAAACUUGGCAUAAGAUGGAACUUGCUUUAUAGCAUCAAGUAAAGGGAUGUUAACACUUACCUGUUUGAAGAUUUCAAGAAUCUCACCUGUGGAUUUUCCCUUAUUUCCUUUAGCUAACCUCCGAGGAAAUGGAGCUUUGGGAACAUAUUCUCGUGGGUUGGUUUCUUCUUUCUCUUCCGAUGGUGAGUCCUCAACAUUCACAGGUACAAUUUGAUUUUCUUUUGUUACCGGCAUCUCUACUUUGUUGUCGACUUCUUUUCCUUUUCACAAGGUCGUGACUGCUUUGACCUCUCCAUGCUGCUGUGGUGAACUGGUACUUGCUUCAUGCACUCCUUUAGGAUUAGGCACUGGUUGACUUGGAAACUUACCUUUCUCAACAGUCAUUGCCAAGGUCUGAACUGAAGAAGCAAGUUGUCCCACCAUCUUCUCGAGGCUUGACACUGAUUUGGCUUGUGAGUUGAAGCAUGCUCUCAACUCAUUUCGUAGUCCAUCAAUGGUGCGGCUCUGUUGCUCAAUCGUGGAGUAAGUAAGAUUCUUGAGAUUGUGGAAUGAAUCCUCCCAUGGUCUGGGUUGACAGUAGUUCUGGUUCUGAUUGUAAAGUCUAAAUGGUGGUUAAGAGGCUUGAGGAAUUGGUUGCAUUGGUGGAGCUGGAGCUGCUGGUCCAUUCUGUUGGAAUCCUUGAGACCAUGAAAAAUUGGGGUAGUCUCUCUAUCCAGGGUUAUAUGUGUUGGAGUAUGGGUUGUAAUUCGAUGAUUUUCUCAUUACACCUGUGGCAUUGGCUUGAUCUGAGUAUGACUCAUGGUCAUGUGGCUCUGUUGAUUUAGCAGUCGAUAACGAUACUAUUUGUCGAGCGAGACCUUCAACCAUCUCCUUGACUUCUUUGAUUCCCGAAGUUGACUCGCCAAUGUGAACCUCAUUCACUCAUUUAAUUCUUUUAGUAUUCCUGAGCGAUUGACUCCAUUGUUGGGAAUUAUCCGCUUGUCACUGGAAAAAUUCCCAAAUCUCUGAUGCACUUUUUGACAUUAGCUCUCCUCCACUUGUUGCCAUUAGCCAUUCUUGCACAUUCGGCAAUAAUCCCUCCAAAAAUAUUGGCAUUGGUGCCAUUUCUGGUACCCAUGAUGUGGACACUUCAAGAGUAGCCCAUUGAAUCGCUCCCAUGUUUUGAAAAACUGCUCAUCUUCUCUUUGGGUAAACUCUGAGAUUUCCCUGCGAAUAACAUUGGUUUUAUGCACUGGGAAAUAUUUAUUCAAAAAUUUUGUUACCAUUUGUUCCCAUGAUGUGAUACUAUUAGCAGGCAAUGUAUUGAGCCAUGAACGAGCUCUAUCCUUUAAAGAAAAUGGGAAUAAUCUAAGUUUAACAUCAUCAUCUGAAAAAUUCUCAUAUCUAAAUGUUUGACAAACAGCAUGAAAAUCAUUCAAAUGAUUAUAUGGGUCCUCAUUUUCUAAGCCAUAGAAUUUGGGGAGACAAUUUAGCACACUGUGUUUUAGUUCAAAACUCCUAGCAGCUACAUUUGGGUAUCUUAUACAUGAUGUACUCAAAUUAGCUAAGGGACUAAAAUAGUCCUUAAAUGGCCUCUCCUGUGGUGCUUGUAAAUCCAUUCCUAAUUUAUUUUUAACGUGCUUGUGUGUGCGAAGUGUUUUUUCUAGUUCAAGGUCUAUAGGUUCAAAAUUAGGUAAUAAUGACCUACAACCAUGCAUGCAAAAAACACAAAAAUAAAUGGGAACAAAACAAAUAAAAAUAAAGAAGAAGCAGAAAUUACGUUACUAACCUUAUCACGCUGUUAAAACCUUUCUAUAAAAAUACAUAAAAACAAAUACGUGAAAUAAAUUAACUAAAAAUAAAUUAAGAAGAUAAACAAAAAAAAUUUACAAAGAAAAAUAAAUUGAAAAUUAAAUUACAGAAUUUUAAAGAAGAGGAAAAGGAAAGAAAUACUAACAUUUAAAUGUAGAUUUUUUUUCUUUUUUUUUUUUAAAGAAAAAAAAUACAAGAAAACAAUUAAAUGGAAUUAUUCACAAAAAUUAAUUCUAUGAAUUAAAAUUACUUAACUCCCCGGCAACGGCGCCAAAAACUUGUGCAAAUUUUAUUGAACUCGCAAGUGCACGAAUCUAUUGUAGAAUAGAUCAAUGGUGACGAGUGUCGAUCCCACAAGGAGGUGGAUUUUAAUUAUAUAUAGAAUUAAUUUUGUAUGAGGGUGGUUGGAUUUGUGGUGAAAAUGAUUUGGAUUAUCCUAAAAUUAGAAUUUAAAUGGCCAGAAUAAAUUGAAUAGAAAUCUAUUAAAAUGACGUAGUUGGGUAUCUGGAUCCGUAUCAACAUGCAUCAUAAGCUAAAUAUUCCUUAUUAAUACCAAUUAAAUCAUGAGGGGGGAAUCCACACCUCAUGAACCACACUCUAAUCAAUAUGGUGGUAAGGGCUUAUCGUGCCAAAUAAUAAUAACCUUGUACUAGAGAGCCGGUGAAACCAAGGUGGUAUCUAGACAAGAUUAUUAUUAUUUGUCGACGAGAAGUCAAAACAUCCACAAAAAUUAGAGGGGAAAAGAAAAUAAAUUUACCAAAUAAAGCCCAUGACACAUAUUGAGACUUCACCUUCAACCCAAGCUUGAAAGAAAAUUAGCUACUCAUAAUUGAACUAGGGGCAAAAUGGGAAUUUAUUAAAAUAUGUAGAAAAUACAAGAUGGAGAAGGAAUUACAGAAAAUAGAUCCCAAAAAUGGAUUCAGAGAUAUCAAAUUAGGGGGGGAGAGCCCCCUUUUUAUAGAUACAUUGAGUAAAUCAUGGCCAUCGGAUCAAAAACAUUUCGGACGCUCAGGAUUGCGCCACGUCAUCAGUCAAUAGUACGCGGUUUGACCACGUGGUUUAAACAGUAACACAGUUUGACCCGGGUUGAACAGUUACUCGGUUUGGUUGAAAAUAAUCCUGUGUAAUGCAUGUACCGUACGCGAGAUUUUUGGUCCACUGAUAUGCUGCCACGUCAUCGAUCAACAGUGCAUAAGAAUUUUAGUCCAACAGGAUCGUGACACCUCAUAAGUCAAUGCCACAUCAUUGGUCAAUGCCACAUCAUUGGUCAAUGCCACGUCAUUGAUCCGUCUAUGUGAACAGUGUUGUGAAUAGUAACGUAGACAGUACCGUACAUGUGAACAAUGUCAUUUUUCCUUUUAUGCUCCUCCUAAGGUUUCGACCGUCCUGAGUUCAAAAGUGAUGUCCAUUUUGCCGUCUGAUCUCUUGUUCAUUAUGAAAUGACUAUGAUGCCCCUAAAAUGUAUAAAAUACUUAAUUAAAAUAAAACACACAUAAUUAAAUCACAAGAAGGUUAAAUACAAAAAAGUAAGGGUGUUAGUAAAACUUGAAGUGUAAAAUGACGAUUUUCUCUUCAUAAAUAUACAUUUUUUAACACUCAACAAAAACCUUAGGAGUAUAAAAGGAAAAAUGGCACUAUUCACAUGUACCGUACUAUCCAUGUUACUGUUCAUGAUACUGUUCACAUAGACGGAACGAUGACGUGACAUUGACCGAUGAUGUGGCGUUGACUGAUGAGGUGUCACGAUUCCAUUGGAGAAAAUUCUUAUGCACAGUUGAUCAGUGACGUGACAGCAUAUUAGUGGACCAAAAAUCACGCGUACAGUACAUGCAUAUACACAGGAUUAUUUUCAACCAAACCGCGUCACUGUUCAAGCCGGUUGACUGUUCAAACCGCGUGGUCAAACUGUGUCACUGUUCAAGCCGCGUACUGUUGACUGAUGACGUGGCGCAAUCUUGAGCGUCCAAACUGUUUUUAAUCCGAUGACCAUGAUUUACUCAAUGUAUCUAUAAAAAGGGGGCUCUCCCCUCCUAAUUUGAUAUCUCUGAAUCCAUUUUUGGGAUCCAUUUUCUGUAAUUCCUUCUCCAUCUUGUAUUUUCUACGUAUUUUAAUAAAUUUAUAUUUUGCCCCUAGUUCAAUUAUGAGUAGCUAAUUUUGUUUCAAGCUUGGGUUGAAGGUGAAGUCUCAACAUGUCCCAUGGGCUUUAUUUGGUAAAUUUAUUUUCUCUUCCCCUCUAAUUUUUGUGGAUGUUUUGACUUUUCGUCGACAAAUAAUAAUAACAUUGUCUAGAUACCGCCCUGGUUUCACCGGCUCCCUAGUACAAGGUUAUUAUUAUUUGGCAUGAUAAGCGCUUAGCACCAUAUUUAUUAGAGUAUGGUUCAUGAGAUGUGGAUACCCCCCUCAUGAUUUAAUUGGCACUAAUAAGGAAUAUUUAGCUCAUGGUGCAUGUUGAUACAGAUCCAUAUACCCAAGUGUCGCAUUUCAAUAGAAUUCGCUUCAAUUUAUUCUCGCCAUUUUAAUUCAAAUUUUAGGAUAAUCUAAGUUACUUUCACCACAAAUCCAACCACCCAUUUAGAAAAUUAAUUCUACACUUAAUUAAAAUCCACCUCCUCGUGGGAUCGACACUCGUCACCAUUGAUCUAUACUACCAUAGAUUCGUGCACUUGCAAGUUCAAUAAAAUUUGCACAACAAGUUUUUGGCGCCGUUGCCGGAGAGGUAAGUUAUUUUAAUUCGUAGAAUUAAUUUUUAUAAAUAAUUUCUUUUAAUUGUUUUCUUGUAAUUUUUCUUUUUUGAAAAAAAAAGAAAAAAAAGUGAAUCUACAAGAAUUUCUUUUUUUUUCUCUUCUUUAAAAUUCUGUAAUUUAAUUUUCAAUUUAUUUUUUUUGUAAUUUUUGUUUAUCUUAUUAAUUUAUUUUUAGUUAAUUUAUUUCACGUAUCUUUUUUAGUAAGUUUGUAACAGCGUGAUAAGGUUAGUACCGUAAUUUCUCCUUCUUGUUUAUUUUUAUGAAUUUUGUUCUCAUUUUUUUGUAGUCAUUGCAUGCAUGGUCGAAGGUCAUUAUUACCUAAUUUUUAGCCUAUAGACCUUGAACUUGAAAAAACACUUCGCACACACAAACACGUUGUAAUUAAGGAUAAAAGUGAAAUGGAUUUGCAACAACAACAAGCACCAUCAGAGAGGCCAUUUAAGGACUUUUUCAGUCCCUUAGCUAAUUUGAGCACAUCAUGCAUAAGAUACCCAAAUGUAGCUGCUAGGAGUUUUGAUUAUAGAAAAUUGAAUUCUGUCACACGUAAAGACCAUUUUCCUUUAUCAUUUAUUGAUCAAAUGCUUGAUAGAUUAGCAGGUCAUGAAUUUUAUUGCUUUCUAGAUGGCUACUCAGGAUACAAUCAGAUCCCCAUAGCACCAAAAGAUCAGGAGAAAACUACUUUCACUUGCCCUUUUGGCACAUUUGCAUAUAGGAGAAUGCCAUUUGGAUUAUGCAAUUCACCUGCUACAUUUCAACGAUGCAUGUUGAGCAUUUUUUCUAAUAUGGUUGAACGAUUCCUUGAAGUCUUUAUGGAUGACUUUUAUGUCUUUGGUGAUUCAUUUGAUCAAUGUUUCCAUCAUCUAACACUAGUUCUGCAGAGAUGUAUCGAGAAGAACAUAGUCUUAAAUUGGAAGAAGUGCUAUUUUAUGGUAAAACAAGGUAUUGUUCUCAGUCACAUCAUUUCGAGCAAAGGUAUUGAGGUUGACAAAGCAAAGGUGGAUCUCAUUUCCAAUCUUUCUCCACCUAAAACAGUCAGAGAAGUAAGAUCUUUCUUUGGGCAUGCUGGUUUUUAUUGACGUUUCAUUAAAGAGUUUAGCAAAGUUUCUAAACCCUUUUGCAAUCUACUUGCUAAGGAUGUACCUUUUAUCUUUGAUGAUUCAUGUCUUGUGGCAUUUGAAAAACUAAAGCAGUUGUUGACAUUAUCACCUAUCAUUCAGCCCCCAAACUGGAGCUUACCAUUUGAGCUCAUGUGUGAUGCAGUAGGAGCAGUUUUAGGACAAAAAGUUUAUCGAAUUCCUCAUGUUAUUUACUAUACUAGUAUGACAUUGAAUGAUGCACAGUUGAACUAUUCAGCUACUGAAAAAGAAAUGCUAGCAGUAGUAUUUGCAUUAGAAAAAUUUCGAUCUUAUUUCAUUGGUUGUAAAAUAAUUGUAUUCACAGAUCAUGCUGCUCUUAAAUAUCUUCUUCCAAAGAAAGAUACAAAAGCUAGACUAAUUCAUUGGGUGUUACUUUUGCAAGAAUUUGACUUGGAAUUUAAAGAUAAGAAAGGCACAAAAAAUAUUGUGGCUGACCAUCUCUCUCGUCUCCAUUUUGACACAAUUACAGAACCAUUAACAUUGAAUGAGUCAUUUCCCGAUGAACAAUUAAUGAGUGUGGAAGUAUUACCGUGGUAUGCUGAUAUAGUUAAUUAUCUUGUUAUAGGUCAACUUUCUGAGUAUUGGACUAAGCAAGACAAGGCCAAAUUUUUUGCAGAAAUAAAGAAUUUCUUUUGGGAUGACCCUUAUUUGUUCAAGUAUUGUGCUGAUCAAAUUGUUAGACGAUGUGUCCCAGAAAAUGAAAUUCAGAAUAUUCUUUCAUUCUGCCAUGAACAAGCUUGUGAAGGCCAUUUCAGUGCUAAGAAUACAGCAACUAAAGUUUUACAAUGUGGUUUCUAUUGACCAACUAUAUUUCGAGACGCUUACACUUUCUGUUCUUCAUGUGAUAGGUGUCAACGAAUGGAGAGCAUUACACGAAGGAACAUGAUGCCACUAAAUCCAAUUUUAGUGGUUGAGAUUUUUGACGUAUGGGGUAUCGACUUCAUGGGACCAUUUCCCCCUUUUUUGGCCAUUAAUAAAUAUUGGUUGCUGUUGACUACGUAUCGAAAUGGGUAGAAGUAAUUUCAUGUAGAACCAAUUAUCACAAGGUGGUGAUAGGAUUUUUGAAAAGUAACAUUGUUUCACGCUUUGGAUUCCCUCGAGCGAUAAUCAGUGAUGGUGGUGCCCACUUUUGUAACAAAGCAUUCAAAACUCUUUUGACAAAGUAUUCAAUCACUCACAAAGUGGCGACCCCAUAUCAUCCGCAAACCAGUGGCCAAGUUAAGAUCUCUAAUCGAGAAAUAAAGCACAUAUUAGAAAAGACGGUGAGGCCAGACAGAAAAGAUUGAUAAUGCAUUAUGGGCAUAUAGAACGGCUUUCAAGACCUCGAUUGGGAUGUCACCCUACAGGCUAGUUUAUGGAAAAGCUUACCACUUACCUGUGGAACUCGAGCAUCAUACAUAUUAGGCCAUCAAGAAAUUCAACUUUAACAUGUAGCAAGUCAGCUCAGAAAGAAGAUUACAACUGGCAGAACUUGAAGAAAUCCGCAAUGAUGCAUAUGAAAAUGCCAAGAUUUACAAGCAGCGAAUGAAAGUCUUUCAUGACAAGCAAAUUAUGAGAAAAUUAUUCACUCCAGGUCAUAAAGUGUUUUUAUUCAAUUCUCGCUUGCACAUAUUCCCAGGUAAGUUACGCUCUCGAUGGUCUGGCCCCUUUAUUGUUCAUACUGUUUUUCCACAUGAGGCAAUUGAAAUUAAGGACCCAAAGAACGGUGUCACGUUUAAAGUUAAUGGUCAAAGAUUAAAGCCAUAUCUAGAGUACCAACCAUAUGGAAAGGACACCGAAAUAAAUUUGAGUGACCCACCAGAUUUGAAUUGAGUUUUUUUUUCUUACUUUUCGGUGAUUUGAUUUUUUUUUCUUUCUUUUUAUUAUUCUUUUGCUAUUUUUCCAUAAGUGUGUUUGUUUAACCAUUAAGCUUUCUCUUAUCAUUGUUAAUCAUGAGUGCCAUAGCUAAACAGUUCCUCUUGGACAUUCUUAGACCGCUUCAACAUGUAAAAUCUCAUCUUAAAAAACAGAUUCAAUUUUGUAAAACAUAUCGUAUUUGGGCUCUGCAACCACCAAAGUUAGUAUCCUAUGUUGAGGAUUUAGAAAGCCAACUCAGAGACGUUGAAAGAAGUGUCUACAAUAUCCAGUUGGCGCUUGAGGUAAAUUCAAUAAGAGGACGAUUAUAAUUUUCUUUAUGUGUUUUAUUUUGUUUUUGUUUGUUUGUGUGCUUUAGUUUGUUACCCCGGUAAAGUGGCGGAUAACAGCACUCCGUGACAAUCAAGUCGAUUACUUCAGUUUCUCAUAAUAACUGAUAUUCUGAGGCGAAGGUAUGGAUAGAAAUGAGAUCCUAGCAAAGCUUCACAAUCGAUUCCCUUCACUUCCUCAGAAUGCCCUCCUUACAAUCUAUAAAGCUCGGUCCGAACGCAGGCAAUUGCUCAUGAGGAAUAACAUACCUGCUGACAUCUGUUGGUUAAUCAAGGCUAAAGUACGAUUGGCAGGUGAGUUACCUCCAAAAUUUAUUGCAUACAUGCCUGGUUGUGGUAAAGGAAAUUAUGCAAGAAAAUGAAGAGCUCGAAGAAUUUCUGUUGCUUGUCAUAAAUGUACCAGAAUGAGAUGCAAUAAAAACUCAUAUUCUUUAGGAAUGAUGUCCGAUAACAGGGAAGAUAAGAUUCAAUUCAUCAGGGAUGGCUUGAAUAAGAAGUCAUUGGAUGAUAUCAUUUUGUCUCUUGAAAUGCAUCCCAGUGGAUAUGUGCAAGGACGAUAUAAUCUCAGGAAUCUGACUAUAAAUGACCCUAUUUGCCAGUUUAUAAGAAAACUGGAUGGGAAGCCUAUCCUCAACCCAUAGAGGGCAUUCAAGCCGUUUCUGGACGUAAAACCAGAGGAAGAUGUGAGCUACAAUCGCAACUACCUGUAAAUAUCCUUUUACUUCACUGUUAUUUUAUUUCAUUGUUGUUUUAUCAUUUGCAUUAUUGUCUUUAAUAAUUUUAUUUUACCAUUGUUUCUUUUUCUUUUUACUGUUUCCUUUUUGACUCACGAGCCAUGUGCUUUACGCGUUAUUUGACACUGACAUGCCACCUCAUACACAGUUAUGACUCACUGUCACCAAGAUUCUUAAAUAUGACUUUUUGUUAAGCACUCACAAAUUGUUUUUGAGAAAUAUUCCAAUGGCAGCUACUCCCAAUAGACAAUUCAAGAACAUUUGUGUGCUUUCUAGAUUUAACUAUGGCAAACAUAAAGAGUUCGUUGAGGCAGCCAUAAAUCUUGGUCGAAGGAUAGCAGAGAGAAAAUUACACUUAGUGUAUGGAGGAGGUAACUGAGGGUUAUCAAAAUUGGUCUCAAAAGCUACUUUUGUCAGAGGAAGCUGUUGUGCAAAUUUUAAUGUACUCGCAAGCGCACGAAUCUAUUGUAGUAUAGAUUAAUGGUGACGAGUGUCGAUCCCACGAGGAGGUGGAUUUUAAUUAUAUGUAGAAUUAAUUUUGUAAAUGGGUGGUUGAAAUUGUGGUGGAAGUGAUUUAAAUUAUCCUAAAAUUGGAAUUGAGAUUCUAAAAUUGGAAUUGCAACGGCGAAAAUAAAUUGAAGCGAAAUCUAUUGAAAUGACGUACUUGGGUAUCUGGAUCCGUAUCAACAUGCAUCAUGGGCUAAAUAAUCCGUAUUAAUGCCAAUUAAAUCAUGAGGGUGGAAUCCACACCUCAUGAACCACGCUCUAAUCAAUAUGGUGCUAAGGGCUUAUCGUGCCAAAUAAUAAUAACCUUGUACCAGAGGGCCGGUGAAACCAAGGCGGUAUUAGACAAGAUUAGUAUUAUUUGUCGACGAAAAGUCAAAACAUCCACAAAAACUAGAGGGGAAGAGAAAAUAAAUUUACCAAAUAAAACCCAUGACACAUGUUGAGACUUCACCUUCAACCCAAGCUUGAAAGAAAAUUAGCUACUCAUAAUUGAACUAGGGGCAAAAUGGAAAUUUAUUAAAAUACGAAGAAAAUACAAGAUGGAGAGGGAAUUACAGAAAAUGGAGUCCAAAAAUGGAUUCAGAGGUAUCAAAUUAGGGGGGAGAGGCCCCCUUUUUAUAGAUACAUGGAGUAAAUCAUGUCCAUCGGAUUAAAAACAAUUUGGACGCUCAGGAUUGCGCCACGUCAUCAGUCAACAGUCCACGGUUUGACCACGCGGAUGAACAGUAACACGGUUUGACCCGGAUGAAUAGUAACACGGUUUGGUUGAAAAUAAUCCUGUGUGAUGCAUGCGCCGUACGCGAGAUUUUUCGUCCACUGAUAUGCUGCCACGUCACCAUCAACAGUACAUAAGAAUUUUAGUCCAACAGGAUCGUGACACCUCAUCAGUCAAUGCCACAUCAUCGGUCAAUGCCACGUCAUCGAUCCGUCUAUGUGAACAGUGCCGUGAACAGUAACGUAUACAGUCCCGUAUACGUGAAUACUAUCGUACAUGUGAAUAGUGUCAUUUUUCCUUUUAUGCUCCUUCUAACGUUUUCGACCGUCCUGAGUUCAAAAGUGAUGUCCGUUUUGCCGUCUGAUCUCUCCUUUAUUGUGAAAUAACUAUAAUGCCCCUAAAAUACAUAAAUUACUUAAUUAAAAUAAAACACACGUAAUUAAAUCACAAGAAUGUUAAAUACAUAAAAGUAAGGGUUGUUAGUAAGACUUGAAAUGUAAAAUGACGGUUUUCUCCUUUAUAAAUAUGCAUUUUCUAACACUCAACACACCCCCCAACCAGCUUAUUGCUAGUCCCUAGCAAAUAAAGCAAAAACAAAAUUCAAAUUCAAAAUGAUUUUUUUUUUUGAAGCACUCGUAUUUAUUCAAUCAGAUUAAUGAUAGCAAUCAAAUAAAAGUAUAAGCAUUAUCUCCAGUCUAAAGAAAUAUCACACCCAUAUUAACCAUCCACAUGAAUCAGCCCAGUAGACUUUGUUAUAUCUGCUUUCAAGAAUGACAUGUCAAACCCCAAAAUCUCACUGGAAGUGGUGACACUCUCACAAUUAAAUAAACCCACUAAAAAUAGUCACUCUAAUGAAUAGUAAUUGAGAGAGAAAAUAAUAAAGAAGUGAUAUCACAUGCUCUCACCAAGAUGAAAUAAAUAUGCCCUCAGCUUAGAAAUAAUACGAUCUCAAGUCAAACAAAAAUGCUAGUCAACCCACUUUAUUUAUCCUUUUUUUUUAUUAUGCAUCACUACAUCUUUUUAGCCCAUAUAACUAGCUUCUACUUCAAACUAUAGUUCCCUAAAAUCAAGAAGGACUUUUAUUAGGACGUAACAUAGGCUAGGGACAUGGCUAACAAAGAAGGGAAAUAAAGAAAACAAAGUGUAUGUUUGAGAAAAAUGCAGAGAAUUUUUUUUUUUUUUUGGAAGUUGCAAGGUGGAUUUCACCUAUUAUUUUUAUUUUUUUUCUUUUGAAACAACAACUUUUGUUUUUUUGUUUUUUUUUUGGCAUAACUUUACUGAACAACAUAAUUAUUUACAUUUUCUCAAACAUAAAUAGGUGAUGGAACUUAUAAGACAUUAGGUAAUAUUCCAAAUUGGAGUGGGUCAGGAUGAUAAGUUGACAAAGAAAAAGGUUUUUUUUUUUUUAAAGGCUCAAAAGGGUUAACUAUGGAUAUUUAAUAAAAGGGAUGGCUAGAAAGGCUCAAACGGAUCAAAGAUGGCCUUUCUAUCGUCUUUUAGAGCUCUAAAUAAUCAUCCAUAUCUACUAGUUAGAUGGGCCUCCAAAUGUAGCAACACACAUUUUUUUCUUCUUUUUUUUUCUUUUUUUUUUAAUUUUACAUUUUUUUUAAGGGUUAACUCAAAAGAAAUAUAGAGAUCGUGUAUACAAUAAUAAACUGUUAAGCUGUAUAAAGAAUGGGCAAAAGGGUUACUCUCCAAGAAAAAUGAUAGGCUCAAAAGCUCACUUGCUACUUAUUAUGACAUGUUCAUUCCUUCAAGCAACUCAUAUUUGUCUCCAACAUCAACAUGUAGAGUAGCAAACAUAAUGUAACAUCACUUAAGACCAAAGAUAAUACAAAUACUAAAAUUUGAAAUUAAUCAUGUCAUCCAAUGUUAAAACAAACCACACAAUUUUUUUUUUAAACAACAUUCUACCCCCCAACCUAUUCUAAACAUAAAAGAAAAAUAUGCAUCCAGAAAUGUGAAAAUGAUAUAGAAAAAUUAAUUAGAAAAGUUACACUUAAAAUGAUAGAAAAAGAAAAUGAUUUUUUUUUUAAAGAAUAUGCGUUUCUUGAGGCACUACACUCCAUAUUCAGCCAUCUUCGACUCAAAAGUUGGAAAAUGUAUAUUUAUAGAGGAGAAAAUAAAAAGAAGAAGAAAAAUAAACAUAAAAAUAGAAUAACGAAAAAGAAAAUGUCUGAAUUUUUUUUUUUAGUUUUUUAAUUUUUUUUAAACGAUGAAGAUGCGUUUCUAGAGUCACUACACUCCAUAUUCAGCCAUCUUCAACACAAAAAGUUAGCAACAGUUAGUUUCUACAACAAAAAAUUAGUAAAAACUUAACCAAAAUUCCAUAAUUGUCGACUAUUCCCUCCCCCCCAACCAAAACGAAACAUUGUCCUCAAUGUUUGAAAGGAAAGAAGUAGAGUUUAGAAGACAUCACCUGGGUGGUGCAAUAUUUACAAGCGGAGAGUUAAAUCUAAUUUGUACUUCUUACUGCAGCUACUGUUACCAUCAUUAUUUGGAUGCUCCAACACAAAGGUCCAGGGGUCUGGCUCUGGUCUAUAAGCUUGUAACAUAUCAAGUAGCUCAUUAGCAGUGUGAGCACAAAUAAAGAGUUUUUUCGCAUUAGAAGGAAUGAAAUAGUUUUUUAUUGCAUGGUUAAGAAAUGCGAUAAAGCCAUCAUAAAAGUUAUUGACAUUUAACAAACCGAUGGGUUUCUGGUGGAUGUGCAGAUGGGCCCAAGAUGCUAGUGUGAUAAGUGCCUCUAGUGUUGCAAGAUCUCCUGGAAGGAAAAUAAAAGCAUCAGCAUGAUUAAGCAUUUCAGUUAUUCUUUCUUGCAUACUUGAGACGACUAACUCUUCUCCAGUUGAUGAGUCAGACGAACUGCCCAAAGGUUUUAGGGCUCUUGGGAUGAUGCCUAACACUUGGCUGCCUCUGAUAAAAGCUGCUUCUGAGACCAUUUUUGAUAACCCUCGAUUACCUCCUCCAUACACCAAGUGUAAUUUUCUCGCUGCUAUGCUGCGACCAAGAUCUAUGGCUGCCUCAACGAACUCUUUAUGUUUUCCAUAUGUAAAUCCAGAAAGCACACAAAUGUUCUUGAAUUGUCUAUUUGGAGUAGCUGCCAUUGGGAUACUUCUCAAAAAACAAUUUGUGAGUGCUUGACAAAAAAAUUCACAUUUAAGAGUCUUGGUGACAAUGGGUCACAGUUGUGUAUGAGGUAACAUGUCAGUGCCAAAUAACGUGUAAAGCACGUGGCUCGCGAGUCAAAAAGGAAACAGUAAAAAGGAAAAAGUAAACAGUAAUAAGAAAAAAGCAAACAGUAAUAAAAUUAUUAAAGACAAUAAUGCACACAAUAAAACAAAAAUAACAGUAAAGUAAAAGGAUAUUUACAGGUAGUUGCGACUGUGGCUCACAUCUUCCCCUGGUUUUACGUCCAGAAACGGCUUGAACACCCUCUAUGGGUCAAGGAUAGGCUUCCUAUCCAUUUUUCUUAUAAACUGGCAAACAGGGUCGUUUAUAGUCAGAUUCCCGAGACUAUAUCGUGCAUGCUCUUUCUGGAAUAAUGGCCAUAACUGGAGAAUCGCUCCUUGCACAUAUCCACUGGGAUGCGUUUCAAGAGAUAAAAGGAUAUCAUCCAAUGACUCUUUAUUCAAGCCAUCCCUAAUGAAUUGAAUCUUAUCUUCCCUGUUAUCAGACACCAUUCCUAAAGAACAUGGGUUUUUAUUGCAACUCAUUCUGGCACACUUAUGACAAGCAAUAGAAAUUCUUCGAGCUCGUCGUUUUCUUGCAUAAUUUCCUUUACCACAACCAGGCAUGUAUGCAAUAAAUUUUGGAGGUAACUCACCUGCCGAGCGUACUUUAGCCUCGAUUAACCAACGGAUGUCAGCAGGUAUGUUAUUCCUCAUGAGUAAUCGCAUGCGUUUGGACCGAGCUUUAUGGAUCGUAAGGAGGGCAUUCUGAGGAAGUGAAGGGAAUCGCUUGUGAAGCUUCGAUAGAAUCUUGUUUCUGUCCAUACUUUCGCCUCAGAAUAUCAGUUAUUAUGGGAAACUGAAGUGACCGACUUGAUUGUCACGGAGUACCGUUAUCCGCCACUUCACCGGGGUAACAAACUAAAGAACACAAACAGAAAAACAUAUUAAAACACACAAAGAAAAUUAAAAUCGUCCUCUUAUUGAAUUUACCUCAAGCUCCAACUGGAUGUCGUAAACACUUCUCUCAAUGUCUCUGAGUUGGCGUUCUAAACCCUCAACAUAGGCUACUAACUCUGGUGGUUGUAGAGCCCAAAUGCGUUGUGUUUUACAAAAUUGAAUCUGCCUUUUGAGAUGAGUUUUGACACGUUGAAGUGAUUUAAAAAUGUUAAGGAGGAACGGUCUAAGUAUGAGACUCAUGAUUAAAAAUGAUAAGAGAAAACUUAAUAGUUAAACAAACACACUUAUGCAAAAAUAAUUUCAAUUAGCAAAAGAAUAAUAUAAAGAAAGAAAGAAAAAUCAAAUCAAUGAAAAGAAAAAAAAAUCAAUUCAAAUCUAGUGGGUCACUUAAAUUUAUUUCGGUGUUUUCUCCAUGUGGUUGGUACUCUAGAUAUGGCUUUAAUCUUUGACCAUUAACUUUAAACGUGACACCGUUCUUUGGGUCCUUAAUUUCAAUUACCCCAUGUGGAAAAACAGUAUGUACAAUAAAUGGGCCAGACCAACGAGAGCGUAACUUACCUGGAAUAGUUGCAAGCGAGAAUUUGAAUAAAAGCACUUUCUGACCUGGAGUGAACGAUUUUCUCAUNNNNNNNNNNNNNNNNNNNNNNNNNNNNNNNNNNNNNNNNNNNNNNNNNNNNNNNNNNNNNNNNNNNNNNNNNNNNNNNNNNNNNNNNNNNNNNNNNNNNUGCGAAUUUCUUCAAGUUCUGUCAGCUGUAAUCUUCUUUCUGAGCUGGCUUGCUGCAUGUCAAAAUUGAAUUUCUUGAUGGCCCAAUAUGCACGAUGCUCUAGUUCCACAGGUAGGUGGUAAGCUUUUCCAUACACUAGCCUAUAGGGUGACAUCCCAAUCGGGGUCUUGAAAGCCGUUCUAUAUGCCCAUAAUGCAUCAUCAAGUCUUAAUGACCAAUCUUUUCUGUCCGGCCUCACCGUCUUUUCUAAUAUGUGCUUUAUUUCUCGAUUGGAGAUCUCAACUUGGCCACUGGUUUGUGGAUGAUAAGGGGUUGCCACUUUGUGUGUGAUUGAAUACUUUGUCAAAAGAGCUUUGAAUGCUUUGUUACAAAAGUGGGCACCACCAUCACUGAUUAUUGCUCGAGGGAAUCUAAAGCGUGAGACAAUGUUGCUUUUCAAAAAUGCUAUCACCACCUUGUGAUCAUUGGUCCUACAUGGAAUUGCUUCUACCCAUUUCGAUAUGUAGUCAACAGCAACCAAUAUGUAUUGAUGGCCAAAAGAAGGGGGAAAGGGUCCCAUGAAGUCGAUACCCCAUACAUCAAAAAUCUCAACCACUAAAAUUGGAUUUAGUGGCAUCAUGUUCCUCCGUGUAAUGCUCCCCAUUCGUUGACACCUAUCACAUGAAGAAUAGAAAGUGUAAGCAUCUGGAAAUAUAGAUGGCCAAUAGAAACCACAUUGUAAAACUUUAGUCGCUGUUUUCUUAGCACUGAAAUGGCCUCCACAAGCUUGUUCAUGGCAGAAUGAAAGGAUAUUCUGAAUUUCACUUUCUGGGACACAUCGUCUAACAAUUUGAUCCGCACAAUACUUGAACAAAUACGAGUCAUCCCAAAAGAAAUUCUUUAUUUCCGCAAAGAAUUUAUCCUUGUCUUGCUUGGUCCAAUGCUCUGGAAGUUGACCUGUAACAAGAUAAUUAACAAUAUCAGCAUACCAUGGUAAUACUUCCACACUCAUCAAUUGUUCAUCUGGAAAUGACUCAUUCAAUGGUAAUGAUUCUGUAAUUGUGUCAAAAUGGAGACGAGAGAGGUGGUCCGCCGCAACAUUUUCUGUCCCUUUCUUAUUUUUGAAUUCUAAGUCAAAUUCCUGCAAAAGUAACACCCAACGAAUUAGUCUAGCUUUUGCAUCUUUCUUUGUGAGAAGAUAUUUAAGAGCAGCAUGAUCCGUGAAUAUAAUUAUUUUACAACCAAUGAGAUAUGAUCGAAAUUUUUCCAAUGCAAACACUACUGCUAGCAUUUUUUUUUCAGUAGUUGAAUAGUUCAACUGUGCAUCAUUUAAUGUCAUACUAGCAUAGUAAAUAACAUGGGGAAUUCGAUCAACUCUUUGUCCUAAUACUGCUCCUACUGCAUAAUCAGAUGCAUCACACAUUAGCUCAAAUGGUAAGCUCCAGUUUGGGGCCUGAAUGAUGGGUGAUGAUGUCAACAACUGUUUUAAUUUUUCAAACGCAAUAAGACAUGAAUCACUAAAGAUAAAAGGUACAUCCUUAGCAAGUAAAUUGCAUAAGGGUCUAGAAACUUUGUUAAAAUCUUUAAUGAAACGUCUAUAGAAACCAGCAUGCCCAAGGAAAGAUCUUACUUCUCUGACUGUUUUGGGUGGAGGAAGAUUAGAAAUGAGAUCCACCUUGGCUUUGUCAACCUCAAUACCUUUGCUCGAAAUGAUGUGACCGAGAACAAUACCUUGUUUUACCAUAAAAUGGCACUUCUCCCAAUUCAAGACUAAGUUCUUCUCGGUACAUCUCUACAGAACUAGUGUUAGAUGAUGUAAGCAUUGAUCAAAUGAAUCACCAAAGAUAGAAAAGUCAUCCAUAAAGACUUCAAGGAAUCGUUGAACCAUAUCAGAAAAAAUGCUUAACAUGCAUCGUUGAAAUGUAGCAGGUGCAUUACAUAAUCCAAAUGGCAUUCUCCUAUAUGCAAAUGUGCCAAAAGGGCAAGUGAAAGUAGUUUUCUCUUGAUCUUUUGGUGCUAUGGGAAUCUGAUUAUAUCCUGAGUAGCCAUCUAGAAAGCAAUAAAAUUCAUGGCCUGCCAAUCUAUCAAGCAUUUGAUCGAUAAAUGGUAAAGGAAAAUGGUCUUUACGUGUGAUAGAAUUCAACUUUCUAUAAUCAAUGCAUACACGCCAUCCUGUAGUCACUCUAGUGGGUAUCAAUUCAUUAUCAACAUUCGUAACUACUGUGACUCCUGACUUUUUGGGGACAACUUGUACAGGACUGACCCAUGAACUAUCAGAAAUUGGGUAAAUGAUACCUGCGUCUAAUAGCUUAAGGACUUCUGUUCUAACAACUUCUUUCAUAUUAGGAUUUAACCGACGUUGCAUUUCCCUAGUAGAUUUAGCAUUUUCAUCAAGGUGAAUGUAAUGCAUGCAGUCUACUGGGUUUAUACCUUUUAUGUCCGCUAUGGUCCAUCCUAAUGCUCCUUUGUGCUCUUUUAAAACAUCCAACAACUUACCUUUUUGUUCGUCAUUUAAGGAUGAUGAGAUGAUUACCGGCAGAGUACUUUUUUCUCCCAAAAAUGCAUAUUCCAAUGUGUUGGGCAAUGGUUUGAGCUCGAGUUUCGGUGGUGAUUCUGAUGAUGGGAUGAGUUUCUUUUCUGAUGGUGCUAGUUGUUCAACUCUUGACUUCCAUUUAUUAGUGUCCAUGGAUGGUGCUGAGUCAAGUAGGGCAUUGACCUCAUCGACCGAUCUGUCAAUAUCAAAAUCCAAACCAAAGUGAGUUAAACAUGUUUGUAAAGGAUCAUCACUAAGGUUUGAAAGAAAAGUGUUAUCAACUAUUGUUUCAAUUAAAUCCACAUCAACAAUUCCAUCAUCUGCACUGUGAGGUUGUUUUGUAAUGUUGAAGAUGUUUAGCUCCAUAGUCAUGUUGCCGAAGGACAACUGCAUAUUUCCAGUCCUGCAUUGAAUGUGAGCAUCCGCAGUUGCCAAGAAAGGUCGGCCUAGAAUAAUGGGGAUGUGCUUCCUUGAAUCCUGUAUUGAUUGAGUGUCAAUUACAAUGAAAUCAACAGGAAAAUAAAACUUGUCUACCUGGAUAAGCAUGUCCUCCACAAUACCACGAGGUAUUUUCGUGGACCGAUCUGCAAGCUGUAACACCACUGGAGUUGGGUGUAAUUCUCCAAGUCCAAGUUUCAAAAAUACUGAAUAAGGCAACAAAUUUACACUAGCUCCUAAAUCCAACAAAGCAUUCUCAAUUGUGUGGUUCCCUAUGCUACAUGAGAUAGUGGGGGAGCCUGGGUCUUUGCAUUUUAGAGGAAUUUUAUGUUGGAGGAUAGAACUAACGUUUUCUGUUAAAAAUGCCUUCUUUUGAACAUGCAUAUUUCUCUUUUUAGUACAAAGGUCUUUAAGAAACUUGGCAUAAGAUGGAACUUGUUUAAUAGCAUCAAGCAAAGGGAUGUUAACACUUACCUGUUUGAAGAUUUCAAGAAUCUCACCUGUGGAUUUUUCCUUCUUGCCUUUAGCUAACCUCUGGGGAAAUGGAGCUUUCGGAACAUAUUCUCGUGGGUUGGUUUCUUCUUUCUCCUCCGGUGGUGAGUCCUCAACACUCACAUGAACAAUUUGAUUUUCUUUUGUCACCGGCAUCUCCACUUUGUUGUCGACUUCUUUUCCUUUUCGCAAGGUCAUUACUGCUUUGACCUCUCCAUGCUGCUGUGGUGAACUGGUACUUGCUUCAUGCACUCCUUUAGGAUUAGGCACUGGUUGACUUGGAAACUUGCCUUUCUCAACAGUCAUUGCCAAGGUCUGAACUGAAGAAGCAAGUUGUCCCACCAUCUUCUCGAGGCUUGAAACUGAUUGGGCUUGUGAGUUGAAGCCCGCUCUCAAUUCAUUUCGUAGUCCAUUAAUGGUGCGGUUCUGUUGCUCAAUUGUUGAGUGAGUAACAUUCUUGAAAUUCUGGAAUGCAUCCUCUCAUGGUCUGGGCUGAGUGUAGUUCUGGUUCUGAUUAUAUGGUCUGAAUGGGGGCUGAGAGACUUGAGGAUUUUGAGGAAUUGGUUGCAUUGGUGGAGCUGGAGCUGCUGGUCCAUUCUGUUGGAAUCCUUGAGACCAUGAAAAAUUGGGGUGGUCUCUCCAUCCAGGGUUAUAUGUGUUGGAGUAUGGGUUGUAAUUCGAUGGUUUUCUCAUUACACCUAUGGCAUUGGCUUGAUCUGAGUAUGAGUCAUGGUCAUAUGGUUCUGUUGAUUUAGCAGUCGAUAACGAUGCUAUUUGUCGAGCAAGACCUUCAACCAUCUCCUUGACUUCUUUGAUUUCUGAACUUGACUCGCCACUGUAAACCUCAUUUACUCCCUUAAUCCUUCUAGUAUUCCUGAGUGAUCGACUCCGUUGUUGGGAAUUGUCCGCUUGUCGCUGGAAAAACUCUCAAAUUUCUGAUGCACUUUUUGACAUUAGCUCCCCUCCACUUGUUGCCAUUAGCCAUUCUUGCACAUUCGGUAGUAAUCCCUCCAAAACGUAUUGGCAUUGGUGCCAUUUCUCGUACCCAUGAUGUGGACACUUCAAGAGUAGCCCAUUGAAUCGCUCCCAUGUUUCGAAAAACUGCUCGUCAUCUCUCUGAGUAAACUCUGAGAUUUCCCUGCGAAUAGCAUUGGUUUUAUGCACUGGGAAAUAUUUAUUCAAAAAUUUCGUUACCAUUUGUUCCCAUGAUGAGAUGCUAUUAGCAAGUAAAGUAUUUAACCAUGAACGAGCUCUAUCCUUUAAAGAAAAUGGGAAUAAUCUGAGUUUAACAUCAUCGUCUGAAAAAUUUUCAUAUUUAAAAGUUUUACAAAUGGCAUGAAAAUCAUUCAGAUGAUUAUAUGGGUCCUCAUUUUCUAGGCCAUAAAAUGCGGGGAGACAAUUUAGCACACUAGGUUUUAAUUCAAAGCUCCUAGCAGCUACAUUUGGGUAUCUUAUGCAUGAUGUGCUCAAAUUAGCUAAAGGACUGAAGUAGUCCUUAGAGAUGGCCUCUCCUGUGGUUGCNNNNNNNNNNNNNNNNNNNNNNNNNNNNNNNNNNNNNNNNNNNNNNNNNNNNNNNNNNNNNNNNNNNNNNNNNNNNNNNNNNNNNNNNNNNNNNNNNNNNGACCUACGACCAUGCAUGCAAAACAAAUAAAAAAAAUAAAGAUGGGAACAAAAAAAUAAAAUAAAAAUAAAGAAGAGGGAGAAAUUACGAUACUAACCUUAUUGCGCUAUUACAACCUUUCUAUAAAAAUACACAAAAAUAAAUACGUGAAAUUAACUAAAAAUCAAAUUAAAACUUAAUAAAGAAAAUUAAAUUAAGAUAAACAAAAAUUACAAAGAAAAAUAACUUAAAAAUUAAAUUGCAUAAUUGUAAAGAAUAGAGAAAGAAAAUAAAUACUAACCUCUAAAUGCAGAUUCACUUUUUUUUUCUUUUUCUUUAUUAAAAAAAAAUACAAGACAACAAUUUAAAAGAAAUUAUUCACACAAAUUAAUUAUAUGAAUUAAAAUUACUUACCUCCCCGGCAACGGCGCCAAAAACUUGUUGUGCAAAUUUUAAUGUACUCGCAAGCGCACGAAUCUAUUGUAGUAUAGAUCAAUGGUGACGAGUGUCGAUCCCACGAGGAGGUGGAUUUUAAUUAUAUGUAGAAUUAAUUUUGUAAAUGGGUGGUUGAAAUUGUGGUGGAAGUGAUUUAAAUUAUCCUAAAAUUGGAAUUGAGAUUCUAAAAUUGGAAUUGCAAUGGCGAGAAUAAAUUGAAGCGAAAUCUAUUGAAAUGACGUACUUGGGUAUCUGGAUCCGUAUCAACAUGCAUCAUGGGCUAAAUAAUCCGUAUUAAUGCCAAUUAAAUCAUGAGGGGGGAAUCCACACCUCAUGAACCACGCUCUAAUCAAUAUGGUGCUAAGGGCUUAUCGUGCCAAAUAAUAAUAACCUUGUACCAGAGGGCCGGUGAAACCAAGGCGGUACUAGACAAGAUUAGUAUUAUUUGUCGACGAAAAGUCAAAACAUCCACAAAAACUAGAGGGGAAGAGAAAAUAAAUUUACCAAAUAAAACCCAUGACACAUGUUGAGACUUCACCUUCAACCCAAGCUUGAAAGAAAAUUAGCCACUCAUAAUUGAACUAGGGGCAAAAUGGGAAUUUAUUAAAAUACGAAGAAAAUACAAGAUGGAGAGGGAAUUACAGAAAAUGGAGUCCAAAAAUGGAUUCAGAGGUAUCAAAUUAGGGGGGAGAGGCCCCCUUUUUAUAGAUACAUGGAGUAAAUCAUGGCCAUCGGAUUAAAAACAAUUUGGACGCUCAGGAUUGCGCCACGUCAUCAGUCAAUAGUCCACGGUUUGACCACGUGGAUGAACAGUAACACGGUUUGACCCGGAUGAACAGUAACGCGGUUUGACCCGGAUGAACAGUAACGCGGUUUGGUUGAAAAUAAUCCUGUGUGAUGCAUGCACCGUACGCGAGAUUUUUCGUCCACUGAUAUGCUGCCACGUCACCAUCAACAGUACAUAAGAAUUUUAGUCCAACAGGAUCGUGACACCUCAUCAGUCAAUGCCACAUCAUCGGUCAAUGCCACGUCAUCGAUCCGUCUAUGUGAACAGUGUCGUGAACAGUAACGUAUACAGUCCCGUAUACGUGAAUACUACCGUACAUGUGAAUAAUGUCAUUUUUCCUUUUAUGCUCCUCCUAAGGUUUUCGACUGUCCUGAGUUCAAAAGUGAUGUCCGUUUUGCCGUCUGAUCUCUCCUUUAUUGUGAAAUGACUAUAAUGCCCCUAAAAUACAUAAAUUACUUAAUUAAAAUAAAACACACGUAAUUAAAUCACAAGAAUGUUAAAUACAUAAAAGUAAGGGUUGUUAGUAAGACUUGAAAUGUAAAAUGACGGUUUUCUCCUUUAUAAAUAUGCAUUUUCUAACACUCAACAGAAGCCAAGUGUUAAGCAUUAUCCCAAGAGCCCUAAAAUCUUUGGGCAGUUUGUCUGACUCACCGACUGGAGAAGAGUUAGUCGUCUUAGGUAUGCAAGAAAGAAUAACUGAAAUGCUUAAUCAUACUGAUGCUUUUAUUUUCCUAUCAGGAGAUCUUGUAACUCUAGAGGCACCUAUCACAUUAGCAUCUUGGGCCCAUCUGCACAUUCACUAGAAACCCAUCGGUUUGUUAAAUGUCAAUAACUUUUAUGAUGGGUUUAUCGCAUUUCUUAACCAUGCAAUAAAAAACUAUUUCAUUACUUCCACAGCAAAAAAAGCUUUUUAUUUGUGCUCACACUGCUAAUGAGCUACUUGAUCUGUUACAAGCUUAUAAACCAGGGCCAGACCCUAGGACCUUUGUGUUGGAGUCUCCAAAUAAUGAUGGUAACAGUAGCCGCAGUAAGAAGUACAAAUUAGAUUUAAUCUCCGCCUGUAAAUAUUUUCUUCUGUGUUGCACCACCCAUGUGAUGUCUUCUAAACUUUACUUUUUCCCUUUAAAGCAUUGAGGACAAUGUUUAGUUCUGGUUGGGGGGAGGGAAUAGUCGACAAUUGUGGAAUUUUGGUUAAAUUUUUAUUAAUUUUUUGUUGUAGAGACUGACCGUAACUAACUUUUUGUGUUGAAGAUGGCUAAAUAUGGUGUGUAGUUACUCUAGAAACGCAACUUCUUCGUUUAAAAAAAAUAAUAAAAAAAUAAAAAAUAUUAAUAAAAAUUUCCAGGCAUUUUCUUUUUCUUUAUUAAGCUUUGAUAAUAAUUUUUUUUCUAACUUCUUCUUUCUAAUUUCUCCUUUAUAAAUAUACACUUUCAAAUUUUUGAGUCGAAGAUGGCUGAAUAUGGAGUGUAGUGUCUCUAGAAACGCAUCUUCUUAGUUAAAAAAAAAUCAUUUUCUUUUUCUAUCAUUUUAAGUGUAACUUUUCUAAUUAGUUUUUCUUCAUCAUUUUCACAUCUCUGCAUGCAUAUUUUCCUUUCAUGUUUAGAAUAGGUUGGGGGGUAGAAUGUUGUUUGAACAAAAAAAAAAAUUUUUGUGAUUUGUUUUAAUAUUGGAUGACAUGAUGAAUUUCAAAUUUUUGUAUUUGUAUUAUCUUUGGUCUUAAGUGAUGUUACGCCAUGUUAGCUACUCUACAUGUUGAUGUCGGAGAUAAAUAUGAGUUGCUUGAAGGAAUGAACAUAUGAUAAUAAGUACCAAGUGAGUUUUUGAGCCUAUAAUUUUUCUUGAAGAGUAACUAUUUUGCCCAUUCUUUAUACAGCUUAACAGUUUAUUAUUUUAUACACGAUCUCUAGAUUUCUUUUGAGUUAACCCUUAAAAAGAAUUGUAAAAUUAAAAAAAAAAAGAAGUGUGUUGCUACAUCUGGAGGCCCAUCUAACUAGUAGAUAUGGAAGAUUAUUUAUAGCCCUAAAAGACGAUGGAAAUGCCAUCUUUGAUCUGUUUGAGCCUUUCUAGCCAUCCCUUUUAUGAAAUAUCCAUAGUUAACCCUUUUGAGCCUUUAAAAAAAAAAACCUUUUCUUUGUCAAACUUAUCAUCUUAACCCACUCCGAUUUGAAGUAUUACCCAAUAUCUUACAAGUUCCAUCACCUAUUUAUGUUUGAGAAAAAUGUAAAUAAUUAUUUUGUUAAGUGAAGUUGUGCCAAACAAAAGCAAAAAAAAAACAAAAAAAAUUGUUGUUACAAAAAAAAAGAAAAACAUAACAAUAAUAGGUGAGAUCCACCUUGCAACUUCCAAAAAAAAAUAUAUCUCUACAUUUUUCUCAAACAUACACUUUGUUUUCCUUAUUUCCCCUCCUUUGUUAGCCAUGUCCCUAGCCUACGUUACGUCCUAAUAAAAGUCCUUCUUGAUUUUAGGGAACCAUAGUAUGAAGUAGAAGCUAAUUAUAUGGGCUAAAAAGAUGCAGUGGUGCAUAAAAAUAAAUAAAUAAAUAAAUUGGGUUAACUAGCAUUUUUAUUUGACUUGAGAUCGCAUUAUUUCUAAGCUGAGGGCAUAUUUCUUUCAUCUUGGUGAGAGCGUGUGAUAUUACUUCUUCAUUAUUUUCUCUCAAUUACUAUUUCAUUGGAGUAACUAUUUUUAUUGGGUUUAAUUUCUUUGUGAGUGUUUCACUAUUUCCAGUGAGAUUUUAGGGUUUAACAUGUCAUUCUUGAAAGUAACUGUGACAAAGUCUACUGGGCUGAUUCAUGUGGAUGGUUGAUAUGGGUGUGAUAUUUCUUUAGACUGGAGAUAAUACUUAUACUUUUAUUUGAUUGCUAUCAUUAGUCUGAUUGAAUAAACACGAGUGUUUUAAGAAAAAAAAAUUGGAUUUGAAUUUUGUUUUCGCUUUAUUUGCUAGGGACUAGUAAUAAGCUGGUUGGGGGUGUGUUGAGUGUUAGAAAAUGUAUAUUUAUAAAGGGAAAAUUCGUCAUUUUACACUUCAAGUUUUACUAACACUUCUACUUUUAUGUAUUUUAAUCUCUUGUAAUUUAAUUAUGUAUAUUUUAUUUUAAUUAAGUAUUUUAUGCAUUUUAGGGGUGUCAUGGUAAUUUCACAAUGAAUGAGAGAUCAGACUGUAAAAUGGACAUCACUUUUGAACUUAGGACAGUCGAAAACCUUAGGAGUAUAAAAGGAAAAAUGGCACUAUUCACAUGUACCGUACUGUCCAUGUUACUGUUCACGACACCGUUCACACAAACGGAACGAUGACGUGGCAUUGACUGAUGAUGUGGCAUUGACUGAUGAGGUGUCACGAUUCCAUUGGAGAAAAUUCUUAUGCACUGUUGAUCAGUGACGUGGCAGCAUAUUAGUGGACCAAAAAUCGCGCGUACAGUACAUGCAUAUACACAGGGUUAUUUUCAACCAAACCGCGUCACUGUUCAAGCCGGUUGACUGUUCAAACUGCGUGGUCAAACCGUGUCACUGUUCAAACGACGUGGUCAAACCGCGUACUGUUGACUGAUGACAUGGCGCAAUCCUGAGCAUCCAAACUAUUUUUAAUCUGAUGGCCAUGAUUUACUCAAUGUAUCUAUAAAAAGGGGGCCUUUCCCCCUAAUUUGGAUCUCUGAAUCCAUUUUUGGGCUCUAUUUUCUGUAAUUCCUUCACCAUCUUGUAUUUUCUUUGUAUUUUAAUAAAUUCAUAUUUUGCCCAUAGUUCAAUUAUGAGUAACUAAUUUUCUUUCAAGCUUGGGUUGAAGGUGAAGUCUCAACAUGUGCCAUGGGCUUUAUUUGGUAAAUUUAUUUUCUCUUGCCCUUUAAUUUUUGUGGAUGUUUUGACUUUUCGUUGAAAAAUAAUAAUAACAUUGUCUAGAUACUGCCCUGAUUUCACCGGCUCCCUAGUACAAGGUUAUUAUUAUUUGGCACGAUAAGCCCUUAGCACCAUAUUUAUUAGAGUGUGGUUCAUGAGGUGUGGAUACCCCCCUCAUGAUUUAAUUGGCACUAAUAAGUAAUAUUUAGCCCAUGGUGCAUGUUGAUACGGAUCCAGAUACCCAAGUGCCGCAUUUCAAUAGAAUUCGCUUCAAUUUAUUCUCGCCAUUUUAAUAUAAAUUUUAGGAUAAUCUAAGUUACUUUCACCACAAAUCCAACCACCCAUUUAGAAAAUUAAUUCUACACUUAAUUAAAAUCCACCUCCUCGUGGGAUCGACACUUGUCACCAUUGAUCGAUACUACCAUAGAUUCAUGCACUUGUGAGUUCAAUAAAAUUUGCACAACAAUUAGGAACUUGAUUUAUUUAAUUCAUAACGUCUCAAGAGCAUUACAAUACAAAUAAAAAAAAAAAAAGAAAAAAGCUGGAACUGACAACAUUGAUUAAAAUUCCUACUUGUUAUUCUUAGUGGUAACUACAUCUAGAUCUUGAAUUUGGAAAAGCCAACAUCAUGGAGCCCAUAUUUUGCAUCAUUAAAUGAUUAGUCUUAUUGUUAUCUCUGCUUUCACUAUUGUCUUAUAAAAUAUUUAUCUUAUCAUACUAGCUGCAUAAAAAUUAACAAAUUAACAAAUUAUCAUUUUUAAGUCGUCAAUCAAGUAUAAAUAUUAUAUUAUUUAGUUAUAUAACAAAAAUAAAGAAACAACUAAAUUUCAAAAACAUAUAUUGAAUUAAAGCCAAACUAGCCAUCCAAAUAAAUAAAAGAAUACAUAUUUGCAUUUAGAAACAACUACUUUAAACCAUUUUGUAAUUACCAAAAACUUUUUCUUCAAUGAAAUAAAAUAACAUAAAAUAAAAGAAUUUAAAAAGCCAAUAUGGGCACGAAUAAUAGGAAAAAUUUUAUUAUAUGAAUUGGGGCAAACUUCAAUUCAUCCCCUUGCCAAUAAAAAUCUUCAAUUUACCCUUCAAAAACAUGGAAAUCUCGACUUACCUCAAAUUUUGUUUAGAAGAUGAACGUAAUAAUGAUCGUUAUUAGUAUUUCAACAGAUUCCUCUGUCGUAGAUUAAGUCAACGAUAAAUAUACAACAAAAUAGCGUCAAAUGCAUGCAUAAAAGACACAUGACAUAACAACACAUACUCAUAAUGGAUUAAUUUCUUCUUUUAUUAAGACAAUUUCAAUAUCACUACAAUUGAUCAUUAUUGUAAAAGCACUCAUAAAGGAUAAAAUAAAUAAUUGAUUACACAAUUUUUUUGCAUCCCCCUGGGGGACAAGGGUAGAUAUAAUCUUCGAGAGCUUUCUUUAACUCUGCAAUCAAACACUCUUCCCUUGUAAGCCCUGAACAAUCAACAAUGUCAGGUGAUGUUGUCGGAUUAAUGGAAAAUGAGGCAUCUGGGUUAGAUCCUUCGCCAAUGUGACUAGCUAAAAUAAGUCUACUUUCAGUGUUUGCCACUACAAGCAAAGCCAAGAUGAUGAAACUAAGGCUCCUCGACAUAUUUAUGCUUCUUAGGUGAAUUAUCAGUAACUUAAUUAGAAGUAACAGAGAUCUACAACAAUCAGGAUGGCAUAAGUCUCCAUUUAUAUGAAUGAAUAUUGAGAAACGUGUUGCUGUGACUUUAAUGGAAUUGAAAGAUUCCAUAAAUGAGGAUUAAAUAAAUUAUGCUAUGUUUGUUUAAAUUAACUAUUGACUUGAAUAUCAUGUUGCGUUAUGACGGCAAUUUUAACAUACAUUUAAUUAAUUCUAUAGUUUUUAGUGUUAUUUUUUUGUUUAGUUUUUUAUUGGAUUCUUUCUCAUUAUAUCAAUCGUCAAACUAUUUUUUUUUAAUAUGUAAACACGUUUCUAUAAGCCACGCCCUCCAAUGAAAUUAACCACAUCCUAUUUUAAGCAAGCUAGUGACACAAUCAAUCCCAUAUAUUUGCAUGGAUAUAUAGUAAUACUUUUAUAAAUUAAUAAUAAAGAAAUCACAAAACAUCUAUUAAUUUAAAGAGAUAUUGAUAUUAAUCAAUCAAUAAGUUGUAUAAGAGAUUAUGUUUUAUAAUUCUAUGGUCACAUUCUUACUACAAAAUAAUAAUUUGCUAGGCUUACAAACAUAAUUGUUAUAAUAUGUUAUUAAAUAAAACAUGAAUCUAUUAUUAUUUGUUUUUCUUCAAAUCUAAACAUAGUGGGAUCUCAUAUAUGAUAUUACUUAUUCUUGCUGAAUUCACAACUACAUGGAUUCUUUUUUUUUUUUUUUUGUUAAUUGUAAUCUAUAUUUAGGGGAUUAACUAACUUUGAAUUGGCUAGAUUGGUAAAAUACUAUGAAUUAUCUAGUUGAUUAAAUAUAUGUUCACUGAAUUGUAUAUACACAAUGAAUUAAUAGAUUAUUAACUAAUAGAUUAAUUUAGAUUAGUAUCCCUUUAUAUUAAUAGAUAUUAUAUGAUUAUGACAUUAUUAAUUUAUAGAGGCUUUAUUGUAUAUCCAUGCAAAUAUCUAGCAAUGUAUUGGGCCAUUUGCCUACCUAAAAUAUAGGUUGUGGUUAAUUUCAUUCUAGGACGUCGUUUCUAGAAAUAUUUUUACAUAUUGAAAAGAAUAGGCUAGCGAUUGAUAUAAAGAGAAAAAAAAUAAUAAUAAACUAAACAAAAUAAUAAGAAAAAUGAUAAAAUUAAUUAAAUAGAUGUUGAAAUCACCUUCAUAAUGCAACAAGAAAUUAAAAUCAACAGUUUAUUAAAACCAACGCAGCAUAAGUUAUUUAAACUUCAUCUUGAAUAUAUCUUUAUAUUAAUAGAUAUUGCAUGAUUUUGACAUUAUUAAUUUAUAAAGGCUUUAUUGUAUAUCCACAUAAAUAUCUAGCAUUACAUUGCGCCAACUGCUUGUCUAAAAUAUAGGAUGUGGAUAAUUUCAUUGGAGGACGUCAUUUAUAGAAAUAUUUUUAUCAAUUAAAAAGAGCAGCCUGACAAUUGAUAUAAAGAGAAAAAAUCUAAUAAUAAACUAAACAAAAUAAUAAGACCAAAAAUGAUAAAAUUAAUUAAAUACAUGUUGAAAUUACCUACAUGAUGCAUUAAGAUAUUAAAAUCAAUAGUUUAUUCAAACAAACGUAGUGUAAUUUAUUAAAGCUUCAUUUUGGAUUCUUUUCAAUUACAUUAAGGUCACUGUUGAGUGUUAGAAAAUGCAUAUUUAUAAAGGAAAAAACCGUCAUUUGACAUUUCAAGUCUUACUAACAACCCUUACUUUUAUGUAUUUAACCUUCUUUUGAUUUAAUUCCGUGUGUUUUAUUUUAAUUAAGUAUUUUAUGUAUUUUAGGGGCAUUAUAGUCAUUUCACAAUAAAGGAGAGAUCAGACGGCAAAACGGACAUCACUUUUGAACUCAGGACGGUCGAAAACCUUAGGAGGAGCAUAAAAGGAAAAAUGGCAUUAUUCACAUGUACGGUACUAUUCACGUGUACGGUAUUGUCUACGUUACUGUUCACGACACUGUUCACAUAGACGGAUCGAUGACGUGGCAUUGACCGAUGAUGUGGCAUUGACUGAUGAGGUGUCACGAUCCUGUUGGGCUAAAAUUCUUAUGUACUGUUGAUGGUGACGUGGCAGCAUAUCAGUGGACGAAAAAUCUCGCGUACGGUACAUGCAUCACACAGGAUUAUUUUCAACCAAACCGCGUUACUGUUCAUCUGGGUCAAACCGUGUUACUGUUCAUCCACGUGGUCAAACCAUGUACUGUUGACUGAUGACGUGGCGCAAUCCUGAGCGUCCAAACUGUUUUUAAUCCGAUGGCCAUGAUUUACUCCAUGUAUCUAUAAAAAGGGGGCCUCCCCCCCUAAUUUGAUAUCUCUGAAUCCAUUUUUGGGAUCCAUUUUCUGUAAUUCCUUCUCCAUCUUGUAUUUUCUUCGUAUUUUAAUAAAUUCUCAUUUUGCCCCUAGUUCAAUUAUGAGUGGCUAAUUUUCUUUCAAGCUUGGGUUGAAGGUGAAGUCUCAACAUGUGUCAUGGGCUUUAUUUGGUAAAUUUAUUUUCUCUUCCCCUCUAGUUUUUGUGGAUGUUUUGACUUCUCGUCGACAAAUAAUACUAAUCUUGUCUAGUACCGCCUUGGUUUCACCGGCCCUCUAGUACAAGGUUAUUAUUAUUUGGCACGAUAAGCCCUUAGCACCAUAUUAAUUAGAGUGUGGUUCAUGAGGUGUGGAUUCCCCCCUCAUGAUUUAAUUGGUAUUAAUAAGGAAUAUUUAGCCCAUGGUGCAUGUUGAUACGGAUCCAGAUACCCAAGUGCUUCAUUUCAAUAGAAUUAUCUUCAAUUUAUUCUCGCCAUUUCAAUUCCAAUUUUAGAAUUUAUUCUCGCCAUUUUAAUUUAAGUUUUAGCAUAUUCCAAAUCAUUUCCACCACAAAUCCAACCACCCAUUUACAAAAUUAAUUCUAUACAUAAUUAAAAUCUACCUCCUCGUGGGAUCGACACUCGUCACCAUUACUCUACACUACAAUAGAUUCGUGCGCUUGCGAGUACAUUAAAAUUUGCACAACAAGUUUUUGGCACCGUUGCCGGGGAGGUAAGUAAUUUUUAGAAUUAAUUUUUGUGAAUAAUUUCUUUUAUUUGUUUUCUUGUAUUUUUUUAUUAUUAAAAAAAGAAAAAAAAAGUGAAUCUACAUUUAAAGGUUAGUAUUUCUUUCCUUUUUCUCUUCUUUAAAAUUCUGUAAUUUAAUUUUUAAUUUAUUUUUCUUUGUAAUUUUUUUUGUUUAUUUUAUUAAUUUAAUUUUUAGUUAAUUUAUUUCACGUAUUUAUUUUUGUGUAUUUUUAUAGAAAGGUUGUAAUAGCGCAAUAAGGUUAGUAUCAUAAUUUCUCAUUCUUCUUUAUUUUUAUUUGUUUUGUUCCCAUCUUUAUUUUUAUUUUAUUUGUUUUGCAUGCAUGGUCGUAGGUCAUUAUUACCUAAUCUUGAACCUAUAGACCUUGAAUUAGAGAAAACACUUCGCACACACAAACAAAUUAAAAAUAAAAUGGAUUUGCAACCACAGGAGAGGCCAUUUAAGGAUUAUUUAAGUCCCUUAGCUAAUUUGAGCACAUCAUGUAUAAGAUACCCAAAUGUAGCUGCUAGGAGUUUUGAAUUAAAACCUAGUGUGCUAAAUUGUCUCCCAACAUUCUAUGGCCUAGAAAAUGAGGACCCAUAUAAUCAUUUGAAUGAUUUUCAUGCCAUUUGUCAAACUUUUAAAUAUGAAAAUUUUUCAGACGAUGAUGUUAAACUCAGAUUAUUCCCAUUUUCUUUAAAGGAUAGAGCUCGUUCAUGGUUAAAUACUUUACCUGCUAAUAGCAUCUCAUCAUGGGAACAAAUGGUAACAAAAUUUUUGAAUAAAUAUUUCCCAGUGCAUAAAACCAAUACUAUUCGCAGGGAAAUCUCAGAGUUUACUCAGAAAGAUGACGAGCAGUUUUUUGAAACGUGGGAGCGAUUCAAUGGACUACUCUUAAAGUGUCCACAUCAUGGGUACGAGAAAUGGCACCAAUGCCAAUACUUUUUGGAGGGAUUAUUGCCGAAUGUGCAAGAAUGGCUAAUGGCAACAAGUGGAGGAGAACUAAUGUCAAAAAGUGCAUUAGAGAUUUGGGAAUUCUUCCAGCGACAAGCGGAUAAUUCCCAACAACGGAGUCGGUCACUCAGGAAUACUAGAAGAAUUAAAGGAGUAAAUGAGGUUCACAUUGGCAAGUCCAGUUCAGAAAUCAAAGAAGUCAAGGAGAUAAUUGAAGGUCUCUCUCGACAAAUAGCAUCGUUAUCGACUGCUAAAUCAACAGAACCAUAUGACCAUGACUCAUACUCAGAUCAAGCCAAUGUCAUAGGUGUAAUGAGAAAGCCAUCAAAUUACAACCCAUACUCCAACACAUAUAAUCCUGGAUAGAGAGACCACCCCAAUUUUUCAUGGUCUCAAGGAUUCCAACAGAACGGACCAGCAGCUCCAGCUCCACCAAUUCCACAAAAUCCUCAAGCCUCUCAGCCCCCAUUUAGACCAUACAAUCAGAACCAGAACUACUCUCAACCCAGACCAUGGGAGGAUGCAUUCCAGAAUUUCAAGAAUGUUACUCACUCCACAAUUGAGCAACAGAAUCGCAAGCCCAAUCAGUUUCAAGCCUCGAGAAGAUGGUGGGACAACUUGCUUCUUCAGUUCAGACCUUGGCAAUGACUGUUGAGAAAGGCAAGUUUCCAAGUCAACCAGUGCCUGACCCUAAAGGAGUACAUGAAGCAAGUACCAGUUCACCACAGCAGCAUGGAGAGGUCAAAGCAGUCAUGACCUUACGAAAAGGAAAAGAAGUCGACAACAAAGUGGAGAUACCGGUGACAAAAGAAAAUCAAAUUGUACCUGUGAAUGUUGAAGACUCCCCACCGGAGGAAAAAAAAGAAACCAACCCACGAGAAUACGUUCCGAAAGCUCCAUUUCCUCAGAGGUUAGCGAAAGGAAAGAAGGGAAAAUCCACAGGUGAGAUUCUUGAGAUCUUCAAACAGGUAAGUGUUAACUUUCCUUUGCUUGAUGCUAUUAAACAAGUUCCAUUUUAUGCCAAGUUUUUUAAAGACCUUUGUACUAAAAAGAGAAAUAUGCGUGUUCAAAAGAAGGCAUUUUCAACAGAAAACGUUAGUUCUAUACUCCAACAUAAAAUUCCUCUAAAAUGUAAAGACCCAGGCUCCCCCACUAUCUCAUGUAGCAUAGGGAACCAUACAAUUGAGAAUGCUUUGUUGGAUUUAGGAGCUAGUGUAAAUAUGUUACCUUAUUCAGUGUUUGUGAAACUUGGACUUGGAGAAUUACACCCAACUCCAGUGGUGUUACAACUUGCAGAUCGGUCCACAAAAAUACCUCGUGGUAUUGUGGAGGACGUGCUUAUCCAGGUAGACAAGUUUUAUUUUCCUGUUGAUUUCAUUGUAAUUGACACUUAACCAAUACAGGAUUCAAGGAAGCACAUCCCCAUUAUUUUAGGCCGACCUUUCUUGGCAACUGCGGAUGCUCACAUUCAAUGCAGGACUGGAAAUAUGCAGUUGUCCUUCGGCAACAUGACUAUGGAGCUGAACAUCUUCAACAUUGCCAAACAACCUCAUAAUGCAGAUGAUGGAAUUGUUGAUGUGGAUUUAAUUGAAGCAUUAGUUGAUGACACUUUUAUUUCAAACCUUAGUGAUGAUCCUUUACAAACAUGUUUAACUCAUUUUGGUUUGGAUUUUGAUAUUGACAGAUCAGUCGAUGAGGUCAACACCCUACUUGACUCCGCACCAUCCUUGGACACUAAUAAAUGGAAGUCAAGAGUUAAACAACUAGCACCAUCAGAGAAGAAACUCAUCCCCUUAUCAGAAUCACCACCGAAACUUAAGCUCAAACCAUUGCCCAACACAUUGGAAUAUGCAUUUUUGGGAGAAGAAAGUACUCUACCGAUAAUCAUCUCAUCAUCCCUAAAUGACGAACAAAAAGGUAAGUUGUUGGAUGUUUUAAAAGAGCACAAAGGAGCAUUAGGAUGGACCAUAGCAGACAUAAAAGGUAUAAACCCAGUAGACUGCAUGCAUUACAUUCACCUUGAUGAAAAUGCUAAAUCUACUAGGGAAAUGCAAUGUCGGUUAAAUCCUAAUAUGAAAGAAGUUGUUAGAACUGAAGUCCUUAAACUAUUAGACUCAGGUAUCAUUUACCCAAUUUCUGAUAGUUCAUGGGUUAGUCCUGUGCAAGUUGUCCCCAAAAAGUCAGGAGUCACAGUAGUUACCAAUGCUGAUAAUGAAUUGAUACCAACUAGGGUAACUACAGGAUGGCGUGUAUGCAUUGAUUAUAGAAAAUUGAAUUCUGUCACACGUAAAAACCAUUUUCCUUUACCAUUUAUUGAUCAAAUGCUUGAUAGAUUAGCAGGUCAUGAAUUUUAUUGCUUUCUAGAUGGCUACUCAGGAUACAAUCAGAUCCCCAUAGCACCAAAAGAUCAAGAGAAAACUACUUUCACUUGCCCUUUUGGCACAUUUGCAUAUAGGAGAAUACCAUUUGGAUUAUGCAAUGCACCUGCUACAUUUCAACGAUGCAUGUUGAGCAUUUUUUCUGAUAUGGUUGAACGAUUCCUUGAAGUCUUUAUGGAUGACUUUUCUGUCUUUGGUGACUCGUUUGAUCAAUGUUUACAUCAUCUAACACUAGUUCUGCAGAGAUGUAUCGAGAAGAAAUUGGUCUUAAAUUGGGAGAAGUGUCAUUUUAUGGUAAAACAAGGUAUUGUUCUCGGUCACAUCAUUUCGAGCAAAGGUAUUGAGGUUGACAAAGCCAAGGUGAAUCUCAUUUCUAAUCUUCCUCCACCCAAAACAGUCAAAGAAGUAAGAUCUUUCCUUAGACAUACUGGUUUCUAUAGACGUUUCAUUAAAGAUUUUAGCAAAGUUUCUAGACCCUUAUGCAAUUUACUUGCUAAAGAUGUACCUUUUACCUUUAAUGAUUCAUGUCUUGUGGCUUUUGAAAAAUUGAAGUAGUUGUUGACAUCAUCACCCAUCAUUCAAGCCCCAAACUGGAGCUUACCAUUUGAGCUCAUGUGUGAUGCAUCUGAUUAUGCAGUAGGAGCAGUAUUAGGACAAAGAGUUGAUCGAAUUCUCCAUGUUAUUUAUUAUGCUAGUAUGACAUUGAAUGAUGCACAGUUGAACUAUUCAACUAUUGAAAAAGAAAUGCUAGCAGUAGUGUUUGCAUUAGAGAAAUUUCGAUCUUAUCUCAUUGGUUGUAAAAUAAUUAUAUUCACAGAUUUUGUUGCUCUUAAAUAUCUUCUCACAAAGAAAGAUGCAAAAGCUAGACUAAUUCGUUGGGUGUUACUUUUGCAGGAAUUUGACUUGGAAUUCAAAGAUAAGAAAGGGACAGAAAAUGUUGUGGCGGACCAUCUCUCUCGUCUUCAUUUUGACACAAUUACAGAGCCAUUAAUAUUGAAUGAGUCAUUUCCAGAUGAACAAUUAAUGAAUGUGGAAGUAUUACCUUGGUAUGCUGAUAUAGUUAAUUAUCUUGUUACAGGUAAACUUCCAGAGCAUUGGACCAAGCAAGACAAGGCCAAAUUCUUUGCAGAGAUAAAGAAUUUCUUUUGGGAUGACCCGUAUUUGUUCAAGUAUUGUGCAGACCAAAUUGUUAGACGAUGUGUCCCAGAAAGUGAAAUUCAGAAUAUCCUUUCAUUCUGCCAUGAACAAGCUUGUGGAGGCCAUUUCAGUGCUAAGAAAACAGCGACUAAAGUAUUACAAUGUGGUUUCUAUUGGCCAUCUAUAUUUCGAGACGCUUACACUUUCUGUUCUUCAUGUGAUAGGUGUCAACGAAUGGGAAGCAUUACAAGAAGGAACAUGAUGCCACUAAAUCCAAUUUUAGUGGUUUAGAUUUUUGACGUAUGGGGUAUCGACUUCAUGGGACCCUUUCCCCCUUCUUUUGGCCAUCAAUACAUAUUGGUUGCUGUUGACUACGUAUCCAAAUAGGUAGAAGCAAUUCCAUGCAGAACUAAUGAUCACAAGGUGGUGAUAGGAUUUUUGAAAAGCAACAUUGUCUCACGCUUUGGAUUCUCUCGAGCAAUAAUCAGUGAUGGUGGUGCCCACUUUUGUAACAAAGCAUUCAAGUCUCUUUUGACAAAGUAUUCAAUCACUCACAAAGUGGCGACCCCAUAUCAUCCGCAAACCAGUGGCCAAGUUGAAAUUUCCAAUCGAGAAAUAAAGCACAUAUUAGAAAAAACGGUGAGGCCAGACAGGAAAGAUUGGUCAUUAAGACUUGAUGAUGCAUUAUGGGCAUACAGAAUGGCUUUCAAGACCCCGAUUGGGAUGUCACCCUACAGGCUAGUGUAUGGAAAACCUUGCCACCUACCUAUGGAACUCGAGCAUCGUGCAUAUUGGGCCAUCAAGAAAUUCAACUUUGACAUGCAGCAAGCCAGUUCAGAAAGAAGAUUACAACUGGCAGAACUUGAAGAAAUUCGCAAUGACGCAUACGAAACUGUCAAGAUUUACAAGCAACGGAUGAAAGUCUUGCAUGACAAGCAAAUUAUGAGAAAAUCGUUCACUCCAGGUCAGAAAGUGCUUUUAUUCAAUUCUCGCUUGCACCUAUUCCCAGGUAAGUUACGCUCUCGAUGGUCUGGUCCCUUUAUUGUUCAUACUGUUUUUCCACAUGGGGCAAUUGAAAUUAAUGAUCAAAAGAAUGGUGUCACGUUUAAAGUUAAUGGUCAAAGAUUAAAGCCAUAUCUAGAGUACCAACCACAUGGAGAAGACACCGAAAUAAAUUUGAAUGACCCACCAGAGUUGAAUUGAUUUUUUUUUCUUUUCGUUGAUUUGAUUUUUUUUUCUUUCUUUAUAUUAUUCUUCUACUAAUUGAAAUUAUUUUUGCAUAAGUGUGUUUGUUUAACUAUUAAGUUUUCUUUUAUCAUUUUUAAUCAUGAGUACCUUACUAAGAUCGUUCCUCCUGAACAUUCUUAAACCACUUCAACGUGUCAAAACUCAUCUAAAAAAGCAGAUUCAAUUUUGUAAAACAUAUCGCAUUUGGGCUCUACAACCACCAGAGUUAGUAGCCUAUGUUGAGGGUUUAGAAAGCCAACUCAGAGACAUUGAGAGAAGUGUUUACGACAUCCAGUUGGAGCUUGAGGUAAAUUCAAUAAGAGGACGAUUUUAAUUUUCUUUGUGUGUUUUAAUUUAUUUUUCUGUUUGUGUGCUUUAGUUUGUUACCCCGGUGAAGUGGCGGAUAACGGUACUCCGUGACAAUCAAGUCGGUACUUCAGUUUCCCAUAAUAACUGAUAUUCUGAGGCGAAGGUAUGGACAGAAAUGAGAUUCUAGCAAAACUUCACAAGCGAUUCCCUUCACUUCCUCAGAAUGCCCUCCUUACGAUCUAUAAAGCUCGGUCCGAACGCAUGCGAUUUCUCAUGAGGAAUAACAUACCUGCUGACAUCCGUUGGUUAAUCGAGGCUAAAAUACAAUCGGAAGGUGAGUUACCUCCAAAAUUUAUUGCAUACAUGCCUGGUUGUGGUAAAGGAAAUUAUGCAAGAAAACGACGAGCUCGAAGAAUUUUUGUUGCUUGUCAUAAGUGCGCCAGAAUGAGUUGCACUAAAAACCCAUGUUCUUUAGAAUGGUGUCUGAUAACAGGGAAGAUAAAAUUCAAUUCAUUAGGGAUGGCUUGAAUAAGGAGUCAUUGGAUGAUAUCCUUUUGUCUCUUGAAACGCAUCCCAGUGGAUAUGUGCAAGGAGCGAUUCUCCAGUUAUGGCCAUUAUUCCAGAAAGAGCAUGCACGAUACAGUCUCAGGAAUCUGACUAUAAACGACCUUGUUUGCCAGUUUGUAAGAAAACUAGAUAGGAAGCCCAUCCUCGACCCAUAGAGGGCGUUCAAUCCGUUUCUGGACAUAAAACCAGAGGAAGAUGUGAGCCACAGUCCCAACUACCUGUAAAUAUCCUUUUACUUUACUGUUAUUUUAUUUCACUAUUAUUUUAUUGUGUGCAUUAUUGUCUUUAAUAAUUUUAUUACUAUUUGCUUUUUCCUCAUUACUGCUUGCUUUUUCAUUUUUACUGUUUCCUUUUUGACUCGCGAGCUAUGUACUUUACGCGUUAUUUGACACUGACAUGUUACCUCAUACACAACUGUGACCCACUAUCAUCAAGACUCUUAAAUGUGAUUUUAUUUGUCAAGCACUCACAAAUUAUUUUUUGAGAAGUAUCCCAAUGGCAGCUACUCCAAAUAGACAAUUCAAGAACAUUUGUGUGCUUUCUGGAUUUACCUAUGGCAAACAUAAAGAGUUCAUUGAGGCAGCCAUCGAUCUUGGUCGAAGCAUAGCAGCGAGACAAUUACACUUAGUGUAUGGAGGAGGUAACCGAGGGUUAUCAAAAAUGGUCUCAGAAGCAGCUUUUAUCAGAGGAAGUCAAGUGUUAGGCAUCAUCCCAAGAGUCUUAAAACCAUUGGGCAGUUCGUCUGACUCAUCAACUGGAGAAGAGUUAGUCGUCUCAGGUAUGCAAGAAAGAAUAACUGAAAUGCUUAAUCAUGCUGUUGCUUUUAUUUUCCUUCCAGGAGAUCUUCCAACACUAGAGGCACUUAUCACACUAGCAUCUUGGGCCCAUCUGCACAUCCACCAGAAACCCAUCGGUUUGUUAAAUUUCAAUAACUUUUAUGAUGGCUUUAUCGCAUUUCUUAACCAUGCAAAAAAAACUAUUUCAUUCCUUCUAAUGUGAAAAAACUUUUUAUUUGUGCUCACACUGCUAAUGAGCUACUUGAUCUGUUACAAGCUUAUAAACCGAAGCCAGACCCCUGGACCUUUGUGUUGGAGCGCCCAAAUAAUGAUGGUAACAGUAGCCGCAGUAAGAAGUACAAAUUAGAUUUAACUCUCCGCUUGUAAAUAUUUUCUUCUGUGUUACACCACCCAGGUGAUGUCUUCUAAACUCUACUUCUUUCCUUUCAAACAUUGCGGACAAUGUUUUGUUCUGGUUGGGGGGAGGGAAUAGUCGACAAUUGUGUAAUUUUGGUUAAGUUUUUACUAAUUUUUUGUUGUAGAAACUAACUGUUGCUAACUUUUUGUGUUGAAGAUGGCUGAAUAUGGAGUGUAGUGACUCUAGAAACGCAUCUUCAUCGUUUAAAAAAAAAUAAAAAAAAAAUUCAGACAUUUAUUUUUCUUUAUUAUGUUUUUAUGUUUAUUUUUCUUCUUUUUAAUUUCUCCUCUAUAAAUAUACAUAUUCCAACUUGUGAGUCGAAGAUUGCUGAAUAUGGAGUGUAGUGUCUCUAGAAACGCAUCUUCUUAAAAAAAAAAAUUAUUUUCAUUUUUUAUCAUUUUACGUGUAACUUUUCUAAUUAGUUUUUAUGCAUCAUUUUCACAUUUCUGCAUGCAUAUUUUCCUUUCAUGUUUAGAAUAGGUUGGGGGGUAGAAUAUUAUUUGAAAAAAAAAAUUUGUGUGAUUUGUUUUAACAUUGGAUGACAUGAUUAAUUUCAAAUUUAGUAUUUGUAUUAUCUUUGGUCUUAAGUGAUGUUACGCUAUGUUUGCUACUUUACAUGUUGAUGUCGGAGACAAAUAUGAGUUGCUUGAAAGAAUGAACAUGUCAUAAAUAAGUGCCAAGUGAGUUGUUAAGCCUAUCAUUUUCUUGGAGAGUAACCCUUUUGCCCAUUCUCUAUACAGUUUAGCAGUUUAUUAUUUUAUACACGAUCUCUAGAUUUCUUUUGAGUUAACCCUUAAAAAAAAUGGUAAAAAAAAAAAAAAAAGAAAAAGAAAAAGAAAAAGAAAAUAUGUGUUGCUACAUUGGGAGACUCGUCUAACAAGUAGAUAUGGAUGAUUAUUUAGAGCCCUAAAAGACGAUGGAAAUGCCAUCUUUGAUCCGUUUGAGCCUUUCUAGCCAUCCCUUUUAUUAAAUAUCCAUAGUUAACCCCUUUUGAGCCUUUAAAAAAAACAAAAAAAACAAAAAAAAAACAUUUUCUUUGUCAACUUAUCAUCUUGACCCACUCCAAUUUGGUGUAUUACCCGAUGUCUUAUAAGUUCCAUCACCUAUUUAUGUUUGAGAAAAUGUAAAUAAUUAUGUUGUUUAGUGAAGUUAUGCCAAAUAAAAGCAAAAAAAACAAAACAAAACUUGUUGUUUCAAAAGAAUAAAAAUAACAACAAUAGGUGAAAUCCACCUUGCAACUUCAAAAAAAAAAACAAAAAAAAUUCCUCUGCAUUUUUCUCAAACAUACACUUUGUUUUCCUUAUUUCCCUUAUUUGUUAGCCAUGUCUCUAGCCUACGUUAUGUCCUAAUAAAAGUCCUUCUUGAUUUUAGGGAACUAUAGUUUGAAGUAGAAGCUAGUUAUAUGGGCUAAAAAGAUAUAGUGAUGCAUAAUAAUAAUAAAAAAAUGAUAAAUAAAGUGGGUUGACUAGCAUUUUUAUUUGACUUGAGAUCGUAUUAUUUCUAAGCUGAGGGCAUAUUUAUUUCAUCUUGGUGAGAGCAUGUGAUAUCACUUCUUUAUUAUUUUCUCUCUCAAUUACCAUUCAUUGGAGUGACUAUUUUUAUUAGUUUUAAUUUCUUUGUGAGAGUGUCACUACUUCCAGUGAGAUUUUAGGGGUUUGACAUGUCAUUCUUGAAAGUAGCUAUAACAAAGUCUACUGGGUUGAUUCAUGUGGAUGGUUGAUGUGGGUGUGAUGUUGCUUUAGACAGGAGAUAAUGCUUAUACUUUUAUUUGAUUGCUAUCAUUAAUCUGAUGGAAUAAAUACGAGUGUUUCUAUUAAAAAAAAAUUAUUAUUUUGAAUUUGAAUUUUGUUUUCGCUUUAUGUUGUUUAGUGAAGGUGUGUUGAGUGUUAGAAAAUGCAUAUUUAUAAAGGAGAAAACCGUCAUUUGAUAUUUCAAGUCUUACUAACAACCCUUACUUUUAUGUAUUUAACCUUCUUUUGAUUGAAUUCUGUGUGUUUUAUUUUAAUUAAGUAUUUUAUGUAUUUUAGGGGCAUUAUAGUCAUUUCACAAUAAAAGAGAGAUCAGACGGCAAAACAGACAUCACUUUUGAACUCAGGACGGUCGAAAACCUUAGGAGGAACAUAAAAGGAAAAAUGGCACUAUUCACAUGUACGGUACUAUUCACAUGUACGGUACUGUAUACGUUACUGUUCACGACACUGUUCACAUAGACGGAUGAUGACGUGGCAUUGACCGAUGAUGUGGCAUUGACUGAUGAGGUGUCACGAUCCUGUUGGGCUAAAAUUCUUAUGUACUGUUGAUGGUGACGUGGCAGCAUAUCAGUGGACGAAAAAUCUCGCGUACGGUACAUGCAUCACACAGGAUUAUUUUCAACCAAACCGCGUUACUGUUCAUCCGGGUCAAACCGUGUUACUGUUCAUCCGUGUGGUCAAACCGCGUACUGUUGACUGAUGACGUGGCGCAAUCCUGAGCGUCCAAACUAUUUUUAAUCUGAUGGCCAUGAUUUACUCCAUGUAUCUAUAAAAAGGGGGCCUCCCCCUCCUAAUUUAAUAUCUCUGAAUCCAUUUUUGGGAUCCAUUUUCUGUAAUUCCUUCUCCAUCUUGUAUUUUCUUCGUAUUUUAAUAAAUUCCCAUUUUGCCCCUAGUUCAAUUAUGAGUGGCUAAUUUUCUUUCAAGCUUGGGUUGAAGGUGAAGUCUCAACAUGUGUCAUGGGCUUUAUUUGGUAAAUUUAUUUUCUCUUCCCCUCUAGUGUUUGUGGAUGUUUUGACUUCUCGUCGACAAAUAAUACUAAUCUUGUCUAGUACCGCCUUGGUUUCACCGGCUCUCUAGUACAAGGUUAUUAUUAUUUGGCACGAUAAGCCCUUAGCACCAUAUUGAUUAGAGUGUGGUUCAUGAGGUGUGGAUUCCCCCCUCAUGAUUUAAUUGGUAUUAAUAAGGAAUAUUUAGCCCAUGGUGCAUGUUGAUACGGAUCCAGAUACCCAAGUGCUUCAUUUCAAUAGAAUUAUCUUCAAUUUAUUCUCGCCAUUUCAAUUCCAAUUUUAGAAUUUAUUCUCGCCAUUUUAAUUUAAGUUUUAGCAUAUUCCAAAUCAUUUCCACCACAAAUCCAACCACCCAUUUACAAAAUUAAUUCUAUACAUAAUUAAAAUCCACCUCCUCGUGGGAUCGACACUCGUCACCAUUAGUCUAUACUACAAUAGAUUCGUGCGCUUGCGAGUACAUUAAAAUUUGCACAACAAUCACUACAACACAUUUCUCAAUAUUCCUUUAUAUAAAUAGAGACUCAUGCCUUUCUAAUUCUGACACAUCCAUUUUAAUUCAAAUUAAGCUUUUUAGAAUUCAAUUAAGAAAUUGAAAAAAUGUCAAAGAGCUCAGUUUCAUCAUGCUUGUAAUGGCAAACACUAAAUGCAUGCUAGCCUAGAUGCUUCAUUUUCUAUUUCCCUAGGUUUACAAGUGAAAAUUAUUUGUUCGAGAAGUUACUAUACCUACACAUGCCUCGAGGGGAAUGUAAAAGAUUUUGAUAAUCAGUUUUUUCUUUUAUCUUUUAUUAGUGUUUUUAUGAUAAUGAUUAAUCGUAGUGAAAUUAAAACUAUGUUUUAAUUAAAGAAGAAAUUAAUCCGCUAUGAGUGCUUAAUGUUUUGUCAUGUGCUUUUUUUGUGUGUGUUUUUGGUUUGCUUUGUUUUAUACGUAUCAUUGAAUCAAUCUAUGAGAGAAAAAUUAGUUGAAACGCUAAUAUUGAUCAAGCAGUCAUAACUACAAUGUUAGUACCGUACGUAAUAUUUAUAUUUUAAAUCUAUUUUCUUUUAGGGUGAGGCUAUAUAGAUCCUAUUUUUAUCAAAAUCUAUUUUUUUUUCUAAAUCUUAUAUUACUAACCUAUCUGAUUUAAUUUAUGGCUAAAUUCAACUUAUGUAUAGAGAACCUUCAAUUUACCACAAAAAAUGAGAAAAAAUCAAUUCACCCCCAUUUACUACUACGAAAAUAAAUAAAAGAUCAUCAACCUAGCCCCUAUUUAAGCUCAUUUUUUGAAAAAACAAAUUAGUGUAAAUUGAGGUUCUCAUGCUCUUAGAGGGUAAACUGAAGAUUGUUAUUAGGAGGGGGAUGAAUUAAAGUUUACCUCAAUUAAUAUAAGAAAACUUUUCAUAUUAUUCCUGACACAUUUGUCGUGUUGAUAUGCCCACAUCAAUUCAAUUGGUAACUCAUGUUGAAUGAACGGAUUGAUUAGAUAAAUUAUCAUCGGAUGUUAGGCAAUCUUGUAUUCUACAUGCCUUACUAACUUAUUUCUUAAGAAUUUUUGUAAUUGUGUUUGUUGUAAUUUGUAGUGGCUAAUUACAACAACUGACUCAAUACUUCAAUAUUUAAUCAAUCAAGAUCGAUUUGGAAUCAAAAUUGAUAAAGAACAGAGAAAAGAAUAGAAAACGGAAUUGGAUUGCAAAGAACAAGUUACCAGAUUUGAAGGAAAAAUUCACACUCUUUCAUUAAUCAAAACUGAGUACGAACAGAUCACAUCUGAAGAGGAGAUUACAAUAAUCACGUGUAAAGAAGAAUUAUUUUAAUUGGAGAAGAAAUCAAUUAUAUGUCAGAUGACUUGUUAUCCACUUGCCUCUACUUUUCUAUUCAAUCCACACAGUAGCGCUGAAUCCCCCAACUUGCCCAAAGGACUUAUGUUGUGUUUACUAAAUUGGAAUCGGAAUCAGCUGGAAUCAGAAUGGGCAGGAAUGAGAAUGAGCUGAAAUGGGAAUAGGGAAUGAGAAUCAGAAUAAGUUGUUUACUUGAAUUGUAGGAAUCGAAAUCGGAAUGAGCUGGAUUACCUUAAAUGUGCUAACUUUGUCUUGGAAUCGGAAUCGAAAUGAGUUAGAUUGUAACAAAUUACUAAAAAGUACUUAAUGAAUUAUUGUCAUAAUUAUUAUUUUAUAUUUGAAUUAUAGUGAUUAUUUAUUCAAAAAUAUUAUUAUUAUUAAUUAUUGUCAAUAAUAUAUUGAUAUAUUAAUUAAUUAUAAAAAUUAUUAAUGAAUUAAUUAUAUUAAUAAUUAUUAUAAAAUAUAUUAAUUAAUAAUAUUAAUAUUACUUAUUUAAUUAUAAUAAUAUAUUAAUUAUUGUGAUUAUUUAUUCAAAAACUAUAAUUAUUAAUAUAUUGUUGUUAAUAAUGUAUUAAUAUAUUAAUUAAUUAAUAAUAAUAUAUGAAUAAAUUAUAAUAAUUAUAUUUAUUAUUAAUAAUUAUAGUUUUUAUAUUAAUUAAUAGUGCUAAUUAUUGCAAUUAAUUAAUGAUAAUAUAUGAAUUCAUUAUAAUAACUAUAUUAAUAAUUAUUAUAAUAGUAUAGUAAUUAAUUAAUUAUAAUUAUAAUAUAUUAAUUAUUGUGAUUAUUUAUUUAAAAUUUCAAUUAUUAAUAAUUCUUGUUAAUAAUGUAUCAAUAUACUAAUUAACUAUAAUAUACUAAUUAAUUAAUUAUAAUAAUAUAUUAAUUAAUUAUAUAUUUGGCUUUUUUAUUUUUGAUAUUUAUAUUUUUUAUUUAAAGGAGGGGCAUUUUAGGAAAAUUUGAAUGUCAAUGGAGGUAAAAUGGGAACUCUAGGGAAUGAGAGAUUGAUUCCCACCUCCCCCCAUAGGAAUCAAUCUGCCCGUUCCCAAAUAGUGAUGGGUCCCACAAUUUUGAUUCCGAUUCCUGCUCCAUUUUUGUGAAGUAAACGCCGUCAAUCAUUCCGAUUCUGAUUCCCUAAUCCAGGAAGUAAAUACACCAUUAAUUAAUUCACUCAAGUCUUUUUGGUCACUCAGUUUGAGAAUUUAUUUCUUGUUUUUUAUGAUGCUUCCUAUGUAAUAACUGCGUGUGAUUAGGAACUUGUAUUUAUUUAAUUUGUAACAUCUCAAGAGCGUUACAAUAAAAAGACAGAAAAAGAAAAGUUGAAACUAACAAUAUUGAUUAAAAUUCCUACUUGUUAUUCUUAGUGGUAACCACAUUUAAGUCUUGAAUUUGCAGGAGCCAACACCACGAAGCCCAUAUUUUGCAUCAUUAAAUGAUUAAUCUUAUUGUUAUCUCUACUUUCACUAUUGUCUUAUCAAAAGUUUUUUCUUAUCAUACUAGCUUCAUAAAAAUUAACAUAUUAUCAUUUUUAAGUCGUCCAUCAAGUAUAAAUAUUAUAUUAUUUAGUUAUAUAAUAAAAAUAAAGAAAUGUCUAAAAUUAAAAGACAUCUUAAAUUAAAGCCAAACUAUCUAUCGUAAAUAAAUAAAAGAAUACAUAUUUGCAUUUAGAAACUACUGCUUUAAACCAUUUUGUAAUUACCAAAACUUUUUCUUAAAUAAAAUAAAAUAACAUAAAGUAAAAGAAAUUAAAAGUCAAUAUUUUUAUUUUCAAGUGAUGAAAUUAAAAUUUUGGUUAUAAUUACAUAAGGCAAAAGAAAGGUGGUGCAAUGAUAAUUUCAAGUGAUGAAAUUGAAAUUAAUUAUAUUCAAGUGAUGAAUAUGUUAGAACUUUGCGGGGGUUGGAUGAAUAUAAGGUAAAAGAAAGGUGGUGCAAUGAUAAUUUCCCUUUUUUCUUUUUAUGGUGCUUCUUAUCUAAUAAGUGCAUGAAUUAGAGCUUGUAUUUACUUAAUCAUAGCAUCCAAAAGCAUUACAGAAGAGAGACAAAGCAAGAAAAGUUGAAUACUAACUAUUUGAUGAAGAUUCCUGGUACUAAUUAAUCCUACAUGUUACUCUUCACGAUAACCACAUCUGGGUCUUGAACUUGUAGGAGUCAACAACACUUGACACACGCACAAAAAACACAUGACAAAAUAUUGCAUACUCAUAAUGGAUUAAUUUCUUCUUUUACUAAAACACAGUUUUAAUUCCACUACAGUUGAUCAUUAUUGUAAAAGCACUCAUAUAAGAUAAAAUAAAUAACUUAUUUUGAAAUUCAUUUGCAUCCCUUGCAGAACAAGGGUAGAUAUAGUCUUUAGGAGCCUUUUUUAACUUCUCGAUCAAAUACUCUUCCCUUGUAAACCCUAAACAAUAAAUAAUGUCAGGUGUGCUGUAGGAUUAAAGGAAAAUGAAGCAUUGGGAUUAGAUUCUGGGCGAGUACUGUUGAGUGUUAGAAAAUACAUAUUUAUAAAGGAGAAAACCGUCAUUUUACAUUUCAAGUCUUACUAACAACCCUUACUUUUAUGUAUUUAACCUUCUUGUGAUUUCAUUACAUGUGUUUUAUUUUAAUUAAGUAUUUUAUGUAUUUUAGGGGUAUUAUAGUCAUUUCACAAUAAAGGAGAAAUCAGACGGCAAAACGGACAUCACUUUUGAACUCAGGACGGUCGAAAACCUUAGGAAGAGCAGAAAAGGAAAAAUGGCACUAUUCACAUGUACGGUACUAUUCACGUGUACGGUACUGUAUACGUUACUGUUCACGACACUGUUCACAUAGACGGAUGAUGACGUGGCAUUGACCGAUGAUGUGGCAUUGACUGAUGAGGUGUCACGAUCCUGUUGGGCUAAAAUUCUUAUGUACUGUUGAUGGUGACAUGGCAGCAUAUCAGUGGACGAAAAAUCUCGCGUACGGUACAUGCAUUACACAGGAUUAUUUUCAACCAAACCGCGUUACUGUUCAUCUGGGUCAAACCGUGUUACUGUUCAUCCGCGUGGUCAAACCGUGGACUGUUGACUCAUGACGUGGCGCAAUCCUGAGCGUCCAAACUGUUUUUAAUCCGAUGGCCAUGAUUUACUCCAUGUAUCUAUAAAAAGGGGGCCUCCCCCCCCCUAAUUUGAUAUCUCUGAAUCCAUUCUUGGACUCCAUUUUCUGUAAUUCCCUCUCCAUCUUGUAUUUUCUUCAUAUUUUAAUAAAUUCUCAUUUUGCCCCUAAUUCAAUUAUGAGUGGCUAAUUUUCUUUCAAGCUUGGGUUGAAGGUGAAGUCUCAACAUGUGUCAUGGGCUUUAUUUGGUAAAUUUAUUUUCUCUUCCCCUCUAGUUUUUGUGGAUGUUUUGACUUCUCAUCGACAAAUAAUACUAAUCUUGUCUAGUACCGCCUUGGUUUCACCGGCCCUCUAGUACAAGGUUAUUAUUAUUUGGCACGAUAAGCCCUUAGCACCAUAUUGAUUAGAGUGUGGUUCACGAAGUGUGGAUUCCCCCCUAAUGAUUUAAUUGGCAUUAAUAAGGAAUAUUUAGCCCAUGAUGCAUGUUGAUACGGAUCCAGAUACCCAAGUACGUCAUUUCAAUAGAAUUCUCUUCAAUUUAUUCUUGCCAUUUCAAUUCCAAUUUUAGAAUUUAUUCUCGCCAUUUUAAUUUAAGUUUUAGCAUAUUCCAAAUCAUUUCCACCACAAAUCCAAUCACCCAUUUACAAAAUUAAUUCUACACAAUUAAAAUCCACCUCCUCGUGGGAUCGACACUCGUCACCAUUAGUCUAUACUACAAUAGAUUCGUGCGCUUGCGAGUACAUUAAAAUUUGCACAACAAGUUUUUGGCGCCGUUGCCGGGGAAGGUAAGUAGUUUUAAUUCAUAAAAUUAAUUUUUUUUUUAAUAAUUUCUUUUAAUUGUUUUCUUGUAAUUUUUUUUAUUAAAAAAAACAGAAAAAAAAGAGUAAAUUUAUAUUUUGAGCUAAGAAUUUUAUUUAUUUAUUUUCUCUCUUCUUUAAAAUUCUGUAAUUUAAUUUUGAAUUUAUUUUUCUUUGUAAUUUUUUUAUCUUAUUAAUUUAUUUUUAGUUAAUUUAUUUCACGUAUUUGUUUUUGUGUAUUUUUAUAGUAAGGUUGUAAUAGCGCAAUAAGGUUAGUAUCGUAAUUUCUCCCUCUUCUUUAUUUUUAUUUAUUUUAUUCCCAUCUUUAUUUUUUAUUUUAUUUGUUUUACAUGCAUGGUCGAAGGUCAUUAUUACCCAAUCUUGAAUCUAUAGACCUUGAACUUGAGAAAACACUUCGCACACACAAACAAGUAAAAAAUAAAAUGGAUUUGCAACCACAGGAGAGGCCAUUUAAGGAUUAUUUCAGUCCUUUAGCAAAUUUGAGUACAUCAUGUAUAAGAUAUCCAAAUGUAGCUGCUAGGAGCUUUGAAUUAAAACCUAGUGUGCUAAAUUGUCUCCCCACAUUUUAUGGCCUAGAAAAUGAGGACCCAUAUAAUCAUCUGAAUGAUUUUCAUGCUAUUUGUCAAACUUUUAAAUACGAAAAUUUUUCAGAUGAUGAUGUAAAGCUUAGAUUAUUCCCAUUUUCUUUAAAGGAUAGAGCUCGUUCAUGACUUAAUACAUUGCCUGCUAAUAGCAUUGCAUCAUGGGAACAAAUGGUAACGAAAUUUUUGAAUAAAUAUUUCCCAGUGCAUAAAACCAAUGCUAUUCGCAGGGAAAUCUCAAAGUUUACCCAGAGAGAGGACAAGCAAUUUUUCGAAACAUGGGAGCGAUUCAAUGGGCUACUCUUGAAGUGUCCACAUCAUGGGUACGAGAAAUGGCACCAAUGCCAAUACUUUUUGGAGGGAUUACUACCGAAUGUGCAAGAAUGGCUAAUGGCAACAAGUGGAGGGGAGCUAAUGUCAAAAAGUGCAUCAGAAAUUUGAGAGUUUUUCCAGCGACAAGCGGACAAUUCCCAACAACGGAGUCGAUCACUCAGGAAUACUAGAAGGAUUAAGGGAGUAAAUGAGGUUUACAGUGGCGAGUCAAGUUCAGAAAUCAAAGAAGUCAAGGAGAUGGUUGAAGGUCUUGCUCGACAAAUAGCAUCGUUAUCGACUGCUAAAUCAACAGAACCACAUGACCAUGACUCAUACUCAGAUCAAGCCAAUGCCAUAGGUGUAAUGAGAAAGCCAUCAAAUUACAACCCAUACUCCAACACAUAUAACCCUGGAUGGAGAGAUCACCCCAAUUUUUCAUGGUCUCAAGGACUCCAACAGAAUGGACCAGCAACUCCAGCUCCACCAAUGCAACCAAUUCCUCAAAAUCCUCAAGCCUCUCAGUCCCCAUUUAGACCAUACAAUCAGAACCAGAACUACUCUCAACCCAGACCAUGGGAGGAUGCAUUCCAGAAUUUCAAGAAUGUUACUCACUCCACGAUUGAGCAACAAAACCGCACCAUUGAUGGACUACGAAAUGAGUUGAGAGCGGGCUUCAACUCACAAGCUCAAUCAGUUUCAAGCCUCGAGAAGAUAGUGGGACAACUUGCUUCUUUAGUUCAAACCUUGGCAAUGACUGUUGAGAAAGGCAAGUUUCCAAGUCAACCAGUGCCUAAUCCUAAAGGAGUACAUGAAGCAAGUACCAGUUCACCACAACAGCAUGGAGAGGUCAAAGCAGUCAUGACCUUGCGAAAAGGAAAAGAAGUCGACAACAAAGUGGAGAUGCUGGUGACAAAAGAAAAUCAAAUUGUACCUGUGAAUGUUGAGGACUCAUCACCGGAGGAGAAAGAAGAAACCAACCCACGAGAAUAUGUUCCGAAAGCUCCAUUUCCUCAGCGGUUAGCUAAAGGCAAGAAGGGAAAAUCCACAGGUGAGAUUCUUGAAAUCUUCAAACAAGUAAGUGUUAACAUUCCUUUGCUUGAUGCUAUUAAACAAGUUCCAUCUUAUGCCAAGUUUCUUAAAGACCUUUGUACUAAAAAGAGAAAUAUGCAUGUUCAAAAGAAGACAUUUUUAACAGAAAACGUUAGUUCUAUACUCCAACAUAAAAUUCCUCUAAAAUGUAAAGACCCAGGCUCCCCCACUAUCUCAUGUAGUAUAGGGAACCACACAAUUGAGAAUGCUUUGUUGGAUUUAGGAGCUAGUGUAAAUCUGUUGCCUUAUUCAGUAUUUGUGAAACUUGGACUUGGAGAAUUACACCCAACUCCAAUGGUGUUACAGCUUGCAGAUCGGUCUACAAAAAUACCUCGUGGUAUUGUGGAGGACGUGCUUAUCCAGGUAGACAGGUUUUAUUUUCCUGUUGAUUUCGUUGUAAUUGACACUCAACCAAUACAGGAUUCAAGGAAGCACAUUCCCAUUAUCCUAGGCCGACCUUUCUUGGCAACUGCGGAUGCUCACAUUCAAUGCAGGACUGGAAAUAUGCAGUUGUCCUUCGGCAACAUGACUAUGGAGCUGAACAUCUUCAACAUUGCCAAACAACCUCACAAUGCAGAUGAUGGAAUUGUUGAUGUGGAUUUAAUUGAAGCAUUAGUUGAUGAUACUUUUGUUUCAAACCUUAGUGAUGAUCCUUUACAAACAUGUUUAACUCACUUUGGUUUGAAUUUUGAUAUUGACAGAUCGGUCGAUGAGGUCAACGCCCUGCUUGACUCAGCACCAUCUAUGGACACUAAUAAAUGAAAGUCAAGAGUUGAGCAACUAGCACCAUCAGAGAAGAAACUCAUCCCAUCAUCAGAAUCACCACCGAAACUCGAGCUCAAACCAUUACCCAACACUCUGGAAUAUGCAUUUUUGGGAGAAGAAAGUACUUUGCCGGUAAUCAUCUCAUCAUCCCUAAAUGACGAACAAAAAGGUAAGUUGUUGGAUGUUUUGAAAGAGCACAAAGGGGCAUUAGGAUGGACCAUAGCAGACAUAAAAUGUAUAAACCUAGUAGACUGCAUGCAUUACAUUCACCUUGAUGAAAAUGCUAAAUCUACUAGGGAAAUGCAACGUCGGUUAAAUCCUAAUAUGAAAGAAGUUGUGAGAACAUAAGUCCUUAAGCUAUUAGAUGCUGGUAUCAUUUACCCCAUUUCUGAUAGUUCAUGGGUCAGUCCUGUACAAGUUGUCCCUAAAAAGUCAGGAGUCACAGUAGUUACCAAUGCUGAUAAUGAAUUGAUACCCACUAGAGUAACUAUAGGAUGGCGUGUAUGUAUUGAUUAUAGGAAGUUGAAUUCUGUCACAUGUAAAGACCAUUUUCUUUUACCAUUUAUUGAUCAAAUGCUUGAUAGAUUAGCAGGCCAUGAAUUUUAUUGCUUUCUAGAUGGCUACUCAGGAUAUAAUCAGAUUCCCAUAGCACCAAAAGAUCAGGAGAAAACUACUUUCACUUGCCCUUUUGGCACAUUUGCAUAUAGGAGAAUGCCAUUUGGAUUAUGUAAUGCACCUGCUACAUUUCAACGAUGCAUGUUGAGCAUUUUUUCUGAUAUGGUGGAACGAUUCCUUGAAGUCUUUAUGGAUGAUUUUUUUGUCUUUGGUGACUCGUUUGAUCAAUGUUUACAUCAUCUAACACUAGUUCUGCAGAGAUGUAUCGAGAAGAACUUGGUCUUAAAUUGGGAGAAAUGCCAUUUUAUGGUAAAACAAGGUAUUGUUCUCGGUCACAUCAUUUCGAGCAAAGGUAUUGAGGUUGACAAAGCCAAGGUGGAUCUCAUUUCUAAUCUUCCUCCACCCAAAACAGUCAGAGAAGUAAGAUCUUUCCUUGGGCAUGCUGGUUUCUAUAGACGUUUCAUUAAAGAUUUUAGCAAAGUUUUUAGACCCUUAUGCAAUUUACUUGCUAAGGAUGUACCUUUUAUCUCUAGUGAUUCAUGUCUUAUGGCAUUUGAAAAAUUAAAACAGUUGUUGACAUCAUCACCCAUCAUUCAGGCCCCAAACUGGAGCUUACCAUUUGAGCUAAUGUGUGAUGCAUCUGAUUAUGCAGUAGGAGCAGUAUUAGGACAAAGAGUUGAUCGAAUUCCCCACGUUAUUUAUUAUGCUAGUAUGACAUUAAAUGAUGCACAGUUGAACUAUUCAACUACUGAAAAAGAAAUGCUAGCAGUAGUGUUUGCAUUGGAAAAAUUUCGAUCAAAUCUCAUUGGUUGUAAAAUAAUUAUAUUCACGGAUCAUGCUGCUCUUAAAUAUCUUCUCACAAAGAAAUAUGCAAAAGCCAGACUAAUUCGUUGGGUGUUACUUUUGUAGGAGUUUUACUUGGAAUUCAAAGAUAAGAAAGGCACAGAGAAUGUUGUGGAGGACCACCUCUCUCGUCUCCAUUUUGACACAAUUACAGAAUCAUUACCAUAGAAUGAGUCAUUUCCAGAUGAACAAUUAAUGAAUGUGGAAGUAUUACCUUGGUAUGCUGAUAUAGUUAAUUAUCUUGUUACAGGUAAACUUCCAGAGCAUUGGACCAAGCAAGACAAGGCUAAAUUCUUUGCAGAAAUAAAGAAUUUCUUUUGGGAUGACCCGUAUUUGUUCAAGUAUUGUGCAGACCAAAUUGUUAGACGAUGCGUCCCAGAAAGUGAAAUUCCGAAUAUCCUUUCAUUCUGCCAUGAACAAGCUUGUGGAGGCCAUUUCAACGCUAAGAAAAUAGCGACUAAAGUUUUACAAUGUGGUUUCUAUUGGCCAACUAUAUUUCGAGAUGCUUACACUUUCUGUUCUUCAUGUGAUAGGUGUCAACGAAUGGGGAGCAUUACACGAAGGAACAUGAUGCCAUUAAAUCCAAUUUUAGUGGUUGAAAUUUUUUAUGUAUGGGGUAUCGACUUCAUAGGACCCUUUCCCCCAUCUUUUGGCCAUCAAUACAUAUUGGUUGCAGUUGACUAUGUAUCCAAAUGGGUAGAAGCAAUUCCAUGCAGAACUAAUGAUCACAAAGUGGUGAUAGGAUUUUUGAAAAGCAAUAUUGUUUCACGCUUUGGAUUCCCUCGAGCGAUAAUCAGUGAUGGUGGUGCCCACUUUUGUAACAAAGCAUUCAAAGCUCUUUUGACAAAGUAUUCAAUCACACACAAAGUGGCAACUCCGUAUCAUCCGCAAACCAGUGGCCAAGUUGAGAUAUCCAAUCGAGAAAUAAAGCACAUAUUAGAAAAAAUGGUGAGGCCAGACAGGAAAGAUUGGUCAUUAAGACUUGAUGAUGCAUUAUGGGCAUAUAGAAUGGCUUUCAAGACCCCGAUUGGGAUGUCACCCUACAGGCUAGUGUAUGGAAAAGCUUGCCACCUACCUGUGGAACUCGAGCAUCGUGCAUAUUGGGCCAUCAAGAAAUUCAACUUUGACAUGCAGCAAGCCAGCUCAGAAAGAAGAUUACAACUGGCAGAACUUGAAGAAAUUCGCAAUGAUGCAUACGAAAAUGCCAAGAUUUACAAGCAACGGAUGAAAGUCUUUUAUGACAAGCAAAUUAUGAGAAAAUCGUUCACUCCAGGUCAGAAAGUGCUUUUAUUCAAUUCUCGCUUGCACCUAUUCCCAGGUAAGUUACGCUCUCGUUGGUCUGGUCCCUUUAUUGUUCAUACUGUUUUUUCCACAUGGGGCAAUUGAAAUUAAGGACCCAAAGAACGGUGUCACGUUUAAAGUUAAUGGUCAAAGAUUAAAGCCAUAUCUAGAGUACCAACCACAUGGAGAAGACACCGAAAUAAAUUUGAGUGACCCACCAAAUUUGAAUUGAUUUUUUUUCUUUAUUUUCGUUGAUUUGAUUUUGUUUUCUUUCUUUCUUUAUAUUAUUCUUCUGCUAAUUGAAAUUAUUUUUGCAUAAGUGUGUUUGUUUAACUAUUCAGUUUUCUUUUAUCAUUUUUAAUCAUGAGUACCUUACUUAGACCGUUCCUCCUGAACAUUCUUAAACCACUUCAACGUGUCAAAACUCAUCUCAAACCGCAUAUUCAAUUUUGUAAAACACAUCGCAUUUGGGCUCUACAGCCACUAGAGUUAGUAGCCUAUGUUGAGGGUUUAGAAAGCCAACUCAGAGACAUUGAGAGAAGUGUUUACGACAUCCAGUUGGAGCUUGAGGUAAAUUCAAUAAAAGGACAAUUUUAAUUUUCUUUGUGUGUUUUAAUUUGUUUUUCUGUUUGAGUGCUUUAGUUUGUUACCCCGGUGAAGUGGCGUAUAGCGGUACUCCGUGACAAUCAAGUCGGUUACUUCAGUUUCCCAUAAUAACUGAUAUUCUGAGCCGAAAGUAUGGACAGAAACGAGACUCUAGCAAAGCUUCACAAGCGAUUCCCUUCACUUCCUCAGAAUGCCCUCCUUACGAUCUAUAAAGCUCGGUCCGAACGCAUGCGAUUGCUCAUGAGGAAUAACAUACCUGCUGAUAUCCGUUGGUUAAUUGAGGUGAAAGUACGAUCGACAGGUGAGUUACCUCCAAAAUUUAUUGCAUUCAUGCCUGGUUGUGGUAAAGGAAAUUAUGCAAGAAAACGACGAGCUCGAAGAAUUUCUGUUGCUUGUCAUAAGUGUGCCAGAAUGAGUUGCAAUAAAAACCCAUGUUCUUUAGGAAUGGUGUCUGAUAACAGGGAAGAUAAGAUUCAAUUCAUUAGGGAUGGCUUGAAUAAGGAGUCAUUGGAUGAUAUCCUUUUGUCUCUUGAAACGCAUCCCAGUGGAUAUGUGCAAUGAGCGAUUCUCCAGUUAUGGCCAUUAUUCCAGAAAGAGCAUGCACAAUACAGUCUCGGGAAUUUGACUAUAAACGACCCUGUUUGCCAGUUUAUAAGAAAACUGGAUGGGAAGCCUAUCCUCGACCCAUAGAGGGCAUUCAAGCCGUUUCUGGACGUAAAACCAGAGGAAGAUGUGAGCCACAGUCACAACUACCUGUAAAUAUCCUUUUACUUUAUUGUUAUUUUAUUUUACUAUUGUCUUUAAUAAUUUUAUUACUGUUUGCUUUUUCCUUAUUACUGUUUGCUUUUUCCUUUUUACUGUUUCCUUUUUGACUCGCGAGCCACGUGCUUUACGCGUUAUUUGACACGGACAUGUGACCUCAUACACAACUGUGACCCACUGUCACCAAGACUCUUAAAUGUGAUUUCUUUUGUCGAGCACUCACAAAUUAUUUUUGAGAAAUAUUCCAAUGGCAGCUACUCCAACUAGACAAGUCAAGAACAUUUGUGUGCUUUCUGGAUUUACCUAUGGCAAACAUAAAGAGUUCGUAGAGGCAGCCAUAGAUCUUGGUCGAAGCAUAGCAGCGAGAAAAUUACACUUGGUGUAUGGAGGAGGUAACCGAGGGUUAUCAAAAAUGGUCUCAGAAGCAGCUUUUAUCAGAGGAAGUCAAGUGUUAGGCAUCAUCCCAAGAGUCUUAAAACCAUUGGGCAAUUCGUCUGACUCAUCAACUGGAGAAGAGUUAGUCGUCUCAGGUAUGUAAGAAAGAAUAACUGAAAUGCUUAAUCAUGCUGAUGCUUUUAUUUUCCUUCCAGGAGAUCUUGCAACACUAGAGACACUUAUCACACUAGCAUCUUGGGCCCAUCUGCACAUCCACCAGAAACCAAUCGGUUUGUUAAAUGUCAAUAACUUUUAUGAUGGCUUUAUUGCAUUUCUUAACCAUGCAAUAAAAAACUAUUUCAUUCCCGCUAAUGUGAAAAAACUCUUUAUUUGUGCUCACACUGCUAAUGAGCUACUGGAUCUGUUACAAGCUUAUAGACCGGAGCCAGACCCCUGGACCUUUGUGUUGGAGCGUCCAAAUAAUGAUGGUAACAGUAGCAGCAGUAAGAAGUACAAAUUAGAUUUAACUCUCCGCCUGUAAAUAUUUUCUUCUGUGUUGCACCACCCAGGUGAUGUCUUCUGAACUCUACUUCUUUCCUUUAAAACAUUGAGGACAAUGUUUCGUUCUGGUUGGGGGGAGGGAAUAGUCGACAAUUGUAGAAUCUUGGUUAAGUUUUUACUAAUUUUUUAUUGUAGAAAUUAACUGUUGCUAACAUUUUGUGUUGAAGAUAGCUGAAUAUGGAGUGUAGUGACUCUAGAAACGCAUCUUCAUUGUUAAAAAAAAAAAUUUUUUAAAAAAUUAAAAAAAAUCAGACAUUUUCUUUUUCUUUAUUAUGUUUUGAUGUUUAUUUUUCUUCUUUUUAAUUUCUCCUCUAUGAAUAUACAUUUUCCAACUUUUGAGUCAAAGAUGGUUGAAUAUGGAGUGUAGUGCCUCUAGAAACGCAUCUUCUUAGUAAAAAAAUAAAAAUAAAAAAAAAUAUAAAAAACCAUUUUCUUUUCUAUCAUUUUAAGUGUAACUUUUCUAAUUAGUUUUUCUACAUCAUUUUCACAUUUCUGCAUGUAUAUUUUCCUUUUAUGUUUAGAAUAGGUUGGGGGGUAGAAUGUUGUUUAAAAAAAAAAAAUUGUGUGAUUUGUUUUAACAUUGGAUGACAUGAUUAAUUUCAAAUUUUAGUAUUUGUAUUAUCUUUGGUCUUAAGUGAUGUUACAUUAUGUUUGCUACUCUACAUGUUGAUGUCGGAGACAAAUAUGAGUUGCUUGAAGGAAUGAACAUGUCAUAAUAAGUACCAAGUGAGUUUUUGAGCCUAUCAUUUUUCUUGGAGAGUAACCCUUUUGCCCAUUCUUUAUACAGCUUAGUAGUUUAUUAUUGUAUACACGAUCUCUAGAUUUCUUUUGAGUUAACCCUAAAAAAAAAAAUGUGUGUUGCUACAUUUGGAGGCCCAUCUAACUAGUAGAUAUGGAAUGUUAUUUAGAGCCCUAAAAGAUGAUGGAAAGGCCAUCUUUGAUCCGUUUGAGCCUUUCUAGCCAUCCCUUUUAUCAAAUAUCCAUAGUUAACCCUUUUUGAGCCUUUAAAAAAAAAAAAACUUUUCUUUGUCAAAAUUCUCAUCUUAACCCACUUUGAUUUGGAGUAUUACCCAAUAUCUUACAAGUUCCACCACCUAUUUUUGUUUGAGAAAAAUAUAAAUAAUUAUUUUUGUUCAGUGAAGUUGUGCCAAGCAAAAGCAAAAAAAAAAAUGUUUCAAAAAAAAGAAAAAAAAAGAAAAAAAUAAUAAUAACAAUAAUAGGUGAAAUCCACCUUGCAACUUCCAAAAAAAUAAAAUAAAAUUCAUCUGCAUUUUUCUCAAACAUACACUUUGUUUUCCUUAUUUCCCUUCUUUGUUAACCAUGUCCCUAGCCUACGUUACAUCCUAAUAAAAGUCCUUCUUGAUUUUAGGGAACUAUAAUCUGAAGUAGAAGCUAGUUAUGUGGGCUAAAAAGAUGUAGUGAUGCAUAAUAAAAAAAAAGAUAAAUAAAGUGGGUUGACUAACAUUUUAUUUGACUCGAGAUCGUAUUAUUUCUAAGCUGAGGGCAUAUUUAUUUCAUCUUGGUGAGAGCAUGUGAUAUCACUUCUUUAUUAUUUUCUCUCUCAAUUACCAUUCAUUGGAGUGACUAUUUUUAUUGGGUUUAAUUUAUUUGUGAGAGUGUCACUACUUCUAGUGAGAUUUUGGGGUUUGACAUGUCAUUCUUGAAAGUAGCUAUAACAAAGUCUACUGGACUAAUUCAUGUGGAUGGUUGAUGUGGGUGUGAUGUUGCUUUAGACUGGAGAUAAUGCUUAUACUUUUAUUUGAGUGCUGUCAUUAAUCUGAUUGAAUAAAUACGAGUGUUUUUAUUAAAAAAAAAAUCAUUUUAGAUUUGAAUUUUGUUUUUGCUUUAUUUGCUAGGGACUAGCAAUAAGCUGGUUGGGGGGUGUGUUGAGUGUUAGAAAAUGCAUAUAUAUAAAGGAGAAAACCGUCAUUUUACAUUUCAAGUCUUACUAACAACCCUUACUUUUAUGUAUUUAACUUUCUUGUGAUUUCAUUACAUGUGUUUUAUUUUAAUUAAGUAUUUUAUGUAUUUUAGGGGUAUUAUAGUCAUUUCACAAUAAAGGAGAAAUCAGACGGCAAAACGGACAUCACUUUUGAACUCAGGACGGUCGAAAACCUUAGGAGGAGCAUAAAAGGAAAAAUGGCACUAUUCACAUGUACGGUACAAUUCACGUGUAUGGUACUGUAUACGUUACUGUUCACGACACUGUUCACAUAGACGGAUGAUGACGUGGCAUUGACCGAUGAUGUGGCAUUGACUGAUGAGGUGUCACGAUCCUGUUGGGCUAAAAUUCUUAUGUACUGUUGAUGGUGACGUGGCAGCAUAUCAGUAGACGAAAAAUCUCGCGUACGGUACAUGCAUCACACAGGAUUAUUUUCAACCAAACCGCGUUACUGUUCAUCUGGGUCAAACCGUGUUACUGUUUAUCCGCGUGGUCAAACCGUGGACUGUUGACUGAUGACGUGGCGCAAUCCUGAGCGUCCAAACUGUUUUUAAUCCGAUGGCCAUGAUUUACUCCAUGUAUCUAUAAAAAGGGGGCCUCCCCCCCUAAUUUGAUAUCGCUAAAUCCAUUCUUGGACUCCAUUUUCUGUAAUUCCCUUUCCAUCUUGUAUUUUCUUCGUAUUUUAAUAAAUUUCCAUUUUGCCCCUAGUGCAAUUAUGAUUGGCUAAUUUUCUUUCAAGCUUGGGUUGAAGGUGAAGUCUCAACAUGUGUCAUGGGCUUUAUUUGGUAAAUUUAUUUUCUCUUCCCCUCUAGUUUUUGUGGAUGUUUUGACUUCUCGUCGACAAAUAAUACUAAUCUUGUCUAGUACCGCCUUGGUUUCACCAGCCCUCUAGUACAAGGUUAUUAUUAUUUGGCACGAUAAGCCCUUAGCACCAUAUUGAUUAGAGCGUGGUUCAUGAGGUGUGGAUUCCCCCCUCAUGAUUUAAUUGGCAUUAAUAAGGAAUAUUUAGCCCAUGAUGCAUGUUGAUACGGAUCCAGAUACCCAAGUACGUCAUUUCAAUAGAAUUCUCUUCAAUUUAUUCUUGCCAUUUCAAUUCCAAUUUUAGAAUUUAUUCUCGCCAUUUUAAUUUAAGUUUUAGCAUAUUCCAAAUCAUUUCCACCACAAAUCCAAUCACCCGUUUACAAAAUUAAUUCUACACAAUUAAAAUCCACCUCCUCAUAGGAUCGACACUCGUUACCAUUAGUCUAUACUACAAUAGAUUCGUGUGCUUGCGAGUACAUUAAAAUUUGCACAAUAAGUACGACAUGCUGAAAUAGGUGUGCCUUUAGUGUUUCCUACUACAAGCAAGGUUAAGAUGAUGAAACUUAAAAUCUUUGACAUUUUUAAGUUUCAUCAACAUGCUGGCUGGCGACAAGUUUACCUCCAAGUCCCCCAACACGGUGACCAAAUUAAAAGAGCAUUAGUUAUUGGCUCAUUGGACUUGUUAUCAGCUUGCUGCUACUUUUCUAUUCAACCCACAAGUAGGCCUGAAUCCCCCAACUUGCUCAAAAGACUUAAUUCAUUGCCUCAAGUCUUUUUGGCCACCCGAUUUGAGAAUUUGAUUCUUCUAUUGAUGAUGCUUCCUAUCUAAUAAGAGCGUGUGAUUACGAACUUGUGUUUGUUUAAUUCAUAACAUCUCAAGAGCAUUACAACAAAAAGACAAGAAAAGAAAAGAAAAGCUGAAACUUGUUAACCUGAAUAUGUUAAUAAUAUUGAUUUUGAUGAUAACAAACUUUAAAUGAUUUUUGAUUAAAAUGUUGGAGCUAUUUCUUAAUAAAUGAGAGCCUUAUAAACAUUCCAAUUAUAUUCAUAAAAGAUGGAUCACUGUUAAAUUUCAAAUUGGAAAAUGAUUCUCAGCAAAAUUUGGCUUAAACUGUUAUUCUGGAAAUAAGCGGUGAACCGUUUAUUUAAACGGUUAACCGACUAAAAACAAAGAGCAACAUAUUGCCUAAGCUCUAACCGAUUAAGAAAAACGAAAAACACAAAAAGCUGGGAAGGCUACUGGAAUUUAACGGCGAACCGUUUAUUGAAACGGUUAAUCGAUAAAAUCCAGAAUGAAAGAUUGUACCUGGAAACAAACGGCAAAAGCUUAACUGAAACGGAUAAAGCUAACUCGUUUUGCAGGUUACUGGAAACAAACGGUGAACCGUUAAUUACAAACGGCUAACCGAUAAUUUCCAGAGAAGUCAUUUCAUGCAAAUCCUUAACCGUUUAAUAUAAACGGAUAACUGAUGUUCAUCUUGCAGGUCUCUGGGAAUUAACGGCGAAAGGGUAACCAUAAACGGUAAACCGUUUAUUUGAAAUUUGGCCCAACGGUAACUUUUGACCGGCCUAAAUGGUUAACCGUUAAUGGUUAACGACAAACCGUUUUCGGGCAGACAAUUUGUAAUGGCUAGUUUUUCAGCUCCAACUAUAAAUAAGCUCAUUCAAGUUCAAACAAGAUUGAUCACAACACGACCAUUGAGCUUAUAUUCGAGAAUACAAUCUUCAUAGAGCUUUAAAACACAUUCUUGCUUCAUCUAUUCACACAUUGGGCAUUGAUUUGUAAUCUUAAAUAUUGUGUGAGAGAAAAAUAAUUUUUAAUCUUUUACUUUGAGUGAUUGUAAGUGUUGGGAUACACUUGGGUUAAGAGAUUAGGGAUAAUCUCUUGUUGUAAAGGGUCAUUGACACCUUGGAAGUCAAGUGUAAGCAUUUGAAGCCUUGGAGGCGUGCUUAGUGAAAUCCUCAAGCCCGGAAAGCUUGGAGGCGUGGACGUAGGCGAGGUUGGCCGAACCACAUAAAAAUUUUCAUGUUUGAAUCUCUCUUCCCUUAUCUUUUUAUAUUGUAAUUGAUUUAAGUGUUAUUCCAUUAAAUUCAUUUUAGAUUUGGUUGAUAAUUAGUUUAGAAUCAAAUAAUUUUUUAGAAUCCCAAUUCACCCCCCUCUUGGGUUGCAUAAUUGUAUUUCAUUUGGUAUCAGAGCUUGGUUCUCUUGUUAGGACUUAACCGUCUAGAGUAAAAGAUCUAUGGUAACCCAAAAUGACUCAACCUUUAGGAAAGGACAGUCCACAACUAGACCACUGUUCUUUGACAUAAAUGACUACCCAUAUUGGAAAACUAGGAUGAGAAUUUAUUUACAAGCACUAGAUUAUAAAAUUUGGGAAGUUGUAUGUGAUGGUCCGUUUUUGCCCCUAAAUAAAAAUGAAGUCGGGGAAGAUAUUCCAAAACCUUCAAGGGAAUGGAAUGAAUUGGAAAAGAGAAAAGUUUCUCUAAAUUCCAAAGCUAUGAAUGCUUUAUUUUGUGCACUUGAUAAGAAAGAAUUUCAUCGAGUCUCUAGUUGUGAAAGUGCCAAUGAAAUUUGGCACAAACUUGAAGUAGUCUAUGAAGGCACAAAUCAAGUGAAAGAGUCAAAAAUCAGUAGGUACACUCGACAAUAUGAGUUGUUCCAAAUGGAACAAAAUGAGAGUGUGUACUCUAUUUAUACGAGAUUUACGGACAUAGUAAACACCCUAGGAGCCUUAGGAAAGGUCUUCUCAAAUAGCGAGAAAGUUAAGAAAAUCAUUAGGUCACUUCCAAAAGAAUGGAGACCUAAAAGAACCGCUAUUGAAGAGGCCAAAGAUUUAAAUGCUUUACCUCUUGAUGAUUUAAUUGGUUCUCUCAUUUCAUGUGAAGAAGAUUUGGCCGCAGAAAAAGGGCAUGAGGAGAAAAAAAAAAGCAUUGCUCUCAAAGCUUCAAAAUAUGAGAGUGACGGGGAGAGUGAACCAGAUGAUGAAGAGCUGGCCAUGCUAGCAAGGAGGUUCAGAAAAUUCUUCAAGAAAACCGGAGAGCGAAGAAAUUUCAGAAACUUCAAGAACCAAAGGGAGAAGAAAGAGGUAAUCACAUGCUAUGAAUGCAAGAAGCCUGGCCAUAUAAGAUCGGAGUGCCCACUUAUCAAUAAACUCAAGAAGAAAGCCAUGGUUGCAACUUGGGAUGAUAGCGAGGAAGAUUCAAGUGAUGAAGAAUGGUCGCAAGAAGUAUCAAAUCUAGCGCUUAUGGCAAUAGGAGGGGAUGAUAAUCUCAAUAAGAUAAGUGAUCCCACCUAUGAUGAAUUGUAUGAUGCUUUUAAAGAAUUGCAUAAUGAGUUGAUGAAGAUUGGUAAAAAGAAUGUAUGUCUUAAAAAGGAAAUGACAAAGUUUAAAAAUGAAAAUGAAUCUCUAAAUGCAAGAAUUGCAUGCCUAGAAGUAGAGAACAAAACAUUGCAUGAUGAAAUUGCAUAUCAAAUGAGAAACCUAGCAUCUCACAUGAGCAUUUAGAAUCACACAUAGAUGAUUUGAAAAAUGAAAACCAAAUGCUUAAGAAAAAGAGCAAUGAGUUGAAUGAGGUUGUUUUGAAAUUUACAAAUGGGCAAAAGAUGUUGGACAAUAUGCUUAACUCACAAAAAUGUAUUUUUGAUAAAUGAGGACUUGGGUAUAAACCUAACUUGAAACAAAAGUAUUAUAAGAAUUAUUUUGUUAAAGCUACCUCCACAAGUGAUCAUAAGAUUGUAUGUCAUUUUUGUAAUCAAGAUGGUCAUAUAAAAAAUAGAUGUCCAGUAAAAAGAAAUGCAUAUUAUGGUAUGAAAUACAUUUGGGUUCCAAAAGGAAUCACUAUUAACUCUCAAGGACCCAAAAAGCUUUGGGUACCUAAAACUUGAGUUUUUCUUUGUAGGGCUUGAAGAAGAAGAAAAAUAAAUGGUACUUGGAUAGUGGUUGUUCAAGGCACAUGACCGGAAACUAUGCAUGGUUCUCAAGCUUCACCAAAAUCGAAAAUGGUGGAGACGUAUCUUUUGGAGACAACUCAAAAGGAAAAAUUCUUGGAAUUGGAAAUGUUGGUAAAUUUUCCUCAACUCUAAUUGAGAAUGUUUGUUUGGUUGAGAACUUGAACACAACUUAAUUAGUAUUAGUCAAUUAUGUGACAAAGGUUAUAAAGUUAUCUUUGAUAAAUUUAGUUGUGUUAUUGAGAAUUCAUGUGAUGGCAAGAUUUUACUUGUUGGGAAUAGAUGUGGUAAUGUUUAUAUCAUUGACAUAGAAUGUGCAUCUACUCUUGAUAAAUGUUUUUCGGCAUUGCAUGAUGAUAGUUGGUUAUGGCAGAGAAGGUUAGGACAUGCAAGUAUGGAUUUGAUUUCGAAAAUUUUGAAAAAUGAUUUAGUUAAAGGUCUUUCAAAAAUUGGUUUUCAAAAAGAUAAGAUUUGUGGAGCCUGUCAAUUUGGAAAACAAAGCAAAACAUCUUUCAAAAAUAAAAAUCAUAUUUCUACUUUAAAACCACUUCAACUUCUUCACAUAGAUUUAUUUGGGCCUUCUAGAUAUGCUAGUCUAAAUGACAAAUAUUAUGCAUUUGUGAUAGUGGAUGAUUAUUCUAGAUAUACAUGGGUAUUAUUCUUAGCCAAUAAAGAUGAUGCUCUUGAUACCUUUAAAGUGCUUUGUAAGAAAAUACAAAAUGAAAAAGGGUAUGGUAUUGCAUGCAUUAGGAGUGAUCAUGGAGGAGAGUUUGAAAAUCAUGCAUUUGAGAUUUUUUGUAAUGAUUUUGGCAUUGAGCAUCAAUUUUUAUCACCUAGAACUCCACAACAAAAUGGAGUUGUUGAGAGAAAGAAUAGAUCCAUUCAAGAAAUGGCUAGGACUAUGUUGAAUGAAAAUUCAUUGCCUAAGUAUUUUUGGGCCGAUUCCAUCAACACCGCUUGUUAUGUUUUAAAUUGUGUGUUGAUUAGAUCUAACCUUAACAAAACUCCAUAUGAGCUUUGGAAACAUAGAAAACCUAAUAUUGGUUAUUUCAAAUUUUUUGGAUGCAAAUGUUUUAUUUUGAACACAAAAGACAAUCUUGGCAAAUUUGAUCCAAAAUCUAAUGUUGGUAUUGUUGUGCAAAUUUUAUUGAACUCGCAAGUGCACAAAUCUAUUGUAGUGUAGAUCAAUGGUGACGAGUGUCGAUCCCACGAGGAGGUGGAUUUUAAUUGUGUGUAAAAUUAAUUUUCGGAAUGGGUGGUUGGAUUUGUGGUGAAAAUGAUUUGGAUUAUCCUAAAAUUCGAAUUAAGAUGGCAAGAGUAAGUUGAAGUAAAAAUCUAUUAAAUUGACAUACUUGGGUAUUUGGAUCCGUAUCAACAUGCAUCAUGGGCUAAAUAUUCCUUAUUAAUACCAAUUAAAUCAUGAGGGGGGAAUCCACACCUCAUGAACCACACUCUAAUCAAUAUGGUGCUAAGGGCUUAUCGUGCCAAAUAAUAACAAUCUUGUACUAGAGAGUCGGUGAAACCAAUGCGGUAUUUAGACAAGAUUAUUAUUAUUUGUCAACAAGAAGUCAAAACAUUCACAAAAACUAGAGGGGAAGAGAAAAUAAAUUUACCAAAUAAAGCCCAUGACACAUGUUGAGACUUCACCUUCAACCUAAGCUUGAAAGAAAAUUAGCUACUCAUAAUUGAACUAGGGGCAAAAAGAAAAUUUAUUAAAAUACGUAGAAAAUACAAGAUGGAGAGGGAAUUACAGAAAAUGGAGUCCAAAAAUGGAUUCAGAGCUCUCAAAUUAGGGCGGAGACCCCUUUUUUAUAGAUACAUUGAGUAAAUCAUGACCAUCGGAUUAAAAACAGUUUGGACGCUCAAGAUUGUGCCACGUCAUCAGUCAACAGUACGCGGUUUGAACAGUAACACGGUUUGACCCGGCUUGAACAGUAACGCGGUUUGGUUGAAAAUAAUCCUGUGUAAUGCAUGUACCGUACGCGAGAUUUUUGUUAGUCUAAAGGGCUAUACAUCAUGUAAUUUUGAUGAUAACAAACAUAUGUAUUGAGUGAUUUAAUAAAUAUUGUAUUUCACAUUUUCACUAGUUUUUUAAGGAUAAUAUUUAUGCAAGUGAAUCAAGUGAAAUCAAGAUUGAAGUCACUCAACGGACAACGGCGACAUCAAGAAUAGUCUAGAGCUCAACGAACAAAUUAGUGCGAUAAAUUCUUGUAAAGGCGGUAUGAUUUAAUUGAUGUUUGAUUUAGCAUUUGAGAAGCUCAAGAAAUUAAUUUAAUUAAAUACUUUUCAUAAACUAAAAGUUUUUGUUUUUAUAAAGAAAAGUAUUUUGUGAAUUUAAGUAAUUUGGACUUAAAUGCUAAGAUUUGAAAUCUUUGAUUUUAAUAAGUAUUAAAUUUUGGAUUUGGACGUUUUUACAAACAUUGGAAAUGUUUUGGGCCAUACUAUAAUUUAUGAAUAUUUUGGACUAAAGUGAAAGGUUUUGAGAACUUCGAAAAAUAUGGGUAUUAUGUUGAAAAUGACCUUUGUGCGAAAUAAUAAAAUCUUUGGGGUCAUAUCAUAAUUUUAGAAAGUUUGGGAAAGACAACUAUUCUUAGGAAGUAUUGAAAUUGGACCUAUUUGCUAAGUUUUCUGACGUUCUGGGUCAUAGUACAAUUAUAGAACGUUUUGGGCCAAAGUGUAAUUUUAGUGAACAGUGUUACUGUGGCAAAAUUCAAAAAUAAUGGUAAUAUCACUGUUACUGAGCGGCAAGCCGGAUAAAUAAGCGGCUAGCCGCUUGGGCGCUGGAAUUUGCCUAUAACGGCUAGUUUUCGGGCUUUCACUAUAAAAACUCAACUCCAACUUUAUUUUAAAGAUGAACACAAGCAAAUAUAAGAUCAUAUAACAUAUAUUGAGUUUCCAUUUCGCAAAUCAUCAUUUAUUGAAUCAUUAUUGAGCUAUAAUUUGUUAUCCACUCUUAAAGAGAGUUUUGUUGUUGUGAUUUUCAUUUCUCAUUAAAUUGUGAGUGUACAAGUGUGGGAAACACUUGGAGUAAAGAGAUUGGGGAUAUAAUCUCUUGUUGUAAAGGUUCAUUGACACCUUGAAAGUCAAUUGUAAACAUUUGAAGUCUUGGGAGGCUUGGAUAGUGAAACCCUCAAGCCGGGUGAGUUUGGAGGCGUGGACGGAGGCAGGGAUAGUCGAACCACGUAAAAAUCCUUGUGUUCGUUUUUCUCUUCCCUUACUCUUUUAAUAUUGUGCUUGAUUGAAUUUAUUGUUUUGAUUUGAUUAAGGCAAUAGAUUAAAUUGUUGUACGAAUUGUAUUGCAUAAAUUUUAAAAUCCCAAUUCACCCCCCCUCUUGGGUUGCAUAACUUGCAUUUCAAUUUUUAGUCCAUUGAUAUGCUGCCACAUCAUCGAUCAACAGUACAUAAGAAUUUUAGUCCAACAGGAUCAUAACACCUCAUCAGUCAAUGCCACAUCAUCGGUCAAUGCCACAUCAUCAAUCCGUCUAUGUGAACAGUGUCGUGAACAGUAACGUAGACAGUACCGUACAUGUGAACAGUGCCAUUUUUCCUUUUAUGCUCCUCUUAAGGUUUUCGACCGUCCUGAGUUCAAAAGUGAUGUCCGUUUUGCCGUUUGAUCUCUCGUUUAUUAUGAAAUGACGAUAAUGCCCCUAAAAUACAUAAAAUACUUAAUUAAAAUAAAACACACAUAAUUAAAUUACAAGAAGCUUAAAUACAUAAAAGUAAGGGUUGUUAGUAAGACAUGAAAUAUAAAAUGACGAUUUUCUCCUUUAUAAAUAUGCAUUUUCUUACACUCAACACACCUCUCAACCAACUUAUUGCUAGUCCCUAGCAAAUAAAGCGAAAACAAACUUCAAAUCCAAAAUAAGUUUUUUUUUUUAACAAUCAUGUUUAUUCAAUCAGACUAAUGAUAGUAAUCAAAUAAAAGUAUAAGCAUUAUCUCCAGUCUAAAGAAACAUCACACCCACAUCAACUAUCCACAUGAAUCAACCCAGUAGACUUUGUCAUAGCUACUUUCAAGAAUGACAUGUCAAACCCCAAAAUCUCACUGGAAGUAGUGACACUCUCACAAAGAAAUUAAACCCAAUAAAAAUAGUCACUCCAAUGAAUGGUAAUUGAGAGAAAAUAAUAAAGAAGUGAUAUCACAUGCUCUCACCAAGAUGAAAGAAAUAUGCCCUCAGCUUAGAAAUAAUACGAUCUCAAGUCAAAUAAAAAUGCUAGUCAACCCAAUUUAUUUAUUUAUUUUUUAUUUUUUUUAUGCACCACUACAUCUUUUUAGCCCAUAUAACUAGCUUCUACUUCAGACUAUAGUUCCCUAAAAUCAAGAAGGACUUCUAUUAGGACGUAACGUAGGCUAGGGACAUGGCUAACAAAGGAGGAAAAAUAAGGAAAACAAAGUGUAUGUUUGAGAAAAAUAUAGAAUUUUUUUUAGGAGUUGCAAGGUAGAUUUCACCUAUUAUUGUUUUUUUUAAACAACAAUUUUUUUCUUUUUUUUUUGUUUUUGUUUGGCACAACUUCACUGAACAAAAUAAUUAUUCACAUUUUUCUCAAACAUAAAUAGGUGAUGAAACAUGUAAGAUAUUGGGUAAUACUCCAAAUCGGAGUGGGUUAAAAUGAUAAGUUUGACAAAGAAAAUAUUUUUUUUAAAGGCUCAAAAGGGUUAACUAUGGAUAUUUCAUAAAAGGGAUGGCUAGAAAGGCUCAAACAGAUCAAAGAUGGCCUUUUCAUCGUCUUUUAGGGCUAUAAAUAAUCUUCCAUAUCUACUAGUUAGAUGGGCCUCCAAAUGUAGCAACACACAUUUUUUUCUCUCUUUUUUUUAAUUUUAUAAUUUUUUUAGGGGUUAACUCAAAAGAAAUCUAGAGAUCGUGUAUAAAAUAAUAAACUGCUAAGCUGUAUAAAGAAUGGGCAAAAGGGUUACUCUCCAAGAAAAAUAAUAGGCUCAAAAACUCACUUGGUACUUAUUAUGACAUGUUCAUUCCUUCAAGCAACUCAUAUUUUUCUCCGACAUCAACAUGUAAAGUAGCAAACAUAGCGUAACAUCACUUAAGACUAAAGAUAAUACAAAUACUAAAAUUUGAAAUUAAUCAUGUCAUCCAAUGUUAAAACAAAUCAUACAAUUUUUUUUUAAACAACAUCCUACCCCCCAACCUAUUCUAAACAUGAAAGGAAAAUAUGUAUGUAGAAAUGUGAAAAUGAUACAAAAAAACUAAUUAGAUAAUGAUAGAAAACGAAAAUGGUUUUUUUUUUAACUUAAGAAGAUGCGUUUCUAGAGGCACUACACUCCAUAUUCAACCAUCUUUGACUCAAAAAAAAUUGAAAAUGUAUAUUUAUAAAGGAGAAAUUAAAAAGAAGAAGAAAUAUGAACAUCAAAACAUAAUAAAGAAAAAGAAAAUGUCUGAAUUUUUUUUUUGGUUUUUUUUUCAAACGAUGAAGAUGCGUUUCUAGAGUCACUACACUCCAUAUUCAGCCAUCUUCAACACAAAAAGUUAGCAACAGUUAGUUUUUACAAUAAAAAAUUAGUAAAAACUUAACCAAGAUUCCACAAUUGUCGACUAUUCCCUCCCCCCAACCAGAACGAAACAUUGUCCUCAAUGUUUUAAAGGAAAUAAGUAGAGUUUAGAAGACUUCACCUGGGUGGUGCAACACAGAAGAAAAUAUUUACAGGCGGAUGGUUAAAUCUAAUUUAUACUUCUUACUGCGGCUACUAUUACCGUCAUUAUUUGGAUGCUCCAACACAAAGGUCCAGGAGUCUGGCUUUGAUUUAUAAGCUUGUAACAUAUCAAGUAGCUCAUUAGCAGUGUGAGCAUAAAUAAAAAGCUUUUUCGCAUUGGAAUGAGCGAAAUAGUUUUUUAUUGCAUGGUUAAGAAAUGCGAUGAAGCCAUCAUAAAAGUUAUUGAUAUUUAACAAACCGAUGGGUUUCUGGUGAAUGUGCAGAUGGGCCCAUGAUACUAGUGUGAUAAGUGCCUCUAGUGUUGCAAGAUCUCCUGGAAGGAAAAUAAAAGCAUCAGCAUGAUUAAGCAUUUCAGUUAUUCUUUCUUGCAUACCUAAGACAACUAACUCUUCUCCAGUCGAUGAGUCAGUCAAACUGCCCAAAGGUUUUAAGGCUCUUGGGAUGAUGCCUAACACUUGGCUUCCUCUGAUAAAAGCAGCUUCUGAGACCAAUUUGGAUAACCCUCGGUUACCUCCUCCAUACACCAAGUGUAAUUUUCUCUCUGCUAUGCUUCGACCAAGAUCUAUUGCUGCCUCAAUGAACUCAUUAUAUUUUCCAUAGUUAAAUCUAAAAAGGACACAAAUGUUCUUGAAUUAUCUAUUGGGAGUAGCUGCCAUUGGAAUAUUUCUCAAAAACAAUUUGUGAGUGCUUAACAAAAAGUCAUAUUUAAGAAUCUUGGUGACAGUGGGUUACAACUGUGUAUGAGGUGGCAUGUCAGUGUCAAAUAACGCGUAAAGCACAUGGAUCGCGAGUCAAAAAGGAAACAGUAAAAAGAAAAAGAAAUAAUGAUAAAAUAAAAUUGUUAAAGACAAUAAUGGAAAAGAUAAAAUAACAGUGAAAUAAAAUAACAGUGAAGUAAAAGGAUAUUUACAGGUAGUUGGGACUGUGGCUCACAUCUUCCUUUGGUUUUACGUCCAUAAACGGCUUGAACGCCCUCUAUGGGUCAAGGACAGGCUUCCCAUCCAGUUUUCUUAUAAACUGGCAAACAAGGUCGUUUAUAGUCAGAUUUUCGAGACUAUAUCGUGCAUGUUCUUUCUAGAAUAAUGGCCAUAACUGGAGAAUCACUCUUUUCACAUAUCCACUGGGAUGCGUUUCAAGAGACAGAAGGAUAUCAUCCAAUGACUCCUUAUUCAAGCCAUCCCUAAUGAAUUAAAUCUUAUCUUAUCUGUUAUCAGACAUCAUUCCUAAAGAACAUAGUUUUUUAUCGCAACUCAUUCUGGCACACUUAUGACAAGCAACAAAAAUUCUUCGAGCUCGUCAUUUUCUUGCAUAAUUUCCUUUACCACAACCAGGCAUGUAUGCAAUAAAUUUUGGAGGUAACUCACAUGCCAAUCGUACUUUAGCCUCGAUUAACCAACGGAUGUCAGCAAGUAUGUUAUUUCUCAUGAGCAAUUGCAUGCGUUCGGACCGGGCUUUAUAGAUUGUACGGAGGGCAUUCUGAGGAAGUGAAGGGAAUCGCUUGUGAAGCUUCGCUAGAAUCUCGUUUCUGUCCAUACCUUCACCUCAGAAUAUCAGUUAUUAUAGGAAAACUGAAGUAACCGACUUGAUUGUCAUGGAGUACUGUUAUCCGCCACUUCACCGGAGUAACAAACUAAAGCACACAAACAGAAAAACAAAUUAGAACACACAAAGAAAAUUAAAAUUGUCCUCUUAUUGAAUUUACCUCAAGCUCCAACUGGAUGUCGUAAACACUUCUCUCAAUGUCUCUGAGUUGGCUUUCUAAACCCUCAACAUAGGAUACUAACUCUGGUGGUUGCACAGCCCAAAUACGAUGUGUUUUACAAAAUUGAAUAUGCCUUUUGAGAUGAGAUUUUACACGUUGAAGUGGUUUAAGAAUGUUCAGGAGGAACGGUUUAAGUAUGGUGCUCAUGAUUAACAAUGAUAAGAAAAAAAAACUUAAUGGUUAAACAAACACACUUAUGCAAAAAUAAUUUCAAUUAGCAAAAAUAAUAAAAAGAGAGAAAGAAAAAAAAUCAAAUCACCGAAAAGAAAGAAAGAAAAACUUAAUUCAAAUCUGGUGAGUCACUCAAAUUUAUUUCGAUGUCCUUUCCAUGUGGUUGGUACUCUAGAUAUGGCUUUAAUUUUUUACCAUUAACUUUAAACGUGACACCGCUCUUUGGUCCUUAAUUUCAAUUUCCCCAUAUGGAAAAAUAGUAUGAACAAUAAAGGGGCCAGACCAUCGAGAGCGUAAUUUACCUGGGAAUAGGUGCAAGCGAGAAUUGAAUAAAAACACUUUCUGACCUGGAGUGAACGAUGUUCUCAUAAUUUGCUUGUCAUGGAAGACUUUCAUUCGUUGCUUGUAAAUCUUGGCAUUUUCAUAUGCAUCAUUGCAAAUUUCUUCAAGUUUUGCCAGCUAUAAUCUUCUUUCUGAGCUAGCUUGCUGCAUGUCAAAGUUGAAUUUCUUGAUGGCCCAAUAUGCACGAUGCUCGAGUUCCACGGGUAGGUGGCAAGCUUUUCCAUACACUAGCCUGUAGGGUGACAUCCCGAUCGGGGUCUUGAAAGCCGUUCUAUAUGCCCAUAAUGCAUCAUCAAGUCUUAAUGACCAAUCUUUUCUGUCCGGCUUCACCGUCUUUUCUAAUAUGUGCUUGAUUUCUCGAUUGGAGAUCUCAACUUGGCCACUGGUUUGCGGAUGAUAAGGGGUCGCCACUUUGUGAGUGAUUGAAUACUUCGUCAAAAGAGUCUUGAAUGCUUUGUUACAAAAGUGGGCACCACCAUCACUAAUUAUUGCUCGAGGGAAUCCAAAGCGUGAAACAAUGUUGCUUUUCAAAAAUCCUAUCACCACCUUGUGAUCAUUGGUUCUACAUGGAAUUGCUUUUACCCAUUUCGAUACGUAGUCAACAGCAACUAAUAUGUAUUGAUGGGCAAAAGAAGGGGGAAAAGGUCCCAUGAAGUCGAUACCCCAUACAUCAAAAAUCUCAACCACUAAAAUUGGAUUUAGUGGCAUCAUAUUCCUUCGCGUAAUGCUCCUCAUUUGUUGACACCUAUCACAUGAAGAACAGAAAAUGUAAGCAUCUCAAAAUAUAGUUGGCCAAUAGAAACCACAUUGUAAAACUUUAGUAGCUGUUUUUUAGCACUGAAAUGGCCUCCACAAGCUUGUUCAUGGCAGAAUGAAAGAAUAUUCUGAAUUUCAUUUUCUGGGACACAUCGUCUAACAAUUUGAUCUGCACAAUACUUGAACAAAUACGGGUCAUCCCAAAAGAAAUUCUUUAUUUCUGCAAAGAAUUUAGCAUUGUCUUGCUUGGUCCAAUGCUCUGGAAGUUGACCUAUAACAAGAUAAUUAACUAUAUCAGCAUACCAAGGUAAUACUUCCACACUCAUUAAUUGUUCAUCUGGAAAUGACUCAUUUAAUGUUAAUGGCUCUGUAAUUGUGUCGAAAUGGAGACGAGAGAGAUGGUCAGCUACAACAUUCUCUGUGCCUUUCUUAUCUUUAAAUUCUAAGUUGAACUCCUACAAAAGUAACACCCAACGAAUUAGUCUAGCUUUUACAUCUUUCUUUGUGAGAAGAUAUUUAAGAGUAGCAUGAUCUGUGAAUACAAUUAUUUUACAACCAAUGAGAUAAGAUUGAAAUUUCUCUAAUGCAAACACUACUGCUAGCAUUUCUUUUUCAGUAGUUGAAUAGUUCAACUGUGCAUCAUUCAAUGUCAUACUAGCAUAGUAAAUAACAUGGGGAAUUCGAUCAACUCUUUGUCCUAACACUGCUCCUACUGCAUAAUCAGAUGCAUCACACACGAGUUCAAAUGGUAAACUCCAGUUUGGGUCCUGAAUGAUGGGUGAUGAUGUCAACAAUUGCUUUAAUUUUUCAAAAGCCACAAGACAUGAAUCAUUAAAGAUAAAAGGUACAUCCUUAGCAAGUAAAUUGCAUAAGGGUCUAGAAACUUUGCUAAAAUCUUUAAUGAAACAUCUAUAGAAACCAGCAUGCCCAAGGAAAGAUCUUACUUCUCUGACUAUUUUGGGUGGAGGAAGAUUAGAAAUGAGAUCCACCUUGGCUUUGUCAACCUCAAUACCUUUGCUCGAAAUGAUGUGACCGAGAACAAUACCUUGUUUUACCAUAAAAUGGCACUUCUCCCAAUUUAAGACCAAGUUCUUUUCGAUACAUCUCUACAAAACUAGUGUUAGAUGAUGUAAACAUUGAUCAAAGGAGUCACCAAAAAUAGAAAAGUCAUCCAUAAAGACUUCAAGGAAUCAUUUAACCAUAUUAGAAAAAAUGCUUAAUAUGCAUCGUUGAAAUGUAGCAGGUGUAUUACAUAAUCCAAAUGGCAUCCUCCUAUAUGCAAAAGUGCCAAAAGGGCAAGUGAAAGUGGUUUUCUCUUGAUCUUUUGGUGCUAUGGGAAUCUGAUUAUAUCCUGAAUAGCCAUCUAGAAAGCAAUAAAAUUCAUGGCCUGCUAAUCUAUCAAGCAUUUGAUCAAUAAAUGGUAAAGGAAAAUGGUCUUUACGUGUGACAGAAUUCAACUUUCUAUAAUCAAUGCAUACACGCCAUCUUGUAGUUACUCUAGUUGGUAUCAAUUCAUUAUCAGCAUUGGUAACUACUGUGACUCCUGACUUUUUAGGGACAACUUGUACAGGACUGACCCAUGAACUAUCAGAAAUUGGGUAAAUGAUACUUGCGUCUAAUAGCUUAAGGACUUCAGUUCUAACAACUUCUUUCAUAUUAGGAUUUAACCGACGUUGCAUUUCCCUAGUAGAUUUAGCAUUUUCAUCGAGGUGAAUGUAAUGCAUGCAGUCUACUGGGUUUAUACCUUUGAUGUCUGCUAUGGUCCAUCCUAAUGCUCCUUUGUGCUCUUUUAAAACAUCCAACAACUUACCUUUUUGUUCGUUAUUUAGGGGUGAUGAGAUGAUUACCGGCAGAGUACUUUCUUCUCCCAAAAAUGCAUAUUCUAGAGUGUUAGGCAAUGGUUUGAGCUCGAGUUUCGGUGGUGAUUCUGAUGAUGGGAUGAGUUUCUUCUCUGAUGGUGCUAAUUGUUCAACUCUUGACUUCCAUUUAUUAGUGUGCAUAAAUGGUGCUGAGUCAAGCAGGGCGUUGACUUCAUCAACUGAUCUAUCAAUAUCAAAAUCAAAACCAAAGUGAGUUAAACAUGUUUGAAACAAAAGUAUUAUCAACUAAUGUUUCUAUUAAAUCCACAUCAACAAUUUCAUCAUCUACAUUGUGAGGUUGUUUGGUAAUGUUAAAGAUGUUUAGCUCCAUAGUCAUGUUGCCAAAGGACAACUGCAUAUUUCCAGUUCUGCAUUGAAUGUGAGCAUCGGCAGAUGCCAAGAAAGGUUGGCCUUGGAUAAUGGGGAUGUGCUUCCUUGAAUCAUGUAUUGGUUGAGUGUCAAUUACAAUGAAAUCAACAAGAAAAUAAAACUUGUCGACCUGGAUAAGCACGUCCUCCACAAUACCACGAGGUAUUUUUGUGGACGGAUUUGCAAGCUGCAACACCACUGGAGUUGGGUGUAAUUCUCCUAGUCCAAGUUUCACGAAUACAGAGUCAGGCAACAAAUUUACACUAGCUCCUAAAUCCAAUAAAGCAUUCUCAAUUGUGUGGUUCCCUAUACUACAUGAGAUAGUGGGGGAGCCUGGGUCUUUGCAUUUUAGAGGAAUGUUAUAUUGGAGUAUAGAACUAACGUUUUCUGUCAAAAAUGCCUUCUUUUGAACAUGAAUGUUUCUCUUUUUAGUACAAAGGUCUUUAAAAAACUUGGUAUAAGAUGGAACUUGUUUUAUAACAUCAAGUAAAGGGAUGUUAACACUUACCUGUUUGAAGAUUUCAAGAAUCUCACCUAUGAAUUUUCCUUUCUUUCCUUUAGCUAACCUAUGAGGAAAUGGAGCUUUGGGAAUAUAUUCUCGUGGGUUGGUUUCUUCUUUCUCCUCCGGUGGUGAGUCCUCAACACUCACCAGUACAAUUUGAUUUUCUUUUGUCACCGGCAUCUCUACUUUGUUGUUGACUUCUUUUCUUUUUCGCAAGGUCAUGACUGCUUUGACCUCUCCAUACUGCUGUGGUGAAUUGGUACUUACUUCAUGUACUCCUUUAGGAUUAGGCACUGGUUGACUUGGAAAUUUACCUUUCUCAACAGUCAUUGCCAAGGUCUGAACUGAAGAAGCAAGUUGUCCCACCAUCUUCUCGAGGCUUGAAACUGAUUGGGUUUGUGAGUUAAAGCCUGCUCGCAACUCAUUUCGUAGUCCAUUAAUGGUGCGGUUUUGUUGCUCAAUCGUAGAGUGAGUAACAUUCUUGAAAUUCUGGAAUGCAUCAUCCCAUGGUCUGGGUUGAGAGUAGUUCUGGUUCUGAUUGUAUGGUCUAAAUGGUAGCUGAGAGGCUUGAGGAUUUUGAGGAAUUUGUUGCAUUGGUGGAGCUAGAGCUGCUGGUCCAUUUUGUUGGAAUCCUUGAGACCAUGAAAAAUUGGGGUGGUCUCUCCAUCCAGGGUUAUAUGUGUUGGAGUAUGGGUUGUAAUUUGAUGGUUUUCUCAUUACACCUAUGGCAUUGGCUUGAUCUGAGUAUGAGUCAUGGUCAUGUGGUUCUGUUGAUUUAGCAGUCGAUAACGAUGCUAUUUGUCGAGAGAGACUUUCAACCAUCUCCUUGACUUCUUUGAUUCCCGAAGUUGACUCGCCAAUGUGAACUUCAUUCACUCCUUUAAUUCUUCUAGUAUUCCUGAGUGAUCGACUCCGUUGUUGGGAAUUAUCCGCUUGUCGCUGGAAGAAUUCCCAAAUCUCUGAUGUACUUUUUGACAUUAGCUCUCCUCCACUUAUUGCUAUUAGCCAUUCUUGCACAUUCGGCAAUAAUCCCUCCAAAAAGCAUUGGCAUUGGUGCCAUUUCUCGUACCCAUGAUGUGGACACUUCAAGAGUAGCCCAUUGAAUCGCUCCCAUGUUUCGAAAAACUGCUCGUCUUCUCUCCGGGUAAACUUUGAAAUUUCCCUGCGAAUAGCAUUGGUUUUAUGCACUGGGAAAUAUUUAUUCAAAAUUUUUGUUACCAUUUAUUCCCAUGAUGUGAUGCUAUUAGUAGGCAAUGUAUUGAGCCAUGAACGAGCUCUAUCCUUUAAAGAAAAUGGGAAUAAUCUAAGUUUAACAUCAUUAUCUGAAAAAUUCUCAUAUCUAAAUGUUUGACAAACAGCAUGAAAAUCAUUCAAAUGAUUACAUGGGUCCUCAUUUUCUAAGUCAUAGAAUGUGGGGAGACAAUUUAGCACACUAAGUUUUAGUUCAAAACUCCUAGCAGCUACAUUUGGGUAUCUUAUACAUGAUGUGCUCAAAUCAGCUAAGGGACUAAAAUAGUCCUUAAAUGGCCUCUCUUGUGGUGCUUGUAAAUCCAUUCCAAAUUUAUUUUUAACGUGCUUGUGUGUGUGAAGUGUUUUUUCUAGUUUAAAGUCUAGGUUCAAAAUUAGGUAAUAAUGACCUACGACCAUGCAUGCAAGAAACACAAAAAUAAAUGGGAACAAAACAAAUAAAAAUAAAGAAGAAGGAGAAAUUACGUUACUAACCUUAUCAUGCUGUUAAAACAUUUCUACAAAAAUACACAAAAAUAAAUACGUGAAAUAAAUUAACUAAAAAUAAAUUAAUAAGAUAAACAAAAAAAAUUUACAAAAAAUAAAUUGAAAAUUAAAUUACAGAAUUUUAAGGAAGAGAAAAAGAAAAGAAAUAUUAACCUUUAAAUGUAGAUUCACUUUUUUAAAAAAAAAUGCAAGAAAACAAUUAAAUGGAAUUAUUCACAAAAAUUAAUUCUAUGAAUUAAAAUUACUUACCUCCCCGGCAACGGCGCCAAAAACUUGUUGUGCAAAUUUUAUUGAACUCGCAAGUGCACAAAUCUAUUGUAGUGUAGAUCAAUGGUGACGAGUGUCGAUCCCACGAGGAGGUGGAUUUUAAUUGUGUGUAUAAUUAAUUUUCUAAAUGGGUGGUUGGAUUUGUGGUGAAAAUGAUUUGGAUUAUCCUAAAAUUCGAAUUGAGAUGGCAAGAGUAAAUUGAAGUGAAAAUCUAUUAAAUUGACGUACUUGGGUAUCUGAAUUUGUAUCAACAUGCAUCAUGGGCUAAAUAUUCCUUAUUAAUACCAAUUAAAUCAUGAGGGGGGAUCCACACCUCAUGAACCACACUCUAAUCAAUAUGGUGCUAAGGGCUUAUCGUGCCAAAUAAUAACAACCUUGUACUAGAGAGCCGGUGAAACCAAAGCGGUAUUUAGACAAGAUUAUUAUUAUUUGUCGACAAGAAGUCAAAACAUCCACAAAAACUAGAGGGGAAGAGAAAAUAAAUUUACCAAAUAAAGCUUAUGACACAUGUUGAGACUUCACCUUCAACCCAAGCUUAAAAGAAAAUUGGCUACUCAUAAUUGAACUAGGAGCAAAAAGGAAAUUUAUUAAAAUACGUAGAAAAUAUAAGAUGGAGAGGGAAUUACAGAAAAUGGAGUCCAAAAAUGGAUUCAGAGCUCUCAAAUUAGGGGGGGAGGCCCACUUUUUAUAGAUACAUUGAGUAAAUCAUGGCCACCGGAUUAAAAAUAGUUUGGACGCUCAGGAUUGUGCCACAUCAUCAGUCAACAGUACGCGGUUUGAACAGUAACACGGUUUGACCCAGCUUGAACAGUAACGCGGUUUUGUUGAAAAUAAUCCUGUGUAAUGCAUGUACCGUACGCGAGAUUUUUAGUCCACUGAUAUGCUGCCACGUCAUCGAUCAACAGUACCUAAGAAUUUUAGUCCAACAAGAUUGUGACACCUCAUUAGUCAAUGCUACAUCAUCGGUCAAUGCCACGUCAUCAAUCCGUCUAUGUGAACAGUGUCGUGAACAGUAAUGUAGGCAGUACCGUACAUGUAAACAGUGCCAGUUUUCCUUUUAUGCUCCUUUUAAGGUUUUCGACCGUCCUGAGUUCAAAAGUGAUGUCCGAUUUGCCGUCUGAUCUCUCGUUUAUUAUGAAAUGACCAUAAUGCCCCUAAAAUACAUAAAAUACUUAAUUAAAAUAAAACACACAUAAUUAAAUUACAAGAAGCUUAAAUACAUAAAAGUAAGGGUUGUUAGUAAGACGUGAAAUGUAAAAUGACAAUUUUCUCCUUUAUAAAUAUGCAUUUUCUAACACUCAACAGGUAUUUUUCUUGGUUAUUCAAACUCAAGCAAAGCUUAUAGAGUUUAUAACAAAAAUACACUAGUUGUAGAAGAAUCUAUUCAUGUUACAUUUGAUGAGUCUAACCCCUCCUCUGCGGAGAAAGGAAUAAAUUAUGAUGAUGCAAAUGGAGAGUUACAAGAAGAACCAUCAAAGGAUAAUCAAGAGAAUGCACCACAAAGAAAUCAAAAGGAUGAACAAAAAGAGCAAACAAAUAUGGAGCAACAUGAAGGUACUUCUCAAGCACUCCCCAAGGAGUGGAGGUAUGUUUCUUCUCACCCUAAAGAUAUAAUCUUAGGAGAUCCAUCACGAGGUGUUACAACUAGAUCAUCACUUAGGAAUACUUGUGAGCAUAAUGCAUUCAUUUCUCAAAUUGAACCCAAAUCCUUUGCGGAUGCGGAAAAUGAUGAAUCUUGGAUUAUGGCAAUGCAAGAGAAGUUAAAUCAAUUUGAAAGAAACAAUGUGUGGGAAUUAGUUCCUAAACCGGAACAUCAAUCCGUCAUAGGUACUAAAUGGAUAUUUAGAAAUAAGAUGGAUGAAUCCAGUGUGGUUGUAAGAAAUAAAGCUAGAUUAGUGGCUCAAGGUUACAACCAAGAAGAAGGAAUUGAUUUUGAUGAAACUUUUACACCUGUUGCUAGACUAGAAUCAAUUAGAAUAUUGUUGGCAUUUGCAUGUCAUAAAGAUUUCAUUUUAUUUCAAAUGGACGUGAAAAGUGCUUUCUUAAAUGGGUAUAUUAUGGAAGAAGUGUAUGUAAAACAACCCCCUGGUUUUGAAAAUGAAAAAUUUCCAAAUCAUAUUUAUAAGUUGUUUAAAGCCUUGUAUGGAUUAAAACAAGCACCUAGAGCAUGGUAUGAUAGGCUUAAGAAUUUCUUGUUAGAAAAUGAUUUUUUCCAUGGGUAAAGCGGAUACUACUCUCUUUGUCAAACAUAAGGACAAAGACAUACUUGUUGUUCAAAUUUAUGUUGAUGAUAUUAUUUUUGGGUCUACUAAUAAAUUAUUGUGUAAAGAAUUUUCAUCUUGCAUGAGUAAUGAAUUUGAAAUGAGUAUGAUGGAAGAGUUAAAGUACUUUCUUUGGCUGCAAAUAAAACUUAAUGAGGAAGGAAUUUUCAUAAAUCAAGCCAAGUAUGUAAAAGAUCUACUCAAAAGAUUCGGCAUUGAUGACUCAAAGACCAAAAACACUCCAAUGAGCACAACAACCAAACUUGACAAAGAUGAAAAAGGCAAGGAAGUUGAUAUCAAAAUGUAUCGAGGUAUGAUCGGAUCUUUACUUUAUUUAACUGCAAGCAGACCCGAUAUCAUGUUUAAUGUAUGUUUGUGCGCAAGAUUUCAAUCAUGUCCCAAGGAAUCCCAUUUGCUUGCUGUUAAAAGAAUUUUCCGUUAUUUGAGUGGAACAAUAGAUAUCAACCUUUGGUAUCCUAGGAGAACUCAUAUAGAUUUAACAUGCUAUUCGGAUGCGGACUUUGCCGGUUAUAAAGUUGAUAGGAAAAGCACUAGUGGAACUUGCUAUAUUAUAGGUCACUCACUUGUUUCAUGGUUUAGCAAGAAACAAAAUUUUGUUGCACUUUCAACUACCGAGGCUGAAUAUAUAGCUGCAGGAAGUUGUUGUGCGCAAGCUCUUUGGAUGAAACAAACACUUAGAGACUAUGAUAUUAACCUAGAACAAAUUCCUAUUAAGUGUGAUUAUACUAGUGCUAUAAAUCUUUCAAAGAAUCCCAUUCAACACUCUAGAACCAAGCAUAUAGAAAUAAGUAAUCAUUUCUUGAGAGAUCAUGUUCAAAAGGGAGAUAUUGUAUUAGAGUUUAUUUCUACAGAAAAAAAACUUGCCGAUAUUUUUACCAAACCCCUUGGCGAAGAACAAUUUUCGAAAAUUUGGCAUGAACUUGGGAUGAUAAAAUUUUUGCAUUAAUGUCUCUAUUCAUGCUAUUGAGUUUAUUGAAUUGAUUGACUUAUUGGUGAUUUAAUAUUUAUGAAAUGCUUAAACUUGAUAUUCAAAUGAUGUAUUUGCUUUGUUAAUUCUUGAUUGAUUAUAUGAAUUAACUGCUGGAAUACAUGUUCAUGAAUCAUGAAUUAAAAUGGCUCAUAAAACAUUUUUAGAUCAAUUAAAUGACCUUGGAAUGUAUUAUUUGCUGGCCAAAAAUUAAAUCAAAUGUACGAAAUUAUAGAUAAAAUAAACGGAUAACCGUUUCCAAUAAACGGUGAACUGUUUUAUUCUAGAAACGAGACUAUAUGUCUGUCUUUUUACCGUUGCACCGUUUGAUGCAAUCGGUAAACCGUUUAAAAACAUAGAGUCCUCUAACAGUUACUCCUUAGCCGUUAAGAGCUUAAACUUUCACCGCUCCCUAUUUUUUAGCCUCUGAAAGUUACCCCUUAACCGUUUAAAUAAACGGUUAACCGUUUUCAUGAUUAUAAAACUAUUCAAAGGUUUUUCUUCUCCUUCUCCAGUUGCCCUUUCACCGUUUCGGCCAUUGUUGCGCAGCCGAAGCUUCCUCUGCCCUCAAACCUUCAUUUUUCUUAUUUUUCUUGCUAAAUCAAACCUAUAACAUCAUUUCUUAUCACCUUUAGAACACUUUCACCGAUUCAAAUCUUCAAAUCAAGCCCAAAAUUGAAAAAUCCCAAAUCUAAACCCUAACUGCAGCCGUUCGGGUUUAUUCUUUUUUUAACCUGAUUCUUGCCCUUCUUCAACCAAAUUGAGCCUCAAAAUCACAUCCUUUACUUAUUCCUAAGCAAAUAAUCAGUUCAUCUUCUUCUCAUCCCAUCUCUCUCGCAAUUUUCAAACUCCUUUAUUCUUCACCAUGGCUACACCCCCUCAGAGAAAUCUCAGGCAAAAAUCUGUGCCUCCAAGGAAUCCUAUACCACCACGGGAAGUCUCUGAGUUCACAAGAAUUCAUUUCCCCACGCCUUUCUUGGCCAAGCGGUUCGAGGAUCGCUUCAAUGGUCGCAAGGUACUUGACUCUUCCUAUGUUGAAAUAGAUGAUUUCAGUACCUUAGUUGUAUGUGGUAGAAGCAUUAGGGAUAUGCUUCAGCCUUAGGAGUCUGCCAUUGACUUUGAUGACCGAGUUUAUCCCAAUUUAGUGUGAGUCUUUUAUUCGAACAUGGAACUCUCCGCAACUCGCCUAGAUAGGAUAGUUACUCAAGUCGGCGGUGUGCCUAUAGAAUUUGAUGAUGAGGACCUAAAUGGCUUUUUAGGUAUCUCUAGUGAGUGUCAUGAAAUUUAUACUUCUAGGAAAGCCUUUUCGUUUGACGGUUUUAGUCAUGUUGAUGGAGUCCACAAUAUUUGUCGCCGUCGAGACUUGUCUAAUGAGAUAUGUAAUCUACCUUUUCGGUCUCAACUUUUACCUCUCCAAGUUCGCAUUCUUCACACUAUUUUGUAGCACAUAGUGACUCCUAGGAAGGGUCACUCUGAUGAGGUUACGAGGUUGAACGUUGGCCUAUUAGACAGCCUCAUUACAAGUCGUCCCAUUAACCUCGGCUAUGUUAUUGUGCGGCACAUGUUGAGUACUCCCGCGGUUAACCACUGCUUGCUUCCAUAUGGCAGUAUCAUUACUAAGAUACUGCGACACUUUGAGGUGCCUCUUCUCGAUACUGGUUAUAUGGAGACUAGACGGAUUGGUCUAGAGGCCAUGACUAGUAUCGGUUUUUCUAGGAAGAAUGGAGAGUGGAUAAAGACUAAAACCUCCAAAAACUGGGAUACCUUGAUUGGUCCAGAAGACAAUCAGAUGCUCAACAAUGUCUAUCCUCCUGAUAAAUUUCUAGAUUUUAUAUUAGGAGCUCAUCAUUAUCCUCCGCGUCUCCGUUUUGUUCCCUGGCCUCCAGCUGACUUUGACUCUGAAGAGAGUGCGAUGGAUGCUGACAUUCCCUCCUCUUCCGAGUCACCUCUAGCUCCCGACCAGCCUCCUGCUCCUGAGCCAUCUGCUGUUCCUGAGCAGCCCUCUACCUCUAAGCCACCUCCAGCUCCAGUUCAGCCCCCUGCUUCAGACGUUGUGCAGCAGUUGAUUGCUGAUGUUCACCAAAUUUCGGAGCGCCAGCAGCUGAUUCUCGAUCGGUAGGACACUUUUUCCCGUGACCACCAGCAGCUACGUUCUGACUUUCAGACCUUCCAGCAGCAGAGCAUUGAUCAGCAGCUUGAGCUUAUAGCUGGACAACACACUCUUCUUCGUUAUUUUGGUUAUGAUCCGGGGAGCACAUCUUCUCCACCUCCAUAGUUUCUGAGUUCUAUUUUCGCACAUACAUUUCAUAUUUUGUUUGUUUGUGUGUUGCUAUUUAUAUUUUUAUAUACACUGCUACCUCUAUAUGAUCUUGAUGGAUUUUGAUGACAUGUUUUUGUGAUGUUCUUGAUGUUGGAUGACUUGAUAUUGGUUGAUGAAAUUGUUGGUUUAUGGGUUAAUGGAGUUGUUGGUUUGUUGGUUGAUGGAGUUGUUAGUUUGUUGGAUGAUGGAGUUGUUGUUAAUAUAUUUUGGAAGUGUCUUAAUCUCAUUUUGUAUUAGUGGUUUUGCUCCAUUUUAAGGGGAAACUCUGCCAAAUUUUCGCUCGCCAGAGCUGGGUCACUUUUUUAUUCUUCGGAUUUACGGAUUUCUUUUCUCUCUUUUCUUUUGAUGAUGAAGGGGGAGAUAAUUAUGGGGAGAUUUGAAAUGAAUUUUUUUUUUAAAUGAAUUUUGUUUUUAAAAUGAUUCCUUUGAGCAAAAAUAAUUUUAUUGGACAUAUUUUUUAAAUUGGUCAUAUAUUAAGGGGGAGUAAAAUAUUAAUUGAAGUUUGUCAUCAUAAAAAAGGGGAGAUUGUUAACAUGAAUAUGUUAAUAAUAUUAAUUUUGAUGAUAACAAACUUUAAAUGAUUUUUGAUUAAAAUGUUGGAGUUAUUUCUUAAUAAAUGAGAGCCUUAUAAACAUUCCAAUUAUAUUCAUAAAAGAUGGAUCACUGUUAAAUUUCAAAUUGGAAAAUGAUUCUCAGCAAAAUCUGGCUUAAAUUGUUAUUCUGGAAAUAAACGAUGAACCGUUUAUUUAAACGGUUAACCGACUAAAAAUAGAGAGCAACAUAUUGCCUAAGCUCUAACCGAUUAAGAAAAACGGAAAACACAAAAAGCUGGGAAGGCUACCGGAAUUUAACGACGAACCAUUUAUUGAAAUGGUUAACCGAUAAAAUCCAGAAUGAAAGAUUGUACCUGGAAACAAACGGCAAAAGCUUAACUGAAAUGGAUAAAGCUAACUCGUUUUGCAGGUUACUGGAAACAAACGGCGAACCGUUAAUUACAAACAGCUAACCGAUAAUUUCUAGAGAAGUCAUUUCAUGCAAAUCCUUAACUGUUUAAUAUAAAUGGAUAACUGAUGUUCAUCUUGCAGGUCUCUGGGAAUUAACGGCGAAAGGGUAACCAUAAACGGCAAACCGAUUAUUUGAAAUUUGGCCCAACGGUAACUUUUGACCGGCCAUUGAGCUUAUAUUCGAGAAUACAAUCUUCAUAGAGCUUUAAAACACAUUCUUGCUUCAUCUAUUCACACAUUGGGCAUUGAUUUGUAAUCUUAAAUAUUGUGUGAGAGAAAAAUAAUUUUUAAUCUUUUACUUUGAGUGAUUGUAAGUGUUGGGAUACACUUGGGUUAAGAGAUUGGGGAUAAUCUCUUGUUGUAAAGGUUCAUUGACACCUUGGAAGUCAAGUGUAAGCAUUUGAAGCCUUGGAGGCGUGCUUAGUGAAAUCCUCAAGCCCGGAAAGCUUGGAGGCAUGGACGUAGGCGAGGUUGGCCGAACCACAUACAAAUCUUCGUGUUUGAAUCUCUCUUCCCUUAUCUUUUUAUAUUGUAAUUGAUUUAAGUGUUAUUCCAUUAAAUUCAUUUUAGAUUUGGUUGAUAAUUAGUUUAGAAUCAAAUAAUUUUUUAGAAUCCCAAUUCACCCCCCCUCUUGGGUUGCACACUUGUAUUUCAAAAAUAACAACAUUGAUUAAAAUUCCUACUUGUUAUUCUUAUUGGUAACCACAUCUAGGUCUUGAAUUUGCAUGAGCCAACAUCAUGAAGCCCAUAUUUUGCAUCAUUAAAUGAUUAAUCUUAUUGUUAUCUCUGUUUUCACUAUUGUCUCAUCAAAAAAAUUUCUUAUCAUAUUAGCUGCAUAAAAAUUAACAAAUUAACAUAUUAUCAUUUUUAAGCCAUCAAUCAAGUAUAAAUAUUAUACUUGUUAGUUAUAUAACAAAAAUAAAGAAAUAACUAAAUUUUAAAAACAUAUAUUGAAUUAAAGCCAAACUAGCCAUCCAAAUGAAUAAAAGAAAACAUAUUUGCAUUUAGAAACAACUACUUUAAACCAUUUUUGUAAUUACCAAAAAAAUUUUCUUCAAUGAAAUAAAAUAACAUAAAAUAAAAGAAAUUAAAAAGCCAAUAUCCUUAUUUUCAUAUGAUGAAAUUAAAAUUCUAGUUACAAUUACAUGUGACUUCUGUUGUGUUGCCUAGCCAAUAAAUUGUCCAUUUCCUUAUGUAAUUUUUUUUUUCAUCUUGAAUGCAAUUUGCGAAUCAGCAAUGACAACAUGGCAACUAAUUAGAGAAAGACUUCCAUAUGUUUAGUAGAUGAGGCAAAUACGGGCCUGAAUAAUAUGAAAAAUUUUGUUAUAUUAAUUGGGGCAAAUUUCAAUUCAUCCCCUUGCCAAUAGAAAUCUACAAUUUACCCUUCAAAAACAUGAAAACCUCAACUUACCUCAAUUUUUCUCAUUAUGGAUCACCCGGGUGCCUACAAUAUCAUAUUGGGUAGGUCGUUCUUAGUAGCAACUAAAGCAGUGAUAUCCAUGCACUACCUCGCCAUGAAAGUCCCAGCCGCCUAAGAAGUUAUCACCAUUAAAGGGGACCAGCAGUCAGCUCGUGGUUGUUACUCCGUGGCCUCCAAAGUCACUUACCAAAUAGCUUUCGAUUCGCCAGUAAAGGGGUACCCCAGUGGUAGCAAGCCCACACUUUAUCCCACGACGCGAGCACUUGCUAGACAGCGAAGAGAAGUACUCAAUAAAACUUCUCAGGUAGCGGACCCACCAAAAUAGUUGGGAACCUUGCCAAUGGGUGUAGAAACAGUCACUUCGGAUGACUCGGGGGUACCUCACGGGGACCAUGUUGAGCCCAGAUGUGAAUUUAAGGCACCUUUGGAUCCCCGAAUAUCGAAAAAUGAAAAACGGGGCGCCCCGGUUGAAGACCUUGUUUCAAUCUUGAUCUGCACCACUGACCCAACAAAGACCGUGAAAAUGGGUUCCAAUCUUUCAGAAGAACAACAAAGAAAAGUCAUACUACUAGUAAAGUGAUAACACUCUACCUCCUUCUUCUUAUUUUAUUUGUUUUUUUUUUAUGCUUGUGUGUUUGAAAUAUAUGCUUGGCCAUGUGGGGUACCUAGAGAGUACCCCAAGCUAGUUAGUUUCCUAAGUCUUUAAUGACAAUAACAAGUGAUCCCGGGAUCCCCCAUAUUCGCCUUAGGAUAACAAAAUAGUGUCAUAUAAUGAUUCAUAUCUCCAUUCCCUAUGAAUGCAUUUGCUUUACAAAAUUUGGUGACGUAUGCUCUUAUUUGUCUUUUGAUUAUUUGGUAUGGAUGAAUAGUUUAAAAUGUUAUAAGAAUAUGUUCACCAUUAAACUAACUUCAUAUAUAUUGUUGAGUAUUGUUUAUUAUGGCGCAAGAUAGUAUCCAGAGAUCACUUUAUUCUAAGGUACCCAAACUACCUGGCCUACCCCGAUCAUGAUGACCUAUUCAACAUCAGACCCAGCAAAAGGGCACGCUAGUUGCCGCAUUUCAUCAUUAUUUGUUCGCCAUAUUUGAUUCUGAGCGAAUGGUGGAUCAUGAGGUUUCGACCAUCUCGCAUAAGGGUAGCCGAGCAGCCACCUUCAUCUUUAUCUAUAUUGUCUAUUUGAUUCUACGCGAAUAGUGAAUCAUGAGGUUUUCGACCAUCUCACAUAAAGGUAGGCGAGCAGCUACAUUUAUCUCAAUCUAUGUUGUUUAUUUGAUUCCAUGCGAAUGGUGGAUCAUGAGAUUUUCGACCAUCUCACAUAAGGGUAGGCGAACAGCUACCUUUAUCUCAAUCUAUGUUGUCUAAUUAAUUACAAGCAAAUGACGGAUCAUGAGGUUUUCAAUCAUCUCGCAUAAGGGUAGGUGAGCAGCCACCUUUAUGACUAUUUGUGUUACGUAUUUGAUUUAGAGCGAAUGGUGGAUCAUGAGGUUUUCGGCCAUCUCACAAAAGGAUUCACCAUGAUUUUUAUUGAGAUUUGCAGCAAGCAUAUCUAAGUAAAUCGCCAUAUACUGAUGAGAUAAGAUUAAGGGUACCCAUAGUACAUGGGGUACCCUACGACAGAAAGUCGUUCCUCGUGUACAUCAAGAGAAACCCUAAGAAAACUUGAGAUAUGCAGCAUAUCUGGAGAAAUCACCAUAUGUUUAAUGAAAUUGGGUUAUUCCGGCAUGAAGUAACAGAUAACUCAGUGAAUAUCCAAGCUUAAGGGUACCUGAAGAAAUCACAAUAUGUUUGAUGAAAUUGGGUUAUUCCAGCAUGAAGUAACAGAUAACUCAGUGAAUAUCCAAGCUUAAGGGUACCUGAGGUACCCCACGUACCUUGUCAGUAAUGCCGAACAGGGUUACACAGUAGGAUGAUUAUCUUCACAUUCAUCUCUUAAGAUAAGGGGAUCAACAAAAGUGCUAAAAGUAGCAGAAAAACAAGCAUCGGUAUCAGGGGUACCUUAUGGAGACUUCAUUAGAGAUACCUGUUGGUUAUUUUUAUAAGCAAUUGCUACCAAUGCCAAUGUGCAAGUAUACACAACAAGUAAUAAAGUGAUGAGUAUUCAAGAUCGUCUCCACAGGGAUUGAUGUUACUAGAAAUGCUAUAGCAAUCACAAUAGUGCAAAUCAACUUAAGGCUGAAGCUAACAAUUGUAAAGUAAUUUCUAUCGUAAUUAAUGAUUGUGAGAGAAUUAAAUAAAACAAUACUGUAAUGAAAUAAACUAUGUUAAAUGUGUCUAAAAUUCAAUUGAGAUCAUAGUAGUUGAAUGAUCAAAUUCUCCUUACGGGGAUGACUAUUUUGUUCAUCAAUUUAUCACCAGUUGUUACGGCAAGUGCUGCAGCACUGGACAGAAUAAAUCUGCAUCCUCAGCUAUGGCAUAUUGGAAGUCUCAUACCCUUAAAUCUAUUAACAAUGACCAGUUGCUAAUCUACUUAUGGCAUGACAUUAUGAUCUUUAGUCUCUCCACCCUACAAGGUGAACACCUAUGUCUAGUGUGUCAUAAAUCCUAACUUCAAAUAUUGCCCUUAUGGGAUUCAAGAUAACUUAAUCUAGGAAACUCAACUUAAGAUCAGGUAAUACUUUAAUAAUAUCCACUAAGACAUGCCAUUUUGCUGCUUUAUGUUAAUUGAAACUAUUAAAUAGGUGGUCAACCGAAAUAAUAGUUAUAUUCAUACAAACUACUAGAGUAAAAUGCUACAGCAAUGACAUAACAACUUAUAAGAACAGUCAAGAACCCAAUGGAUUAUUUGUCACUCAAUUACAAGUAAAUCUAGUUAAUAUUCUGAAUGAGAAAAAUAAACAUAAAUAUAUUGAUCAAGGGAUACAUUAAACAAUUAAAGGAAGAAGAGAAAUAUAAGUUGAGCACGGUGAAAGACAAAUCCAAAUAAUUCUGCACAAUUCUUCAAUGUUGCCGAAACAGCACUCUCCAAUUCUGAUCUUCCUCUUAUUUCCUUUGUAAUUAUUCUAAUGAUAAUUCCCUUCCGUCGUUCUAUGUCGUGCAUGCCUCCCUUUUAUAUUGCAAAUUAGGGUAAACAAAAGCCCAUGAGCGUGUAUGCAUUAAAUUAGGAACAUGCAGAUUAUGAUUCUGUGGUUGACCCGCGCCUAAGUUUUCUCCCGCAUUGUUCUCAGAUUGCUACAACACUGGUUGCUCUAACAUCUGCAACCACACUGCACUAUUCCCUAUUGUGCUUUACUUCUUUUGUGGUUGUCUUCUUUCCUCCUCUUGCUCGCCUAAUGCCUCAACAUCCCCUCAUGAAUCAAGACUUUCUGAAAACCUACAAUUAUGCACCUGAUUUUAGUACAAAUUACUUUGAUUUAAGCAAAACUUAUUAAGACUCAACUAAAAUGAAUGUUUACGCAAAAUAUAACCAAAAUGUAAUAAAACCAUCUUCUUUGAUCUCUAAGUUAUCUUGAUUUAAGCCUAGAAAAGAUGUAAUAACUCUCAUUUCCUAGAGUUAUCAGUACCCCUACUUAUCUCCAUGGGCUUUCAGACCAAGAUUUGUUAGGAGACCUGCUAUCCUCAAUCGCCUUCAAGAUGGCUGACUUGGCUACUCACUUCUCCACUCUUGGCACAACUAGCCUCAGAUUAGCACUUCAUUCUUUGGUCAUGAUGCGUUCAAAAGUAUUGUCAACUAUGUUCUUCUGUUGAGGGUACCUCUGAAGCUGCAAGAAAGGAGCCCUAUGAUUUUGCUUUCGUCCUUAAAGUAUGUGAAGGAAAGGUACCCUUAAUUGAAGUAGAUUUUGAGGUAAUCGAUAAACCACUUCUCAAAUGACUGAAGAAGGCAUUAAAGUCCUCACCAGAGUGAUCUAUACAUGGCAGUCACUAGAAAACAAAAUAUGGGUGAUGGUAGGGUACCCUUACAACACCCUCUACUUAUACUUGGUGGUUUAUCCUCAAAAGCAGAUGAACAGUUUGGGUUAAUUAGCUUCGCCCUCUUCAACUUGUCCAAAUUGGCAGCCAUUUCUAAGCAAAUAGGAAAGGGAGCCCAUCUUUCUUUUUUGGGUUCUCGGAGUACUCCUUCAGCCGUUAUCUUUUAUCUUGGUACAUCUGUUCCAACACUUUUACUGAGUAAGAGAGGAUGUAUUGUCUGAGUUUUUGGGUGACCUGGUUCACAUCUUAAGAUGUGAGGAGGUUAGGUACACCUCAUAGAAGAAGUCGUACCUGUUGAGUGUUAGAAAAUGCAUAUUUAUAAAGGAGAAAACCGUCAUUUUACAUUUCAAGUCUUACUAACACCUUUACUUUCAUGAAUUUAACCUUCUUUUGAUUUAAUUCCGUUUGUUUUAUUUUAAUUAAGUAUUUUAUGUAUUUUAGGGGCAUUAUAGUUAUUUCACAAUAAAGGAGAGAUCAGACGGCAAAACGGACAUCACUUUUGAACUCAGGACGGUCGAAAACCUUAGGAGGAGCAUAAAAAGAAAAAUGGCACUAUUCACAUGUAUGGUACUAUUCACGUAUAUGGUACUGUAUACGUUACUGUUCACAACAUUGUUCACAUAGACGGAUCGAUGACGUGGCAUUGACCGAUGAUGUGGCAUUGACCGAUGAGGUGUCACGAUCCUGUUGGGCUAAAAUUCUUAUGUACUGUUGAUGGUGACGAGGCAGCAUAUCAGUGGAUGAAAAAUCUCGCGUACGGUACAUGCAUCACACAGGAUUAUUUUCAACCAAACCGUGUUACUGUUCAUCCGAGUCAAACCGCGUUACUGUUCAUCUGAGUCAAACCGUGUUACUGUUCAUCCGCAUGGUCAAACCGUGGACUGUUGACUGAUGACGUGGCGCAAUCCUGAGCGUCCAAACUGUUUUUAAUCCGAUGGCCAUGAUUUACUCCAUGUAUCUAUAAAAAGGGGGCCUCCCCCCCCUAAUUUGAUAUCUCUGAAUCCAUGUUUGGACUCUGUUUUCUGUAAUUCCCUCUCCAUCUUGUAUUUUCUUCGUAUUUUAAUAAAUUCCCAUUUUGCCCCUAGUUCAAUUAUGAGUGGCUAAUUUUCUUUCAAGCUUGGGUUGAAGGUGAAGUCUCAACAUGUGUCAUGGGCUUAAUUUGGUAAAUUUAUUUUCUCUUCCCCUCUAGUUUUUGUGGAUGUUUUGACUUCUUGUCGACAAAUAAUAAUAAUCUUGUCUAGAUACCGCCUUAGUUACACUGGCUCUCUAGUAUAAGGUUAUUAUUAUUUGGCACGAUAAGCCCUUAGCACCAUAUUGAUUAGAGCGUGGUUCAUGAGGUGUGGAUUCCCCCCUCAUGAUUUAAUUGGCAUUAAUACGGAUUAUUUAGCCCAUGAUGCAUGUUGAUACGGAUCCAGAUACCCAAGUACGUCAAUUUAAUAGAUUUUCUCUUCAAUUUAUUUUCUCCAUUGCAAUUCCAAUUUUAGAAUUUAUUCUCGCCAUUUUAAUUUAAGUCUUAGCAUAUUCCAAAUCGUUUCCACCAUAAAUUCAACCACUCAUUUACAAAAUUAAUUCUACACAUAAUUAAAAUCCACCUCUUCGUGGGAUCGACACUCGUCACCAUUGAUCUAUACUACAAUAGAUUCGUGCGCUUGCUAGUACAUUAAAAUUUGCACAACAAGUUUUUGGCGCCGUUGCCGGGGAGGUAAGUAAUUUUAAUUUAUAGAAUUAAUUUUUGUGAAUAAUUUCUUUUAUUUGUUUUAUUGUAUUUUUUAUUAAAAAAAAAAAAGUGAAUCCGCAUUUAGAGGUUAGUAAUUUCUUUUCUUUUUCUCUUCUUUAAAUUUAUGUAAUUUAAUUUUCAAGUUAUUUUUUUUUCUUUGUAAUUUUUGUUUAUCUUACUAAUUCUUUUUAGUUAAUUUAUUUCACGUAUUUAUUUUUGUGUAUUUUUAUAGAAAGUUUGUAAUAGCGCAAUAAGGUUAGUAUCGUAAUUCCUCCCUCUUCUUUAUUUUUAUUUAUUUUGUUCGCAUCUUUAUUUUUUAUUUUAUUUGUUUUGCAUGCAUGGUCGAAGGUCAUUAGUACCCAAUCUUGAACCUAUAGACCUUGAACUUGAGAAAACACUUCGCACACACAAACAAGUAAAAAAUAAAAUGGAUUUGCAACCACAUGAGAGGCCAUUUAAAGAUUAUUUCAGUCCUUUAGCAAAUUUGAGCACAUCAUGUAUAAGAUACCCAAAUGUAGCUGCUAGGAGUUUUGAAUUAAAACCCAGUGUGCUAAAUUGUCUCCCCACAUUUUAUGGCCUAGAAAAUGAGGAUCCAUAUAAUCAUCUGAAUGAUUUUCAUGCCAUUUGUCAAACUUUUAAAUAUGAAAAUUUUUCAAACGAUGAUGUUAAACUUAGACUAUUCCCAUUUUCUUUAAAAGAUAGAGCUCGUUCAUGGUUAAAUACUUUACCUGCUAAUAGCAUUUCAUCAUGGGAACAAAUGGUAACGAAAUUUUUGAAUAAAUAUUUCCAGUGCAUAAAACCAACGCUAUUCGCAGGGAAAUCUCGGAGUUUACCCAGAGAGAGGACGAGCAGUUUUUCGAAACAUGGGAGCGAUUCAAUGGGCUAUUCUUGAAGUGUCCACAUCAUGGGUACGAGAAAUGGCACCAAUGCCAAUACUUUUUAGAGGGAUUAUUACCAAAUGUGCAAGAAUGGCUAAUGGCAACAAGUGGAGGAGAGCUAAUGUCAAAAAGUGCAUCAGAGAUUUGGGAAUUCUUCCAGCGACAAGCGGAUAAUUCCCAACAACGGAGUCGAUCAUUCAAGAAUACUAGAAGAAUUAAGGGAGUAAAUGAGGUUCACAUUGGCGAGUCAACUUCGGGAAUCAAAGAAGUCAAGGAGAUGGUUGAAGGUCUUGCUCGACAAAUAGCAUCGUUAUCGACUGCUAAAUCAACAGAACCACAUGACCCUGACUCAUACUCCGAUCAAGCCAAUGCCAUAGGUGUAAUGAGAAAGCCAUCAAAUUAUAACCCAUACUCCAACACAUAUAACCCUGGAUGGAGAGACCACCCCAAUUUUUCAUGGUCUCAAGGAUUCCAACAGAAUGGACCAGCAGCUCCAGCUCCACCAAUUCCUCAAAUUCCUCAAGCCUCUCAGCCCCCAUUUAGACCAUACAAUCAGAACCAGAACUAUUCUCAACCUAGACCAUGGGAGGAUUCAUUCCAGAAUCUCAAGAAUCUUACUCACUCUACGAUUGAGCAACAGAACCGCACCAUUGAUGGACUACGAAAUGAAUUGAGAGCGGGCUUCAACUCACAAGCCCAAUCAGUUUCAAGCCUCGAGAAGAUGGUAGGACAACUUGCCUCUUCAGUUCAAACCUUGGCAAUGACUGUUGAGAAAGGCAAAUUUCCAAGUCAACCAGUGCCUAAUCCUAAAGGAGUACAUGAAACAAGUACCAGUUCACCACAGCAGCAUGGAGAGGUCAAAGUAGUAAUGUCCUUGCGAAAAGGAAAGGAAGUCGACAACAAAGUGGAGAUGCCGGUGACAAAAGAAAAUCAAAUUGUACCUGUGAAUGUUGAGGACUCACCACCGGAAGAAAAAGAAGAAACCAACCCACGAGAAUAUGUUCCUAAAGCUCCAUUUCCUCAGAGGUUAGCAAAAGGCAAAAAGGAAAAAUCCACAGGUGAGAUUCUCGAAAUCUUCAAACAGGUAAGUGUUAACAUCCCUUUACUUGAUGCUAUUAAACAAGUUUCAUCUUAUGCCAAGUUUCUUAAAGACCUUUGUACUAAAAAGAGAAAUAUGCAUGUGCAAAAGAAGGCAUUUUUAACAGAAAACGUUAGUUCUAUACUCCAACAUAAAAUUCCUUUAAAAUGCAAAGACCCAGGCUCCCCCACUAUUUCAUGUAGCAUAGGGAACCACACAAUUGAGAAUGCUUUGUUGGAUUUAGGAGCUAGUGUAAAUUUGUUGCCUUAUUCUGUAUUUGUGAAACUUGGACUUGGAGAAUUACACCCAACUCCAGUGGUGUUACAGCUUGCAGAUCGGUCCACGAAAAUACCUCGUGGUAUUGUGGAGGACGUGCUUAUCCAGGUAGACAAGUUUUAUUUUCCUGUUGAUUUCAUUGUAAUUGACACUCAACCAAUACAGGAUUCAAGGAAGCACAUCCCCAUUAUUCUAGGCUGACCUUUCUUGGCAACUGCGGAUGCUCACAUUCAAUGCAGGACUGGAAAUAUGCAGUUGUCCUUCGGCAACAUGACUAUGGAGCUAAACAUCUUCAACAUUGCAAAACAACCUCACAGUGCAGAUGAUGGAAUUGUUGAUGUGGAUUUAAUUGAAACAAUAGUUGAUAACACUUUUCUUUCAAACCUUAGUGAUGAUCCUUUACAAACAUGUUUAACUCACUUUUGUUUGGAUUUUGAUAUUGACAGAUUGGUCGAUGAGGUCAACGCCCUACUUGACUCAGCACCAUCCAUGGACACUAAUAAAUGGAAGUCAAGAGUUGAACAACUAGCACCAUCAGAGAAGAAACUCAUCCCAUCAUCAUAAUCACCACCGAAACUCGAGCUCAAACCAUUGCCCAACACAUUGGAAUAUGCAUUUUUGGGAGAAGAAAGUACUCUGCCGGUAAUCAUCUCAUCAUCCCUAAAUGACGAACAAAAAGGUAAGUUGUUGGAUGUUUUAAAAGAGCACAAAGGAGCAUUAGGAUGGACCAUAGCGGACAUAAAAGGUAUAAACCCAGUAGACUGCAUGCAUUACAUUCACCUUGAUGAAAAUGCUAAAUCUACUAGGGAAAUGCAACGUCGGUUAAAUCCUAAUAUAAAAGAAGUUGUUAGAACUGAAGUCCUUAAGCUAUUAGAUGCAGGUAUCAUUUACCCAAUUUCUGAUAGUUCAUGGAUUAGUCCUGUACAAGUUGUCCCCAAAAAGUCAGGAGUCACAGUAGUUACGAAUGCUGAUAAUGAAUUGAUACCCACUAGAGUAACUACAGGAUGGCGUGUAUGCAUUGAUUAUAGAAAGUUGAAUUUUGUCACACGUAAAGACCAUUUUCCUUUACCAUUUAUUGAUCAAAUGCUUGAUAGAUUAGCAGGCUAUGAAUUUUAUUGCUUUCUAGAUGGCUACUCAGGAUAUAAUCAGAUUCCUAUAGCACCAAAAGAUCAAGAGAAAACUACUUUCACUUGCCCUUUUGGCACAUUUGCAUAUAGGAGAAUGCCAUUUGGAUUAUGUAAUGCACCUGCUACAUUUCAACGAUGCAUGUUGAGCAUUUUUUCUGAUAUGGUUGAACGAUUCCUUGAAGUCUUUAUGGAUGACUUUUCUGUCUUUGGUGACUCAUUUGAUCAAUGUUUACAUCAUCUAACACUAGUUCUGCAGAGAUGUGUCAAGAAGAACUUGGUCUUAAAUUGGGAGAAAUGUCAUUUUAUGGUAAAACAAGGUAUUGUUCUCGGUCACAUCAUUUCGAGCAAAGGUAUUGAGGUUGACAAAGCCAAGGUGGAUCUCAUUUCUAAUCUUCCUUCACCCAAAACAGUCAGAGAAGUAAGAUCUUUCCUUGGGCAUGCUGGUUUCUAUAGACGUUUCAUUAAAGAUUUUAGCAAAGUUUCUAGACCCUUAUGCAAUUUACUUGCUAAGGAUGUACCUUUUAUCUUUAAUGAUUCAUGUCUUAUGGCGUUUGAAAAAUUAAAACAGUUGUUGACAUCAUCACCCAUCAUUCAGGCCCCAAACUAGAGCUUACCAUUUGAGCUAAUGUGUGAUGCAUCUGAUUAUGCAGUAGGAGCAGUAUUAGGACAAAGAGUUGAUCGAAUUCCCCACGUUAUUUACUAUGCUAGUAUGACAUUAAAUGAUGCACAGUUGAACUAUUCAACUACUGAAAAAGAAACGCUAGCAGUAGUGUUUGCAUUGGAAAAAUUUCGAUCAUAUCUCAUUGGUUGUAAAAUAAUUAUAUUCACGGAUCAUGCUGCUCUUAAAUAUCUUCUCACAAAGAAAUAUGCAAAAGCCAGACUAAUUCGUUGGGUGUUACUUUUGUAGGAGUUUGACUUGGAAUUCAAAGAUAAGAAAGGCACAGAGAAUGUUGUGGCGGACCACCUCUCUCGUCUCCAUUUUGACACAAUUACAGAAUCAUUACCAUUGAAUGAGUCAUUUCCAGAUGAACAAUUAAUGAAUGUGGAAGUAUUACCUUGGUAUGCUGAUAUAGUUAAUUAUCUUGUUAUAGGUAAACUUCCAGAGCAUUGGACCAAGCAAGACAAGGCUAAAUUCUUUGCAGAAAUAAAGAAUUUCUUUUGGGAUGACCCGUAUUUGUUCAAGUAUUGUGCAGACCAAAUUAUUAGACGAUGCGUCCCAGAAAGUGAAAUUCAGAAUAUCCUUUCAUUCUGCCAUGAACAAGCUUGUGGAGGCCAUUUCAGCGCUAAGAAAACAGCGACUAAAGUUUUACAAUGUGGUUUCUAUUGGCCAACUGUAUUUCGAGAUGCUUACACUUUCUGUUCUUCAUGUGAUAGGUGUCAACGAAUGGGGAGCAUUACGCGAAGGAAUAUGAUGCCACUAAAUCCAAUUUUAGUGGUUGAGAUUUUUGAUGUAUGGGGUAUCGACUUCAUGGGACCCUUUCCCCCGUCUUUUGGCCAUCAAUACAUAUUGGUUGCUGUUGACUACGUAUCGAAAUGGGUAGAAGCAAUUUCAUGUAGAACCAAUGAUCACAAGGUGGUGAUAGGAUUUUUGAAAAGCAAUAUUGUCUCACGCUUUGGAUUCCCUCGAGCAAUAAUCAGUGAUGGUGGUGCCCACUUUUGUAACAAAGCAUUCAAAGCUCUUUGACAAAGUAUUCAAUCACACACAAAGUGGCGACUCCGUAUCAUCCGCAAACCAGUGGCCACGUUGAGAUCUCCAAUAGAGAAAUAAAGUACAUAUUAGAAAAAAUGGUGAGGCCAGACAGAAAAGAUUGGUCAUUAAGACUUGAUGAUGCCUUAUGGGCAUAUAGAACGGCUUUCAAGACCCCGAUUGGGAUGUCACCCUACAGGCUAGUGUAUGGAAAAGCUUGCCACCUGCCUGUGGAACUCGAGCAUCGUGCAUAUUGGGCCAUCAAGAAAUUCAAUUUUGACAUGCAGCAAGUCAGCUCAGAAAGAAGAUUACAGCUAGCAGAACUUGAAGAAAUUCGCAAUGAUGCAUACGAAAAUGCCAAGAUUUACAAGCAACGAAUAAAAGUCUUCCAUGAUAAGCAAAUUAUGAGAAAAUCGUUCACUCCAGGUCAGAAAGUGCUUUUAUUCAAUUCUCGCUUGCACCUAUUCCCAGGUAAGUUACGCUCUCGUUGGUCUGGCCCAUUUAUUGUUCAUAUUAUUUUUCCACAUGGGGCAAUUGAAAUUAAGGACCCAAAGAACGGUGUCACGUUUAAAGUUAAUGGUCAAAGAUUAAAGCCAUAUCUAGAAUACCAACCACAUGGAGAAGACAUCGAGAUAAAUUUGAGUAACCCACCAAAUUUGAAUUGAUUUUUUUUCUUUUCGUUGAUUUGAUUUUUCUUUCUUUCUUUUUAUUAUUAUUCUUUUGCUAAUUGAAAUUGUUUUUGCAUAAGUGUGUUUAUUUUACCAUUAAGUUUUCUCUUAUCAUUUUUAAUCAUGAGUCUCAUACUUAGACCGUUCCUCUUGAACAUUCUUAAAUCACUUCAACGUGUCAAAACUCAUCUCAAAAGGCAGAUUCAAUUUUGUAAAACACAACCCAUUUGGGCUCUACAACCACCAGAGUUAGUAGCCUAUGUUGAGGGUUUAGAACGCCAACUCAGAGACAUUGAGAGAAGUGUUUACGACAUCCAGUUGGAGCUUGAGGUAAAUUCAAUAAGAGGACGAUUUUAAUUUUCUUUGUGUGUUUUAAUUUUUUUUUUCUAUUUGUGUGCUUUAGUUUGUUACCCCGGUGAAGUGGCGGAUAACGGUACUCCGUGACAAUCAAGUUGGUUACUUCAAUUUCCCAUAAUAACUGAUAUUCUGAGGCGAAAGUAUGGACAGAAACGAGACUCUAGCGAAGCUUCACAAGCGAUUCCCUUCACUUCCUCAGAAUGCCCUCCUUACGGUCUAUAAAGCUCGGUCCGAACGCAUGCGAUUACUUAUGAGGAAUAACAUACCUGCUGACAUCCGUUGGUUAAUUGAGGCUAAAGUACGAUCGGCAGGUGAGUUACCUCCAAAAUUUAUUGCAUACAUGCCUGGUUGUGGUAAAGGAAAUUAUGCAAGAAAACGACGAGCUCGAAGAAUUUCUGUUGCUUGUCAUAAGUGUGCCAGAAUGAGUUGCAAUAAAAACCCAUGUUCUUUAGGAAUGGUGUCUGAUAACAGGGAAGAUAAGAUUCAAUUCAUUAAGGAUGGCUUGAAUAAGGAGUCAUUGGAUGAUAUCCUUUUGUCUCUUGAAACGCAUCCCAGUGGAUAUGUACAAGGAGCGAUUCUCCAGUUAUGGCCAUUAUUCCAGAAAGAGCAUGCACGAUAUAGUCUCGGGAAUCUGACUAUAAACGACCCUGUUUGCCAGUUUAUAAGAAAACUGGAUAGGAAGCCUAUCCUCGACCCAUAGAGGGCGUUCAAACCGUUUCUGGACGUAAAACCAGAGGAAGAUGUGAGCCACAGUCGCAACUACCUGUAAAUAUCCUUUCACUUUACUGUUAUUUUAUUUCACUAUUGUUUUAUUGUGUGUAUUAUUGUCCUUAAUAAUUUUAUUACUGUUUGCUUUUUCCUUUUUACUGUUUCCUUUUUGACUCGCGAGCCACGUACUUUACGCGUUAUUUGACACUGACAUGUUACCUCAUACACAACUGUGACCCAUUGUCACCAAGACUCUUAAAUGUGAUUGUUUUUUGUCAAGCACUCACAAAUUUUUUUUUGAGAAGUAUCCUAAUGGCAGCUACUCCAAAUAGACAAUUCAAGAACAUUUGUGUGCUUUCUGGAUUUACAUAUGGCAAACAUAAAGAGUUCGUUGAGGCAGCCAUAGAUCUUGGUCGCAGCAUAGCAGCGAAAAAAUUACACUUGGUGUAUGGAGGAGGUAAUCGAGGGUUAUCAAAAAUGGUCUCAGAAGCAACUUUUAUCAGAGGCAGCCAAGUGUUAGGCAUCAUCCCAAGAGCCCUAAAACCUUUGGGCAGUUCGUCUGACUCAUCAACUGGAAAAGAGUUAGUCGUCUCAGGUAUGCAAGAAAGAAUAACUGAAAUGCUUAAUCAUGCUGAUGCUUUUAUUUUCCUUCCAUGAGAUCUUGCAACACUAGAGGCACUUAUCACACUAGCAUCUUGGGCCCAUCUGCACAUCCACCAGAAACCCAUCGGUUUGUUAAAUGUCAAUAACUUUUAUGAUGGCUUUAUCGCAUUUCUUAACCAUGCAAUAAAAAACUAUUUCAUUCCCUCUAAUGCGAAAAAACUUUUUAUUUGUGCUCACACUGCUAAUGAGCUACUUGAUAUGUUACAAGCUUAUAGACCAGAGCCAGACCCCUGGACCUUUGUGUUGGAGCAUCCAAAUAAUGAUGGUAACAGUAGCCGCAGUAAGAAGUACAAAUUAGAUUUAACUCUCCGCUUGUAAAUAUUAUUUUCUGUGUUGCACUACCCAGGUGAUGUCUUCUAAACUCUACUUCUUUCCUUUCAAACAUUGAGGACAAUGUUUCGUUCUGGUUGGGGGGAGGGAAUAGUCGACAAUUAUGAAAUUUUGGUUAAGUUUUUACUAAUUUUUUGUUGUAGAAACUAACUAUUGCUAAUUUUUUGUGUUAAAGAUGGCUGAAUAUGGAGUGUAGUGACUCUAGAAACGCAUCUUCAUCGUUUAAAAAAAAAUUUUCAGACAUUUUCUUUUUCUUUAUUCUAUUUUUAUGUUUAUUUUUCUUCUUCUUUUUAUUUUCUCCUCUAUAAAUAUACAUUUUCCAACUUUUGAGUCGAAGAUGGCUGAAUAUGGAGUGUAGUGCCUCUAGAAACGCAUCUUCUUUAAAAAAAAAUCAUUUUCUUUUUCUAUCAUUUUAAGUGUAACUUUUCUAAUUAAUUUUUCUACAUCAUUUUCACAUUUCUGCAUGCAUAUUUUUCUUUUAUGUUUAGAAUAGGUUGAGGGGUAGAAUGUUGUUUAAAAAAAAAAAAUUGUGUGAUUUGUUUUAACAUUGGAUGACAUGAUUAAUUUCAAAUUUUAGUAUUUGUAUUAUCUUUGGUCUUAAGUGAUGUUACAUUAUGUUUGCUACUCUACAUGUUGAUGUUGGAGACAAAUAUGAGUUGCUUGAAGAAUGAACAUGUCAUAAUAAGUACCAAGUGAGUUUUGAGCCUAUUAUUUUUCUUGGAGAAUAACCCUUUUGCCCACUCUUUAUACAGCUUAGCAGUUUAUUAUUUUACACACGAUCUCUAGAUUUCUUUUGAGUUAACCCUUAAAAAAAAAAAAAAAGUGUGUUGCUACAUUGGGAGGCCCAUCUAACUAGUAGAUAUGGAUGAUUAUUUAGAGCCCUAAAAGACGAUGGAAAUGCCAUCUUUGAUCCGUUUGAGCCUUUCUAGCCAUCCCUUUUAUUAAAUAUCCAUAGUUAACCCUUUUGAGCCUUUAAAAAAAAAAAAAACCUUUUCUUUGUCAACUUAUCAUCUUGACCCACUCCGAUUUGGAGUAUUACCCGAUGUCUUAUAAGUUCCAUCACCUAUUUAUGUUUGAGAAAAUGUAAAUAAUUAUGUUGUUCAAUGAAGUUAUGCCAAAUAAAAGCAAAAAACAAAAAUAAAAGUUGUUGUUUCAAAAGAAUAAAAAUAAAAAUAAUAGGUGAAAUCCACCUUGCAACUUCAAAAAAAAAAAAAAAUUCUCUGCACUUUUCUCAAACAUACACUUUGUUUUCCUUAUUUCCCUUCUUUGUUAGCCAUGUCCCUAGCCUACGUUACGUCCUAAUAAAAGUCCUUCUUGAUUUUAGGGAACUAUAGUUUGAAGUAGAAGCUAGUUAUAUGGGCUAAAAAGAUGAAGUGAUGCAUAAUAAUAAAAAAAAAGAGAUAAAUAAAGUGGGUUGACUAGCAUUUUUGUUUGACUUGAGAUCGUAUUAUUUCUAAGCUGAGGGCAUAUUUAUUUCAUCUUGGUGAGAGCAUGUGAUAUCACUUCUUUGUUAUUUUCUCUCAAUUACCAUUCAUUGAAGUGACUAUUUUUAUUGGUUUUAAUUUCUUUGUGAGAGUGUCACUACUUCCAGUGAGAUUUUGGGGUUUGACAUGUCAUUCUUGAAAGUAGCUAUGACAAAGUCUACUGGGCUGAUUCAUGUGGAUGGUUGAUGUGGGUGUGAUGUUGCUUUAGACUGGAGAUAAUGCUUAUACUUUUAUUUGAUUGCUAUCAUUAAUCUGGUGGAAUAAAUAUGAGUGUUUCUAUUAAAAAAAAAAUAUUUUGAAUUUGAAUUUUGUUUUCGCUUUAUUUGCUAGGGACUAGCAAUAAGCUGGUUGGGGGGUGUGUUGAGUGUUAGAAAAUGCAUAUUUAUAAAGGAGAAAACCGUCAUUUUACAUUUCAAGUCUUACUAACACCUUUACUUUCAUGAAUUUAACCUUCUUUUGAUUUAAUUCCGUUUGUUUUAUUUUAAUUAAGUAUUUUAUGUAUUUUAGGGGCAUUAUAGUCAUUUCACAAUAAAGGAGAGAUCAGACGGCAAAACGGACAUCACUUUUGAACUCAGGACGGUCGAAAACCUUAGGAGGAGCAUAAAAAGAAAAAUGGCACUAUUCACAUGUAUGGUACUAUUCACGUAUAUGGUACUGUAUACGUUACUGUUCACAACAUUGUUCACAUAGACGGAUCGAUGACGUGGCAUUGACCGAUGAUGUGGCAUUGACCGAUGAGGUGUCAUCCGAGUCAAACCGUGUUAUUGUUCAUCCGCAUGGUCAAACCGUGGACUGUUGACUGAUGACGUGGCGCAAUCCUGAGCGUCCAAACUGUUUUUAAUCCGAUGGCCAUGAUUUACUCCAUGUAUCUAUAAAAAGGGGGCCUCCCCCCCCUAAUUUGAUAUCUCUGAAUCCAUUUUUGGACUCUGUUUUCUAUAAUUCCCUCUCCAUCUUGUAUUUUCUUCGUAUUUUAAUAAAUUCUCAUUUUGCCCCUAGUUCAAUUAUGAGUGGCUAAUUUUCUUUCAAGCUUGGGUUGAAGGUGAAGUCUCAACAUGUGUCAUGGGCUUAAUUUGGUAAAUUUAUUUUCUCUUCCCCUCUAGUUUUUUUGGAUGUUUUGACUUCUCGUCGACAAAUAAUAAUAAUCUUGUCUAGAUACCGCCUUGGUUACACCGGCUCUCUAGUAUAAGGUUAUUAUUAUUUGGCACGAUAAGUCCUUAGCACCAUAUUGAUUAGAGUGUGGUUCAUGAGGUGUGGAUUUUCCCCUCAUGAUUUAAUUGACAUUAAUAAGGAAUAUUUAGCCCAUGGUGCAUGUUGAUACGGAUCCAGAUACCCAAAUACGUCAUUUUAAUAGAUUUCUCUUCAAUUUAUUCUCGCCAUUUCAAUUCCAAUUUUAGGAUAAUCUAACUCACUUUCACCACAAAUCCUACCACCCAUUUAGAAAAAUUAAUUCUACACACAAUUAAACUCCACCUCCUCAUGGGAUCAACACUCGUCACCAUUGAUCUAUUCUAUAAUAGAUUCGUGCGCUUGCAAGUUCAAUAAAAUUUGCACAACAAGUUUUUGGCGCCGUUGCCGGGGAGGUAAGUUAUUUUAAUUCGUAAAAUUAAUUUUUGUGAAUAAUAUCUUUUAUUUAUUUUCUUGUAUUUUUUUCUUAUUAAAAAAAAAGAAGAAAAAAAAGUGAAUCUGCGUUUGGAAGCAAUAAUUUCUUUUCUUUCUCUAUUCUUUACAAUUCUGUAAUUUAAUUUUCAAGUUAUUUUUUUUUCUCUUUGUAAUUUUUAUUUAUCUUACUAAUUUAUUUUUAGUUAAUUUAUUUCACGUAUUGUUUUUGUCUAUUUUUAUAGUAAGGUUUUAACAGCGUAAUAAGGUUAGUAUUGUAAUUUCUCAUUCUUUAUUUUUAUUUGUUUUGUUCCCAUUUAUUUUGUGUUCUUUGCAUGCAUGGUCAAAGGUCAUUAUUACCUAAUCUUGAACUAGAAAAAAACAAUGCACACACACAAACACGUUAAAAAUAAAAUGGAUUUGCAACAACAAGCACCACCACAGGAGAGGCCAUUUAAGAACUACUUCAGUCCUUUAGCUAAUUUGAGCACAUCAUGCAUAAGAUACCCAAAUGUAACUGCUAAGAGUUUUGAACUAAAACCUAGUGUGCUAAAUUGUCUCCUAACAUUUUAUGGCUUAUAAAAUGAGGACCCAUAUAAUCAUCUGAAUGAUUUUCAUGCUAUUUGUCAAACUUUUAAAUACGAGAAUUUUUCAGACGAUGAUGUUAAACUCAGAUUAUUCCCAUUUUCUUUAAAGGAUAGAGCUCGUUCACGACUCAAUACAUUACCUGCCAAUAGCAUCACAUCAUGGGAAUAAAUGGUAACUAAAUUUUUGAAUAAAUAUUUCCCAGUGCAUAAAACCAAUGCUAUUCGCAGGGAAACUUCAGAGUUUACCCAGAGAGAAGACGAUCAGUUUUUAGAAACAUGGGAGCGAUUCAAUAGGCUACUCUUGAAGUGUCCACAUCAUGAGUACCAGAAAUGGCACCAAUGCCAAUACUUUUUGGAAGGAUUAUUGCCGAAUGUACAAGAAUGGCUAAUGGCAACAAGUGGAGGAGAGCAAAUGUCAAAAAGUGCAUUAGAGAUUUGGGAAUUCUUCCAGCGACAAGCGGAUAAUUCCCAACAACGGAGUCGAUCACUCAGGAAUACUAAAAGAAUUAAAGGAGUGAAUGAGGUUCACAUUGGCGAGUCAACUUCAGGAAUCAAAGAAGUCAAGGAGAUGGUUGAAGGUCUUUCUCGACAAAUAUCAUUAUUAUUGACUGCUAAAUCAACAGAACCACAUGACCAUGACUCAUACCCAGAUCAAGCCAAUGCCAUAGGUGUAAUGAGAAAACCAUCAAAUUACAACCCAUACUCCAACACAUAUAACCCUGGAUGGAGAGGCCACCCAAAUUUUUCAUGGUCUCAGGGAUUCCAACAGAAUGGACCAGCAGCUCCAGCUCCACCAAUGCAACAAAUUCCUCAAGUUCCUCAAGCCUCUCAGCCACCAUUUAGACCAUACAAUCAGAACCAAAACUACUCUCAACCCAGACCAUGGGAGGAUGCAUUCCAGAAUUUCAAGAAUGUUACUCACUCCACGAUUGAGCAACAGAACCGUACCAUUGAUGAACUACAAAAUAAGAUGAGAGCAGGCUUCAACUCAUAAGGCCAAUCAGUUUCAAGCCUCGAGAAGAUGGUGGGACAACUUGCUUCUUCAGUUAAGACCUUGGCAAUAACUGUUGAGAAAGGCAAGUUUCCAAGUCAACCAGUGCCUAAUCCUAAAGGAGUGCAUGAAGCAAGUACCAGUUCACCACAGCAGCAUGGAGAGGUCAAAGAAGUCAUGACCUUACGAAAAGGAAAAAAAGUCGACAACAAAGUGGUGACGCAGGUGACAAAAGAAAAUCAAAUUGUACCUGUGAAUGUUGAGGACUCACCAUCGGAAGAGAAAGAAGAAACCAACCCACGAGAAUAUGUUCCCAAAGCUCCAUUUCCUCAGAGGUUAGCUAAAGGAAAGAAGGGAAAAUCCACAGGUGAGAUUCUUGAAAUCUUCAAACAGGUAAGUGUUAACAUCCUUUUACUUGAUGCUAUAAAGCAAGUUCCAUCUUAUGCCAAGUUUCUUAAAGACCUUUGUACUAAAAAGAGAAACAUUCACGUUCAAAAGAAGGUCUUUUUAAUAGAAAAUGUUAGUUCUAUACUCCAACACAAAAUUCCUUUAAAAUUCAAAGACCCAGGCUCCCCCACUAUCUCAUGUAGUAUAGGGAACCACACAAUUGAGAAUGCUUUGUUAGAUUUCGGAGCUAAUGUAAAUCUGUUACCUUACUCAGUAUUUGUGAAACUUGGACUGAGAGAAUUACACCCAACUCCAGUGGUGUUACAACUUGCAGAUCGGUCCACGAAAAUACCUCGUGGUAUUAUGGAGGACGUGCUUAUCCAGGUAGACAAGUUUUAUUUUCUUGUUGAUUUCAUUGUAAUUGACACUCAACCAAUACAGGAUUCAAGGAAGCACAUCCCCAUUAUCCUAGGCCGACCUUUCUUGGCAACUGCCGAUGCUCACAUUCAAUACAGAACUGGAAAUAUACAGUUGUCCUUUGGCAACAUGACUAUGGAGCUAAACAUCUUCAACAUUGCCAAACAACCUCACAAUGCAGAUGAUGAAAUUAUUGAUGUGAAUUUAAUAAAAACAAUAGUUGAUAAUAUUUUUCUUUCAAACCUCAAUGAUGAUCCUUUACAAACAUGUUUAACUCACUUUGGUUUUGAUUUUGAUAUUGACAGAUCGAUCGAUGAAGUCAACGCUCUACUUGACUCAGCACCAUCCAUGGACACUAAUAAAUGGAAGUCAAGAGUUGAACCACUAGCACCAUCAGAGAAGAAACUCAUCCCAUCAUCAGAAUCACCACUGAAACUCGAGCUCAAACCACUACCCAACACUUUGGAAUAUUCAUUUUUGGGAGAAGAAAGUACUCUACCGGUAAUCAUCUCAUCCUCCCUAAAUGAAGAACAAAAAGGUAAGUUGUUGGAUGUUUUAAAAGAGCACAAAGGAGCAUUAGGAUGGACUAUAGCAGACAUCAAAGGUAUAAACCGAGUAGACUGCAUGCAUUACAUUCACCUUGAUGAAAAUGCUAAACCUACUAGGGAAAUGCAACGUUGGUUAAAUCCUAACAUGAAAGAAGUUGUCAGAACUGAAGUCCUUAAGCUAUUAGAUACAGGUAUCAUCUACCCUAUUUCUGAUAGUUUAUGAGUCAGUCAUGUACAAGUUGUCCCCAAAACGUCAGGAGUCACAGUAGUUACCAAUGCCGAUAAUGAAUUGAUACCCACUAGAGUGACUACAGGAUGGCGUGUAUGCAUUGAUUAUAGAAAGUUAAAUUCUGUCACACGUAAAGACCAUUUUCCUUUACCAUUUAUCGAUCAAAUGCUUGAUAGAUUAGCAGGCCAUGAAUUUUAUUACUUUCUAGAUGACUACUCAGGAUCCAAUCAGAUCCCCAUAGCACCAAAAUAUCAAGAGAAAACAACUUUCACUUGCCCUUUUGGCACAUUUGCAUAUAGGAGGAUGCCAUUUGAAAUAUGUAAUGCACCUGCCACAUUUCAACGAUGCAUGUUAAGCAUUUUUUCUGAUAUGGUUGAACGAUUCCUUAAAGUCUUUAUAGAUGACUUUUCUAUUUUUGGUGACUCAUUUGAUCAAUGUUUACAUCAUCUAACACUAAUUUUGCAGAGAUGUAUCGAGAAGAACUUAGUCUUAAAUUGGGAAAAAUGUCAUUUUAUAGUAAAACAAUGUAUUGUUCUCGGUCACAUCAUUUCGAGCAAAGGUAUUGAGGUUGACAAAGCCAAGGUGGAUCUCAUUUCUAAUCUUCCUCCACCCAAAAGAGUCAGAAAAGUAAGAUCUUUCCUUGGGCAUGCUGGUUUUUAUAAACGUUUCAUUAAAGAUUUUAGUAAAGUUUCUAAACCCUUAUGCAAUCUACUUGUUAAGGAUGUACCUUUUAUCUUUAAUGAUUCAUGUCUUGUGGCAUUUGAAAAAUUAAAACAGUUAUUGACAUCAUCACCCAUCAUUCAGCCCCCAAAUUGUAACUUACCAUUUGAGCUCAUGUGUGAUGCAUCUGAUUAUGCAGUAGGAGCAGUUUUAGGAUAAAAAAUUGAUCAAAUUCUCCAUGUUAUUUACUAUGCUAGUAUGACAUUAAAUGAUGCACAGUUGAACUAUUCAACUAUUAAAAAAGAAAUGCUAGCAGUAGUGUUUGCAUUAGAAAAAUUUUGAUCUUAUCUCAUUGGUUGUAAAAUAAUUGUAUUCACGGAUCAUACGGCUCUUAAAUAUCUUCUCACAAAGAAAUAUGCAAAAGCUAGACUAAUUCGUUGGGUGUUUCUUUUGCAGGAAUUCGACUUGGAAUUUAAAGAUAAGAAAGGCAUAGAAAAUGUUGUGGCAGACCAUCUCUCUCGUCUCCAUUUUGACACAAUUACAAAACCAUUAACAUUGAAUGAGUCAUUCCCAGAUGAAAAAUUAAUGAGUGUGGAAGUAUUACUGUGGUAUGCUGAUAUCGUUAAUUAUCUUGUUACAGGUCAACUUCCAAAGUAUUGGACCAAGCAAGACAAAGCCAAAUUUUUUACAGAAAUAAAGAAUUUCUUUUGGGAUGACCCUUAUUUGUUCAAGUAUUGUGCAGAUCAAAUUGUUAGACGAUGUGUCCCAGAAAGUGAAAUUCAAAAUAUCCUUUCAUUCUGCCAUGAACAAGCUUGUGGAGGCCAUUUCAGUGCUAAGAAAACAGCAACUAAAGUUUUACAAUGUGGUUUCUAUUGGCCAACUAUAUUUCGAGAUGCUUACACUUUCAUUCUUUAUGUGAUAGGUGUUAACGAAUGGGGAGCAUUACACGAAGGAAUAUGAUGCCACUAAAUCCAAUUUUAGUGGUUGAGAUUUUUUAUGUAUAGGGUAUCGACUUCAUGGGACCAUUUCCCCCUUCUUUCGACCAUCAAUACAUAUUGGUUGCUGUUGACUACGUAUCAAAAUGGGUAUAAGUAAUUCCAUAUAGAACCAAUGAUCACAAGGUGGUGAUAGGAUUUUUGAAAAGCAACAUUGUUUCACGCUUUGGAUUCCCUCGAGCGAUAAUCAAUGAUGGUGGUGCCCACUUUUGUAACAAAGCAUUCAAAACUCUUUUGACAAAGUAUUCAAUCACUCACAAAGUGGCGACCCCAUAUCAUCCACAAACCAGUGGCCAAGUUGAGAUCUCCAAUCGAGAAAUAAAGCAUAUAUUAGAAAAGACGGUGAGGCCAGACAGAAAAGAUUGGUCAUUAAGACUUGAUGAUGCAUUAUGGGCAUAUAGAACGGCUUUCAAGAUCCCGAUUGGGAUGUCACCCUAUAGGCUAGUGUAUGGAAAAGCUUGCCACCUACCUGUGGAACUCGAGCAUCGUGCAUAUUGGGCCAUCAAGAAAUUCAACUAUGACAUGCAGCAAGCCAGCUCAGAAAGAAUAUUACAGCUGGCAGAACUUGAAGAAAUUCGCAAUGAUGCAUAUGAAAAUGUCAAGAUUUACAAGCAGCGAAUGAAAGUCUUUCAUGACAAGCAAAUUAUGAGAAAAUCGUUCACUCCAGGUCAGAAAGUGCUUUUAUUCAAUUCUCGCUUGCACUUAUUCCCAGGUAAGUUACGCUAUCGAUAGUCUUGCCCCUUUAUUGUUCAUACUGUUUUUUCACAUGGGGCAAUUGAAAUUAAGGACCCAAAGAACGGUGUCACGUUUAAAGUUAAUGGUCAAAGAUUAAAGCCAUAUCUAGAGUACCAACCACAUGGAGAAGACACCGAAAUAAAUUUGAGUGACCCACCAGAUUUGAAUUGAAUUUUUUUUUCUUUCUUUUUGAUGAUUUGAUUUUUUUUCUUUCUUUUUAUUAUUCUUUUGCUAAUUGAAAUUAUUUUUGCAUAAGUGUGUUUAUUUAACCAUUAAGUUUUCUCUUAUCAUUGUUAAUCAUAAGUGCCAUAGCUAAACAGUUCCUCUUGAACAUUAUUAAACCACUUCAACGUGUAAAAUCUCAUCUCAAAAGGCAGAUUCGAUUUUGUAAAACACAUCGUAUUUGAGCUCUGCAACCACCAGAGUUAGUAUCCUAUGUUAAGGAUUUAGAAAGCCAACUCAGAGACAUUGAGAGAAGUGUCUCUAACAUCCAGUUAGAGCUUGAGGUAAAUUCAAUAAGAGGACGAUUGUAAUUUUCUUUAUGUGUUUUAGUUUGUUUUUCUUUGUUUGUGUGCUUUAGUUUGUUACCCCGGUGAAGUGGCAGAUAACGGUACUCCAUGACAAUCAAGUUGGUUACUUCAGUUUCCCAUAAUAACUGAUAUUCUGAGGCGAAAGUAUGGACAGAAACGAGACUCUAGCGAAGCUUCACAAGCGAUUCCCUUCACUUCCUCAGAAUGCCCUCCUUACGGUCUAUAAAGCUCGGUCCGAACGCAUGCGAUUACUUAUGAGGAAUAACAUACCUGCUGACAUCCGUUGGUUAAUUGAGGCUAAAGUACGAUCGGCAGGUGAGUUACCUCCAAAAUUUAUUGCAUACAUGCCUGGUUGUGGUAAAGGAAAUUAUGCAAGAAAACGACGAGCUCGAAGAAUUUCUGUUGCUUGUCAUAAGUGUGCCAGAAUGAGUUGCAAUAAAAACCCAUGUUCUUUAGGAAUGGUGUCUGAUAAUAGGGAAGAUAAGAUUCAAUUCAUUAAGGAUGGCUUGAAUAAGGAGUCAUUGGAUGAUAUCCUUUUGUCUCUUGAAACGCAUCCCAGUGGAUAUGUACAAGGAGCGAUUCUCCAGUUAUGGCCAUUAUUCCAGAAAGAGCAUGCACGAUAUAGUCUCGGGAAUCUGACUAUAAACGACCCUGUUUGCCAGUUUAUAAGAAAACUGGAUAGGAAGCCUAUCCUCGACCCAUAGAGGGCGUUCAAACCGUUUCUGGACGUAAAACCAGAGGAAGAUGUGAGCCACAGUCGCAACUACCUAUAAAUAUCUUUUUACUUUACUGUUGUUUUAUUUCACUGUUGUUUUAUUGUUUGCACUAUUGUCUUUAAUAAUUUUAUCACUGUUUGCUUUUUCCUUUUUACUGUUUCCUUUUUUACUCUUAAGCCAUGUGCUUUACGCAUUAUUUGAUACUGACAUGCUACCUUAUACAUAGCUGUGACCCACUGUGACCAAGAUUAUUAAAUAUGAUUUUUUGUCAAGUACUCACAAAUUAUUUUUGAGAAGUAUCCCAAUGGCAGCUACUCCCAAUAGACAAUUUAAGAACAUUUGUGUGCUUUUUGGAUUUAACUAUGGCAAACAUAAAGAGUUCGUUGAGGCAGCCAUAGAUCUUAGUCGAAGUAUAGCAAAGAGAAAACUACACUUGGUGUAUGUAGGAGGUAAUCGAUGGUUAUCAAAAUUGGUCUCAGAGUCUACUUUUGUCAGAGGAAGCCAAGUGUUAGGCAUCAUCCCAAGAGCUCUAAAACCUUUGGCUAGUUUGUCUAACUCACCGACUGGAGAAGCGUUAGUUGUCUCAGGUAUGCAAGAAAGAAUAACUGAAAUGCUUAAUCAUACUGAUGCUUUUAUUUUUCUUCCAGGAGAUCUUGCAACACUAGAGGCACUUAUCACACUAGCAUCCUGGGCCCAUCUGCACAUUCACCAGAAACCCAUCGGUUUGUUAAAUGUCAAUAACUUUUAUGAUGGCUUUAUCGCAUUUCUUAACCAUGCAAUAAAAAACUAUUUCAUUCCUUCCACAGCGAAAAAGCUUUUUAUUUGUGCUCACACUGCUAAUGAGCUACUUGAUUAUUUACAUGCUUAUAGACCGGAGCCAGACCCCUAGACCUUUGUGUUGGAGCGUCCAAAUAAUGAUGGUAACAGUAGCCAUAGUAAGAAGUACAAAUUAGAUUUAACCUCCGCUUGUAAAUAGUUUCUUCUGUGCUGCACCACCCAGGUGAUGUCUUCUAAACUCUACUUCUUUUCUUUAAAACAUUGAGGACAAUAUUUCGUUCUAGUUGGGGGGAGGGAAUAGUCGACAAUUGUGGAAUCUUGGUUAAGUUUUUAUUGAUUUUUGUUGUAGAAACUAACUGUUGCUAACUUUUUGUGUUAAAGAUGGCUGAAUAUGGAGUGUAGUGACUCUAGAAACGCAUCUUCAUCGUUUGAAAAAAAAAUUCAGAUAUUUUCUUUUUCUUUAUUAAGCUUUGAUAUUCAUUUUUCUUCUUCUUUUUAAUUUCUCCUUUAUAAAUAUACAUUUUCAAAUUUUUGAGUCGAAGAUGGCUGAAUAUGGAGUGUAGUGCCUCUAGAAACGCAUAUUCUUAGUUAAAAAAAAAACCAUUUUCUUUUUCUAUCAUUUUAAGUGUAACUUUUCGAAUUAGUUUUUCUGCAUCAUUUUCACAUUUCUGCAUGCAUAUUUUCCGUUCAUGUUUAGAAUAGGUUAGGGGGUAGAAUGUUGUUUGAAAAAAAAAUUGUGUGAUUUGUUUUAACAUUGGAUGACAUGAUGAUUUCAAAUUUUAGUAUUUGUAUUAUCUUUGGUCUUAAGUGAUGUUACAGCAUCUUUGCUACUCUACAUGUUGAUGUCGGAGACAAAUAUGAGUUGCUUGAAGGAAUGAACAUGUCAUAAUAAGUACCAAGGAAGUUUUUGAGCCUAUCAUUUUUCUUGGAGAGUAACCCUUUUGCCCAUUCUUCAUACAACUUAGCAAUUUAUUAUUUUAUACACGAUCUCUAGAUUUCUUUUGAGUUAACCUUUAAAAAAAAUUGUAAAAUUAAAAAAAAAAGAAAGAAGAAAAAAAUGUGUGUUGCUACAUCUAAAGGCCCAUCUAACUAGUAGAUAUGGAAGAUUAUUUAGGAGCCUUAAACGACGAUGGAAAGACCAUUUUUGAUCCAUUUGAGCCAUUCUAGCCAUCCCUUUUGUGAAAUAUCCAUAGUUAACCCUUUUGAACCUUAAAAAAAGAAAAAACCUUUUCUUUGUCAAACUUAUCAUCUUGACCCACUCCGAUUUGCAAUAUUACCUGAUAUCUUAUAAGUUCCAUCACCUAUUUAUAUUUGAGAAAAAUGUAAAUAAUUAUUUUGUUCAAUGAUGUUGUGCCAAAAAAAAGAAAAAAAAAACAAAAAUUUUUGUUUUAAAAAAAACAAUAAUAGGUGAAAUCCACCUUACAACUUCCAAAAAAAAAAAUUCUCUGCAUUUUUCUUAAACAUACACUUUAUUUUCCUUAUUUCCCCUCUUUUGUUAGCCAUGUCCCUAGCCUAUGUUACGUCCUAAUAAAAGUCCUUCUUGAUUUUAGGGAACUAUAGUCUGGCAUAGAAGCUAGUUAUAUGGGCGAAAAAGAUGUAGUGGUACAUAAUAAAAAAUAAAUAAAUAAAUAAAUUGGGUUGACUAGAAUUUUUGUUUGACUUGAGAUCAUAUUAUUUCUAAGCUGAGGGUAUAUUUCUUUUAUCUUAGUGAGAGCAUGUGAUAUCACUUCUUUAUUAUUUUCUCUCUCAAUUACCAUUCAUUGGAGUUACUAUUUUUAUUGGGUUUAAUUUCUUUGUGAGAGUAUCACUAUUUUCAAUGAGAUUUUAGAGUUUAACAUGUCAUUCUUGAAAGUAGUUGUGACAAAGUCUACUGGGCUAAUUCAUGUGGAUGGUUGAUGUGGGUGUGAUGUUUCUUUAAACUGGAGAUAAUGCUUAUAUUUUUAUUUGAUUACUAUCAUUUAUCUGAUUGAAUAAACAUGAUUGUUAAAAAAAAAAUCAUUUUGGAUUUGAAUUUUGUUUUCGCUUUAUUUGCUAGGGACUAGUAAUAAGCUAGUUGGGGGGUGUGUUGAGUGUUAGAAAAUGUAUAUUUAUAAACGAGAAAAUUCAUUUUACAUUUCAAGUUUUACUAACACCCUUACUUUUAUGUAUUUAACCUUCUUGUGAUUUAAUUACGUGUGUUUUAUUUUAAUUAAGUAUUUUAUGUAUUUUAAGGGCAUCAUGGUCAUUUCACAAUGAACGAAAAAUCAGACGGCAAAACGGACAUCACUUUUGAACUCAGGACAGUCGAAAACCUUAGGAGGAGCAUAAAAGGAAAAAUGUCAUCGUUCACAUGUACGGUACUAUUCACAUGUACGGUAUUGUCUACGUUACUGUUCACGGCACUGUUCACAUAGACAGACCGAUGACGUGGCAUUGACCGAUGACAUGGCAUUGACCGAUGAUGUGGCGUUGAUUGAUGAGGUGUCACGCAUUACACAGGAUUAUUUUCAACCAAACCGGUUCACUAUUCAAACCGCGUACUGUUGACUGAUGACGUGGCGUAAUCCUGAGCGUCCAAACUGUUUUUAAUCCGAUGGCCAUGAUUUACUCAAUGUAUCUAUAAAAAGGGGACCUCUCCCCCCUAAUUUGGCAUCUCUGAAUCCAUUUUUGGACUCCAUUUUUUGUAAUUCCUUCGCCAUCUUGUAUUUUCUACGUAUUUUAAUAAAUUCUCAUUUUGCCCCUACUUCAAUUAUGAAUAGCUAAUUUUCUUUCAAGCUUGGGUUUAAGGUGAAGUCUCAACAUGUGUUUUAUUUGGUAAAUUUAUUUUCUUUUCCCCUCUAAUUUUUGUUGAUGAUUUGACUUUUCAUCGACAAAUAAUAAUAAUCUUGUCUAGAUACCGCCCUGGUUACACCGGCUCCCUAAUACAAGGUUAUUAUUACUUGGCACAAUAAGCCCUUAGCACCAUAUUGAUUAAAGCGUGGUUCAUGAGGUGUGGAUUCCCCCCUCAUGAUUUAAUUGGCAUUAAUAAGGAAUAUUUUACCCAUUGUGCAUGUUGAUACGGAUCCAGAUACCCAAGUACGUCAUUUCAAUAGAUUUCUCUUCAAUUUAUUCUCGCCAUUUCAAUUCCAAUUUUAGGAUAAUCUAAGUCACUUUCACCACAAAUCCUACCACCUAUUUAGAAAAAUUAAUUCUACACACAAUUAAAAUUGACCUCCUCGUGGGAUCGACACUCAUCACCAUUGAUCUAUUCUACAAUAGAUUCGUGCGCUUGCGAGUUCAAUAAAAUUUGCACAACAGUGCCCAGUCUAGUCGCCCACCAAAAUGAAUUUUGCAUCACCACGUGUCGCUCCUACGUCAUAUACAAAGUUUCUUUUGCCUCUAAUACUUCUUGCCAAAAGAAACUAGGGGGAUGUUGUUUGGAGGAAAAACAAGCAAGGUAGCAGAUCUCCACGUGUCGACGAACGGAAUAACUCCAUCAUCAUUCGAGGUACCCGGCAUAAUUCUAGAUACCUCGUAUAACUCGAGAGUAACUCGAGGUACCCCGCACAACUCGGGAGUAGCUCGAGGUACCCCACAUAGCUAGAGGUACCCCGUAUAAGUCGUGGUACCCGACAAAUCGGAUUUAGGAGAACCCUCUGAAAAAGUUCGCCAUGAGAAAUGUCUCCACCUCUUAAAGGAUAAUAUUCGAUUUUGUCAUAAUUAAGUAUCAAAUGUCGUACCGAAACGCGGUGACAGCCACCUGCCACCUCUGCUAAAAGUGAAGGACAUUGUGCCAAUGACAGUGGUCCUUAGCUGCCUAACCCGACAGCCACUGCAGAGGUACCCUGGACCACUCUUCAGAGCGUGCGACGUUUCCAAAGGGUGAGAUACGCCGGGAACGCCUUCUUGAUUACCAAGCAUGCAUAUAACGACCCAAAAAUCAUAAAAAAGGAAAAAAAGUGAGGUCUAAAAAGGGACAGCCAAUAGCCAUAAAAGAUACGUCACGUGGCAGCUGAGAUACCCCAUAUAUAAAGGUGUCCAGGUUUUAUUCUCCAUUAUGUUUUCAUUCACUCAUGAACACUCAUAUUCUACAAAAUAAGCUUUCUUCAACCUUAAACCUUGAUUUACAAAGGGUUGGCAAGCUCUCUUUGCCAUAAAAAAGCUUGAGUUGCUAACUUGAGCGUCGGAGUGUGAAUGUCGGGGUACCCCGGCUUCACCUCGAACCUCUAUUUCACUGUUUUACAGGCGUGAACCUCAUUUCGAAGGACAUUUUUCUUGGUUCAAACCUUUCACCAUUGUUACCACUUCCUUCUUCCCUUCUUACCUCAUCCUAAUUUCAUAAACAUCGCACACAACAAACUAGUGAGGUACCUUGUUUCCCCUAAAAAUACAAAUUCAUUGUUCUAGAUAUGUUUACCUUUUUCUACCCCCAAAAUAUGUCUAAAACGAUGUAUAUAUGCAAAGUUUAAAUAGUUAAUUGCUCAAGUAUGGAUAAUUUAAGCAUUUAUACUAUGUAAAAUUCGUAUUGAUUUGUUCAAUACUCUGGAUCAAUUGGCUUUCACAGUGUUGCACACACCAAGCACAUCAACGACUUUGGUCGUAAUUGCUCAAGUGGGCAAGAAGAGGAAUUCAUUGGCAAGCUAGCAGCCAGUUUGCCUCCAAGUCCCCUAGCACUAUGACCAAGUUACAGGAGCAUUAGCUGCUGGCUUCAUUUGACUCAUUAUCUCCCUGUUUUUGCUUCUCUAUUCAAUCCACACAAUAGUGCUGAAUCCCCUAUUUGUUUAAAAGGUUGCUUCAUUGUCUCAAGUAUUUUUGGUCACCAACUUUGAGAAUUUAUUUCUUCUUUUUAUGAUGCUUCUUAUCUAAUAAGAAUGUGUGAUUUAGAGCUUGUAUUUGUUUAAUUCUUAAUAUCUCAAAAGUUUUACAAAAGAGAGACAAAACAAGAAAAGUUGAAUAUUGACUACAUUAAUGAAGGUUCAUUGUACUAAUUAAUCAUACAUGUUAUUCUUAAUGUUAACCACAUCCAAGUCUUGAAUUUGAAUUUGUAAGAGUCAACAGCACUAGAUGCACGCACAAAAAACAUAUUACAUAAUAUUACGUACUCAUAAUGGAUUAAUUUAUUUUUUUUAUUAAAACAAAAAUUUAAUUUCACUGCAAUUGAUGAUUAUUGCAAAAGCACUCAUAAAACAUAAAAGAAAUAAUUGUUUAUCAAAUUCAUUUGCAUCCCCCAGGGAACAAAGAAAUAAUAUAAUCUUCGAAAGCCUUUUUUAACUUCUCAGACAAACACUCUUCCCAUGUAAGCAUUAAGCAAUCAGUAAUGUCAGGAGAUGCUACAAGAUUAAUGGAAAAUAAAGCAUUCGACUUAGAUCCUCGGCUAGUACGACAUCCUGAAAUAGGUCUGCAUUUAGUGUUUGCCACUACAAGCAAAGCCAAGACGAUGAAACUAAGAAUCUUUGACAAUUUUAUGUUUCAUUAGUAGGCUGACUACAAGUUUACUUUGAAGUCCCCCAAUACUGUGACCAAAUUACAGGAGCAUUAGCUUUAGGCUUCCUCAUACUUGCCAUCCAUUUACUGCCGCUUCUAUAUUUAAUCCACACAGUAGACCUAAAUCCCCAUACUUGUUCAAAAGACUUAAUUCAUUGCCUCAAGUCUUUUUGGCUACCUAGUUUUAAGAGUGUAUGACUAAGAACUUGUAUUUGUUGAAUAACAUCUCAAGAGCAUUACAACAGAAAGGAAAAACGAGAAAAGCUGAAACUGACUGCAUUGAUUAAAAUUCCUACUUGUUAUUCUUAGUGGUAACCACAUUUAGGUCUUGAAUUUGUAGGAGCCAACAUCAUGAAGUACAUAUUUUGCAUCAUAAAAUGAUUAAUCUUAUUGUUAUCUCUGCUUUCACUAUUUUCUUAUCAAAAUUUUUUUCUUACCUUACUAACUGUAUAAAAAUUUACAAAUUAGUAUAUUAUCAUUUUUAAGUCAUCAAUUAAGUUUAAAUAUUAUUUUUUUUAUAUAACAAAAAUAAUUAAAUAUCUAAAUUUCAAAGACAUAUUAAAUUAAAGCCAAACUAGCCAUCUCAAAUAUAUAAAAGAAUACAUGUUUGCAUUUAGAAACAAUUGCUUUAAACCACUUUGUAAUUUCCAAAAAAAAAAUUAAAUGAAAUAAAAUAAGAUAAAAUAAAAGAAAUUAAAAACCAAUAUUUUAAUUUCAAGUGAUGAAAUUAAAAUUAUGGAUACUAUUACAAUGUGACAUGUGUUGUGCAGCCUAAUAAUUGUAACUAGCCAACAAAUUGUCCAUUUCCUUAUGUAAACAAAUUUUCAUCUUGAAUGCAAUUUGCAAUGCGCCAUUACAAAAUCACAUCUAAUUAGAGAAAGAAUUUUGUAUGUUUAGUAGAUUAGGCAAAUACAUGUAAGAAUAAUAAGAAAAAAAUUGUUAUAUUAAUUAGGGCAAACUUCCAUUCAUCCCUCCCAGUAAAAAUCUUUAAUUUACCCUUUGAAAACAUGAAUAACUCAAUUUACUCUAAUUUUUGUUCAGAAGAUAAGCGUAAAUGAAUUUAUUUAUUUAUUUAUUUAAUAGUAAAAAGGGGUGAGACGAUGCCUUCACAUUUUUUGGGGUAAAAUCAAUAUUCUCAGAGUUUAAAUUAAAGUCUACACAUAAAUUAAUUCAGGCAAUUAAAUUGAAGUUUACCCUUAAAUUAAUUGAAACAGUUCAGUAAUAUAACAUGUCAAUAAAAUACAAGGGUUCAAUUUUUUUUUUUAAUAAAGAAGCAGCCUCACCCUAAAAGAAAAUGGAUUUAAAAUUCAAAUAUUACUGGUACUAACAUAGUAAUAAUGAUCAUUAUUAGUAUUUCAACAAUUACUUUCUCGUAGAUUGAGUCAACAAUUUGUAUACAACAAAAUAGCAUCGGAUGCAUGCACAAAAGACAUAUGACAUAACAGUGCAUACUCAUAAUGGAUUAAUUUUCACUUUUAUUAAGACACAGUUUCAAUAACAUUAAAAAUGAUAAAAUUAAUGAAAUGCAUGUUUUUAAAUUAGUUUAUAAUGCAACGAGGUAUUUAAAUCAAUAGUUAAUGCAAACAAACACGGCAUAAUUUAUUUAAGCCUCAGUAAGGUCGUCUGCAGCUUGUUUCUCAAUAUUCCUUCAUAUAAAUAGAGGCUCAUGCCUUCCUAAUUUUGACACUUCUCUUUUAAUUCUAAUUAAGCUAUUUAGAAUUCAAUUAAGAAAUUGGAAAAUGUGGAAUAGUUUAGUUUGUCAUCUUAGCUUUGCUUGUAAUGGAAAACACUGAAAGUAUGCUUACCCAAAUGUUGAUUUUCUAUUGCUUAUGGCUCACAAGUGAAGAGUGGUUCAUCAAGAAUUUUAAGAAAGUUCUCAAAGACUAUCUUAAUCCCUGCCCCUAAGGAGGAUGUAAAUGAUUUUGAUAAUCAGUUAUUUCUUUUGUCUUGCAUGAGUGCUUUUGUAAUAAGGUUCAACUGUAAUGAAAUUGAAACAAUAUUUUAAUAAAAGAAGAAAUUACUCCAUUAUGAGUAUGUAACUUAUGCCUUUUGGUUUUUGUGUAUGUAUCUAGUGUUGAUUUAUUGCAUACAUAUCAUUGAAUCAAUCAAAGAGAGACAAAUCUUCUAAAAUACCAAUAGCAAUCAAGCAAUCAUAAUUACUAUGGUAGUAACAUGCAAUAUUUAAAUUCUAAGUCUAUUUUCUUUUAGGGUGAGGCUAUUUGGACCCUAUUUUAUUGAAAUUUCAUUUUAUUAAACUGUCUUAUUUAAUUUUAAGGUAAACUUCAAUUUACGCCCUAAGAAUCUUCAAUUUGCCUAAAAAGUGUGAAAAAAAAUCAAUUUACCGUCAUUUACUCUAAGAAAAUAAAUAAAUAAUUCAUCAAUGUGCCCUCAUUUAUGUUCAUCCUAUGAACAAAAAUUAGGGUAAAUGAGAUUUCAUGCUUUUUAAAGGGUAAAUUAAAGAAUGUUAUUAGAAAGGGGAUGGACUUAAGUUUGCCCAAAUUAAUAUAACUAAACUUUUCAUAUUAUUUUUGACAUGUACCUACCACAUAGCUUUGUCUAUAUCAAAUCAAUCUUUACUUAUCAACUCUAUUAUAGAUACAUGGGAAUAUUGAAAAAAAAUAAUAUUUUGAUGAUCUAAUUAAAGAUACAACAAUGAUUUAACCAUAAACACUUGUACAAAGACUAGCAUUCAAAUUAAGUUGGUAACUUACGUUGCACGAAUGGAUUGUGAUGCAAUGAAAACAUUAUUGAGUUUACUGAUGGAAGAAACUAGCUUUCUGAAUAAUGUAUAACAAGUUUAAAUAUCACGAAUUUAUCAAAAUAUGCAAAUUUGAAGUAUAAUAUGAUAAUUAAAUUUUCCUAAUCAAAAUAAGAAAAGGAAAACAAACGACGCUCAAAUUUGAGUUCUAAAAAAAAGAUAAAAAUCCUAGAAGAAUUAAGAAAAACAGAAAAAAAAAUCUUAAAAAUAGAAAACAACUAGGAAAUAAGGGAAUUUUCGACUCGAACACGGGGUAAAACGACUUAGGCGGCCUAGGUUUUGUCCGUCUCAACAUAUGCUUCGAAACGACACACACACACACACACACUGAAAACGAACACCUGUAGCCAAGCUUUGGCCUUUGGAAGGUAUCCAGCUCGUGGCACAUAACACCUUACAUCAGUCCCCUGCACUUGGAAAAGAACUUAUCCUCAAGAUUGGCUCGUACAAUUCCUUAUCGUUUGGAUGAUACUCAAACAGAUCAGCCACAUUAAAGGUGUGAGAGAUGUUCUAGCUGUCGGGCAACUAAAUCACAUAAGCAUUAUUAUUAAUCUUCCAUGCCAGUCAAAAUGGUCUGCAUUUUCACUUCUCCAAUUUAGUGCGAAUGCCAGGGAAAUGACUCUGGCGUAGAUAUGCCAUCACCGAGUCACCUCUACAAAUAGUUUCUUAUGAUGAUGCUUGUCCACUUCAGCCUUGUAUUUUGCAUAGGCAGUCUCCAAGUGAGUUCAUACUUCAGCAUGAAUACGCAGAGCGCUUUCUGCUACAUUAUUCACUGUUUUACUUUCUCCAGCUCUCUCUACUAAUGGUAUCCAAGUCACAGACAUGGCAUGGGGACAAUCUCAAAAGGGGUUUUGCCAGUAGAUUGAUUUACCUUGUUAUUGUAAGUAAACUCAACCUGAGGCAAGGUAACUUCUCAGUUCAGUUGCUUAUCACCACAAAGAUGGCGCAAUAUGUUACCUAAAGUUUGGUUGACCACAUUUGUUUGUCCAUCUAUCUGUGGAUGGAAAGCACUGCUAAACUAUAAUUGCAUACCAAACUUAUCCCAGAGAUAACGCAUGAACUUACUAAUGAACUUCACAUCUCUAUCAGAAAUAAUGGUCUUUGAAAUGCCAUGCAAAUGCACCAUCUCUUGAAAGAACAAAUAUGCCACUGAGGUAAAAUCUUCUGUCUUUUUAUACACAAUAAAAUGCACCAUCUUCAAAAACAUGUCCAUCACCAAUAUAAAAUCUUGAGUUGUCCUUAUAAGAGGCAAUCCUAGCAUAAAGUCCAUUGAUAGAUCAAACCAAACAUUUUAUGGAAUACAUACAAGCAUCUAUAAGCUUGUAUUAUGUGCAUGUUCCUUGUCUUCUUGGCAAAGCUGACACCAUUACAAAUUUUUUGCAUAUCUGCAUUUUACUGUGGCAAAAAAUAACACUCUUCCAUAAGCGCCUUGGUCUUAUCUCGUCCAAGAUGUCUGCCUAAUCAUCUUCCCUACAACUCACAGAUAAUCUGCUCCCUUAAAAAACUUCGAGGCAUAAGUAGUUGGCCUUGAAUAAAUGCCCAUCUUAAAUGAAGAAAUCCUUUGUAUUCUAAGGAUUCAUGUAAUAAUCCUAAAUAUGCACAAAGUCAUCAUCCUCAGCAUAGAACUCUUUUAAGCACUCAAAACUAGUAACUUCAUUAAUUAGAGUUACCAAUAAAGUUGCUUACCUAUUUCAUGCUUCUGCCACUUUAAUCUGCUGCCUAAACUUGUGCUUCAUAACAAAAUUGAACUUCUACAUAUAAUUCACCCUACCUUGUAUACAUCUUGCUCAAGUUUUGCUGGCUAGUAAAGUACNNNNNNNNNNNNNNNNNNNNNNNNNNNNNNNNNNNNNNNNNNNNNNNNNNNNNNNNNNNNNNNNNNNNNNNNNNNNNNNNNNNNNNNNNNNNNNNNNNNNAGUAUUGCUCCCACAUCUUCAACGCCCUAAGGAUGGCAUAAAAAUCUUGGUCGUUAGCAAACUAGUUCUACCAUGCCUCAUUUAAUUUCUCCCUCAUAUAUUCAAUUGUCUGCCUCUUUGGGAAAGAACGGCCCCAAUUAUCUUGCCAAAAGCAUUACACUCGACCUUAAAUAACUUGUCGAACUUUGGCAAGGCUAACGUAGAAGUGGUAGAUAACUUAUCCUUAAGUAAAGCAAAGCUCAUCUCUUCGUUUUCUCCCUAUUUGAACUUUCCUUUCUUCAAGAACUUUGUGAUAAGUGCUAUUGUAGUGCCAAAACUGUUAAUAAACCUCCUAUGAAACAUUGUUAGCCCAUGAAAACUCCUAACUUCACUCACUAUCUUAGGCAUAGGGCAUUUACUAAUGGCUUGCAUAUUUGAUUCAAUUGCUUGAAUCCUAUCUGCACCAACUAUAAAAUCUAAAAACUCUACAUUACUCUGCAAAAUCUACACCUUUUCAUAUUAAUGUAAAGCUAAUUCCUCCACAAUACCUUAAUAACCAUUCUCAAAUGCUCCGAAUAUAUCACCAUAUCAACAGAAUACACCAAAAUAUCAUCAUAAUAUACCACAACAAAUUUGCAAGAAAAAAGGCUUAAGGACCUAGUUCAUUAAGCGCAUAAAAGUACUCGAUGCAUUUAAUAUUUUGAAUGGCAUCACUAACCACUCAUAAAACCCUUCUUUUGUCUUUUUUUCACUCACUUCUGGGCCUAAUCUGAAUUUAAUGAUACCUAAAUUGCAAGUUUAUCUUCAAGAAAGCCAAAGCACUAUCUAAUUGAGUUAGCAAAUCUCGAAGCAUUAGAAUAGGAAAACAAUAUUUCACCAUAAUCUAAUUAAACCAUCUGUUGUAUAUACACAUACACCAACUCAUAUUCUUCUUUGGCAGUAACAAGGCUUGUGCAACACAUGGACUCACGCUCCCAUGAAUGAAUCUCUUUCACAAUAAUUCAUCAACCUAACCUUGUGGAAUCGCAUACUCAUGAGGACUCAUAUGACAAUUGGCAAGUUAGGUAAGUUUGUACUAGGUACUAGGUCUAUAUGAUGUUGGAUUUCUCACAAAAGUUGUAGCCUAUUUGGCAUUUCUGAUGGUAUAAUGUUAGCGAAUUCAGUUAACAAUGGUUGUACCUUUAAUUUACCUCGAACUUAUCUUCUUUCUAUAGCUUCUUUCAACUGUCACAAUCUUCUUCUAGAUGUCCCUUCACAAUAGUUAGAAAAUUGUUCCCUUUAGCUUUAAGAUUCUUCUUUUUAUUUGUUAAAGGCACAAAAUGAACCAUUUUACUAUUCCACCAAAACUCUUACACAUUAUUCGCUUCUCUAUGUAUUGUAUCCACAUCAAACUACCAAGGUCUACCCAAUAACAAAUGGCAAGUAUCCAUAUCUACUACAUCACAUACCAUAUCAAUCUUAUAAAUCUAGAAAGAAAAAGGACAUACCUCUGUCACUUGCGUUUUUAUCCUAUCACUUUAACUAAUGCCAUUGAGACUAUGUUUUCACUACUACCACUAUCAAUUAUCACCUGGCACACCUUAUCAUUGAUGGUGCCAUAUAUUCUGAAAAUCUUAUUACACUGGUUAACUUCUUCAAAUUUUGGUGCCAAUAAAAUCUUCUGCACAAUACAGUUUAGUAACUCUCACCUCAUCUGCUUCCAAUUCCAAAGCCUACUUGUCAACCCUAUUCUCAACAUCAUUCAACUCAACUUCAUUGACUUCUACCUCUACCAAAUUUAAAUUUUUAGGAUGAUAUUCAUUGGAUCUAUGCUCUGGUUCUCCAUGCUUCAAACACUUAUUCAGUAUAGGAUUUGCAUAAGGAUUAUUCUACUGUCUGGGUGGCUAUGCUAUCUGGGUGGUUGUUGUCUUAACUACUGCACAGUCCAAAACUCUGGCUCAUCUAUAUUCAUCAAACACAUUGUGAUUUCCUUGCCUACAAUUCUAAUAUUUCACGUACAACUGUUGUUAGUAACUCGCUAGCAGAAAAUACUCUUUCAUCAUCUUUUGCAUUCUAGACCAUGAUUUGAUCAAUGACUUUCUUACAACUCUUUUUAGAUUUUGUACCUUUCGCCAUCAUGCGGAUGCCGCGGCCUUUAAUUUAAAUUCCAUAAGCUUUACCCACUUAUCUUGGGAAAUCUCCAUAUACUGAAAGAAAUUUUUUAUGUCCUCUAUCCAGUCCAAAAAUUCUUCAACAUGGAUCUCAUUAUAAAAAAUCUGCAAUAUCUACAUUCAUCUUGUAUUCUCAACUAUUUCCAUGCCUUCUAUAACAAUCCUUAGCGUCUUUUUCUUUCUAAUUGCUUUCUAACUCGUGACGCACACACGGCUGCACUCGCCUCACGAGUUCUAGGUUCUAAAGCACUACUUUGAGAUUGAUGCCCUGAAGUGCUGCUUCACGAUUUAAACCUUGUCGAACCUCUUGAUGGUGAUAAUCCCGAGAUCGUUCAUCUUGAUUGACUUCUUCAACUACUCUCUCGCAAUUAACUUGUUACCACUGCUCUCUUUCUCUCUAUAUUAUUCAUGGAAAAUGUGAGACCCUCAAUUGCUUGCUCCACUGCUGCCAUGCUCAGGUUUAAUGCAUUCUUUAUGACUUACAAGACUUCUUCUAUGACCAUUUGUCUAAUAGUCUCUACAGACAUUGCCUACAUCUCUUAAUCAGCGUCUUUCAGAACGGUUGUUCUUUUGUUUUUUAUGGUCAUGCCAUGAUGACAGGCAAAUUUGCUCUGAUACCAACUGAUGAAACGAAAACAUUAUUGAGUUUAAUGAUAGAAGAAACUAGGUUUCUGAAUAAUGAUGAAUUUUAUUAAAAGUUUAAAUGAGUAAAACUAAAGUUCUGAGCCCCAUUUAUAAGAAGUCUAAAUAUUGUGAAUAUAUUAAAAUAGGAAAAUCUAAAAUAUAAUAUGAUAAUUAAAUUCUCCUAAUCAAAAUAAGAAAACAAAAAUAAGUGGCACUCAAAUCCGAGUUCUAGAAAAAAAAAGAUAAAAAUCCUAGAAGAACUGGGAAAAAUAGAAAAAAAUCUUAAAAUUAGAAAAUGACUAAGAACGAAGCGAAAUUUUCAGCUCGACUAUUGGCAGAAUAGCUUAGCCAAUUCUGUUUUUUGUUCGUCUUGUCAUAAGCUUUGAAAAGACAUAUUAUACUCUGAAACAAACACUUGUAACCCAAAUUAUGGCCUCUAGAAGAUACCCUGCUCGUGAACACACAACAUCCUACGUCAGAUUGAUUGGAUAAAGUAUCAUAGGAUCCAUACAAAUAUUUAUGAUUACUUUUACUUUCUAACCAAUCCAUGUAUCAUGCAUAAGUUACUAACUCAUUUCUUAGGACUAAUCCAAAUAACUCUACAAGAGAGAUUUUAAUAGAUAAUCCCACAAGGAAUUACAAAAGAGAGGUUUUUAUUGAAUUGUUGAAGUUCAAGUCACAAAAAUACUAAAAAGACCUUUCUAUUUAUAAUAGAGAAAAUCUAUUUCCCUAAGUUAACUUAAAAGGGGAAAAUAAAUCAAAAUUAAAUUAGAAAUAAAAAAUUAAGACUCGUAUCAUAACUGACACUAAUUAAAAUAGAAAAUUCUAAAAUAAUAAAAUUCUAAACCUUAAAAUAACAUCCUACAUCAGUUUGCCACUACAAGUAAAGCCAAGAUGAUGAAACUAAAACUCUUCAACAUUUUUCAACUAUAAACAAUUUAGUUAGAAUUAAAUAAGAUGUGUAAUAAUUAGGAAGGCAUGAGCCUCUAUUUGUAUGAAAACAUAUUGAGAAAUGAGUAGUAUUAACUUUAAUGGAAUUAAAAUAUUCCAUAAAUGAGGAUUAAAUAAAUUACGUUGUGUUUGUUUUAAUUAACUAUUGAUUUUAAUAUCUUGCUACAUUAUGAAGGCAAUACAACAUAUGAUUAAUUAAUUUUAGAGUUUUAUUCUUGUUAUUUUGUUUAGUUCAUUAUUAGAUUUUUUUUUCUCUUUAUAUCAAUCAUCAAGCCCCUUUUUUUUUUAAAUAUAUGAAGAUGUUUCUACAAGCCACAUCCUCCAAUGAUAUCAUAUUCUAUAUAUUUGCACAGAUAUAUAGUAAAACUUCUAUAAAUUGUCAAAUAGUCUUAGUUUCAUCAUUUUAGCUUUGCUCGUAGUGGCAAACACUAAAAGCAUGCUUACCUAGAUGCUUCAUUUUAUGUUGCUCAAGGCUUGCAAGUGAAGAGUGUUUCGUCAAGAAAUUUAAGAAAGCUUUUGAAGAGAUGCAAAUGAUUUUGUUAAUCAGUUAUUUCUUCUAUCUUGUAUGAGUGCUUUUGCGAUAAUGAACAAUUGUAGUGAAAUUUAAACAGUGUUCCAAUAAAAGAAGAAAUUAAUCCAUUAUAAGUAUAUAAUGUUAUGUCAUAUGUUUUCUGUGUGUAUAUCUAGUACUAUUUUGUUGUAUGCAUAUUGUUAGAUCAAUUUACGAGAGAGAAAUUGUUGAAAUAUUAAUAAUGAUCAAGCAAUCAUAAUUGCUAUGAAAGUACCAUAUGUAAUAUUUAAAUUUUAAGUCUACUUUAUUUUAGGGUAGGUUAUUUGCAUCCUAUUUUAUCAAAAUCUUACUUCAUCAAAAUCUUAUAUUACUAAACUGUUUGAUUUAAUUUAAGGGUAAACUUCAAUUUACACCCUGAGAAUCUUCAAAUUCCUCCCCAAAAAAAAGUGAAAAAAUCAAUUUACCCACAUUUACUACUAAGAAAGCAAAUAAAAAGUUCAUCAAUGUGUCCCCUACUUAUUACUCAUCUUCUGAAUAAAAGUUAGGGUAAAUUGAGGUUGUCAUACUUUUGGAGGGUAAAUUGAAGAUUAUUACGAGGGAGAUGAACUGAAAUUUACCCUAAUUAAUAGACAAAAAAUUUCAUAUUGUUUUGACACGUAUUUGCCGCAUAGGUACAUGACUAUAUCAAAUCAAUCUUUACUCAUCAAAUCUUUUACAUAGGUUUGCGAAUGUUGAAAAAAUAACAUUUUGAUUAUCUAUUUAAAGAUGCAACAAUCAUUCAACCAUAAAUACUUGUACAAGCACUUGUAUGCAAACUAAGUUUGGUAACUUAUGUUGCACAAAUGGAUUGAUUGGAUAGAAGUAUCAUAGGAUCUGCACAAUUAUUUUUAUAAUUGCUUAUACUUUUUGGCCAAUCCAUGUGUUCCACAUAAGUUGCUAACUCAUUUUUUAGGAAUAUAAUUAUAUCUUCGUUAUCAAAGAUGCAUAAUGAAUUUGGCUACCCCAGCCCCGGCAUGUACAUUUGAGAUGGAUCUAAAUUUCCUCAUAUGAGCUCUGCUACAUGGGCACAUUUGAAAAAAAAAAAANNNNNNNNNNNNNNNNNNNNNNNNNNNNNNNNNNNNNNNNNNNNNNNNNNNNNNNNNNNNNNNNNNNNNNNNNNNNNNNNNNNNNNNNNNNNNNNNNNNNNNNNNNNNNNNNNNNNNNNNNNNNNNNNNNNNNNNNNNNNNNNNNNNNNNNNNNNNNNNNNNNNNNNNNNNNNNNNNNNNNNNNNNNNNNNNNNNNNNNNNNNNNNNNNNNNNNNNNNNNNNNNNNNNNNNNNNNNNNNNNNNNNNNNNNNNNNNNNNNNNNNNNNNNNNNNNNNNNNNNNNNNNNNNNNNNNNNNNNNNNNNNNNNNNNNNNNNNNNNNNNNNNNNNNNNNNNNNNNNNNNNNNNNNNNNNNNNNNNNNNNNNNNNNNNNNNNNNNNNNNNNNNNNNNNNNNNNNNNNNNNNNNNNNNNNNNNNNNNNNNNNNNNNNNNNNNNNNNNNNNNNNNNNNNNNNNNNNNNNNNNNNNNNNNNNNNNNNNNNNNNNNNNNNNNNNNNNNNNNNNNNNNNNNNNNNNNNNNNNNNNNNNNNNNNNNNNNNNNNNNNNNNNNNNNNNNNNNNNNNNNNNNNNNNNNNNNNNNNNNNNNNNNNNNNNNNNNNNNNNNNNNNNNNNNNNNNNNNNNNNNNNNNNNNNNNNNNNNNNNNNNNNNNNNNNNNNNNNNNNNNNNNNNNNNNNNNNNNNNNNNNNNNNNNNNNNNNNNNNNNNNNNNNNNNNNNNNNNNNNNNNNNNNNNNNNNNNNNNNNNNNNNNNNNNNNNNNNNNNNNNNNNNNNNNNNNNNNNNNNNNNNNNNNNNNNNNNNNNNNNNNNNNNNNNNNNNNNNNNNNNNNNNNNNNNNNNNNNNNNNNNNNNNNNNNNNNNNNNNNNNNNNNNNNNNNNNNNNNNNNNNNNNNNNNNNNNNNNNNNNNNNNNNNNNNNNNNNNNNNNNNNNNNNNNNNNNNNNNNNNNNNNNNNNNNNNNNNNNNNNNNNNNNNNNNNNNNNNNNNNNNNNNNNNNNNNNNNNNNNNNNNNNNNNNNNNNNNNNNNNNNNNNNNNNNNNNNNNNNNNNNNNNNNNNNNNNNNNNNNNNNNNNNNNNNNNNNNNNNNNNNNNNNNNNNNNNNNNNNNNNNNNNNNNNNNNNNNNNNNNNNNNNNNNNNNNNNNNNNNNNNNNNNNNNNNNNNNNNNNNNNNNNNNNNNNNNNNNNNNNNNNUUUUAAGUGAAAUUAACAUAGAUCAAAAGAAAUAAACAUGAUAAGUGUAAAAGACUAAAUUUUACAGAAACCAUUUACUAAGAAAGAAUUGAUAGACUAAAUUUUAAAAGAAGAGGAUGUGCUGAUAUGUCUUUGCUAUUCUUGUUGAGCUCCACCAUUGUCAUAAGAUAGGCCCAAAAAAACCAACAUAAAUGCUAGGGAAAGGAUAAGGGUACUUUUGAUAAUAAAUUAAAUUAAUUAAAAAAUGAGCACUGGAAAGAUAAUUGGAGGUCCAAUAUCACUAUUCAAAAAAGGCGACGUAUACUCCCAUGCAUUGAUUCAAUAUAAAAUGACCAUAUCCAAGCCCAAGCUCCAUUGGUAUUCAAUCAUUUUUGUGAACUUUUAAAUUCUCUCUUAGUAUCAAUUUACAUGAAUAUUGCAAAGUUUUAUAAAUACUUGGUUAAUGUAACAAAUGCAUUAUUAAAGAUUUGCGUAAUAAUGCAAUAUGCAAAUAUGCAAAGCAUUAUCUAACCUAAAUAUGGAGACGAAAACACCGUAACUCACUAGAUCAUUGAACCAGAUCAAAGAGCAUUAAUCAAAUUACAACAAAAUCUCAAGACAUUAUGAGCGUUGACAUUAACUAAUUGAUGGUUUGAGAAUUAUGUAUAAAUGCAAAGGUUUAUAAAUUAAUUGCUCAAUAUGGAUACUUUAAGCAUUUACAUUAUACAACAUGUUCAUUUUUCUUUAGAUCAAGGCUCAUCAUGUAAUGAAGAACGCCUGCAUGUUGCAUCUUGCUAUUAAUACUUGCACGUCCAUUAAGGCAUAAUGGAUGGAUCCACUUUAUCAUAUUUAUGUUUGACUAUACUAACAAACUUUGAGACUUAAAAGACAUGGGAGUCGUACAAAAAAUGUGGUCAAAUAUAUGUUGAUGGCGAAGCUCAAAUAACUUAUAUAAGGUAAGGCAACUCCAGAUAAUACUUUGAACGCUUUAAUUUUAAUAAAAUAUGAUAUUAUUAAAAUAUCUUUAGAGUAAUUAAUUCAAAAUACAACUUAAUUAAAUUAAAUUAAAUUAAAUUAUUCUUAAUAAUUAAUACUCAUUUAACAUAAAUUAUGGCUUACCUAAAAUAGCAAGACUAAAAGCAAUCAACUCAAGAAUUCAUUAAUAAAUCUAAAAGCAAGUUGGUUUUCUAUAUAAGAAAAUAAACACUGUAAAACAAUCGUCCAUAAUGGCUAGCCAAAUUAAAAACACAAUUAUUGGUAAGAAAGAGGAAGAGUUAUUUAUAUGGAAAAUAGAGUCCUUAAAGUGUUAAACAAUUUUGAAUAUAAAAAUAUAGAAAGUAUGGGUGGGCAACGUGUCGGUUCAGUUCACUAUGGGCAAAUCUAAAAACUUCAGCUAGGUUCGAUUUUUUUCUUUUUUUGAAUGGUCAGCUAGGUUCGAUUUUGAAUUUUAAAAAAUCGAUAAAAAUCUAACUACAAAAAGAUCCAAACCGAAAGUGAGAUUUUUGGUUCAGUUCUUCAAAAAUAUAGAAUUCUUUUUUUAAAAAAAUCUAACAUUUUUAUUUUUAUUUCUUAUGUCCUCCUAAGUCUUGUCAUGGCACUAUUUUGAUAUAAAAUAAUAUUAUAAUUUUUAUCAGUUUGGGCUAGUUUUGAGAAUUUGAACUGAGAACAGAAAUGAACCAAUCUUUUACAGAGCCAGUUCGGCUCUGCCUACCCAUAUUAGAAAGCAAUGAAAUAUAUUUUAUGAGAUGUUUUCACGUUAUAUAUACUCAAUCUACAAAGCUUUAAAAAAAAAGGAAGUCAAUAUAUUUUUGGGAUUUUAUUGAGUUUACAUAGUAAAAAUUUAUAAUUUAAAUUUUGUCAAUGAGUGUCCAGAGUAAUAGAAUAUUAAGAAUAUUGUUUAGAGUGGAUAUACAUACAUACAUACAUAUACAUAUGUGCAUACAUACAUACAUACAUACCUAUAUAUUGUUGAUCUAAAUGGUCUUCCAAACCUUGAUUUCGAUAAUAUUAAAUAAUAUGGUAAGAGGAACAUGGAAAAACAUUUUUGAAUCUUAUUAGUUAUUGAAAUUAAAAAUUAUUCAUGUGAGAUCAAACUCAAAGGACUCAAGGAUAUCUCCAUUAAAUCAAGACUCAAGCUCAAGACAUUAGCUUAGAUGAUAUCUUUCUUUUUAAUCAUUCUUGUAGAGCUAAUUUGUCUAGAUUUAUAUAUGAUUAGCAAAUGUAAGCUCAAAAGUCUUUUAUGAGUUACUUCCACUAAAAUUCUUGAAUAUUUUAGUAUAUUAUGGUUCGAUGAUGAAUGUGCUUUGAAAAUGCUUAAACAAAACAGAAAUUAAGUGCUUUCUCAAAAUGAUUGUUUUCAAAUAUAUGGAUUAGUUUGAAACGUUUUUGAAUUUGUUUAAAAUAUUGGAAACAUGCAUGUAUGGUUGAAAUUCUGGAAAAUGAUAUAUUUGAAAAUAUUUUAUAAUGUUUUAGGCCAAUCUAUAAUUUUAGAAAGUUUUAUGACUUAAAUAUAACAUUUUAAAAAUUAAAGUUACAUUUGGCACGCAGGAUUAGACUGAACUAAUUAUUAGGAUUGAACUGGAUUAAGUUGGAUUAGAUUAAGCUAGAUUAUAUUAUAUACUGUAUUAUAUUUGGUACAAAAUCAGAUUGGACAAUCUUAAAUCAUAUUUAAAAACAAAAAAAAUAUUUAUGAAUAUUUAAGAGUAAUAAUUAAAAUUAAUUUAAAGGUAAUUAACAAGAGCAUUAAUAUGUAGUAAAUUAGUUAUUGGGUAGUCAUAAUUAUAAUAAAAAAAUAUAAAUUAAUAAAACUAUUUAAUUAUUUAAUUAAUUUUUAUUAGAUAUUUUAGAUAUAUUUUGUUUUAUCAAAAAGUUAGCAAAUAAUGUAUAUAUAAAAUCAAUUAUUUACUUGUAUUAUUAAUUUCCAUGAUUUUUUUAAUAUUACAUUGGUGAUUAUUAAAUUUAAUACAAUCAAUUAUUGUAACAAAUUAUUAAAUAGUUAAUUUUAUUGGAGUAAAAGUACCAAUUUAAUUAGACUAUAAAAACGAAAUAAAAAAUAAAUUCAAGUAAAUCAUGAAUAAAAUAAUUAAUUAAUUAAUUAAAUUUUAGGUUACAAGUAAAAAAUAAUAUUAUUUAUGAAGGAAAUAUGAAUAAAUCUUUUUCUCUUAUUCUAAUCCCAUCUAAACCCACUUAUAAAUUGGGAUUGUUAAUCCCAUAAUUUAAGUACUAAAUUUAAAUUUAGUCCUCCGUAAUCCAAUCCAAGCAAAGUAGUCAAACAUGGGAUAAAAUAUUUAAUCCCAAAGUUAAUCCAAUCUCAUACUUGAUCCUAACUCCCAAACAUAACCUAAGAAAUCAACCAAGUGGUCAUUUGCCUCAGAGUUAACUGUCAUUUGUUGGCUCGUGACAUUCAAAAUCUUUAUCUAAUUAUUUUUAACCGUGAUCCAUUAUGGGCUUAAUAUUUCAAAAUUAUCUUAAUGGUCACAUGCUAGUAUCAUGCCACGUCAGCAAGCUAUUACCCGCUUCAUUUUUACUGGUGACCCAUUUGCAUAAAGUUCUUCUAAUUUCAAAAGAGUAAAAACUAGUUUUUGAUUAAAUCUCUAUAAACUCAUUUUCUAACAAUUCGAAGAUUUUCUUGAGAAAGAAAAUUUGUCUAUUUCUCUUAACUAUGAAAUCCUAUUCAGCUUUCACUUGCUUUCAUUUAUAAUCAUAUACAAAACUUGUGCUUAGAUUGGUAUAUCUACCCUUGUGAAGAGUUUAUUGUUUGUACAACUUAUUUCUUUUAAAUCGAGUGAGUGUAAGAAACACUUGAGUGAAGCAAGUAUGGGAUAUACACCUUAGAUAAUUUUUAAAGGUCUAUUGACAUCUAUAAAGUCAAUUGCAAUCAUAUUUAGAGCCUUGAGAUAUAAGACUCAAUGUCAGUGGAAUCCUCAAGCUUGAAUUUUUUGGAGGCAUGAUCAUAUUCAUAAAUUGUUUUGUUUGAUUCUCUCAACCCUUACCUCUUUAAUUCACUUGUUUUGUUUCUUAUUGUUGGAUUGUGGAAAUAGUGUUGUGGAUCAUGGUGUUAUUGGUAGAGAAAUUUUUAAAACUAUAUUCACCAUCCACUUGGGUCUUUUAGCUUGAAUUUCAUAUAUACAUAUACAUAUACGUGUACGUAUACACAUACGCAUACAUACAUAUACAUAUACAUUAUUUCACAUUUUUUAAGUUUAUGUUGAACAAUAAUUUAAUUCGUAGUUAUGCAAUAUUUUUCAAAUUUGCCAAUAUCCUUAUAUGGACAAGUUGUAAUUAAAAAUAGUACUUCUAGACCAAGAAAUAUACAUCAUAUACUUCAAAUAAAAUAUUUUUCAUCUUUUACAUCAAUUUUGAAUAUGAAAUACUCCUAAUAUUAAUUAAUAUAUUUGUAUUCUACUUCAUAAAUUUCAAUCUAUAAAUUGUUUGCUUCAAGAUCUUUCAUGUUGAAUUUUAUUUUUAAAAGAAAACAAUUCAUAAACUCUCCAUUAGUCUUUUCAUGAUGAAAGUAUCAAUAUGUGUUGCAAAGGUUGCAAAUUCAAUUUUUAAUUUCUUUUAAUAAAAUCAUACAACUAAUUGGACAAUGACAUGCCCUUAAAUGAUUAUACUUUAUAAGUCUAGAUUGAUAUAAUAUUAUUGAGUUGUGUCCCACAUUGACUUGAAAACGGGAGAUAUUUUGGGUUUAUAAGGAGGUAGAUCACUCCACCUAAAAGGCUAGUCUUUUGGGUUGGAUACCUAGAAAUCUUAUGCUAAGUCCCCCCAACAAUUGGUAUCAGAGCAGGAUUUUUUAAUUAGAUUCAAGUAUGGCUAACCCUAAAGUUGAUCUGGAGAAGUUUACAGGCAAGACUGAUUUUAAUAUGUGAAAAGUUAAAAUGGAGGCUUUACUGACAACUCAAGGAUUGGGAGAUGCUUUAGAACCAGUCACCAAGAAAGAGGGAAAGGAAGCAUCAUCAUCAUUGACUCCACAGCAGGCUGCUGAUAUUGAUAAAAAGGCAAGAAGCAAAAUAAUUUUGAGUCUUGGAGACUCUGUUAUCAGAAAAGUUGCCAAGGAAAAGAUGACGGUUGAUUUGUGGGCAAAAAUGGAAAUAAUUUAUAUGACAAAGUCUCUUGCCAACAAACUUCAUAUAAAGAAAAUCUCUAAAGAUGGCUGAGAGAUCCUCUCUUGAUGAUUAUAUAGAUGAAUUCAACAGAGUGUGUGACACUUUGGAGACCAUUGAUGAAGGCUUCAGUGAUGAAAGUAAAGCUUUGCUCUUGGUAAGUUUUCUCCCACCAUCAUACUCCAAUUUUGUGGAUGCCCUAACGUAUAGGAGACAAACCUUGUCUUUAGAUGAGGUGAAGGCAACCUUGAAUACCAAAGGGUUACAAGAAAAAUCUGAGAGUAUAGAAAGUGGAGAAGGGUUAACAGUAAAGGGGAGAAUUGAUAAGAAUAAGAAUGCAGCAAAGAAAAAGAAGCAGUCCAAGUUUAAAACCAAUCCAAAGGACUUGAAAUGAUUCCAAUGCCAUAAGGAAUGACAUUUUAAGAAGGAUUGCCCUGAAUUAAAGAACAAGAAAAUGGAGAAAACCAUAGAUGUAGCUACUACUGAAAAAGAAGGAGGCUAUGAGUCAGCAGGUGUGUGUUGCCACUGAGGACAUGCAAAAUAGUAAAUGGAUUCUUGACUCUGGUUGUACUUUUCAUAUGAGUCCAUACAAUAGUUAUUUUUCUAAUUAUCAUGAAUUUGAUGGAGGAAGAGUAAUGAUGGGAAAUAAUUCAAUAUGUAAAGUCAUUGGGAUGGGUAAAAUCUACCUUAAGCUACAUGAUGGGUCCAUAAAGGAAGUUAGAUAGGUUAGGCAUGUUCCAGACCUUAAAAGGAAUUUGAUUUCCUUGGGAAUGAUGGAUCAAAUGGGAUUUAGCAUUAAGCUAGAAUCAAGGGAGCUGAAGAUUCUCAAUGGAUCUACACUGGUUAUGAAAGGGACUAAAAAGAAUGGGGUUUAUGUUUUAGAUGGGGAAUCUGUAACAGGUGUCUCUAAUGUCAUUAAAAGCACUGAAAAUGACAUCACAAAGCUAUGGCAUUUAAGGUUUGGGCAUAUGAAUAUCAAGGGUCUGAAAGAACUGGAAAAGCAAGGUGUUUUGGGUAGUGAUAAGAUUAGGGAGCUAGUUUUUUUGUGAAGAUUGUAUCCUAGGCAAAUCUACUAAGAAUAGCUUCAAGAAAUCAAUACAUAAGACCACUGAUAUCUUGCAAUAUGUACAUUUAGACCUUUGGGGACCAUUUCUAGUUCCAUCUCUAGGUGGGAAUAUGUACUUUAUGACCAUGAUAGAUGACUAUUCAAGAAGAGUUUGGGUGUAUGUGCUAAAAAAUAAAGAUCAGGUGUUUAGGAAAUUUAAAGAGUGGAAAGCUCUGGUAGUGAACCAAACUGGAAAGAGGGUUAAAAAGCUAAGGAUGGUCUUGAAGAAUGGUUUAAAGAAUGGUCUUGAAUAUUGUAAUCAAGAAUUUGACAGAUUUUGUGAAAAUGAAGGGAUUGCAAGACAUAGAUCAGUAAGGUUAACCCCACAGCAAAAUGGUUUAUCUGAGAGGAUGAAUGAUAACUCUAUGAAAUAAGAGUUAUCAUGGCACUUUUAGACUUAAAUCAAUAAUAUUUUGAGAGUAAAUGACAUAUUUUUAUUGCAUUUUAGUUUUAUUUUGCAUGAAUAACUAUUUUAGUUUAUUUUUAAUAAAUUGCAUUGUUUUAGAAUAAUUUGUGUGCUUAAAUCAUAUGAAUAAUUGUAAAUGUCCGGAAGCUCAAAUUUCAAAAAAGGAAUGCUGAUACAAUAGGCUUGCAAAAGAUGGAAAAGAACUUGGCUACAAAAGAAUUGAAACAAGUCUGGAACAAUUCAGUUGUUGUAGUAACCAUUGCUGUAGCAAUCCUGGAACAACGACAAAGAAAAUUUUACGCGGGAUAAUUGCAGAAUUGCGAUCUGCAGUUUCCUAAUCUGACUUAUGCACGACCUAGGCUUCCGUUUACCCUAAUUUUCAACUAUAAAAGAAGCACACAUCAUAAGGAAAAGGGGGAGCCGUCACCCAAGGAGAAAAACCACAAAGAAACAAAAGGAAAAUAUAAUUCAAGAGAGAGAUUGAGAGCUGUACAAGAGGAGAAUUUGCAGAAAUCAAGCGGGAACUUAGUCCUUCUUAUUCUUCUCUUAUUUUCUUGUUUACUUUUUAUUCAUGGAGAUGUGUUUGAUGGCUGAAACUUUUUUCUUUAUGCCAAUUUUGACCUUUGCUUCCUUUUGUAUUUGUAGUUGAGUGAUUGACAAUCUUGAUGGUUUAUUAAUUGAAAAUAUGAGUUGCUGCAUGUUUGUUGUAGCAUUUUGCAUUUUGUUUUGAUAGUAUUUAUUUUUAUUCAUUAUUUCGGCUGAUCACUCAUUUAAUGAUAUUAGCUACGGAAGAGCCACAAAAUGGUCUAUCUUAGUUAGGGGUGGCAAAAAAGCCUGGGCCGGCCCAAAUUAUGAUUAAAAAAAGGGUCUAUCUUAGUGAGGGCUGAUCACUAAUUAUGAUUCAAAAAAGCUAAAAUUAUGAUACUAAAUUCUCUCUUUUGUGUCAAUUAAUUAAGAGAGCAUUUGAAUUAGAAAAUCCAGUAUUAAAGAAAAUUAAAGUUAUGAGCUUUUAUUUGCUUUAUUUAUUUUUUAAUUUAAAAUAUUUAUUUUCUUUAAUUUAUCUAUGAUUGUAAUAACUUGUUGAUCAUUAAUUUAUUUCAAAUUUAUAAUAAUUUAAAAAAAUUAAAAUAAAUAAAUAAAGCCCAAGUCCGGCCUGAGCCCGGUCUAGGCCUGCAAUGGGCCCGACCCUGCCCAGGCCCGCACGCUUAACUGACAGUAGGCCUGGACUUGGGCUUGAAAAAGCCUGGCCCCGGCUCGCUGUUUGCCAUCCCUAAUCUUAGUGGAACAUAUCAGAGCAAUACUUGAUUUUAGAUUGGGUUUUCUAAAUUGAGUUUUACUUGAGUCCCAAAAGGGCCAUACUUAAUCUAAGAUUAGUGAUGAACUAGAUAUAGGAAUUCACCUUGUUGGGUAAAUAGAACCUAAGUGUGUAAUAUUAUAUCUUAUGUUGGCAUAACAACUGAUCAAUGUUAGGUUGCAUAUAGAUAUAAGAUAUUCAACAUCCGACAGCUAAGGAUACCUAAGGAUUCUGCCUAGUGCUGUAGCAACCGAGCCAAACAUUAAAAAAAUAGUCAAAACUAUUAAGAGAGUUUAUUCACUCAACUACUCUAUAUUCCCAUUGGUUUUAUCCUUGAGCUUGACGUGAUAGUCUACUUUGUUGCAUUUUAUUUAUUGCAUUUUUAUUUUAAUUAGUAUAUUAAUUUCAUUAAUUGUUUUGUCUUAAUUUAGAACAAAAUAUGCACUGAUAAGAUUGUUGUAGCAAGUCUGAUAACAUCAAUCCCUAUGGAGAUGAUCUCGAAUACUCAUCAUUAUAUUACUUGUUGUGUACACUUGCACAUUGACACUAAUAGCAUUUGAAUUCAUAUCACCAAUGAACAAGACUUUAAUGGAUAAAGUCAGAUGCAUGAUGAUACUGUCACAACUUCCAAAGGGGUUAUGGGCAGAAACCUUGCUGACAACCUGUCUCUUAGUGAAUCUAAGUCCAUCUACUGUAAUUGAUUUCAAAACACCAUUUGAAAUUUUGUUUGGAAAACCUAGUAACUAUAAUGAUCUUAAAGCCUUUGGAUGUCAUGCUUAUGCAGAUGUUAAGCAAGGUAAAUUAUCUCCAAGAGCUUUGAAGGGGAAGUUUAUAGGGUAUCCAAAUGGUGUAAAGGGUUACAAAUUAUGGUGCACAGACUUAACUCCACCAAGGUGCAUCAUCAGCAGGGAUGUGAUCUUUAAUGAAGGAUCUGUGCUCAAUAAAAAGCCACUUCCUAAAGAUGCUGAACCUAAGACUAAAUCACUUGAAAGUGUACAGUUUGAGGUGGAGCAUUCAGAUCAAAAGCUCUCUCAAGAAGCUGCAGAUUCAUAUAAGGGUGACGAUGAUAAUAGUGGGACCUCUGAAGCACAAUCUCAACAGUACACACAAACUCAACUCAGGGACUAUCAUUUGACCAGAGAUAGAGAGAGAAGGAAAAUCAAACCUCCCUAAAGAUAUGGUUAUGCUAACCUUAUUACAUAUGCACUGGCUGCAUCACAUGAGAUUGAUGAAGAUGAGCCAAAAAGCUAUACAGAGGCUAUACAGAGCUCGUAUAAAUCAGAGUAGUAGAAGGCUGUUGAUGAAAAAAUGGAAUCACUAUUCAAGAACAACACUUGGGAAUUGGUAAUAAAACCUGAAAAAGAAGGGUUGUUGGGUGUAAGUGGAUUUUCAAGGUGAAAGAGAGCCUGACACCUGAUGAGCCUAGGAGAUUCAAAGCUAGGCUAGUAGCAAAAGGGUAUACACAGAGGGAAUGAGUUGAUUUUAAGGAAGUCUUCUCACUAGUGGUAAGACAUGUUUCAAUAAGGGUGUUAUAAGCCUUAACUGCAAUAUAUGACAUGGAGCUUGAUCAACUCGAUGUCAAAACAACCUUUUUACAUGGCAGAUUACAAAAGGAGAUUCUGAUGACUCAACCUAAAGGGUAUGUAAGUUUUGAACAUCCUGAUCAUGUAUGCUUGCUAAAGAAGUCAUUGUAUGGCUUGAAACAAUCCCUAAGGCAAUAGUAUCUUAGGUUUGAUGAGUUCAUGGUAUCACAUGGAUUCAUGAGAUGUAAUUUUGAUUGUUGUGUAUACUACAAGCAGAUAAAUUCAUAUCAGCACAUAUACCUGCUACUGUAUGUGGAUGACAUGUUGAUUGCUUGUAAAGUGAGAGAGGAAAUCGAAGUCUUAAAACAGAUACUGAACUCUAUGUUUGAUAUAAAGAUUUAGGACAUGCCAAAAAGAUUUUAGGCAUGGAAAUCGCAAGAGAUAAGAGGAAGGGAACUAUGUUCUUAUCCCAGAAAAAAGUACUUAGAGAAAGUACUCAACACCUUUGGGAUGGGUUACUGUAAAGCAGUGCUAACACCUUUGGCCUCACACUUUAAACUUUCUAAUCAGCAAUGCCCAAAGACAAGUGGAGAUAAGCAAGAGAUGUCAAAAAUACCUUAUGCAAAUGUAGUGGGGUGUAUGAUGUAUGCAAUGGUCCUCACAAGACCAGAUAUUUCACAUGCUUUAAGCUUGGUAAGCAGGUAUAUGGCAUCACCUGGAAAAGAGCAUUAAAAGGCAGCUAAAUGGGUGACAAGAUGUCUGAAUGGAACCUUGGAGUAUUGUCUAGUGUAUAGAAGGAAACAAGGGGCAAAUGGUGCUGGUUUAUGGGGUUAUGUUGACUGUGACUUUAAUGGAGAUCUGGAUAGGAGGAGAUCAUUAACUGGAUAUAUGCUCAUGCUGAAUGGUUGCCUAAUAAGCUAGAAAGCAAGCCUACAAUACGUUGUUGCCUUAUCAACAACAGAGGCUAAGUACACAACAGCCUCAGAAGCUGUCAAUGAGGCUCUAUGGCUUAAAGGUUUGGUCAGUGAAUUGGGGAUAUCGCAGAAGGUUGUUGACAUCCACUAUGAUAGCUCAAGUGCCAUCUAGUUGAGCAGAAAUCCAGCUCAUCAUGAGAAAACCAAGCAUAUUGACAUUAAGCUAUAUUUUAGAAGGAAUAUAGUAUCAAAGGGAGUUGUGAAGAUGGUGAAGAUACAUACCAGCAACAACGAUACUGAUAUGCUAACAAAUGUGUUACCCACAACUAAGUUCAAGACUUGUUUGGACAUAGCUGGAGUGUGCAUAUUUUGAUCUUACACGAUAUUGAGGAGAAAAGUAAUCAGGAGUGAAUUGUUUCAAGGUGGAGAUUUGUUGUGUAACCAGUGAAACCAAUUCUAUGACUUCAAAACGACCUCCAAGAUAUGCGUUUUGGUGUUCAUAAUCAAUACUCACUAAAACAGCUUCAUUUGUUGUCAUUUCUGAUUUAAUGAAGCACAUGUGAUGCACGUGGAAAAGGAAGCUCCAAAUUAAGUUGUUAAAAGUCGUUAUAUAGCGUGCUUCACACGUGAGUUUCUAGAAUUUGCACCUAGAUGGUUAUAAGCAGCUGGAUGCAACUAAUUAUGAAGUAACAGACUGGUGCCAUGCUGAUGAGUAUAUAAGGGAUUAAGACUCAGUGAUUACGAGUGUGAAAUCCAAUGAAAUGUACUCUAUAAAAUCUAUAUACCUUGAUGAUCAAUCAAUGGAAGGCUUGUUAAUUUGUUCCUACGUGGAUGUAAGCUAAUGAGAAUUAGCUGAACCACGUUAACCUCUUAUGUUCUUUGAUUUUCUGUUUGUUGAUCUUUUAUGUUUCUGAUCUGUUUUUCAUUCUUAAAACCAUUAUCAAUUUGCUCUAUUAAAAUCUUGGUUAAGAUUUCUUCAAAUCAUCUUUAUGGCAUCUAAUAAUCUGGAUUGAAGAUCUUGGGCAACAACUUAAGGUGUCAAAGAGCCAGAACCCUUCAAUUGCUACAAAUAUAUAUAAGUACAAUUAUAAUUUUAUCAAGAACAUAAAACCUGCAAACUUUUAAUGUAGUACUCCAUGUACUAGUUUUAGGCAUUUUAUUCAUUAAGAAUUUAAGAAUAAGUACAUAGAUUCUUCUAUUUUAAUUUCGCAUGUUCAGAUGUCUACACUAUAUUUGUAAUCUUAUUAGAACUUCAUCUGGGCUCGAAUCCUACUUAGAGGAUCGCUAGAGAUAAAAAAUUGUUAAAGAAAGAAGAAGAUGUCUCUUUUUUCACUUCCAAGCGAUCGAAAAAUAAAGAAAUAGUUAAUAUAUUCAAGAUGAUUAGAUAUUUACAAAAUAUCGUCUCAAUUCAUCUUGUUUCAUUAAAUCCGGGAUGUGAUGUGGUUUCGAAGGAUGAACUGGACAUGGACAGUUCCAAUAAGAUUUCAUUCUUAAACAAAAGUCCAUUUUUUUAUUUAUUUCAUCUAUUCCAUGACCAGAACAGGGGGAUCCACGUUACACCAUGAUUUUGAAUCAGAAGAGAGAUUUCAAGAAAUGGUAGAUCUAUUCACUUUAUCAAUAAUUGAGCCAGAUCUGGUGUAUCUUAACGGUUUACCUUUCUAUUUUUCCUUCAGGAAUGAAUCGAAAAAGAAAUGUUUAUUCGUUCUACCUCCCAUUAUUUGCAAAGAGAAUGAAUCUUUUUAUCGAAGGAUAAAUAAAUGUGUCUAGAACUCCUGCAGGAAUGAUUUUGAAAAUCCAAAACUAAAAAUAGUGGUAUUUGUUAGCAACAAUAUAAUGGAGGCAGUCAAUCAAUCUAGAUUGCUCCGAAAUCGGAUCCAAAUCCAAUAUAGCACCUAUAGGUACAUAAGAAAUGUAUUGAAUUGAUUCUUUUUAAUGAAUAAAUCUGAUCGUAACUUUCAAUAUAGAAUUCACAAGUAUCAAAUAAGAACUAAUACUUUGAAUUAUUGAACUAUAAUGAAAUUUUAUGAUCAACCAACAUUUAUCGAAUUUGAAAAAGAGUCAGAAGAAAUGAUUUGUUCCUCUGAUCUGGAUUUUUUGAGCUAAGAUAUUCAUGAAUCGGGAUUCUAAUUCAUAUAGAUACAAAUUUUGUAAUGGGAGCAAGAAUUUCCAAGAGCAUUUGGAACCGUUCUUUUUUUAAGCAGAAGAGCUGUUUUCAAGCAGCGUUCGAUCAAUUACGUAUUAAUUAGUAUUCGAUUGAUUGGUCUAAAGUUAUAGAUAAAAAAGAUUUGUCUAAGCCACUUCUUUUCUUUUGUCCAAGUUUUUUUUUUCUGUUUGUCUAACUCACUUCCUUUUUUCUUUAUAAGUUUCAAGAAUAUCCCCAUUUAUAGGUCUGAGAUCCAUAUCUAUGAAUUGAAAGGUCCGAAUGAUCAACUAUACAAUCAGUUGUUAGAACUAAUAGAUCUUCAAAUUGAUCAUUUCAAAAAUUUGAAAUUCUUCUUAUUAGAUGAUCAUAAUACUUCCCAAAAGUCAAAAUUCUUAAUCAAUGGAGGAAGGAUAUCACCAUUAUUGUUUAAUAAGAUACUGAAGUGGAUGAUUGACUCAUUCUAUAUUAGAAAUAAUAGCAAGAAAUCUUUUAAUAACACAGUACAAUCAAUACAUUUUUGAGAAAAAUUUACCAAUUGAAAAAAGAAAAGGAAAAAACAGGGUCUAUAUCUAAAGAAAUGUGUUGAGAAAGGACAUAUGUCUAUUUCAACAAGACAGUGCUAUUUCAACUCUUUUAAAAUGGAAUCGAAUCCAAACAUAUAUGUCAUGGUUCCUUACUUCGACAAGGUACAAAUAUCUAAAUUUGAUAAUUUUAGACACUUUUUUAAACCUAUUGUUGGUACUAAGUAGCAAUAAAAAAUUUGUAUACAUUUUUCAUGAUAUUAUGCAUGGAUCAGAAAGAGCAUGGUGAAUUCUUCAGAUCUUCCACAAUAGAAUCUGAUAAGUGANNNNNNNNNNNNNNNNNNNNNNNNNNNNNNNNNNNNNNNNNNNNNNNNNNNNNNNNNNNNNNNNNNNNNNNNNNNNNNNNNNNNNNNNNNNNNNNNNNNNNNNNNNNNNNNNNNNNNNNNNNNNNNNNNNNNNNNNNNNNNNNNNNNNNNNNNNNNNNNNNNNNNNNNNNNNNNNNNNNNNNNNNNNNNNNNNNNNNNNNNNNNNNNNNNNNNNNNNNNNNNNNNNNNNNNNNNNNNNNNNNNNNNNNNNNNNNNNNNNNNNNNNNNNNNNNNNNNNNNNNNNNNNNNNNNNNNNNNNNNNNNNNNNNNNNNNNNNNNNNNNNNNNNNNNNNNNNNNNNNNNNNNNNNNNNNNNNNNNNNNNNNNNNNNNNNNNNNNNNNNNNNNNNNNNNNNNNNNNNNNNNNNNNNNNNNNNNNNNNNNNNNNNNNNNNNNNNNNNNNNNNNNNNNNNNNNNNNNNNNNNNNNNNNNNNNNNNNNNNNNNNNNNNNNNNNNNNNNNNNNNNNNNNNNNNNNNNNNNNNNNNNNNNNNNNNNNNNNNNNNNNNNNNNNNNNNNNNNNNNNNNNNNNNNNNNNNNNNNNNNNNNNNNNNNNNNNNNNNNNNNNNNNNNNNNNNNNNNNNNNNNNNNNNNNNNNNNNNNNNNNNNNNNNNNNNNNNNNNNNNNNNNNNNNNNNNNNNNNNNNNNNNNNNNNNNNNNNNNNNNNNNNNNNNNNNNNNNNNNNNNNNNNNNNNNNNNNNNNNNNNNNNNNNNNNNNNNNNNNNNNNNNNNNNNNNNNNNNNNNNNNNNNNNNNNNNNNNNNNNNNNNNNNNNNNNNNNNNNNNNNNNNNNNNNNNNNNNNNNNNNNNNNNNNNNNNNNNNNNNNNNNNNNNNNNNNNNNNNNNNNNNNNNNAAUUUUGAGUUUCUCUAGAAGAAAUAUAGGGUUCUGCUUUGGGGGGCAACUUCCUAGGGGGGGGGGGGGUGGUCCCGAGGAUGAGGUUAAAUCAAUAUGUUCUACAACAAAAGAUUUGAAUAUCAAUCUCGUCAAUAUCACCGAUCUCAUAAGUAUCAAACCAAAUCCCAUUAAAUGAAUCACUUUUUUCUAAAAAUACGAGACAUCUAAGUCAUACAAAUAAAAAGAUCUAUUCAUUGAUAAGAAAAUGAAAAAAAAAGGGAACGGUGAUUAGAUUGAUGAUAAGAUAAAAUCUUGGGUUACGAAUAGUGAUUUAAUAGAUAAUAAUGAAAGAGAAUUCUUGGUUCAAUUCUCCACCUCAACCUUAAUGACGGAAAACAAAAUUUGAUAAAAUUCUAUCAAGUCUGACUGAUAGUGAUCAUUCAUCAAAGAAUGACUCUGGUUAUCAAAUGAUUGAACAAUCGAGCAAUCUACUUAUGAUACUUAACUAACAUUCAUAAAAAGCAUUUCAUGAAUUAUAAGUUCAGUAUUUACUGUUUAGCAGAAUGACAGAUACUCCUUGUUCAUUUCCAAACAAUCACUUAUUCACAAACUUCGUGUGGGGCUAAUAGUUUUCAUUUUCCAAACAAUCACUUAUUCACAAACUUCGUGUGGGGCUAAUAGUUUUCAUUUUCCAUCUCAUGCAAAACCCUUUUUUGCUCCGCCUAGCCCUAUAUAUAUAUAUAUAUAUAUAUAUAUAUAUAUAUAUAUAUAUAUAUAUAUAUAUACCUAGCGGCAAACUUCUAUGUCCCUUUCUUUACGGUAUUUCUGAACAAGUUUCUGGAUAACAAGCCUAAAAGUUUUUUUAUUAAUGAUAUCGAUGAUGAUAGUGACAAUAUUGAUGCUAGUGAAGAUAUUGAUCAUGUCUUUGAUACGGAGCUAGAGCUUCUAAUUAUGAUGAAUGCACUAAAUAUCAAUAUGAUGUUAUAAGUAGGCCUAUUUUAUAUCACCCUUUCAUUCGAAUUAGCAAAAGCAAUAUCUCCUUGCAAAAUAUGGAUUCCAAACAUUCAUGAUACGAUGUGAAUUAGUUGAAUUAUUUAUCCCUCGGUCUAUCAAUAAACUAUCUCUCAAAGGAUUAUGAAAGAUAUUCCACUAGAAAUAUUCUUAUUAUUGCUUCGGGUCAUAUUCCCAAAAAAGUGGAUCCCGCUCUAAUCCAAAUAAAUUAAAUACAUGCAUUAAGAUGCCAAGGUUUAUUAUUCCACAAUCACGAAAGCACUUUUUGACUCUUUCAUAUAUUAGGGUAUUUCACUUGGAAAAGAAAAUGUUCCAUACUGAUUGACACUAAAAAGUGUACAUUUAAUAAGGAUAAAAUUCUUAGUUUUUCACUUAUUGUGUCGAUUAAUGCGUUCAUUAUUUCUAAAUUAUUUUAAUACUCUCCAAAUAUAUUUUAUGUUAAAUUAAUUCGCAAUUUGUUAAUUUUUAUCUUGUAAAUAUUUUUCAGGAAUAAAGAUGGAAUUGGAAUUGAAAGUGGGAACAAAGAAGAACUACUGGAACACAAAUUGAAGAGAUGUAAUAAUAAAUAAAAAACAAAAAAAGAACAAAAGCAUGUUGGUGAUGGUCAGCACAAUUCAAUAUGUAUAUAUAAUAUAAAAAUAAAAAAAUAUUAAUAUUAAUAAAAUUAAAUUAAAAAAAAAAAAAGAUGAUUCCCUUACCUAUAAAAGGCAAGGGGAUGCAAGCAAUGAGGGGGCGGGAGCCGAGAGCCAGAAGCUAGUAAAGCUAUUUUUUAGAAGUGUACGCCGAGAGAGAAUAGAGUGCAGCUGAAGAAUUUCUUUCUUUUUUUGUUUCUUUUCUUUUCUUGUUUCCGUUUGUAAUCAACUUUCUUGUAACGUAUUUCAAAAGUUUAUCAAAUAAAUAGAGUGUUGUGUUUUCUUUCAAUAUGAGUGGCUAAUUGUAGAAACUGAAGGGCACUUAAUUGCUUAACACCUCAGUUUCUGCCCAAGAUCUAAGAUCAGAUUCCUAGAUGCUUUUAUAGAUGACUCGAAAAAACUUAACCAAGAACCCAAAGUAACAAAUCAAGAAUGGUUUAAGAAUCACAAAAGAUUAAAGAACUAACGAAUCAAUAAAAUAGAAAGAAUAAAGAACAGGAGUGAGUUAACGUGGUUCAGCUAACUCUCGUUAGCUUACAUCCACGGAGGAACAAGACAACAGGCCUUUAUUGAAUGAACUCAAAGUUACAGAGAUUUCAGAGUGUAUGUUAUGGAACUACAUCCCCUCUCUCAAGCGACUAACUCCCUUUAUAUACUCAUUUGUUCGUCACCAGCUAGCUGCACCAAAAUCAGCUCCUUUCAAUUGCUGAUAACCACUUGGAAACUAAUUCCAGAUGCUCACGUGAGAUGCAUGCUUCAUCAACGACUAUUAACAAUCUUGUUAUUAGGAUCUCACGCACGUGCAUCUCAUGUGCUUCAUUAAUCCUGAAACGACACUCUCUCAAGUCAUUUUAAAGUCCUUUAAUUGAUUUCACUGGUUACUUUACAAAUCUCCACCUUGAAACAAUUCAUCCCUGUGCAUCUUUCUCCUCAAAUCCAUGCAAGUUACAAACUGCAUAUUUCAGCUAUGUCCAAACAGGUCUUUAACUUAGCUGUAGGUACCACCUUUGUGAGCAUAUCUGCAGGAUUGUUGCUGGUAUGUAUUUUUACCAUCUUCCCAACUCCUUUAGAUAUUACAUUCCUUAUGAAAUGCAACUUAAUGUUGAUAUGCUUGGUUUUCUCAUGAUGAGCUGGAUUUUUACUCAAAUAAAUGGCACUUGAGCUAUCACAGUGGAUAUCAACAACCUUCUGAGAUAUUCCUAACUCGCUGAUUAAGCCUUUAAGCCAUAGAGCCUCCUUGACAGCUGCUAAGGCUACAGUAUACUCAGCCUCUGUUAUUGAUAAGGCCACUACAUGUUGCAAACUUGCUUUCCAGCUUAUCAGGCAUCCAUUCAACAUGAACAUGUAUCCAGUUUGUGACCUCCUUCUGUCCAGAUCUCCAGCAUAAUCAGAGUCAACAUAGCCCCAUAAACCAGCUUCAUUUGUCUCUCGAUCCUUUCCAUACAGCAACCCAUAAUCCAAGGUUCCAUUUAGAUACCUCAGCACCCAUUUAGCUGCCUUCCAAUGCUCUUUUCCAAGUGAUGCAUAUACCUGCUUAUCAAGCUUAGAGCAUGUGAAAUAUCUGGUCUUGUGAGGACCAUUGCAUACAUCAUACACCCUACUGCAUUGGCAUAGGGAACUUUGGACAUCUCUUGCUUUUCUUCACUUGUCUUUGGACACUGCUGGUUUGAGAGUUUGAAAUGAGAGGCCAAAGGUGUUAUCACUGGUUUACAGUUGUUCAUUCCAAAGGUGUUAAGUACUUUUUCCAAGUACUUCUUCUGAGACAAGAACAUAGUUCCCUUCCUUCCGUCUCUUGUGAUUUCCAUGCCCAAAAUCUUCUUGGCAUGUCCCAAAUCUUUCAUAUCAAACUUAGAAUUCAGCAUCUGUUUUAAAGCUUCGAUUUCUUCCCUCACUUUACAAGCAAUCAACAUAUCAUCAACAUACAGUAGCAAGUAUAUAUGAUGAUCUGAAUCUAUUUUCUUGUAGUAUACACAACAAUCAAAAUUACACCUCAUGAAUCCAUGAGAUAUCAUGAACUCAUCAAACCUGAGGUACCAUUGCCUUGGGGAUUGCUUUAAGCCAUACAAUGACUUCUUCAGCAAGCAUACAUGGUCAGGGUAUUCAGAGCAUACAAAUCCUUCAGGUUAAGUCAUCAAAAUCUCCUCUUGUAAUCUCCUAUGUAAGAAGGCUGUUUUGACAUCAAGUUGAUCAAGCUCCAUGUCAUAUAUAGCUGUUAGAGCUAAUAAUACCCUUAUUGAAACAUGUCUGACCACUGAUAAGAAGACCUCCUUAAAAUCAACCCUUUCCUUCUGUGUAUACCCUUUUGCUACUAGCCUAGCUUUGAAUCUCUUAGGAUCAUCAACUGUCAACCCUUCUUUGAGCUUCAAAAUCCAUUUGCACCCCACAAUCCUUCUUUUCUCAGGUUUCUUUACCAAUUCCCAGGUGUUAUUCUUGUAUAGUGAGUCUAUUUCAUCAUCCAUAGCCCUCUGCCAUUCUGAUUUAUAUGAACUCUUCAUAGCCUCUCUGUUGCUUGUUGGCUCAUCUUCAUCAAUCUCAUAUGAUGCAGCCAGAGCAUAAGCAAUGAGGUUAGCAUAACCAUAUCUUUGUGGAGGUCUUAUUUGUCUCCUUUCUCUAUCUCUGGCCAGAUGGUAGUCUCUAAGUUGAGUUGGAGUGUGCUGUUGAGAUUGUGCCUCAGUGUUUCUACUACUGUCAUCUUCAUCUCCAUCAGAAUCUGCAGCUUCUUGAGAAGACUUUUUAUUUGGAUGCUCCACCUCAAACUGUAUACUCUCAAGUGUUUUAUCCUGAGGUUCAGCAUCAUUGUUUUGUGGUUUUUUUCUGAGCACAGUUUCUUCAUUAAAGAUCGCAUCCCUGUUGAUGAUGCACCUUGGUAGGGAUAAGUCUGUGCACCAUAACUUGUAACCCUUUACACCAUCUGGAUACCUAAUAAACUUUCUCCUCAGAGCUCUUGGAGAUAAUUUCCCUUGUUAACAUAUGCAUAAGUAUCACAUCCAAAAGCUUUAAGGUCUGCAUAGUUACCAGGUUUUCCAUACCACAUUUCUAAUGGUGUUUUAAAGUCAAUUCCAGCAGAUGGGCUAAGGUUCACUAAAAGAUAGGCUGUCAGCAAGGUUUCUGUCCAUAGCCCCUUAGGAAGUUGGGACUAUAUCAUCAUGCAUCUGACUUUGUCCAUUAAAGUCAUGUUCAUCCUUUCAGCUAGGCCAUUUUGUUGUGGGGUUAACCUUACUGUUCUAUGUCUUGCAAUCCCUUCAUUUGCACAAAAACUGUCAAACUCUUGAUUGCAAUAUUCAAGGCCAUUGUCUGUCCUUAGUUUUUUAACCCUUUUUUCAGUUUGAUUCUCUACCAGAGCUUUCCACUCUUUAAAUUUACCAAACACCUGAUCUUUACUUUUCAGCACAUAUACCCACACUCUCCUAGAGUAGUCAUCUAUCAUGGUCAUAAAGUAUCUAUUUCCACCUAGAGAUGAGAUCUGAAAUGGACCCCAAAGGUCUGAGUGUAUAUAUUGCAAGAUCUCAGUGGUCUUAUGUAUUGAUUUCUUGAACCUAUUCCUAGUAGAUUUACCUAGGAUGCAUUCUUCACAGAAAACUAGCUCCUCAAUUGUAUCACUCCCCAAAACACCUUGCUUUUUAAGUUUUUUCAGACCUUUGAUACUCAUAUGCCCAAGCCUUAAGUGCCAUAGUGUAGUUUUAUCUAUGGCAGUGCUUUCAAUGGCAUUAGAGACCCCUGUUACAGACUCCCCAUCUGAGACAUAAACUCCAUUCUUUCUGGUUCCUUUCAUAACCAGUGUGGAUUUAUUUAGAAUCUUCAACACCCUUGAUUCAAGCUUAAUGCUACAUCCCAUUUGAUCCAUCAUUCCUAAAGAAAUCAAAUUCCUUUUAAGUUCUGGAAUAUGUCUAACCUGUCUAAUUUCUUUUAUAGACCCAUCAUGUAGCUUAAGAUGAAUUUUACCAAUCCCAAUGACUUUACACACUGUGUUAUUACCCAUCAUUACUCUUCCUCCAUCAAGAUCUUGAUAAUCAGAAAAAUAACUCUUAUAUGGACUCAUAUGAAAUGUGCAACCAGAGUCAAGAAUCCACUUACCCUUUUGUAUAUCCUCAGUAGCAACACACACACACCUGCUGACUCUUAGUCAUCAUCUUCUUCAGCUGUAGCUGCAUUCCCAAUUCUCUCCUUAUUCUUGUUCUUUAAAUCUAGACAAUCCUUCUUGAAAUGUCCUUCCUUAUGGCAAUGGAAGCAUUUCAGGUCCUUUGGCUUGGUUUUAGGUUUGGACUGCUUCUGAUUCUUUGCUGCAUUCUUAUUCUUUUCAAACUUCCCCUUUACUGUUAACCCAACUCCACUUUCUAUACUCACAGAUUUUUCUUGCAACCCUCUAGUAUUUAAGGCUGCCUUCACCUUAUUCAAGGACGAUGUCUGCCUCCCAUACAUUAGGGCAUCCACAACAUUAGAGUAUGAUUGUGGAAGUGAACUUACCAAGAGCAGAGCUUUACUUCAUCACUGAGGCUUUCAUCAAUGGUCUCCAAGGUGUCACACACUCUAUUGAAUUCAUCGAUAUGAUCAUCAAGAGAGGAUCCCUCUGCCAUCUUUAGAGUAAACAUCCUUUUCUUGAUAUGAAGUCUGUUGGUAAGAGACUUUGUCAUAUAGAUGGUUUCCAAUUUUAUCCACAAAUCAGCCACUGUUUUCUCCUUGGCAACUUCUCUAAUAACAGAGUCUCCAAGACUCUGGAUUAUUGUGCUUCUUGCCCUUCUGUCUAUAUCAGUAGCCUGUUGUGGUGUUAGUGACGAUGAAGCUUCCAUUCCCUCUUUCUUAGUGACUGGUUCUAAAGCUUCUCCUAGUCCCUGAGUUAUCAGUAGAGCCUCCAUUUUUACUUUCCACAUAUUGAAGUCGUUCUUGGCUGUAAACUUCUCCAAAUCAACUUUAGGAUGAGCCAUACUAGAAUCUGAUUAAAGAAACCCUGCUCUGAUACUAAUUGUAGAAACUGAAGGGCACUUAAUUACUUAACACCUCAGUUUCUGCCCAAGAUCUAAUAUCAGAUUCCUAGAUGCUUCUAUAGAUGACUCGAAGAAACUUAACCAAGAACCCAAAGUAACAAAUCAAGAAUGGUUUAAGAAUCACAAAAGAUUAAAGAACUAAUGAAUCAAUGAAACAAAAAGAAUAAAGAACAGGAGUGAGUUAACGUGGUUCAGCUAACUCUCGUUAGCUUACAUCCACGGAGGAACAAGACAACAGGCCUUUAUUGAAUGAACUCAAAGUUACAGAGAUUUCAGAGUGUAUGUUAUGGAACUACACCCCCUCUCUCAAGAGACUAACUCCCUUUAUAUACUCAUUUGUUCAUCACCAGCUAGCUGCACCAGAAUCAGCUCCUUUCAGUUGCUGAUAACCACCUGGAAACUAAUUCCAGAUGCUCACGUGAGAUGCAUGCUUCAUCAACGACUUUUAACAGUCUUGUUAUUAGGAUCUCACGCACGUGCAUCUCAUGUGCUUCAUUAAUCCUGAAACGGCACUCUCUCAAGUCGUUUCGAAGUCCUUUAAUUGAUUUCACUAGUUACUUUACACUAAUUCUAUUAAGCUGAGGUGAAGGGUGAAGCUCAAUGUUUCAAACUAUUAAAUUUAUUAUUUUCUCAAAUGAGUUUAAAGUUUAUUUUAUUCUUUUCUAAUUAUUUUUAUGUCAUAUUAAUUUAUAAAUUUCUUUGGAUCUGUAUGGUAUUUUGACAUAAUGUCGACACAUUAAUAUAGUGUGGCACAUUAGGUACUUUAUUUCAUAUUUAUCCACACACAUAAAAUUAAAUGAUAUAAUAAUUAACUGGUAAAAGUGAGGUAAAAUAUAAAUGAGAGAGUAUUAAAAUUAUAGUUUGAAUACAGAGAGUGGAUCCCGAACCUUAGCAUAUUUUAAGAUUGAUUUCAAAUAAUUUCUUUUCCCCACAAUUAAUUUUCUUAGUUUUAAAUUGACUACUAGAUUUAAAAUUUCCUAUGGUUCAACCCCGGUCUCACUGGGUUAUAUUAUAACUAGACACUCUUAUACUUGGGAGCAUUACACUUUUUAGUCAUGUCAAGUUUUUGGUGUCGUUACCGAAGAGUUUUUUAAUUUGAUGUUAGUUUGUCUUUACUUUAAUUUUUUAUUUUUUUUUAUUGUUACUAUCUUUCCCUUGAUUCUAUUUUACUCUCUUUUUGCAAACUUCAGUUAGCACCCCUCUUCUUCUUAAACUUUAACAUUACCUACAAAAUUUGUGAGAAACUUCAAUUUAGCCCAGAAACCUUUGCAAAUCAGUCCCCAAAUCAAAUUUAUUUCUUUAAAUUUCUGCAAUUUACUUUCUGCAUUUAUUUUAAAUGGUCGGUUCUACUGCCUAACUGUUAUUUAAAUUUUGUUAAUUUAUGUAUUUCUGUUUAUAUGGUCGGUUCUACCGCCUAGCAUUUUAAUUUCAGUUUAUUUAUUUUUGUGCAUUAAUUUAUUUAAUUUUAUGCUUUAUUAUACAGCUGGUUUUAAAAUACCACCUAAACUGUUUCUUUUAAUGGCUGGUUUCACCACCUAAUUUAUUUAUUUAUUUUUCAGUUUGUUUAUUUUAUUUCGCAUUUUUGCUUAUUUAAUUUCCAAUUUAUUUUUAUUUCUGCAAUUUUCAUUUAGCGUUUUUUGCAUAAUUAGUUAAGCACACAUCAUUAGCAUUACAUGCGUCGUUGGUCUCGUACAAAUAAUGGCAGAUUAAUUAAAAGAUCACCUUCACUGCCCUUAGAUAUGGCUGACACAUGAGCUGAAAAUUUUUCGGAGCACGAAAAUGACCAAGCCUUGCAAAAUAUUCAUGAAUAGCAUAGAACCCUUAGAGAUUUCAUGCAUCCUACUAGAACAGGGUCACCAUCAUGCAUAGUUUUCCCUUCUGAUGCAUCAUGUUUUAAUUUUAACCUGGUAUCAUUCAACUUCUUUAUACUUUUCAUGGUUUUGAGUCUGAAAAUCCAUAUUUACAUUUAAGGGAAUUUGAGGAAGUCUGUAACACAUGUACUGAUCAAAAUUGUAGCAUAAAUAUAAUCAGGCUUAAGUUUUUUCCUUUCUCACUAAAGGAUAAAGCUAAAAUUUGGCUACAAAAUCUUAGGUCAGAAUCCAUCAGAACUUGGGAUGAAAUGCAAGCACAAUUUUUGAAAAAAUUCUUCCCACCCCACAAAACAAAUUCUUUUAAAAGACAAAUCACCACUUUCACUCAAAAACCAGGAGAAACUUUCUACCAAUGUUAAGAUAGGUUUAAAGAACUACUUAACAUUUGCCCACAUCACGGUUUUGAAACAUGGAGAUUAGUGUCUUAUUUCUACGAGGAAUUAACAUCCCAAGGUAGACAAGUCAUUUAAAUGAUGUGUAAUGGUGAGUUUAGGGAUAAAAGUCCUGAAGAUGCAUUAGAUUAUCUUAACUAUAUAGCAGAGAAUGCACAACACUGGGAUACAGUUGGGCCUUAUGAGUCAUCAAGUAAACCCCAGUCAUCUCCACUGGUGGAGGCAUGCAUAACCUUAGGGAAGACCAUGAAUUUCAAGUCAAAUUUGCAUCAUUAACUAGAAAAGUCGAAGCAUUAAAGUUGAAAAAGAAUGAUCAUGUAAAGUCUGUUAAAAAUAUUUCAUGUUAUAUUUGCGAUUCUACUGACCAUUCUACGUAGGACUGUCCAACUUUACCAGCUCUGAGAGAAAGUUUGCAUGAACAAGUAAAUGUCGUUGACAAUUUCAAAAGGCCAAAUCCAAAUCCAUACUCCCAAACUUACAACUCUGGUUGGAGAAACCACCCAAAUUUCAGUUAGAGAAAUGACAAUCACGUACAACUUCACAACCAGUUCCUCCACGUCAAAAUUUUCAAAACUCCCAGAGUUACCCACCAUAUGUCCCACCACAAAAAAAAAAAAAACUCUGGAAGACAUAUUGCAUUCAUUUAUUGAAAAACAAGAGUCGAAACCAAACAAUGCAAACCUUAACCAAUUUGACAGAAACUAUCUCCAAACUUACAUCUGCUCUGACCAUACAUGAAAAAUGAAAAUUUCCUGCUCAACCUGAACCAAACCCUAAGAGUCAACAACAUCCUCAAAUGGGAAAUUCAGGAAACCAAAAUAUGAGUCAAGUCAAAUCGGUUAUAACCCUUCAUAGUGGUAAAGUAGUCGAAAAAUACAUUAUGGACCCUCGUGAAACUAGUAAAGAUUCAAUUUCAGAAAAUAGGGAAGAGUCUGUCGAACUUUUAACCCAUGAAGAAAUAACCAACUCUCCUCAUGUACCCUCAUUUCCUCAAGCACUAAUCAAGCCAAAGAAAUCAAAUCACAGUCCAGAAAUUUAUGAAGUUUUUAAACAAGUAAAGGUCAACAUUCCUCUGCUGGAUGUCAUUAAACAAGUGCCGUCCUAUGCUAAAUUUCUGAAAGGUCUGUGCACGGUGAAAAGGCAACAUAAGAUGCAAAAGAGAGCUUUUCUAGCAGAACAGGUAAGUUCCAUUCUCUCAACCAAUAGUACUUUGAAAUACAAGGAUCCUGGUUGUCCAACUAUUUCUUGCACUAUUGGGGAUCAUAAAAUUGGACAUGCUCUACUUGAUCUUGGUGUCAGUGUUAAUUUGCUUCCUUACUCAGUGUACCAACAACUCAAUCUCGGUGAGUUAAAACCAACUUCUACCACUCUUUUACUUGCUGAUAGAUCGAUUAAAGUUCCAAGAGGAAUAAUGGAAGGUGUGUUAGUCCAAGUCGAUAAAUUCAUAUAUCCUGUGGAUUUUAUUGUUUUGGAAACGGGACCAAUUGCUAAUGAAUGCAAACAAAUUCCUGUUAUAUUGGGUCGACCAUUUUUAGCUACUGCUAAUACUUUGAUAAAUUGCAGGAAUGGAUUAAUGAAUUUAUCUUUUGGCAACAUGACACUGGAACUCAAUGUGUUCAACAUGUGUAAACAACCUCACCACCAAGAAUAUGAUGAUAAUGAGAAUGAGGAGAUUGAUCUCAUCGAGCCAAUCAUUGAGGAACAUAUUCAGGAUGAGAAUUUUACAAACUCUGUAGAAAUUUAUUUUACCGGUUCUUUUGAAUCAAGUAAGGAAUUAGAUUGUGAUACUACUAACAUAUGCCCUACACUUGAUUCUAUGCAGGUACCUACAGGUGAUGAUGACCAAUCGAACUUUGAAGAUGUGGUACAACCUGAAGAACCAAACGAAGAGGAAGCACCAGAGCUCGAAUUAAAGCCCUUACUAGAAGAAUUGAAGUAUGCCUAUCUUGGAAAGCAGCAGACAUAUCCGGUGGUAAUUUCUUCCCAGCUCACGAAUGAUCAAGAAGGUAAGUUGUUGUCUGUACUAAAAAGGCAUAAAACUGCAUUUGGUUGGACCUUAAAAGACAUAAAAGACAUUAAUCAUUUAAUUUGCACACACUGAAUACACUUAGAGCAAAAUACCAAAACAACCCGUCAACCACAAAGAAUACUAAACCCUCGUAUGAAAGAAGUGGUAAAGAAUGAAGUCCUUAAACUACUAGAUGUAGGAAUUAUCUACCCUAUCUCUGAUAGUAAAUGGGUAAGUCCAACACAAGUAGUACUAAAGAAAUGUGGAAUAACUGUUGUAAAAAAUGAAAAAGGUGAACCAAUCCCAACACGAACUCCAUCUAGUUGGCGCAUGUGCAUUGAUUACAGAAAAUUAAAUGAUGCCACUAGAAAAGAUCAUUUUCCCCUUCCAUUUCUAGACCAAAUUCUCGAAAGAGUAGCUGGACAUCCCUACUACUGCUUUCUUGAUGGCUACUCUGGCUAUUAUCAAAUCCCUAUAGCCUUAGAAGACCAGGAAAAGACCACAUUCACAUGCCCAUUUGGAACAUUUGCAUUUAAGAGAAUGCCCUUUGGACUUUGUAAUGCUCCUGCAACAUUUCAAAGGUGCAUGCUAAGCAUUUUUAGUGACAUGGUUGAAAAUUGUCUAGAGGUUUUUAUGGAUGAUUUAACUGUAUUUGGUAAUUCUUUUGAUACAUGUCUUGAUAAUCUAGAAAAAUUUUUGUAAAUGUGCAAAGAAAAAUGACUAGUUUUAAAUUGGGAAAAAUGUCAUUUCAUGACCACUUCUGGAAUUGUCUUGGGCCAUGUUGUGUCUUCAAAAGGAAUCAAAGUUGAUAAAGCCAAAGUUGAAGUCAUUUCAAAAUUACCCUCACCAAAGACAAUUAGAGAAGUCCGUUCUUUUUUAGGACAUGCAAGAUUUUAUAGGAGGUUUAUAAAAGACUUUAGUGUCUUAUCUAGACCAAUUUGUAACCUUCUAAUAAAAGACACACAAUUUGAAUGGACUAAAGAUUGUCAACAAGCUUUUGAAAAAAUAACUACUCUUUUGACAUCAGCCCCAAUAAUGCAACCCCCUGAUUGGUCUUUACCUUUUGAGCUAAUGUGUGAUGCUAGUGAUUAUGUCGUUGGCGCUGUUCUGGGUCAAAGAAAGGAAUGUAAGUCCUUUGUCAUCUAUUAUGCAAGUAGAACUUUGAAUAGUGCUCAAAUGAAUUACACUACAACUGAGAAAGAACUAAUUGCUGUAAUAUUUGCAUUGGAUAAAUUUCGUUCGUAUUUAAUUGGUUCAUCCACUAUUGUUUAUUCUGAUCAUGCUGCUGUGAGAUAUUUAAUGUCAAAAUAGGAUGCCAAACCAAGGUUGAUACGAUGGAUUUUACUACUUCAAGAAUUUAACUUGACAAUCAAGGACAAAAAGGGCGCUGAAAAUGUUGUUGCAGAUCAUCUUUCGAGACUUACGAAUGAGUCUUCAAUUGAAACAAUACCCAUCAAUGAUUCUUUCAUUGAUGAAUUUUUAUUUUCUAGAAAAAAAAUGGUUUGGUAUGCUAAUAUUGUUAAUUAUCUUGCAACAGGUGAAAUGCCAUGUGGCUGGAGUUCCCAAGACAAGAGGAAAUUCUUUACAGAAGUGAGAAACGUUUACUGGGAUGAUCCAUACCUGUUCAAAUACUGCUUCAAUCAAAAUUUUUGAAGAUGCAUACCAGACGACGAGGUAAGUAGGGUCAUUCAAUUUUGUCAUUCUGAAGCAUGCGGUGGCCAUUUUUCUUCAAAAAAGACAGCUGCAAAAAUAUUGCAGUGUGGAUUUUAUUGGCCUACAUUAUUAAAAGAUUCACAUACAUUCUAUAAAAUGUGUAAGAAUUGUCAAAUGGUAGGGUCUAAUUCAAAGCGAAACAUGAUGCCUUUAAACCCCAUCCUUGUCAUUGAAAUAUUUGAUUGUUGGGGAAUUGAUUUUAUGGGCCUUUUUCCAUCAUCAUUUGGAUUUGUAUACAUUUUGGUUGCUGUUGAUUAUAUUUUAAAAUGGAUCGAGGCGAUUCCUUGUCGGUACAAUGAUCACAAGAUUGUGAUCCACUUUUUAAAAGAAAAUAUUUUAAGCAGAUUUGGAAUACCUCGAGCCAUUAUUAGUGAUGGAGGUAAGCAUUUUUGUAAUAAGCCAUUUGAGUCCUUAAUGAAGAAAUAUGGAAUUACACAUAAGGUUGCUACCCCUUAUCACCCUCAAACAAGUGGUCAAGUUGAAUUAGCAAAUAGGAGAUAAAACAAAUUUUAGAAAAGACAGUUAAUCCAAACCGUAAAGAUUGAUCUCUUCGACUAAUUGAUGCACUUUGGGCAUAUUGUAUUGCUUUUAAAACAUCUUUAGGAAUGUCACCCUAUUGGCUUGUUUAUGGAAAAUCUUGCCAUUUACCAGUAGAACUUGAACAUAAAUCAUUUUGGGCCAUUAAAGCUUUUAAUUCAAAUCUUGAUGAUGCUGGCAAUGUGCGUAAAUUGCAAAUAAAUGAACUUGAGGAAUUAAGGAAUGAUGCAUAUGAGAAUUCCAGAAUUAGUAGGGCAAGAACCAAAUUUUUUCAUGACAAAAGAAUUUUUCGAAAAACAUUUGAAAUUAGUCAAAAAGUGUUGCUUUAUAAUUCUCGUCUUCAUUUAUUUCCAGGGAAGUUAAAGUCAAAGUGGAAUGGUCCAUUUGUUGUAAAAAAUGUGUAUCUAUAUGGAGCCGUAGAAAUUGAGAAUUCAAAUGAUGGUGUCACAUUUAAAGUUAAUGGCCAAAUAUUGAAACCAUAUCUAGAAUACCAACCAUGUGAAGUAGAUACCAAAAUCAAUUUGAGUGACCCACCAAAAUUUUGAUUAAGCCUUUUCAUUUUAACGUUUUGUGAAUUUGAUUUACUGUUACUUUAUCGUUUGAAUUGUUUGAUUUUUUUUCUUUUUUCUUUUCCCUAUGUCUUGAAUGGAGUGCAUUGCAUUGUCUUUAAUUGUGUGUUGUUUGAACAUUGUGAUUUAGCUCACCAAACUUUUAUACUUGUCAUGAGUACCUCCAUGAGGAAUUUCCUUUUCGAUCAUCUUAAAACGCUUUUACAUGUAAAAUUUCACUUGAGGAAAUUACUCCGAUUUUGUAAAUCACAUCCCAUUUGGGAUCUACAACCACCGAGUUAGUAUCUCACGUGAAAGAUCUAGAAAGACAACUCAAGGAAAUAGAGGAUGGUAUUUAUAAUCUGCAAUUGGAACUGGAGGUAAAUUCAAUAAAACGACGAAUGUGAGUUAUAUUCCUUGUGUAUUUUUGUUUUAUUUUGUUGUUUUUCUUCACUUUUGAUUUGAUUUUGCAGAUUUGAUUCGUUUUGUUUUUAUUCACUCUCCCGUAUAAAUGGCGGAUAACGGUACUCCGUGACUUUUUAAGUCGGUAUUCUCAGUUUCCCACAAUAACUGAAACCUCAAUGUCAAGCAUGGAAGAAAUACAACGAAAAUUACAUCAACAUUUUCCUUCUCUCCCUCAAAAUGCUCUUAAAAAGAUUUACAAAGCUCGUUUUGAACGAUUGCAUUUGUUAAUGAUCAAUGGGAUUCCUGCUGACAUUCACUGGUUAAUUGAAGCAAAGGUCCGAUUGGCAGGUGAGUUUUCUGAUCCAUUCAUUUCCUACAUGCCUGGUUUUGGUAAAAGUACAUUUGCUAAGAAAAGAAGAGCUAAGCGACUUGGCUCUGAAUGUUCUCACUGUGUAAGACUUGCUUGCAAAAAGCCACGUUGUAAAGAUUUAGGAAUGGUUUCUGUAAAUUAUGAAGAUAAAAUCAAAUUCGUUAAGGAUGGCAUGAGUAAAGAAUCAUUGGAUGAUAUCUUACGAUCUCUUGAGACGCAUCCGAGCGGAUAUGUUCAAUGUGAAAUUCAAAAUUUGUGAAAGUUGUUCCAAAAGGAAAGUGCACAGUUUAGUCUUGGGAAUCUGACUCUAAAAGACCAUGUUUGCCAGUUUAUAAGAAAACUUGUUGGGAAGCCUAUCCUCGACCCAUAGAGGGCGUUCAAGCCAUUACUGGACGUAAAACCAAAGGAAGAUGUUAGCCACAAUCACAAUUAUCAGCAAAUAUCCUUUUAUUUUACUGUUCUUUUAUUUUUUACAUUAUUAUUAUUAUUGUGUUUUUUUAAUCUAAUUAUUGUUUGCUUUUUCUUUUCACUGUUUGCUUUUGAAUUAUUAAGCUAAAAGCUUCACGCGUCAGUUGACAAACACCCCACCCUAUUUACAGAUGUAUAUCAUUAUGUCCGUCACCAAGAUCUUUAAAUAGGAACUUCUUUUCAAGCACUCACAAAUUGUUUCUUUUUAGAAUUUUUGUAAUGGCAGCAACUUCAAGCAGACAACUAAAGAACAUUUGUGUGCUUUCUGGGUUUCGCUAUGGAAAGUAUAAGGAGUUCGUUCAGGCAGUCAUAGAUCUUGGUCGUGCUAUAGUAAAGAGGAAACUACAUCUUGUAUAUGGAGGAGGUGACCGAGGGUUAUCAAAGCUUGUCUCUGAAGCUACUUUCGUUCGAGGAAGCCAAGUGCUAGGCAUCAUUCCAAAAGCCUUAAAACCUUUAGGAUGCCUACCAGACUCACCAACUGGAGAAGAGUUAGUUGUCUUAGGUAUGCAAGAAAUAAUAUCCGAAAUGUUAAAUCAUGCUGACGCUUUCAUUUUCUUGCCAGGAGAUCUUGCAACUUUAGAGACGCUAAUUAUAUUUGCUUCUUGGGCCCAUUUGAAUAUUCAUCAAAAACCCAUCGUUUUGUUAAAUGUUUGAUAACUUUUAUGAUAGCUUAAUAAUAUUUCUUAAUCAUGCAAUAAAAAAUUACUUCAUUCCAUCCUCAACAAAAAAACUCUUUGUUUGUGCUCCUACUGCUAAUGAGUUACUUGAUCUUUUGCAAGCUUACAAACCAGAGCCAGAUCCCAUGACUUUGGCGUUGGAUUGGGCAACUGAUGACGAUGGCAAUAACUCUCGUAAAAAGUGUAAAUUAGAUUUAACUCUCCAUUUGUAAAUAUUUCCAGCAGUGGUCAGGUGAUAUCUUCUAAACUCUACUCAUUUCUUUAGACAUUGAGGACAAUGUCUCUUUCAGGUUGGGGGGAGGGAAUAGUUGAUAAUUGUGGAAUGUCUCAAUCCUAGUGAUGUUUUUACUAAUUUUUAUUAUAAAGACUAACUUUGGAUAAAAAUUUGAGUCGAAGAUGGCAGAAUAUAGAAUGUAGUGUCUCUAGAAACACAUCUUCUUAAGUUUAGUGUUUUGUUUCCAAAAAAAAAAUGUCUUCUAACGUUUUAUUUUCUAUUUUUUUUCUCUUUUUCUCUUAAUCAUCUCCCUUAAGUUUUUGCAAUCAGUCCCAAUUUCUUUUAGUGUUUCUUUAACAAAAAAAAAAAAGAGUUUUCUUUUUCAGUGUGAUCUUUUAACAUUGGAUAACAUGACGAUUUUCAAAUUUUGGUAUUUGUAUUAUCUUUGGCCUUGAGUUAUGAUACACUAUGUUUUCCCUUUUGCAUGUUGAAACGUAAAUUGAGAAAUUGGAUGAGUGAAAUUGAUUAAGCCAUUUGGAGGAAUGUACAUGUUAUGAAAAGACCAAGCGCGUUUUUGAGCCUAUUAUCCUUGGAGAGUAAGCUUGUUUAACUAUACAGCUUCACAAUUUAUUGUACAAGAUCUCAAUAUUUUCUAAAAAAAAGUAAAAAAAAAAAAAAGAAAGUUUGUGCAGCCGCAUCUAAAAGUCCAUUGAACUAGUGGAUAUGAAAUAUUAUAUAGAGCCCUAAAAGAUGACAAAAUGUCAUCUUUGAUUCAUUUGAGCCAUUCUAGCCAACCCUAUUAUAAAGAAUCUAUAGUUAACCCCUUUGACCCUUUGAAAAAAAAAAAAAACUUUUCCUUUGAUAACCUAUUAUCUUAUCUCACUCCAAUGUGGAGUAUCACCUUAUAUUUUAUGUUUUCCACCACCCAAUUAUGUUUGAAAAUAUGGAUGAUUAUGUAUUCCUAAUAAUGGUGCUAUAAAAAAAAAGAUGAUAUGUAUAGAUGAAUAAAUAAAAUAAAAGAAAAGAAAAAAAAAGAGAGUAAAAAAAAAUCCAAAAAAAGGCACCUUGUAAUCUCCAAAAAGACCCCUAUUUUUCAACAUAUAUUUUUGUUUUCCCCAUUACCUUCUUUUGUUAGCCAUAACCCUAACCUAAGUUACAUCCUAAUAAAAGUCCUUCUUGAUUUUAAGAAACUAUAGUGUGAAGUAAAGCUGGUGAUAUGGACUAAAAGAUGUGGUGAUGCAUAAAAAUAAAAAUAAAUUUUUCCAGUAAUUCCUUGGAUUUGAGAUCAUUUUAUUUCUAAACUGUGGGCAUUAUUUUUUUUUUUAUCUUGGUGAGAGCGUGUGAUAUUGUUUUAUUAUUCUCUCAAAUUUACCAUAUUUUUUAGAGUGACAAUUUAAUUUGGGGUAUAUCUUCUUUUGAGACAGGUACUCGUAAUCGUGAGAUUUUGGGGUUUGAUGUAUCAUUCUUAAAAGUGGCUUGAUUAAUGUAGCUCUGAUGAUUGAUCAUUUUACAGGCUUUUACUGAAUUAUUUUGUGUGGGUGUGAUUUUCUUUAGGCUGAAGAUAAUGCUUAUAUUUUUAUUUGAUUAUUUUCAUUGAUCCGAUGAAAGAAGUGAACACAAUUUUCAAAAAAAAAAUCAAUUUGGUUUUGAAAUUUCUCUAAAUUUUUAUCGCUUAAAUUGCUAGGGCCUAGCAAUAAGUUGAUUGGGGGGUGUGAUUGACACUAAAAAGUGUACAUUUAAUAAGGAUAAAAUUCUUAGUUUUUCAUUUAUUGUGUCGAUUAAUGCGUUCAUUAUUUUUAAAUUAUUUUAAUACUCCCCAAAUAUAUUUUAAGUUAAAUUAAUUCGCAAUUUGUUAAUUUUUAUCUUGUAAAUAUUUUUCAUGAAUAAAGAUGAAAUUAGAAUUGAAAGCGGGAAUAGAGAAGAACUACUGGAACACAAAUUGAAGAGAUGUAAUAAUAAAUAAAAAAUAAAAUAAAAUAAAGAACAAAAGCAUGUUGGUGAUGGUCAGGAGGCCAUCACGCCUCCUGACCAUCACACAAUUCAAUAUGUAUAUAUAAUAUAAAAACAAAAUAAAAUAUUAAUAUUAAUAAAAUAACAAAAGAUGAUUCCCUUGCCUAUAAAAGGCAAGGGGAUGCAAGCGAUGAGGGGGCGGGAGCCGAGAGCCAGAAGCUAGUAGAGCUAUUUUUGAUAAGCGUAAGCCGAGAGAGAAUAAAGUGCAGUCUUUUCUUGUUUCCUUUUGUAAUCAACUUUCUUGUAACGUUUUCAAAAGUUUAUCAAAUAAAUAGAGUGUUGUGUUUUCUUUCAAUAUGAGUGGCUAAUUUUAUAAAGCUGAGGUGAAGGGUGAAGCUCAAUAUUUCAAACUAUUAAAUUUAUUAUUUUCUCAAAUGAGUUUAAAGUUUAUUUUAUUCUUUUCUAGUUAUUUUUAUGUCAUAUUAAUUUAUAAAUUUCUUUGGAUCUGUAUGGUAUUUUGACAUAAUGUCAACACAUUAAUAUAGUAUGACACAUUAGGUAUUUUAUUUCAUAUUUAUCCAUACACAUAAAAUUAAAUGAUAUAAUAAUUAACUGGUAAAAGUGAGACAAAAUAUAAAUGAGAGAGUAUUAAAAUUAUAGUUUGAAUACAGAGAGUGGAUCCCGAACCUUAGCGUAUUUUUAAAUUGAUUUCAAAUAAUUUCUUUUCCCCACAAUUAAUUUUCUUAGUUUUAAAUUGACUACUAGAUUUAAAAUUCCCUGUGGUUCGACCCCGGUCUCACCGGGUUAUAUUAUAACUAGACACUCUUAUACUUGGGAGUAAUACACUUUUGAGUCGUGUCAUAUACUAAUGGAUUUGGUCCAUAACAAUGGGUUCCAAUGGAUGGAUCUUGUAGCACUUGCCAAUGAAGCCCUAUUGAUUAGUAAUACAUAAAAAAAAUCAAUUAUAGACACUAAUACAUUUAAAUUUGCUCUUCAUAGACAAACUUGGGAUUUGUAAUCCUAAGUAAGAUCGGUACAAGAUCAUGGGAUCAUUUUCUAUCGGAUAGGGAGGGCUAUUGUACAAAAUGUACUUCUAAGUAAUUUCCCCAUAGAUCCUAUAUCUAUCUAUAUAAAGAAGAAAUCAUGUAAUGAAGGGGAUUCUUAUUUGUACAAAUGGUACUUUGAAUUUAGAACGAGCAUGAAGAAAUUAACGGUACUUCUUUAUAUUUUGAGUUGCUCUACUAGAUCAGUCGCUCAAGACCUUUGGUAUUUACCUAAACCCAAUGAAAAAAUGAGAUCACUUCUUCUAAUGUUGCUAAGAAUGAUUUUCAUCUAGUCUAUGACCUAUUAGAAGUAGAAGGUGCCCUAAUGAGAUCCUCACAGAUAGAAAAAGAUUGCAGUCGAUUUGAGAAUAAUCAUGUGACAUUGCAAAUCGGAAUUUGAAGAGGAGGAAGGAGAAAGAGUCCUCGACUCACAACAUACAAAGGAGGAUUUAUUUAAUCACAUAGUCUAGGCUCCUAGAAUAUGGCGCCCUUAGGGCAUUCUAUUUGAUCGUGUCGAAAGGCCCAAUGAACUAGGAUUUCCCUAUCAUGCCAAGUCAUUUUGGGGCAAGCAGAUCAUUUAUGAUGAAAAUGAUAAACUUCAAGAGAAUGAUUUGGAGUUCUUACAGAGUAAAAACAUGAGUAUCAUACAAGAGAUAGAUCUUCCAACGAAUAAGGCUUUUUUCAAAUAAGCCAAUUCAUUUAGGAACCUACAGAUCCACUCUUUUUCCUAUUCAAAGAUCAGCCCCUUGUCUUUGUGUUUUCACACCAAAGAUUCUUUGCAGAUGAAAAAAAUGUAAAAGAGGCUUCUCACUUCCCAACUAGAUCCUUCUACAUCUAUUGAUAAGCACUAGUUUAUCAAGAAUACACAAGAAAAGUAAUUCGAAUUGUUGAUUCAUCGCCAAAGAUCGCUUAAAACCAAUAGUUCAUUAUCUAAUGGAAUUUUUAUUGUAAUACUCCAUCUAAGAGUUAUUAAUAUUUAUCAAAUCUUCUCAGCUGGUGAGUAUGACGGUUACAGCAACUGGUGGUGAUGUUGGCUAGACUGUAAAGAAAGUGGUGGUGGGCAAUGGCGACUAGGGUUUUAAAUUUGGGUUUUUCUUUUUUGUUUUUUUCCCUCAGUGAUGGAUUUGGUGGCAAUGGAUAUGGAUAGCUAAGAAAGUUGUCAAUUGGUACAGAACUACUCCGAUGCCGACUAACAUAGUGGGGUGGGGGAGGUAGAACUGAUAAGAUAAAUAAUAUUAGAUAUCAUUCUAAUACUACUCCAAACCAAUGCAAUUAGGUUACAUUCUAAUCGAAAUGAUUAAAUGUUGCUUUAAUCCAAACUAGGCAAUGAGAUUUUUUAAUAAGGGAGAGUAGACGACGCUCUAAUCCAAACAACUUUAUAAUACAAAUUUUUAUAGAUAAUCUCAAAAGAAAUUAUAAAAGAGGGGUUUUUACUAAUUGAUCAAAGGUUUAAAUUAUAAUAAUAAGACCUUUCUAUUAAUAAUAUAGUAGAUUUAUUUUUCUAAGUUAAUUUAAAGAGGAAACUAAAUCACAAUUAUAAUAAAAAUGAAAGAAUAAGACAAAUAUUAACUCUAAUUAAAAUAAAAAAUCAUAAAAUUAUUAAAAUUCUAAAAUCCUAACAUAACGUCCUACAUCAACCUCUCCUCGUGAUUUAAAUUAUUUUCACCCAUUGAUCUACACAUGCGUUAAGUGUCUAUAUUUAUUUUAUAAACAUUUUGUCCUUCAAAGAUAUCACUCUAUAUUUUCUAAAUGUAAUUUUAUCACUUUUUUCUAUAUCUAUAAAUUUAUCCAAAAAUUCAUCGACAACGCAUUAUACAGUGAUCUUUUGUACUUCAUGUCCACAUUUGUUUAUAUAAAUAUUAAGAUAAGUUGAAGUGAUACGCACUAUUAUCAAAAAAUCAACUCAUCAAUCAUGUAUAGCUUUUUUUUUCUCCUUUAUGAUGGGAAGAUUAUUUCAUCAAUUUUAUAAAAAUAUAUCAUAAAAUAUUUACGCAUAAAUAAUUGUGAAUUAUAACAAAUAAUAAAUUAUUUUUGUAAAUUUAUCUUUCCUUGAUUCAAAUAAAAAUCAAAAUAUUUAACUCCUUGAUUGAAAUUUGUAUGAAUUUUUUAGUUUGAUACGUAAUCAUUAACCUCAUUAUCAAACUCUUCAUGGCAACGCAUAUAUAUAAGAAGUUUGGAUAUUUUUUAGUUCAAUAUACUCCACAUAAGAUUAUUUCAGUAAUUUUGUUAGUCUCAUUGUCAUAAAAUUUUAGAUUUUCUGCCUGCAUUUAUUAGUGUGUGGACUAAAUAGUCAAACAAACAAAAGUAAUAAACAAUUAUACAUCAGGUGGGACUUUCAUAUAUUUUAAAAUUUUAGAUUUUCUACCCGCAUUUAUUUGUGUGUCGACUAAUAGUCAAACAAACAAAAGUAAUAACAAUUAUACAUAAUUAAGAAAUAGAACCGCACUUUGCGCGGUUUUGAAAAAAAAUUAGUAUUAUCCUUUUUUAUUAUUAUAUUUUUAAUGAUUUAUUCUAUUCAAUUAAAAGGCAAGACUUUAAAAAAAAUGAAAAAAAUAAAGUAAAGCUAAAACCAAAUUUUUUUUUAAUUAUUUAAAAUUGCAUUAGUUAAAUUAACACCACGGAAAUAAAAGUGCCAUAGAUGCACCUUGUCUAAGCCAAAAUCUUGGAAACUUGAGGAUGAUAUAUCACCAUGAGGCCACCUGGAGAAGGAGCAGAAGAUGCAUCACAAUAGCCUCUCAGUAUGUUCCCUUCUUCGGCAGUGAAUCCAAGAGAGGUGAGCAUUGCAGGCCAGCAAUUACGGGUGAUGAUAUCAAUAGCGCGGCAACAAUCAGGGUCAAUAUCAGCCUGAUUAUUAAAGAAGAAUAUAACAAUAUCAUUUGAACAUGAUUUCAACUCCAUUAAUGCGUUCCAGCAGUCCGCUACCUUCAAGUUUUAUUGCAAGAUCGUAGCCUGGUUUCAUGUUGUUGUUGAGGUGAUCAUUCCUGCUGGUUGCAUUUGCAAUAUUUGUCAUGAUUAGGCAAGUGAGGACCAAAAUGAAAAACACAUAUUUUAGAGCCAUCGCUAUUUUAUGUUCGUUUAUGUUGUGUUUAUGUUUACGUGGGAUAUCAUGUUUUUUGUUGCUAUUUGUAAAUUAAGGUGAGGCAGAGGAGAAGAGUGAUUAAAAGUGUUUAUAAAUUAUUGUUUAAUGCUUAAUUUAUGAUCAAUAAGGUUUCAAUUAGAAAAGAUAGUGGGUCUUUUGAUGAAUUGUUACAUAUUAAUUGUGUAAUAACAGUCAAAUUAAUUAUGAUAAGAUGAAAAGCCAAAUUUAAAAAAAAAUUUCUAUAUUUAUUAGAUAAUAAAGAAUAUAUAAAGAUGAGAAAUGGUGAUGUCACAUCAUCUCUUGUAGUCCUAAUUUUAUAUAAAUAUAUUUUCAGGGGAGAUUUUCAUAUAUUUUAAAACUCUUUAAGGGAAAAAAAUUACUUUUGUCAAACAAACAAGAGGGUACUGCUCGCUUUCCCGUCAAAAAAUUAUCGUAACAUUUCAGUUACCGCUUAUUAGUUUCUUUGAUUAAUAGUUAAUAAUCUCAUCUGCCGUACCUAGAAUAGAUCUUGAUGAAGCAAGAUCUAAUUUAACAAUCUGAAAAUGUUAAUGAAAAUUCAAAAUUUCAAAAACCAGUUAAUCCAGUUGGGAGAACGAUGACGUGGUAAGUCUGGUUACCACAGAACCUCUACUGCUUUACACACGUUUUCCUCUUUUAUUGAGGGAGAUUUAGGAAACCUCGUAAGGGAGUGAUUUGCUGAUUGCAACAAAAUCGACAAGUUUCUAUCUGAUUCUUAGUUGCUCAUAUUCUGGUUCUUUUGUUAGUUUUAGUCGAUUUCUUCCCAAGACUGCAGCCGAAUGACUACCAUUCUGUAAGGGCUUUCUAAGAUAAAGAAGUUCAUUCUGCGGUGAUGAGUUAGGACUUAGGUACAUGGAGACAGAAGAGAGAAAGCAACCGUCCCAGAAAAAAUGAAAACGAGAAAAUAUAAAUGCAGUCAAAGGUCAAUAAUAAUAAUAUUAGAAAAUUUAGCAAAGAAACCACGCUUCAUGUAAAACCAAUAGUAAUAAGAUUACAUGCAACACCUUUGAAAUUAAACUGAAGUAAUUUGAAUCAGCAAUUAGUAACUGAUCCAUUCUCAGAUUUAGUAAAAACACACGCCAUAAUAUAUUAUAUUAAACAAAUUAAAGUACACACCGAGGAAGAUAAAAGACAUCAAAGAAGGGGAAGUUUAUGGAGGAAGAAAAGCAAAGAACACUACUGAGAAGGGAAAGCAUCAGACAGGAACUCCUCAUCCUCCAUGAAAAUCUGCAGAUUCUUGGACUUCAUCAGGAUCUCAACCACUUCUUCAUUGAAUUCCACAAAGAAAGCCAACUUAAUCAGCUCAGAGAGUGAAUUGAUGUGAUCUUCUUUGUCCCACAACACUCCCUUCGAUAUGGUUUCAGCAAAUGGAAUUGCAUAUUCAAUGCGGUUUUUGUGCCCACCAGACCUGUUAACCUUAUGCGUGAAAAGCUUUCCGCUAUUUCUGUCCCAGCGUAUCAAUUGGCACGCUCUCGCAUCAACAAUUUCCCCUGAUGACAAUGAUAAACUGUACCUUACAGUUAUUGGCUCUGCAGUCUCCAAAAUGGUGAGAUUCAGGAGACACUUGACAGCAUCAUGCUUUUUUGCCGGUUCCAUUUGAAUUGAAGGAUCAGCCAAAAACCCCAGAAUGAGUUUCACCAGCCCUUUGCCAAUAUAGUAGUCCUUCUGAUUCACCUGCUUAUGUUCCACGCCUUCUCCUACAGACAAUUCUUCCUUCUGUACACAAUCUGAGAUUGUGCGAACCCCGAUUUUCCUAUAUAAGUCCAGCAACGUUGUCUGAGGUAAAGCAGGCAAGCUAGGCAGUGGAUACCAGACAAAUAGUGAAUGAGGAGAGGAUUUUUCGAUUACAUCCUUUAGCUGAAGGUCGUCAGCUAUGAAAACAUCACGCUUGUCAAACAACAAAAUACCAUCCAAGCCUGAAUUAACAGGCAGCUUCACCAAGCUGUCAGCCAUAAGUUUCUUUGAACUGCAUUGCUUCAAAACACAACCCCAAAAUGCACAACACUCAGCAUUUGACAGUUUGUAUUCUGAACUUUCCCAAACCUUCCAGAGCUUACAAUAAUCCUCAACCAAAGGAUUGGAUUUAACACCAAAAGCACUUGAGAAGAAGCUCAGUAACUUCCAGUCAUAGUGUUUAUCCAAUACUUUCAUCUGUGUGCUGAACAGACCAUCUUUGUCAUGUAAAACACAUUCUACCGGGCUUACCCACUGUCCACUUUGACUUUCCUCCGGAAUCCAAAUCCUUCUGGCAGCUUCACCAAGAGGCUGCCACUUCAACUGUGCCAAGACAUUGUAGAUUCGAACUAUGGUUGCAAAGUCAGUGCGGAAAUCGAGGUGGCUGGCAAGCAAUGGACAUCCCUUUUCUAAAUCAACGGUGACUCCAAUUGUAUUGAGCUCCUCCCGGUAGUAUUUGAUUUCUGAACCAUAAAAAUCUUCGUCAAGGAAAGGUCCAUCUGUCUGCUUCAAAAGAUUCAAUUCACACGUAGAAUCGAACAACAAGCACUGCUUCGGGCUACUAUAAACUUCACUGCCAUGUGUCCUAAACCACUUUUGUGAAACUUUCUCGUUGAAAGACCUGGUGAAGGUGUAAUUCUUCUCUCGCAAUAUCCUGAUGCAUUUGAGAAGAGAAAUUACAUUUGCACGAGUGACGUUGCAGGGAUUAAUAAAAAGACCAUCAGCGAUAAACUUCACACCAUCUUCAAAUGGUACGACAGUUCCCAUGUCCUCCAGCUCCUCCUCGAAUUCAUGAAUGGCCAUGCUGUAGAAGCGGUCACUGUCAUCAAUGAAGGGAAGCAGAGUAAUAGAAGCGAUAGACUUCCAAUCUGGACCAAAAAGAAUGAAAUCUCUUGGUGAUCUAUAAUCACCAAGGCGAGUCCGCAACCAUUUUGUCUCACGGAUACAGUUAAUAAAUUCAGCAGGAAACUUAAGAGAUGCUCCAUUCAGUUGUCUGUAACAUGAUAGAAACUUCAGGACAUGAUCUUUUGAAAUUGAAGAUGAGGAGGCUUGUUGCUUAAAAAGGCAAACAAAUGCUUUGACAGCCUUCUCAAAUUCAACAGCAACUCCUAACUGCUGCAACUCCCUUUUCGAGCAGACAAUGUUGCUUCCAUAGAAAUUUUGAUCGAUGAUUGGGAAACCCUUAAAAACCUCUAACAGGCAGCCCCAUUCAGGAUCGAACAAAAAACAUUCACCCGGAGACUUGUAACCCUCAUCUGUCUUCAAGCAUUUCGCAUUACCAAGUGCUUUAACAAGUCUGUCAGAAGAUUUGGAAUGGCGCAUGCAUGCCAGUACCAAAUGAACAGCUUCAGCUGUGAGACAAGCUGACGAUGAAGGCAGUUUCAAGUUGUCAAUUACAAGCUGAUAAUUUUGAUUGAAUUCCACCAUAACACCGAGCAGCUGUAAUUCCACUUUGUAACAAAGUAUUUCUUCACCAUAGUAAUUUUGAUCAAUGAAGGGAAUGCCACUUAUUUGAGAUGCAAUUCUCCACUCCUGAUCAUGUAGAACAGAUGUAACAGGUGACCUAUAACCGUGGGAUGUCUUCAGCCAACUUCCUUCUUUGAUGCUCUCAAUAAAGCUAUCUGGUGAAAGAAACUUUUCUCUUAGAAAUCUGAUAAAAUUAACUAUUGAAAACACAUUGUCUUUGGUAACACGGGAUGAUGCUGCCCGAGACAUAAGAUAUUUCCCAAUGAAUUCACAUGCUUCUCGAUAUUCAAACAUCACUCCAAUUGUCUUCAGCUCCUCCUUGUAAUUAAUUAUGCUUUCACCAUAAAAAUUCUGGUCAACCAGGGGAAUAUCAACAAGCAUUGAUCCAUUUUUCAAAAUGUUGCCCAACGAUGAAGUGAGGAAAAAAGAUUGCGAUGGCGGUCUAUAACCUGCAGGGGAUCCAUUCAUAGUGAUUUUCAGCCAGCUGGCUUCCUUUAUGCAUGCCAGAAACUUCGUAGGGAUGCCAAAUCCCCUGAACUUCAGGUUUUUAACCCAAUCCAAGAGAAAAAAUGUGUUUUGCUUGGUGAGUGGGGCAGACACAGCUGGAAUCUAGGCAUUAGGAGGGGAUAAAUGAGGAAUAUCAGAUGCUCCAACAUGAGACUUCAGGAACUCGAUGAUCUGCUCUCCUGUUGUCCUUUGCCCUGCAAAAUUUCCAGGACGCAAGUAGUCUUCCCCUAACUCUAUAUAGCCUUCUUGUCUCCAUGGGUUUGAAACAAUCAAUUCUGCCCAUUUGCUUCCAUUUGCUGGCACAAGGACACCAUUCCCAUUCGUGCUCACAGCCCCAUAAUUAUCCACAAGUGGCAUAAGCCCACACAAAAUUUCAACCUCCCGAGAUGACAAAUACCUCUUUGACAAUGAGUGAUAUAAGAAGUAAGCAAAGACUACAGCAAGCUUUCUGUCAUUUUGCAGAUGCUUAAUGAGAACAGCUGCAUAAUCAUACACAGUCACAGUAGCAACCUUCACCCAGUUUUUCAGCCAUUGCAAUACCACUUCCGUCUGAUAGCACAACAGAAGAGCAACAUAUGUGCUUUCUGGCAUAAAAGAACGAUUGGCAGCACAUCUGAAUUCCUUAUUACAAGCAGUCAACCAGGACAGCUGAGGUGACAAACAUACCAUGUCAUACUGGCGAUGCAUUAAUACUACACAAAGCCACAUUCCCAUCUACGUCAACAUAUUUGAUCAAGGGUAUACUGCCAAUGUUGGUAUUGCUGAAUUUGGAAGACCAAUUUUCAGCAAGGAAAACGAGUAGCUCACAAUAGACUUCUUCGGACACUCCCAAUACAAGAUUAGAACUCUGGAUGCAUUUUGCAUACCAUUCACUGUUGACUGGCGCCACACCCAAGAAAUUAAGUACCGGAUCAUACUCUUCUCUGUCAAAUGAGGAAUUCAGUACAUGUAGUCCAUGGUGGGACAGAUUUCUCAAGCUCACCCCUUCAACUUUUGCUUUCUUCAAAAUAUUCCAAAACCGCGGCAUUAGCUUUCCCACGUCACGGGGUUUGUGGAAGAAUUUCUACACCAUACAUGACUCACUAGGUACAAUAUCUUCUUCAAUAAGCUUUGCUCUAAUUGGUUCUCUUACAUCCUUAUUCAGCUGUGAAUAGGAAGAGCUGUCAAAACGAAACAUUGGCGGCAAACUAGAUACUGGAGCACCUUCUGUCAUCUUCACCAGUGAGAUUAAAGCAUUAACAAAAGCAGAGGAAACACAGCUGAGAAUUCCUUGGUUCCAUUUGUUAUCUAGCACUAUAUUCUCCCUGGAUGAUGCAAGGAGAAAAUCUGCUUGAAUUAUAAAUGGAAAAUUCGUAACCAUCUCCGUUGGAAGAAAUGCAUAGAUUCCAGGAGAGGUUGCUCCUCUCCGGAGACGCUCACCAUUUGGAAACGCCAAUAUGAUCACCCACUCCUCAACAUCCAUUCUCCUCUCCACUUUAUUUUCUUGUUUGACAGGAAAUCUCUGCCUCCACAUAUAGUAGUUGCAUUCUUUAUUAUUCCGGUCGCCAUUUACGGCAAGAUGGAGUGUGUAGGACUCAGCAUCAAUAUUCUUCCUUGUCACAAAAUUGGUCUCGCUGUUUAUAGCUAUUGCACUCACAGUAUUUCGAAGAGGAUCCUUGUUAUCUUCCCUGACUGAAAGGCGCUUUAUCUUUGAAAGGAAUAGCAGUACUUCAGGAUGGUUGAAAGCUGCUGCUUGACAGGUUUGACUUUAUCAGGUUUCAGAGGCAAAACAAAUGUUGUGGUUGGAAGAUCUUUAGAUCCUGAACCGCAUAAUUUCUGUAUGUCUGAGAGAGAUGGCUUCUCAUUGACCCAGUCAGGAACUAUGUAUCCGAGGUUGCAAUGUGGGCAGGGCUCUUCAGUAAACUUUAUCUGAUAGCCAUUGCUGAAUAUGCAAGGCUGAGCACUGAUCAGAAAUACACUUUUGAACCCGAUUCCUGUACGUAACAAGUAUAAUACAAAUAUUUGAGUUACCCAUAAACUAAAAGGCUAGCUAAUUACAUUUUGUUGUUUUGUGUAACUGAAAACUGAAAAUAUAAAAUCUGUUUCAAAUUGCAAAGCAACAAUCCUCUGAGUAAUACUGGCAACAUGAUUGCUUGAAAAUCAAUUGAUUAAGCAUUUGCAGGUUCGAAACAGAACAUACAAUAACAUAAGAAAGCAAACACAUAAAUAUGCAUGAGUAAAUGAAAAGAGAAAAAGGAGUGAUGUAAGGGACCUUUCUCGCCAAUAUAGCCACUUUUACGAUUGCCCUUCUUAGUAGAAUUGCCAACAUCGCAAAUGGACUCAAUAUUCUUGGCAGAAAAACCCUUCUCAUUGUUGAAUAUGAGCAAUGUGGCUGGGGCUCCUGUGCCUGUUAUAUCACGAGAUGUUAUUACAAACUCGAGUGAUGGAUCCACACCCUCCAGGUACUCAUUGUCUUCAGCAUUCUGUCAUGGAAAAAUAAACCACUUUGUUAACUUUCUAAAUCAUCAAUCGUUCAUGACCAAAAACAUUGUAGGAGUCAAUUUCAUGGGAAAAAUACCAGAUGGACCUAGAUUUGCUAAUCCAAAGCAUAUGAAAAAGAUGGAAACUUUAAUGAAGAGACACAUAAAGAUAAACACAAACACAAGAAUACAUCAUGACAGUGGCUCACAAACUUUAAUGAAGAGACACAUAAAGAUAAACUCAAACACAAGAAUACACUAUGACAGUGGCUCACAAACUCUAGGAUCAGUGGCUGCGAUGAUUCACACAAGAAUACAAAGCAUUUUAACAAACUGUUGGUAUAGUUUUUCUUAAUGUUCUAUGAGUCAUCGUGGAUAUCUCCAAUGAUCCGAGACUAUUCUUGCCAAUCAGGUAAACCAACACUACAUUAUGAUUUACAGCUUGAUGAUCACAACUGAUACUUCUAAAACAUUAAGGAAAUCAAAUUGUUCACUUCCCGCCAAAAAUCCUUCAUUGAGGCAUUUUGUCGAACACGAUUCCAGAACUAUCAAACACCUUUGCCAUUUAACUAGCUCCCUAUACAAAGAAGCAUAUUCAACUGAAUUUUACCUCUGUUUAAAUAUUAUGAUCAGUCUUAUCUGCGGAUAGCCAGGGGUCAAGGUUUGCACUUUUGAAACCCCAACCUUGAUUUUGGGUAAAAUUAACUCAGAAUCAGUAUUAUGCUGAAGUGUAUAAUUGUUCUAACAUGGAUUUUCUUUUUUCUUUUAUAUUGCUUUUCAUGAUUUGUAGGAUCAGUUGUAAAAUAAUAUUUUUUAUUUAUCUCGUAUUAAUUAAACUGGUUUGAUUAUUUUUAAAUUAAGUUUGUGAUCUCUUUCAAAUUGUAGUAAAGACAAUGUUUCCAACAACUUAUUUUAUUCAGCUCAUCCGAGUUUGAAUCCUAAGGAGACAGGUCAAAAAAUUGAUUUAAGUCUUGCCCACCUCUCAAUCUUUAAAAAAAAAAAAAAUCUAACUGCUUAAAAAUAAUGAUAAAAACAUUUUUUUACAAAAACUUAUUUUGAUACAAAAAAAAAGACACUAGAAUAAAUGGAAAAUAAAAUCUUACCAUCCAAUAAAACAAUAAAUAUGAAAAUUUCAAGCACCCUACGAUUUCUCAGAGAUGUAAAUAAAAACACUAAUAAUUAUGUGAUAAUAAAUCUAUUCAUAGACUACAAGAAAAAAUUAUUUUGUUGACGUUACAUAAACAUAACAUCAGUUUUGAUCGUAACACUAAAACUCAUCAUUUGUAUUUUAUAAUAAUAUUUUUAAAGGUUCCUUUCACCAAAAAAUAAUAAUAAUAAUAAUGGCUAUAUUCGAAUAAUAAAGAAAGUCACGACUAAAAAGCAUCUAACAAAUUUUGGUCGAGCAUGUUUUAAUAACAUGAAAGCAAAACGAGAUAACAUUUCGAACCCAUAUUUAUUAUAAAAGCUAGUUUUCACUCAAAAAGCGAUCGCUGUUAUUACUCAUAUGAAUGAUAGAUUCGAAAACAACAUUUUUGUUUGGGUUCGAAAACAACAUUUUUGUUUGGGGUGGAUAAAUUUUUAAUUAACUUUUUAACUCCGCCCUCCCUCAGAAUUUUAACUGGAGAGAUCAAUUAAUUAAAAAAUACUUAAAAACCGCUCGACUGGACCCUAGGGCAGACACAGAAUCAUACUAUCCAUGCAUGCACUUAUAUAUAAUAAACAUAUACAUGCAAUUAAAUGAGAACGAAAAUAAAUAAAGAUUAAUCGAAGAAGUACAUACCUGAAUGAGUUCCAUGAGAAAAUGGACAUCCUUAGUGUAAAGUUCAGCAGAAAGAAGCUCAACAGCUCGAUGAACCAUCUUUGUUAGAGGAUUUAUCACCUCACUCCCUAUAAAGAACAUCUUCCUUCUUAUCUCCUCAAUGUGUUCUUUUGGUGUCGCCAUAGCGUAUGCCAUGUUUUUUUUCAAAAGAGCAGCAGCUUGAUCAACAAAACACAGAAUGUAUGUUCUUGUUCUUGAUCUUGUGUGAAGAAAUGAACCUAGCUAGUGGUUUUAAAUACUGCACCAAUAUUUAUAUGCUAAGUAAUGAAACGAUCGUUAAUUUCAAAAUCCCAGCAAAGAAAAGAGAGAGCUACUUCUUAAUUCAAUUUGCGUGCAAUUCAACAAAAACAAGUGAAAGUAAGUAAAUGAGGCUGGUGCCAGCGGAGUGGAAGUUUACUCAUAAAAAGAAGCAAGGUUAACUUCUUGGAGAAGUAGAAAAAUUAACUGUUGAUAAAUAUGUUUUUAUUGAUUUUGUAAUUAUAGACCCAAAACUAAAGUCUUUCUUUGUACGGAAACAGAUGCCUUUGAACCCUGAUUCGACCACCAUUUUACAUUUAGUCGAGUCUUCGUCAAUGCUUUAUUCGGCUUUUGGCUUUUGUUUUUUAUUUAGCUUUUCUUUUUCCAAAGUGGUCUGGAAUUACAAUGGAAAAGCAAAGACUAGCUAGCUGUUGGGCUUGGGUUUUUGUUUUUAGGCUUUUACCUAAUCAUGCAUUUGGAAUUUAAAUAUAUAAAUUUGUUCGCAAAGCUCAAUUAUUUAGGAUCAAUUUGGGAUUGUUAUGCUGUAAUGAUGAAAUAGGUUGUAAAAUUAAAAAAAAAAUUAGGUUAAAAUUUUAAAAAAAUAUAUUAGGUGUUUGGCAGGUUGUAUUGUUAUGACAAACUGGGAAUUUCAAAAUAAGAGGAUAUGCGUCUAAUUAAUUUUGAUUAUUAGAGUAAUGUUUCACUAUACUUUUAAAUAGUUGUAUUUAGUUGGUAACUCAAGCUCAAAUCAUGGAGGAAAUAGAGGACUAAAAAAUUAAUUUGGGCUUUGCCAAGCACUCUACGCUUUGAAAAAAAAAAUGAAAGCUAAAAAAAUAGAAUAUUUUUCAUUUUUUUCUUUAUUUUUUUUUGUCUAAACCACGAGGUGGUCCUGAGUGGGCCCCAACUGUGGGAGGCACCUUUAAGCCUGUACCACAACUCAUACUAAUCCCCGCUCGCACUGAGUCAGCCCGUAAGGGAUAAAGUGCUGGCCAAAGUGGUGACUCCAUACAAGAGCGAGACUUGAACCCCUGACCUCUCUUAAGGAGUGAGAGUGCCGAACCACUCACACCAACCAACUUUGGUUAAUUUUUUCCAUUAUAAAUUGAUAUACUUCAGUUUGUCUCCUGACAUAUUUAAAAUCUCAACCCACCCUUCCUGACAAUUAAGAAAACAAAUAAUUGGAUGAACAAUUUCAUCUCUGCCGUCCUAAUUUACCAUCAUGUUUUGAACGGUGGAUGAAUUUGACAUUUUCAAUAAUUUGUGAAUAAAUUGAUGUCAAUUUAUGGGGAUAAACAAAAUUAACAUAAAGGAACUUAAAAAUCUUUAAUAUUAGAGAUGACCAAUGGGACGUGCCGUGUCGCCGGGCCUAUCAAAGUAACACCCAUGUGUGCUCGUGCCUGUGCUGUGCCGUGACCACUAUGUGUUUCAUGCCGUGCUUAAAUUUUUUUUGCUUAGGCCCAGCCCGGCACACAUGUCGUGCCCAUUCAUGUCGUGCCCACAUGUGUCGUGCCUAAAAAAAAAACCUACUAAGUUUUUUUUCUUUUCUUUUUAAUUUUUUAAGAGUGCAUACUAAGUUUUUAGUAUACUUUUUUUAAAUCUAUAUACUUUUCUUAGAUCUAUGCCUUUAUUCAAAUUUAAUAGAAUUGAAAAUUUAAAACUCAAGUCGACAUUUAAUAAUAAUAAAUUAAUAAUAGUAAGAAAAUGUAAUAUUAAUUACUAAGUUUGACCUUAUAGUAUUAGAAUUUUUUAAUAAUAAUAAUAAUAAUAAAAUAAAUUUUUCUUAAGGAUUAACUUAAUUGUUAACUUGAACUUACAUAGAGUCAUAAAUCGUUCACAAUAAUAUUAAUGUAUAUUUAUAAAAUUAUCAUAUUUAUAAUUUUAUUCAUUAAAAUCAUUAUAUCAAUUAUUUAUUUAAUAAAUAUAUAAAUUAAUUAUAGUUUUUUUCAACUAAGAAUUAAAUUAAUUUAAAAAAUUCAACUUCAAGUUAUUUAUAAAAUCAUAAAAUUUUAAGUUUACUUUCAUUAAAAAAAUAAAACGUGCUUAUCGCAGGCUUUUUCAUCGUGUCGUGCUUAGCCCAUCUCUAAUUGUGCCGUGCUUUUAAGGUCUAUGUGUCUAAAAUUCUAAGCUCAACUCGGCCCACGUGCAUGUCGUGCUGUGACUCGUGCCCCAUCGAAAUGUGCUCGUAUCGUGCCGUGUUGUACGGACACUUACCGUGCCCGUGCCACGUGCCAUUCGACCCAUUGCCCAUCUCUAUUCAAUAUAUAAUUUUUAUCAAUGAUCGUUUUGAUUUUUACUUUUUUCCUCAUCAACUCAGUUGUUUGGAAUAUUUUUAAGGGACGCAGUCAAUAUUAUUGACAUAAUCAAAUUUUAAGUUGUAGUUAGUUCACACGAUGUCUCUCAGCAUUAUGUUACUCUUACUUAGGGAAGAAGAAAACUUUACAUUAUUGGAGGAGACAGAGAAAAAGGAGCUAGUGUUUUAACUACUUUGUGAAUAGUGAAACAUUUGCAUUAUUGUACGAAAAUUCCAAAGGUAGAUUCCAAUUCCAACGCCGAUUGUAUGGCUAACAUAAGUAUUAAUAACAUCAAGGAUUAUAAAAUUUGAGUUACCAUAAAUAUGAUAGUUUUUUAAGCAUUAAUAAUUUAAUAUCGUUAAUAAGUAAUAUGUUGUGAUAGUUCAUCAAGUUCCUGCUUAAAUAUAAGAUUUUGUUAAUAAUAAAAUCCACAAGCCCCUAUAAGAAGUUGAGACGUGUACUAAAGUGUGCAAAAUGUUGAUGCUGAAAUCUGGUCACCCUUUGACCGACCAGAUUGGUUCACCAACGCUUGUGUUGACAAAGGAAUAUAGGCUGCAAUCCACCAGCUUCAGCAAUUUCCCGAGCUCCUGGGACCCAAAUCACCCUUCUUCUUCCUUCCAGGCUUGCGUUCACAUAAACAAAUCAGAGACGCCAGUGGUUUUUCUAGCGUAAACCCUCCGAUGCUUAAGUUAGUACAAGGUGUUUACGGGAAAACUGUAUGAUUUGUGUUGUACAGAUUAGUUGCAAUAUUCUCAAUACAAAAUGUAUCAAGGAUUCGGAUAUAAGAAUUUCUGAUAUUAAUUUGGCAGAGUUUCCCAUUUUCUCUCAAUUUUCGUCUCCCUUUUUUCAUCAAUUUCUUGGCCUUUUAUAGGCAUUCAUCCCAUGUUUUCUCAGUAUUCUUUAUGCCCCUCAUUUUCGGGUGAUGACGGACCUUCAUGGGUCUCCAACCACUGAAUCGUGGGUAAACGUGAGGCGUCAUGUUCUCUCCAGCGGUUUGGGGCAUGGUGAAACUGUCGUGAGUUCGUGAGAUCGUGCCUUCUUUCUCUGAGUGAUGAAUACCGGGUCGGUAUGUACCUCUGGUCGAUACUCGUUUCUAGUCGGCAUGUUCAUACAAGAUGUAUUAUUAGGAAUCUACUCGUGUCAGUCAGCUGGGGAGAUUCGCCCUAGGGUGAGGGAUGAGGAGAUAGCUGAGCUGGUACUUUUCAUUACUCAACACCAGUCCCCCAGUUUCUGGUCUUGCGAGUGAAACGAGUUGAGACUAGAGACUAAGAAUUGAAUCUGGCCACCCUCGGGUAGCAUCCUCCUAGUCUUUGUUUUAUUGUGAUGGACUCGAGGUGAUGUUUUAUGCUUAGAGAGUUUUUGGCCUGGGUAUGGGCAUUCGUGAGCGUAUCCAUUACGCAGCCGGGCUGACAUCCCAUCAUGUCGUCUUAAUGGCCAAUGACGUGGCACUUUCUGCCUUCUAUAUUUGAAAUUUGAAACGGCGACUUAUCUGUCCUUGAUAUGCGGUGAUUAAACUGACACCCGCGUAACUUAAACGUCUCUAUUCCCUAUUUCGUCUUAAAUCCCUAAUUUGAGAGUUUUAUUACGUUUCGUUUUCUAUAAUUUUUCCAUAAGCCUAUUCCUUCUCUUGACUCAAAACGUGUUUUCUACGCGACUUCCUUUUGCCUGGCCCUUUCUCCAUCACAGUAACGCCACUAGUGCCGAUCUAUUCCAGGUAUCGCCUUUAAUUCCUUCUCUGGUUGUUGUUUGGGUUCUGUAUUGUUCUUUUGUACCAAUAUACUUGGAUUUACUGUACUUUUCCUUUUAAGAUUUCACACUGUCAAGACGAAGGGGAAAAUUAAUUGUAGAUGAGAGUGAUGAAGAGAUAGAUUCAUACCCCAACUUGUUAAGACCUACUGACCCCCAACACCCUUGUAGCAGCGUAGGUCCCUCCUAUAAUAGGGAUACCCUUGAGUACCCCCGUCCAGAGACAAUUUUGCCUUCUUCUGAUUAUGAACCUACGGGGAACCAUGGUGGACAGGCAUCAGGUUCUGGUGAGAAUCACGGUUCUGAGAGGGUUAGGGUCCCUGAGCAAGAAGGUGAUGACGAGGAGAGUAGUUCUGAGCCGAGCCAACCUUCUAAGAAAAGAAACCUUGGUCAUAAGAUGGAGGCGGAUUCUUACCCCAUCGACUACCUCAAGUGUGCCACCACCCAUACCGACCUGCUCAAGCUGAGAAGUCUUUAUAAUAUCAUUGAGGAUGUCCUCCUCGCCAUCCUCGGGAAAGGUGAUGUUCAUAGUCGGCCUCCUAAGGGUUAUGUGACUCUGCAUCUGGAUAGCUUCAACCUAGGGGCUCGGUUGCCUCUUCAACCUUAUUUUGCCAGGAUACUUGGUGGCAUGCAUCUGGCUCCUGGUCAGCUACACCCAAACGGGUGGAGGGUUCUUUCGACCCUAUUUAUAUUGUGCGAAAGGUGCGAGCUCAGGGAGCCUUCCCUCGUGGAAGUAAACUAUUUGUAUCAGUUGAGGAGCAGUCCUAAAGAAGUAGGCUGGUAUUACUUCAUGUCGAGCUCUGCAAAGAGGAAACCAUUCGUCGGCUGUCAUUUCUCAUGUAAAAAUUAGAAAAACAAGUUCUUCUUUGCUGGGGGGAAUUGGUGCCCAGCGAUCCAUUCGCUUGGUGGUGAUAUUCACCUUCCAACGUGAUUUGUCACCCCAGGUCGUUUAUUUUUCUUUAUGCUUCACGUCCCUGGUCGUCACUUAAUUGUUUCUUUAACCUUGCCUAUGUUUUCAGACUCGUGGGGCCUUAUCAAACAACUCGAAGACGUCCCGCUACUCAAGGUCGAAACCGCUCUAGUGAACGCCUCCCACUGUCAAGAUCUCUUGUCACCAACAAAUCUCCUCGGAUCCGGUCUUGUGGACGUUGUUGCCGGGAUGCACAACAAGAUCCUUAGUGCCAUGUCAAGGAAGUGUGCUCGAGGGUCAGGUGAUUCCAGAAACGCCCCUACUCCUCAGAAGAAAAAUAGUGUUGGCCCUUCCAAAACUCUUGUUCCUGCUCUGCCCCCUCCUCCACCUCAAAAGAAUGACGGAGAGAAGUUUUGUGACAAGAGCCCUGAGGUCAGCACUCAAUCCAGAGAUCGGGCUUUGCCGCUUCCACCUCGGGACUAGAGCGAUUAUUUAUCCCUGUACCAGAGGGAUUAUGUCAAAUCAGUGGGGCCCAAAAUGGUUAAAGACAUUAAGAGCAUGAGUCUUGGCGAGCUGGGGGGCUCUGUCCAGAGGGUCUCUUUUAAGCUUACCAUUUUGGUUUCCUACUACAAGAACAGGUCUAUGCACCAUGAGAGGAAGCUUCAAGCGGAGAAUCAGGACCUGAAGAAAGAGGCUGAAUCCGCUGAUCGGUCGAAGGAAACGAUGCUCGAUCUGCAUAUGCAGGUUCUGGACCUGGAGGAGAAGGUUUCUAUUGCUGAGUCCAAGUCUUCUAAGCUCGAGACCGAGUUUGGUAACUUGAAGUCUGAUCUCGAGGCUACACAAAACGAGCGAGACACUUUGAGGACGGCCUACGAGGAGCAAGUCAAGCCCUUAAACGAGCAGAUAGUUGAGCUGAAAGGUAAAUCUGCCGAUGUGGACGACCGACUAGAUGCAGAGUAUGAUUGUGGGCUCGCCUUUUGCUAUAAGUGCAUCAUGUUCGUGCUCAAGAAAGAAUAGCCAGAGCUAAAUAUGAGCAAGCUGGAGGCAGGAGUGCAAGAGUACAUGGCAGAGUAAGGCCAGGGGAGUAAGGACCAGAGGGACUAGGAUCAGGUCAAGGCUCCUUCCAGUGGGGAGCAGGAGAAUGAGGCAGGAGACUCAUCUUUGGGUGCAGGUCAGGAGUCAGCACCUGCUCCUCCAGAAGUUGCUGGUCCCUCUCUGUCUGAGAUUGCAGAUCCUUCUUCCGCUGAAGCUGCCGAGCCUCAUAAUCCAUGAAUUUUGCUCUUCAUGUAAAUCAUAAAUUUUCUUUUUUAUUUAUGACUAUCAGAACUUUUAUAAACUUGUAGCAUUUUUCUCAUUGUUUUUUGUUAAAUUUUUCUUUGUGGAUUACCUUGGAAAGCAAUUUUGGAAACUGGGUUUGCUUGUCCUUAGGCUAUUCUGUGCUUUAGAAAACGUGGUAGAUAUUGUCUGCUCGUCCCUAAGCGACGAAGUUGGGAUAGGCACAUAUUUGCCUUAACAAAUUUUAUAUGAUUUGCCUGCUGGUCCUUCAGACGACCGAGCAGGAAUAUGCAUAUAUUUUGCCUUAGCUAAUUUUAUAAAAUAUGCCUGCUGGUCUUUUAUGUGACCGAGCAGGAAUAGACACUCUUAUGCCUUAGCGAAUUUUGUAAAAUAUGCCUGCUGGUCCUUUAGGCGGCUGAGCAGGAGUAGGCACUCUUUUGCCUUAGCGAAUUUUAUAAAAUAUACUUGUUGGUCCUUUAGGCGGCUGAGCAGGAGUAGGCACUCUUUUGCCUUAGCGAAUUUUGUAAAAUAUGCCUGCUGGUCCUUUAGGUGAUCGAGCAGAAGCAGACACUCUUUUGCUUUAGCAAAUUUUAUAAAAUAUGCAUGCUGGUCCUUUAGGCGACUGAGCAGGAGUAGGCACAUGUUUGCCUUUACGAAUUUUGUAGAAUUUGCCUGCUGGUCCUUUAUUCAACCAAGCAGGAAUAAGCACAUGGUUGCCUUAGUAAAAUUUUGUAGAGUUUGUCUGCUGGUCCAUUAGACGAUCGAGCAGGAAUAGACACAUGGUUGCCUUAGUAAAUUUUUUCUAACAAGAGAGUUAUGAGCUGAAUUCAUCUCUAUUGAAUUUUUUGUGGAUUACAACAGGCAAAAUACAUGCGCGUGCCAUAAUUCCAUAAUACAUUUAGCAGAAAUAACUUAGCAAAAGGAAACUUGAUAAAGUACUUUGCUUACUAGAAAUAUUUCUUCAAGUGCUCAGCGUUCCAUGACUUCUUUAUAUCUCGUCCAUCUGGAUAAGCCAGCUUAUAGGCUCCUGGGCCAGUUGUUCGUACCACUUUGUAUGGGCCUUCCCAGUUCGGGCCAAGGACGUCUUGGUUAGGAUCUCUGGUGUUCUGGUUUACCUUUCUAAGCACCCAAUCCCCAGCUCGAAAUUGCCUUACGCGUGCAUUUUGGUUGUAGUAGCGCAUGACCCUUUGCUGACACUGAGCUACCUUCUGCGAGGCUUCCUCUCUUUUCUCCUCUAGCAGAUCUGGGCUUAUACACAUCUGCUCGGCAUUCUGUUCCUCGUUGAAAUACUCUGUCCGAUGCAUUCCCACCCCAAUUUCCGCUGGGAUUAUUGCCAUAUGACCGAAAGUUAAGGCAAACGGGGUUUCCCCCAUGGCGGUUUUGUGGGUUGUCCGGUAGGCCCAUAAUACUCCUGGUAAUUCGUCAACCCAAGCUCCCUUCUUCUCUCCCAGCUUGGUUUUCAGGAGCUUCCUUAUAACUUUGUUGGCUGCCUCUACCUGCCCAUUUACCUGGGGAUGUGCCGGGGUACAAAACUUCAAAUCUACGCCCAAGUUUUGGCAAAACUCUCUAAAAUUGUGGUUGUCAAAUUGCCUCACAUUAUCUAUUAUGAUGGCAUAGGGAAUUUUGUAUCUGCAAAUGAUGUUCUUCCAAACAAAACCAGUUGUCUUCUUCUCCGUGAUUUGACUAAGGGCUUCCACUUCCACCCAUUUUGUGAAAUAAUCUAUAGCCACAAUUGUAUGUGUCGCAGCUCCUCGGCAUUUAGGCAAUGGACCAAUCAGGUCAAUCCCCCACUAGGCAAAAGGCCAAGGGGAUGACAUAGCAGUUAAUUUCUCUAGGGGCUGAGCAGGGAUAUCUAAGAAACUUUGGCAGGCUUUACAACUUUUGGUCAUCUCCUUCGCAUCCUGGUGCAUAGUCGGCCAAAAAUAUCCCUGUCGUAGCACUUUGAACGCUAAAGUCCUUACUCCCGAAUAAUUGCCGCAUAUUCCCUCAUGUAUUUCUCUUAACACAUAAUCAGCUUCCUCGACGUCUAAGCAUCUCAACAGGGGCAAGGUGAACCCUCGGCGGUAAAGCACCCCAUCAAGCAUCGUAUACCUUGCUGCUCGACAUUUCAAUUUCCUUGCUUGCUUUCUAUCCUCUGGUAAAAUGCCGUCACGGAUGUACAAGAGAAUUGGAUCCAUCCAGGACCUUUCGGUGUCCACCUUAAUUACUUCUAUUUCCUUCCCUAUGCUUGGCGAAGUCCUUACUUAUAAUGGGACUGUCUUGGGCAACUUCGGAUUGGCAGUCGCUGCCAUUCUGGCCUACAUAUCUGCUCGGUAAUUUUCUGUCCUAACUAUCUGCUUUACUUCUACCUCUCGGAAGAGCUCAAUCAUCUGCUUUGCCUUCUUCAAAUAAAUCUCUAUCUUCUCUCCCCUUGCUUGAAAUUGCUGAUUGAGCUGAUUGCAGACCAGCUGGGAAUCUGCUUGGAUUUGCACCCUUUCCUCUUGUAGUGCGUGUGUCAACCCGAGCCCUGUGACGAAGGCUUCGUAUUCUGCCUGAUUAUUCGUGAGCUGAAAUUCAAACUUCACUGCGUAUGACACCUCGGCCCCUUCUGGGCUUCAUAUUACCCAUCUUUGUCGGCGUAAUGAUCUUUCUGUUGAAGAUUAUAUCAUUCAUUUCCGCACUCAGUGUCUUUGUCUCCAAACUCGCAUUUUGCUCCGUUUUAUUCAAUCCACUGUUCUUCCUAGAUCAGGACAUUUGGAUGAGGUUUCCCACAUGGACGUUGCUUUGAUUGAUUGUAUUCUUAGACGUCGUCCGGUUAACUUGGGCUAUACCAUCAUCCAAACCAUGUUGACCAUACCUGCCUUGAUUACCCGCUCCCUUCCAUAUGGUCACUUCAUUACCCGAAUCCUUAAAUAUUUUGAUGUACCGAUCCAAGAACCGUCAUGUAGACCGUCUAAGGGUAUCGGGGAUGACACUAUAUUUGGCUUAGGCUUUGAGUGGAAAAAUGACACUUGGGUCAAAUUUACUGAAAACAAUUUUACCUUUCUUGCUCCAAGUGAUGAUCGGCCACUUAAUGCUGUGGUUCCAGCCGAUCAGCUACCCGUUUUCUCACACUCAUUUCGGGGGCAACAUAGACGCCGAGAUCCUCCGGUGAUUGCUUCAACUCCUGGUGCCUCUGCAUCCGCUUCAUCACUUCCACAGCCUCCUACCUCUGAAGAGGUUACUCUUCAGCAGCUUAUGGAUGAGGUGAGGACACUCUCUAUGCGGCAGAUUGAGUUUCAGCGGCAGCAGCAUCAGUUCAUUCAUGGACAGCGCCUCAUCUUUGAGCACUUCAGCAUUCCAUAUCCUUAUCCUCCUCCAUCACCACCAUCCUCACCACCUCAGUAGUCUCUUAUGCUUUUAUUUGAACACACCUACAUAUCAUUUACUGCUUUAUGUCCUUUUAUUUUUGACUAUAUGGAUGGUUAUUAUGCUUUUGGAUUAUGUAUUUUUUUUUUUGAUGAUAUGGAUUUGUUUUGAUUGUUAGUUAUGGAUUAUAUGGAUUUCCUUAUGAUUAUGGAUAUUUUUGAACUAAUGUGCUUGUAUUGAGACUUUGAUGAUUAAUAGGGGGAGCUUUUAUUCUUUUUUAUGAUGAAGGGGGAGAAUAAUCUAAUAUGUGUUAUAAAAAUAUGCAUGUAUACAGGGGGAGUAUGCAUGUAUACAGGGGGAGUCUUUUAAAUAAUUUUUAAAUCAGUUUUUUAACCUUGCAUUGAUUAAGGGGGAGCUUUUCAUAAUUAGAUUAAAUUUUUAUAAUGUGUUUUGCCAUCAUAAAAAAUGGAGAGAUUGUUAGCCUAUAUGGCUAUAGAUAUUGAUUUUAAUGAUAACAAACCACAUGUGUUGAUUAAAUAAAGAUUUAUGAAUUGUGCUUUUAUAAUAAGAAAAUGAUGUUAUGGAAUUAAAGUAUUUUGGACUAAAAUGAAAGUAUUUUAAAACCUUUGAUAUUGUUUUAAAAUUUCAGAUUUGGACCUAUUUAAAAAUAUUUAAAUAUUUUGGGUCAUUCUAUAAUUUCACAUAGUUUGGGUGAAAUUAUAAUUUUAGAAAGUUUUGGGAUUGACAAAGCAUUAUUUAGAAAUUCUGAAAUUGGACCUAUUUGAAAGCUUUCAUAAUGUUUUGGGUCAUAAAUACAGUUUUAUAAAGUUUUGGGGUCAAACUAUAAUUUUGGAAAAUAUUUCACUGUAGCAGUUACUGUAUCAAGUGGCUAACUAGAUAAGGUAAGCGGCAAUCCAGAUUUUGGGCAGUAAGCUUUUGGAGCAUAAACGGCUAUUCGGAUAUCGUAAGCGGCAUGCCGGAUGUUUUGAAAUUUAAAUUUUUGUUGUAACGGUAACAUAAAAGCAGCUAAUCGGAUUCCGAAAGCGGCAAGCCGGUUAUCAUUAAAAAACACAUAACGGCUAGUUUUUGGGCUCAAACUAUAUAAACUCAAAUCCAAUUCACUUUCAUUCUCUCUAGCAAGCAGAAUAAAAAGCACACAACAUAUCUUGAGCUCUCAAUUCGCAAGUCAUUAUUCAUUGAAUCAUUGUUGUUCUUCAAUUUGUACAUCUACUCUUCAAGAGAGUUUUUGUUGUAACUUUCGUUUCUUCAUCUUAAUUGUGAGUGUUUGAGUGUGUGAGACACUUGAGUGAAGAGAUUGAGAGAUAAUCUCUUUGUUGUAAAGGUUCAUUGACACCUUGAAGUCAAUUGUAAACAUUUAAAGCCUUGAAAGGCUUGGAUAGUGAAAUCCUCAAGCUUGAAUCGCUUAGAGGCGUGGACGUAGGCGGGGAUUGCCGAACCACGUAAAAAUUUGUGUGUUUGUUUCUUUUCUCUCUUACUCAUUUGUUAUUGUGCUUUUAUUGAACUUAUUGCUUUCGGAUUUAUUAAGGCGUUAGAUUGGAUUGUUGUGUGGCUUUGUUAGGAUAAUUUUUAAAAUACCAAUUCACCCCCUCUCAGGUUGCACACUUGUAUUUCACAAUUUACCUAGCAACAUAGAGGACCCAAGAAGCGAAGGUAAAGAGGACCGCAAAAUGAUUAACUUAAGAUCUUGAAAGAAUAUUCAUAGUCCAGUUGGUGUACCAAAAAGAAGAGUUGAGUCCACUUUAAUCUGGAAAGAAACUCAAAUUAAAGAAGAACCACAAUCCUCCACUUCACAACAAAACAACCAAGCUACAACAUCUGUAGAAAAUGAUGAUCCAACACCAGUGGAUAGUAUUGCUACAGCACCAACCUAGAACAUGGUAAAAGAAAAGUAGUCUGCACAGACUGCUGUAGCAUAACAAUUUAGGCACCCACCACCAUUUCCUCAAAGGUUCCAGAGACAGUAACAAGAGAAGAAUUAUAGUAAAAUCUUGGGAAUAUUGAAACAACUACAUAUAGAUAUCCCUUUUAUGGAAGCUCUAGAGCAAAUGCCAAAUUAUGUGAAAUUUUUUAAGGACAUUUUGACAAAUAAAAGAAAACUUGGAGAAUUUGAAACAGUUGCUCUAACACAAGAGUGCAGUCGUAUGCUUCAGAAUAAGAUACCGCAGAAGAUGAAAGAUCCAGGAAGCUUCACAAUCUCAUCUUCCAUUGGCACUAAAUACAGUGGCAAAGCACUCUAUAAUCUGGGGCUAGCAUCAGUCUCAUGCCUUUAUAAGUUUUUAAGUAAUUGAGAGUUGGUGAAUGUAGAUCAACAACAGUGGCUUUACAACUUGCUGACAGAUCUCAUGCCUAUUUAGAAGGGAAGAUUGAAGAUGUAUUGGUAAAGGUGGAUAAAUUUAUUUUCCCAGUGGAUUUCAUAAUGUUAGACUUUGAGGCAGAUAAGGAAGUACCAAUCAUUUUACAUAGACCUUUUUUAGCCACGAGAAAGACUCUAAUUGAUGUUCAAAAAGGAGAAUUAACCAUAAGGGUGAAUGACCAACAAGUUACAUUCAAUGUGUUAGACGCUAUAAGGAAUCCUGAUGAGGUUGUAGAUUGUAAUUUUGUCAGUGCUGUGGAUUUUGUUGUAGUAGAGAGAUUAAACAGUUACUGCAGCAAAGAAGAAAUCAAGGGUGAAGCAUUUGAAAAACUUGAAUAUGAAUAUCAAGACCUUGAAACAGCUGACAUAGAAUUCAAGGUGAAAAGCUAGGUGAAAAGCAACCCUUUAUAAUUGACGAGCAAAUCCAACAAAAGGAAUUCCCUCCAGGCCAACAAGAAUUCAAGGUUAAUGGGCCGAGAGUGAAGCACUAUAUGGGACCUAAUAUGAACAGCCUAAAGAAGGAUAAGUUUUUUAAGAAUCUAUGUUGAGUAAGUAAGAAAGGUCAGGUUGAAUAACCUAAAAUCAAGCGCUAAUUGGGAGGCAACCCAAUAAGGGAAGUUGUUUCAAGUUUUUAAAGCAUUAAAUUUAGUUUUAAAAUUAUUUAUUUUUUCUUUUUGGUAUUUUAAGUGUGCAUCUAAUUUUUUUAUGUCUUUGUGUUAAAUUGCAGCAAAGUAGAUAUGUGUGUGUGUGUGUGUCUGUUUGUGUGUGUGGGGGGGGGGGGGGGGUAAAAAGAGCAGAAUGAAAUUGUUGUAGCAUCACUUAUAGCAUGACAUAUAACAGAAGAUUCUCAAAUAACAGAGGCAUUUAUUGCUUUUGUAGUAGGAACAGAUUGAUCAGAUUUUAUGAUAAAGAGCGUUUGAAAAGUGGAUCAAAGAGGAAGUGACCCUUUACAGCUUGUGCUACAGCAUUGCUUCCAACAACAAGAGAGUAACCCCUAGUAGCCAGUUUAUUUUAUUUAUUUUUCAUUUAGUUUUAUUUUAUUAUUCAUUCUUCAUUUCUUUUUAUUAUGCAUGUAUGAUUUGUUUUGUUUUGUUUUUGUGUGGUGAUUUGUUUUGUUUUGUUUUUGUGUGGUGAUUUGUUUUGUUUUGUUUUUGUGUGGUGAUUUGUUUUGUUUUGUUUUUGUGUGGUUGUGAGGAUACAACACCUCUCAAGUUUGGAGGAGGGGGGGCUGUGUUAUGGUGUAUUAUGUUUGUGAAUGCAUGUGUUCUUGUUGUGUAUUAUGUGAAUCUCUGUUAUCUAGUAUUUGUGCAUGGAUUGGAAAACCUAAUGAAGAUAAAUUGAGUGUUAUUCAAUAAUUAUAAUUGCCAAGUAAUGAUAGUUUAUAGAUGGAAGUUGAAAUUCUAUCCCAACACUUAAGCUUUGGUUGAGUUUUAUGAGAAUGUUGUAACAGAGCCAGGAAAACCAAAAAAGGGUAGAAAAUGCCUCAAGUUUGGGUGAAAUUUUUUUGUUGAACUGUGCUUGUUAUGAAAUAAAUUCUGCUCCAAUGACUUAAGUUGCUGAGUAACAAGGGCUGAGUACGCACCCUAUAUGCAGACUUGAAUCCAAAGGCAACAAGAGCUAUGAGCAUUGCUGUAACAACAAGAAAAAAAAGGGGUCAUCUAUCUAGGAUAUUGAAUAGCUAGGUUUAUUCAUGAGCCCCAUGUUCAGCCUUGAGUUAAAGAUGUUUAUAGACAAGACCAUGUUGUGAGCAUUGCUGCAGCAACUCUGAUAUGUGCAUUGGUUGAGUAAUUGGGUGUCAUCACCACAAGUGAUAGAUAUUUACAUUAAAAAUAAAUGAUACAUUGAAGAGAAUUCAAUUGAUUGACUGACAAAAAAUUUUUUUUGCUAUAACACAGUUUGAACUUGUUUAUGAUUUCAGCCCCCCACAUGUGAAUGUACUUAUGCUUUACCUUUGAGUUAUAUAAUGUUUGUGCAAUGCUGCAAUGCCUCUGAAAUUCAAUCAGGGUGACAAAUACACACUUUGGACAGAAUGAGGCCUAAGUCUAGAACUGAUCUGCUAUGAAAAUUUUGCAUGAGUAAGAGUAUGAUUUGAGAGUUUAAGAAUCCUUGCAAAUUUGAUGACAGAGCUAAGUAAGUUAGUUGUUGUAUGAUUUUCAGAUUGAAAUGUUAGUGUUGUUGUCAUUACUUGAGGAACAAGCAAUGGUUUAAGUUUAGGGGUGUAAUAACUCUAUGGAAUGAGAGUUAUCAUGGUACUUUUAGACUUGAAUCAACAAUACUUAGAGGGUAAAUGAUAUGUUUUUAUUGCAUUUUAGUUAUAUUUUGCAUAAAUAUCCAUUUUAGUUUAGUCUCAAUAAAUUUUGUUUGAUUUAGAAUUUUUUUUUUUGCUUAGAUCGUAUGCAUAAUUGUAUGUAACCGGAAGCUCAAAUUUCAAGGAAGGAAUGCUAAGCAAUAGGCUUACAAAAAUAAGGAAAGAACUUGGCUACAGAAGAAUUGAAACAAGUCUAGAAUAGUGCAGGUGCUGAAGCCAUUGUUGUAGCACUGUUGUUGUCGCAUCGUUACUAUAAUAAUUUUGGAGCAUUGAGAGAGAAGAUUUUACGUGAGAUACUUAGAAGAUUGCGAUCUGGAGUUUCCUAAAAUGAAAUAUGCGUGCCCUACACUUCUGGUUGCCCUAAUUAUAAGCUAUAAAAGAAGCACACACGCAAAUAAAAGAGGAGGGCCAUCACCCAAGGAGAAAAAUAGUAAAGAAACAAAAGAAAAACAAAAUUCAAGAGAGAGAUCAAGGGCUGCACCAGAGGAAAAAACGCAGAGAUCCAUUGAAAAUCAGUCAUUCUUGUUCUUUUCUUGUUUUCUAUUUAUUCAUGAGGAUUUAUCUGAUGGGUAAAACUCUUUUAAAUACUUUUCUUUUACAAAUCAUGAACUGAAUUUGAUUGUGGCUGAAUGAUAAACGAUCUUAAUGAAUGUUUGACUGAUACAUGCGUGUUGCUCAGUGUUUGCUACAACAGUUUGUCUUAAUUGUAUUUAUUUUAGUUCUCUAUUUCCACUUAUCACCCAUUUAGUGGAUACUAACUAAGAAGGAUCCUAAAAAAGGUCUGACUUAGUGGAACAAAUUAAGCAAUACUUGGUUUUAGAUUGGGUUUCUCAAGUUAAGUUAAUCUUAAUUUGAAUAGGGCCAUACUUGAUCUAAGAUUAAUGAAAAAACUAGAUAUAGAGAUUCACCUUAUAGGGUAAUUAAAACCUAAAACGCAUAAUGUUAUAUCUAAUGUUAGCAUAACAACUUAUCACUGUUAAUUUGCAUAUAGAUAUAAGAUAUCCAAUAGGCGAUAGUUGAGGAUGCAUGGGGGAUUUUGCCUAGUGUUGUAGUAAAUGUUGUAUCAACAAGUUCUUAAUUAGAAAAAUAGUCAAAACCACUAAGUGAGUUUAAUCACUCAAAUAGAGCAGUCGGCCCAGCAACAAUAGUUAUUUUAGAAAUAUGGCCACGUGAUGGUGUUCGGAGUUGUAGAUAUUUUUGUUAGGAUAUUUUAGAUUGUAUAAUUUUGUUAUAAUUUGUGAUUAAGUAUAACCUAUUCUAUUUUGACAUUCGAAUGCUCGGAUCAUAACUGGUAUUUUGAUUAGGGAAGUUGAAUGUGGAGGUUGGUUGUGUAUUGAACUAUUUUAAGAGUGUUUGUUUUAUAAAUUGUAGGUUGGAAAUAUUACAUCCAUAGGGCAGAGAUACAGCAUAAUACUUAUUAAAUGGAAUAUUGUCAAUUAUGUUAUAAAAUAUCAAGUACAUUUGGCUCGUGUGGUUUGGGGCGAGUUGUUUCAUAAUUAAUAUCAAUAUCACUUUACAUUAAUAGAUAUUGCAUGAUUUUGACAUUAUUAAUUUAUAAAGGCUUUCUAAUUCCUACACAUCCAUUUUAGUUCAAAUUAAGAUGUUUAGAAUUUAAUUAAGAAAUUGAAAAAAUGUCAAAGAGCUCAGUUUCAUCAAGCUUGUAAUGGCAAACACUAAAUGCAUGCUACCUCAGAUGCUUCAUUUUCUCUUUCCCUAGGCUUACAAGAGAAAAUUGUUUGAUCGAGAAGUUACUAUACCUACACAUGCCCUGGAGGGAAUGUUAAUGAUUUUGAUCAUCAGUUGUUUCUUUUAUCUUUUAUCAAUGCUUUUGUGAUAAUGAUUAAUUGUAGUGAAAUUGAAACUGUGUUUUAAUAAAAGAAGAAAUUAAUCUACUAUGAGUACCUAAUGCUUUGUCAUGUGUUUUUACUGUGCUUUGUUUUAUACGGAUCGUUGAAUCAAUCUAUGAGAGAAAUUUAUUGAAACGCUAAUAAUGAUCAAGCGAUCAUAAUUAAUAUUUGUAACAUAUGUAAUAUUUAAAUUUUAAGUCUAUUUUCUUUUAGGCUGAGGCUAUUUGGAUCCUUUUUUAUUGUAAUCUAAUUUUUUUUAAAUCUUAUAUUCCUAAACUACCUGAUUCAAUUUAUGGGUAAAUUCAAUUUAUGCCCCGAGAAUCUUCAAUUUACCACAAAAAAUGUGAAAAAAUCAAUUCACCCCCAUUUACUACUACGAAAAUAAAUAAAAGAUCAUCAACUUGCCCCCCAUUUAAGUUAUCUUUUGAACAAAAAUUAGUGUAGAUUGAGGUUCUCAUGCUCUUAUAGGGUAGACUAAAGAUUGUUAUUAGGAGGGGGAUGAAUUAAAGUUUACUUCAGUUAAUAUAAGAAAACUUCUCAUAUUAUUUCUAACACAAAUUUGCCAUGUUUAUAUGCCCACAUCAAUUCAAUUGGUAACUCAUGUUGAACGAAUGGAUUGAUUAGAUAAAUAAUCAUAGGAUCUUAGCUAAUCCUGUAUUCUGCAUACCUUACUAAAUUAUUUCGUAAGAAAUUUUGUAAUUGUAUUUUUUUGUAAUUUGAAAUAGCUAAUUACAAGAACUAACUCAAUACUUCAAUCUUUAAUAAAUCAAGAUCGAUUUGGAAUCAAGAUUGAUGAAAAACCGAGUAAAGAACAGAAAAAGAAUUGGAUUACAAAGAACAAGUUACUAGAUUUAAAGAAAAAAUGAACACUUUUUCAUUAAUCAAAACUGAGUACAAACAGAUCACAUCUGAAGAGUUACAAGAAUCACGUGUAAAGAAGAAUUAUUCUAAUUGAAGAAAAAAUCAGUGAGAGAAGGCUUAUAUAUCAUAUGCUACAAGCCAUCAUCUCGUUUCUGGAACAUUUGUAGAAACCACGUAACAAAGUUUAACAACCCAGGCCAUGUCAGUAGAAAUUUUCAAAAGCACCCUUCAACUGAGUGCAAUAUACACAAUGACCCAUAAAACUCUCAUUCGAUUUCACUUUAGUCCCCAAAAUCAGUUAACCACAUCUCCACACUCUCCACCUUGCAAAUCUAAUUCAAUUGAUUGCACAUCAUGAAAGGUGCUUCAAAAAACCUUCAAAUACUGUGGUCCACUCAUGAAUUCAGUUUGGUUUAGGCAGGAUGCCCACCACGUUCACACAGAACUCAAACUUAGUUGUUGGAAGAACUUUAGUAAGCAUGUUCGCUGGGUUUACAUCUAUAUGAAUCUUAAAUAUCACCAUAGUCCCUUUUGCAACUUCAUCUCUAAUGAAUUGUAGCUUCACAUCUAUAUGCUUAGUCCUCUCAUGAUACAUUUGAUUCUUAACCUACUGUUAGCACUUUGAAUAUCACAGAAAAUUUGAACUGAUUUUUUAUUUAACCAAAGCUCAUUGAGGAUACUUUUAAGCCACAUGGACUCUUUGGUUACUUAUGUGGCUGCUACAAACUUAGCUUAUAUAGAAGAUAGAGCUACUACAGACUUUAAAGAUGAUUUCCAACUAAUCAUACAGUUGUUCAGCAUGAACAAAUAUCUAGUGGUUGACUUCUUUCUGUCGAAGUGUCUACCAAAGUCAGAGCCUACAUACCCCACCAUUUCACUCACAGCUUAACUUGAUCUUCCAAACAGUAAGACAUGGUUUGAGGUACCCCUGAGAUACCUCAAUAUCCAUUUGACAACAUCUCAAUGGAUCUUACUUGGAAAGCUUAAGAUUUACUGACUAUACCCACUAAAUAAGUUAUAUCAGGUCUGGUACACACAAUUGCAUAUAUAAGGCUCCCCAUAGCCGGUGUAUAUGGUAUUUCUUCCAUCCAAAACUUAUCUUUGACAACAUCUGAUGCUUGAGACACAGACAACUUGAACUGAGAGCCAAGAGAAGUCAGAACAGGUUUGCACUAUUGCAUAUUAAACCUAUCUAACACCUUUAUUAACAUACAUCUCUUAACUCAAGAAAAGAACACUAGCAGCUUUAUUCCUUGUGAUCUCCAUCCCAAGAAUCGUUUUGGCAUUGGCAAUAUCAUUCAUCUCAAAUUUAUGGUUCAUCAGUUUCUUAAGCUUUUCAAUCUUAGUUUGGUGUCUGCUUGCAAUCAAUAUAUCGUCUAUAUAAAAAAGCAAAUAUAUCACUCUGCCUUAAUCUGAGCCACCAUAGUAAACAAAGCUAACAUACUUGCUCUUGUGGUAACCAUUAGUUACUAUGAACUCAUCAAAUCUCUUGUACCACUCUCUAGAAAAUUGUUUUAGUCCAUAUAGUGAUUUAUGUAGCAAGUAAACAUGAUUUUCUUUCCCUAUCUUUGCAAAACCUUCAGGCUGAGUCAUCAAAAUCUGCUCUUUAAGCUUCCCAUUUAGGAAAGCAGUUUUAACAUCCAUUUGCUUAAGCUCUAUACAAGAAAUGUUGCCAUAGUUAAAAGAAUUAUGAUAGAGCUAUGUUUUACAAUAGGGGAGAAGAUUUCCUUGAAAUCUACACUCUUUCUCUAAGUCUUACCUUGAAUUUUGAAGGUUCAACUCUAAGGAUGCCAUUCUUUUUCUUAAAGAUCCACUUACAGUUAACCAGCUUCUUGUCACUUGGAUUUGGAACAAGUGUCCACAUCUGAUUUCUCUAUAAAGAAUCCAUCUCUUUUCUCAUUGCCUUAAUCCAUUUGUCACAGUUCUCACUUUCAAUGGCCUUAGAAUAGCUAAAAGGCUCCUCAAUUGACAUAUCUUCUGCACUCAUCAGUGCAUAGGCAAUCAAAUCUGUAGAACCAUACCUCACAGGUGCCCUGGUUUGCCUUCUACUUAUGUCCCUAGCUAGUUGAUAGCUCUGUAGGUUAAUUUGUUGUGUUUCUUGUGUUUCAACAGCUUUAGUUUCAUCAAAUGGACCAGUUUCAGCAUUUGAUGUAUCCAUUUUCUUAUCCUUAGCUCCAAGAAACUCCACCUUAAACUUAGAGGACUUAGUUGGUUUAUUCGCAUCUCCUUCAACAUGCAUAUCAUCUUCUAUUAUUUCCUUUCUAGCCUUAACCAUAGCUGCUUAAUUGAAAAUAACAUUUCUACUGAUAAUGCAUUUUCCAUGUUGUUCACACCAUAUUCUAUAUCCUUUGACACCAUCAGCAUAGCCAACAAAAAAUCCUUUCAAGGCUAUUGGUUCAAGCUUGCCUUGAUUUACAUGUGCAUAAGCAGGACAACCAAAGAUUCUGAAUUGUCAUAUUUUACAGACCUCCCUGACCACAUUUCCUCAGGUGUUUUGAAACCAAUGGCUGAUGAAGGACUCUUGUGUGACUAGAUAACAAGCUGUACUCAUAGCCUCUGCCUAGAAACUUCUUGGAAUUUUGGAAUUAAUCAACAUAUACCUGGUUAUAUCAACAAGGGUCUUAUUCAAUCUUUCUGCUAAACCAAUUUAUUGAGGAGUUAAUCUAAUAGUUUUAUGCCUUAAAAUUCUAUGCUUCUUAUGGUAGUCUUCAAACUCAUUGUUGCAGAACUCUAGGCCAUUAUCAAUUCUUUAGGCCUUCAAUUUCCUUCCACUUUUAUUUUCCACCAAUGUUUUUCAAACCUUAAAUUUCUUUAAGGCUUGAUCUUUGGAUUUCAGAAUAUAAAGCCACACCUUUCUUGAGCAAUCAUCAAUAAGGUCAUAAAAUAUCUACCCUUGAUAAAGAUGGCACUUGAGCUAUGCCCACAAAUCAGAUUGAAUAAAUUUUAAGACACACUUAGAUCUAUAUGCCCCUUUUGGAAACUUGGCUCUGUGUGCCUUCCCAAAGACACAAUUCUCACAAAACUCAAGACUACUUAUCUUGUCAGACUCUACUGUCAUUACAGCACUUGCAAGAAUGAAAAAACCAACUAACACACACAACCUGUUCCUCUUUUCACCUUUCAUCAUAAUAGAAUCCCUUUUAGUCGCUCUAUGCCACCAUUAUCAGACUUAAAUGAAUAUUCAAAGCUAUCUAACAUGCCUAAAGAGAUUAAAUUUCUCUUUAAUCCACGGGCAUGUCUUACACCAUGUAAAGUUUUAAAGACCCCAUCCAACAUCUUUAUCUUAAUAGAUCUUAUUUCAAUAAUUUUGCACUUAUUAUUGUUUACUAUAAGAACUCUACCACCAUCAAUAGACACUUAUUGGGCAAAUGUAAAAUGAACAGCCAGAAUUUAAUACCCACUGAUCUUCUAAGUUUGCCUUUUGAUGAUAUUAACAUAUCAACACUGUGAUAGCCAUAAUCUGAAGAGUCAUUUAAAGCCACAACUGCAUCUCUUGAUUUUUCUUGAUGCUCCCUUUUCUUUUACUCUGCAUAGUCUCUGAUAUAAUGACCUUCUUUGUGAUAGCAAAAACACUUCUUUUUCUUUUUUCUUCUUACCGGCUUCUUGGCUCUUUCCUUUGCCCUUUUCUUGAUUCUUAUUCUUAUGUUCUUUUUUCUUUCUAGUUCUGGCAAUCAGCCCUUCUCCAUUACUGAUUUAAUGCCCAUUAUUUCUCUGAAUCUCCUUUGAGCUCAAUGAUGCCUUAACAUCUUCUAAAGUUAAUGUUGCUCUUUUAUCUAACAUUGUAUCUACAAAACCUUCAUAGGAUUGUAGCAGUGAACUGAGCAAGAAAAAUGCUUUAUUUUCAUCUCUAAUUUUCACAUUUUCAAACCCUUUAAGAUUAAGGAUGAUCUUAUUGAAAAUAUCAAUGUGUUCUUGGAUUAACACACCUUCUUUUAUUGAAAAAUAUAAAGUUUUUUCUUCAAUAAAAGCUUGUAAACCAAAGACUUCUUCAUGCAUAGUGCCUCCACCUUAUUCCAUAUCCUUAGAUCAAUUUUUCUUCAAAGAUUUCCCUUAAGAUUGAGCCACUAAGACUCAAAAUCAAGGAAAUAUGAGCUAUGUUCUGGAUGUGCUACUUCUUUUCAUCAGGCAUGGAACUUGUAGCUCUAUUAAGAUCUUUGUUACCCAGAGUAGACUCAAGGCCCUGAUAAAUGAGCAGAGGCCUUAUCUUUGUCUUCCAGAUCUUUGGCUUUAGAAGUGACAUACCCAAGAAUUACCAAAGCAUUCAUACCACUUGUUGUAAUUUCUAGUGGCUAAUUACAAGAACUAAUUCAAUACUUCAAUCUUUAAUCAAUCAAGAUCGAUUUGAAAUCAAGAUUGAUAAAGAAUAGAGUAAAGAAAAGAAAAUAGAAUUAGAUUGCCAAGAAUAAACUACCAGAUGAGAAGGAAAAAUUCACAUUGUUUCAUUAAUCAAAACUAAGUACAAACAAAUCACAUCUGAAGAGGAGAUUACAAUAAUCACGUGUAAAGAAGAAUUAUACUAAUUGGAGAAUAAAUGAAUUAUAUAUCAGUUGACUUGUUAUCCACUUGCCACUAAUUUUCUAUUCAAUCCACACAGUAGCCAGAAUCCCCCAACUUGCUCAAAAGACUUAAUUCAUUACCUCAAGUCCUUUUGGCCACCUAGAUUGAGAAUUUUUUUAUUCUUUUUUUGAUACUUCCUAUCUAAUAAGAGCAUGUCAUUACGAACUUGUAUUUGUUUGAUUCAUAACAUCUCAAGAGCAUUACAAUAGAAAAAAAAAAAGAGUAACUAGAACUAACAACAUUGAUUAAACUUCCUACUUGUUAUUCUUAGUGGUAACUACAUCUAGAUCUUGAAUGUACAAAAGCCAACAUCAUGGAGCCCAUAUUUUGCAUCAUUAAAUGAUUAGUCUAAUUGUCACCUCUGCUUUCACUAUUGUCAUUAAAAAUUUAUCUUAUCAUACUAGCUGCAUAAAAAUUAACAAAUUAACAUAUUAUCAUUUUUAAGUCAUCAAUCAAGUAUAAAUAUUAUAUUAUUUAGUUAUAUAACAAAAAUAAAGAAAGAACUAAAUUUCAAAUAUAUAUAUUGAAUUAAAGCCAAACUAGCCAUCCAAAUAAAUAAAAGAAUACAUAUUUGCAUUUAGAAACAACUACUUUAAACCAAUAUCUUUAUUUUCAUGUGAUGAAAUUAAAAUUCUAGUUACAAUUACAUGUGACUUCUGUGAAGUUGUCUAGCCAAUAAAUUGUCCAUUUGCUUAUAUAAAAAAAAUUUUCAUCUUGAAUGCAAUUUGUGAAUCAACAAUGACAACAUGGCAACUAAUUCAAGAAAGACUUCCGUAUGUUUAAUAGGUGAGGCAAAUAUGGGCCCAAAUAAUAGCAAAAAUUUUGUUAUAUGAAUUGGGGCAAACUUCAAUUCAUCCCCUUGCCAAUAAAAAUCUUCAAUUUACCUUUCAAAAACAUGAAAAUCUCGACUUACCUCAAAUUUUGUUUAGAAGAUGAACGUAAUAAUGAUCGUUAUUAGUAUUUCAAUAGAUUACUCUGUCGUAGAUUAAGUCAACGAUAAAUAUACAACAAAAUAGCAUCAAAUGCAUGCAUAAAANNN
rnacentral:lncRNA from 1 species